UUUUCUUUUCUUAUUCUUCACCACACCAUCUGUGGGUUCAAUCCUCUUUUUGGAGCUCCUUAUUAUUGAAAUUGGUUGAAUAGAAGGCUCCUCCUCGUUACCUGAUUCAUCAUAAGAAAUAAUAGGAGGAUAUUGGGAAGUCUCUUCCCUUUCAUUAGUAUUCCUUUCAUCAUCUAUUUGUUUUCUUUUCUUUAUGUAAUUGGCAAUAUAAGGAUUUUCAAUGCAAUUCACCGAACAAUACAUAUAAAUUUCCUCUAGAUCACAACCAAGGAGUUUAUAACGGGCAAAUUCCGAAAGAUGCUUAGUUAUAUGUUUCAUUUCUUCGCAAACCAUAAGCAAGCUAAGUUCAUUAUAAUGUGCAACGGAAGUUAACUCAUCACAAUUUUUGGACACGAUUAGAUCAUGAAACAAUUUGCAUCGGAUAGCUAAAUGACCACUUUCAUUGCAAAGUUCACAAGUAUGGCCAAGAAAAUUUAAAUUUUCUGCACAAACAUCUAGCCUUUCUUGCAACAAUUUAGUUUCUAAAUGCUUAUGCCUCUUGCAAUAUCUAUCUUCCCUAUUUGGUGUGUACUUGCAAAUCCAAUGCACUCCACAAAAAUUGACAUGUUUAUAGGAGACAUUUUCAUCAUAACUAGUGCAAUCCUCAUUAGUACUAGGGAUAUUCAAGGAGUUCAUACUAACAACAUUGCAAUCUUGCUCAUCAUACAAAGAUUUAGUGCCAAACAUUCUAUAGAUUUCUUCUUCUAGCACUUGAGCACACUUUUCCUUCCCAUCAUUUUCACGAAAGAUAUUAAAAAGAUGAAGCAUAUGAGGCACCCUUAAUUCCAUUUUUUGUAGUUUUCUUUUAUAAUAUAAACUAGUGAUAAAACAAGAAACUAAAAGAUUCGAUUGCAAGAUCUAAAGAUAUACCUUCAAGCACUCACCUCCCCGGCAACGGCAUCAGAAAAGAGCUUGAUGUCUACUACACAACCUUCUUCUUGUAGACGUUGUUGGGCCUCCAAGUGCAGAGGUUUGUAGGACAGUAGCAAAUUUCCCUCAAGUGGAUGACCUAAGGUUUAUCAAUCCGUGGGAGGCGUAGGAUGAAGAUGGUCUCUCUCAAACAACCCUGCAACCAAAUAACAAAGAGUCUCUUGUCUCCCCAACACACCCAAUACAAUGGUAAAUUGUAUAGGUGCACUAGUUCGGCGAAGAGAUGGUGAUACAAGUGCAAUAUGGAUGGUACAUAUGGGUUUUUGUAAUCUGAAAAUAUAAAAACAGCAAGGUAGCAAGCGAUAAAAGUGAGCACAAACGGUAUUGCAAUGCUAGGAAACAAGGCCUAGGGUUCAUACUUUCACUAGUGCAAGUUCUCUCAACAAUAAUAACUUAAUUGGAUCAUAUAAGUAUCCCUCAACAUGCAACAAAGAGUCACUCCAAAGUCACUAAUAGUGGAGAACAAACGAAGAGAUUAUGGUAGGGUACGAAACCACCUCAAAGUUAUUGUUUCCAAUCAAUCUGUUGGGCUAUUCCUAUAAGUGUCACAAACAACCCUAGAGUUCGUACUAGAAUAACACCUUAAGACACAAAUCAACCAAAACCCUAAUGUCACCUAGAUACUCCAAUGUCACCUCAAGUAUCCGUGGGCAUGGUUAUACGAUAUGCAUCACACAAUCUCAGAUUCAUCUAUUCAACCAACACAUAGAACCUCAAAGAGUGCCCCAAAGUUUCUACCGGAGAAUCAAGACGAAAACGUGUGCCAACCCCUAUGCAUAGGUUCAUGGGCGGAACCCGCAAGUUGAUCACCAUAACAUACAUCAAGUGAAUCACGUGAUAUCCCAUUGUCACCACAGAUACGCACGGCAAGACAUAGAUCAAGUGUUCUCAAAUCAUUAAAGACUCAAUCCGAUAAGAUUACUUCAAAGGGAAAACUCAAUCCAUUACAAGAGAGUAGAGGGGGAGAAGCAACAUAAGAUCCAACUAUAAUAGCAAAGCUCGCGAUACAUCAAGAUCGUGCCAAAUCAAGAACACGAGAGAGAGAGAGAGAUCAAACACUUAGCUACUGGUACAUACCGAACUACUCCCUCCUCGUCAUGGAGAGCGCCGGGAUGAUGAAGAUGGCCACCGGUGAGGGUUCCCCCCUCCGGCAGGGUGCCGGAACAGGGUCCCGAUUGGUUUUUGGUGGCUACAGAGGCUUGCGGCGGCGGAACUCCCGAACUAUUCUGUUCCCCGAAGUUUUUAGGGUAUAUGGAUACAUAUAGGAGGAAGAAGUACGUCAGGGGAGCCACGAGGGGCCCACGAGGGUGGAGGGCGCGCCCUAGGGGGGUGGGCGUGCCCCCCUACCUCGUGGCUCCCUCGUUUCUUUCCUGACGUGCACUCCAAGUCUAUCAGGUUGCUUUCCUUCCAAAAAUAACUUCUCCAGAAGGUUUCAUUCCGUUUCGACUCCGUUUGAUAUUCCUUUUCUUUGAAACACUGAAACAAGGGAAAACAGGAAGUGGCACUGGGCUCUGGGUCAAUAGGUUAGUCCCAAAAAUAAUUUAAAAGUGUUUAAUAAAGCCCAUAAACAUCCAAAACAGAUAAUAUAAUAGCAUGGAACAAUAAAAAAUUAUAGAUAUGUUGGAGACGUAUCACCUCACAAUAAAGGUCUUGAGCCACAAGCCGAAGUGUGGGGGAAUACGAAGGAAAGCCUCGCACGUGAUAAUGAACGCCAAGACGUGAAGAAAGGAUCCGGAGCCAGAUCGUGAAAAUCUAGCCCGCAAUAGAACAUGAGCCCUCGAAUGAAGGGGUGGAGAGCAAACCCUAGCCCUCAGAGGAAGUGGGAGACGAAUACGACCCUCUCGUUGGAUCUGGGAGUAGGAAUAACCUGCCCACGAGCAGGAAGCCUGUGGGGGGUCUCCGCGGCCUGGUAUCUUGCUGCCCGGAGCUUCGUAAUAUCCUCCUCUGUGACAGAAGAAGCCAUCCACCGACCUUGAGAGCCGGUUCCGGACAUGACUGGGAAGCUUGAAGCAAUCGAACCUUGGGCGCUGGAGCUCGAGGUUGUAGAAGUUGAGGAGAGGGUUGGCGUAAAGAGGCAAGGUGGGCCUUAGUCCCUUUAUAAAGGCAGUGAAUAUCGAACGCCUCCCCCUCGGCCUUAAAACCUACCUAUUCUUAAGGAAUUGUGCCAACUGGACGGUUGGGAUACCAACGCUCGUGUCGAUGAGGAUCCUGCAAUAAGGGGACACGAUCCCUGCUUUGACAAGACGUGCCAAUGAAACCACGUCUCGAAACGUGGGACGACAGGCUAAAAAACGGUUCGAUAAUGGCCAGGUGAUGACGAAGCAUCGCGUUGUCAAAAGUUGUCAGCGGAUUGGACUCGUGAAAUAUUAUACUCCCUGUGGUUGUGUGUGGAAUUUGUUCUGCAGGGCUGGACAUGUUUGUUGUGUCCGAAGACUGUAUUGAAGUAUUCGGAGAAGGAACCCGCCUUGCAAUGCCGAAGACAAUUUGCGCGUCGGACACCUCGUCAUUGAAGUCUGGUUCAGGGACUACUGUGGGAGUCCUGGAUUAGGAGGUCAUCGGGCGUCCGGACUAUGAUAUGUGGGCCGGACUGAUGGGCUAUGAAGAUACAAGACCGAAGACUCUCUCCCGUGUAUGGAUAGGACUCUCCUUGGCGUGGAAGGCAGGCUUGGCGUCCUGAUGUGAAGAUUCCUUUCUCUAUAACCGACUUUGUGUAACCCUAGUCCCCUUCGGUGUCUAUAUAAACCGGAGGGCUUAGUCCGUAGAGACAGACAAUCAUAAUCAUAGUCAUACAGGCUAGACUUUUAGGGUAUUAGCCAUUACGAUCUCGAGGUAGAUCAACUCUUGUAAUACUCAUAUUCAUCCAGAUCAAUCAAACAGGAAGUAGGGUAUUACCUCCAUAGAGAGGGCCCGAACCUGGGUAAACAUCUUGUCCCCCGUCUCCUGUUACCAUCGACCUCAGACGCACAGUUCGGGACCCCCUACCCGAGAUCCGCCGGUUUUGACACCGACAGUCUUGCCCGGCGAAACACGUGGCACUUGGCGAGGAGAGGCCUCCUGCAUGACCACGUCAUCGCCGGUCGCCACUCCCUUGUUAGCCUCUGGUUUGGGCGGAUCGCCCUUAUCGUCUUCGUCCAUUUGAAUGAUCUCAGGUGGCGCUGCACAAACAAACGAGUCAAAGACAUCCGUGAAAAUCACUCGGGUGAAAACUUGAGUGUCCCAAUCAGUCGGCACGGGAAUACCUUUGUAAGUGGCAGCAUCCGCCGCAUCAACCUCACCCUGGUCCUGCUUGGGAGCAUUCAGAUCCAGCGACGUUGUCGAGGUCUCGUUGUUGUGAAGCCCAACAACACUCGGCCAUCAGCCGAGUCAAGACAACAAUGAAUGAAAGAUUAGCAAGAGCUCUUACGUCGAGGCCACUGACACAGUCACCUUGAUCCGAGGCACAUCGACCUUUCGAGGCUUGGAGGCCAACUACUUAGAGAGCUUAGGUUGCUUCUCGAUAGAGCUCUCCACCUCGGUGCGCCCACACUUUGAGCUGCGAGUCGUCUACCCCGAGGCAGUCGACUACUGAGCUCUUCUGGCUUUGCUGCUCAGAUCAUGCAGUGCUUUGGAGCGAGUCUCCUUGGGGAGCUCAUACGACGACGAGGACCUGUCCUCCUCCUUCGAGUACUGGCACUUAGUGUCACUCGUCACGUCCUUGGGUGACCGAUCGACCUCUGGAACAUCAAAAAAUGAUCUACUGAAAGCUCUGGAUGAACAAACACACCACAACACAAGAAUCAAAUGCAUUGGAAGUAACGCAUGGGUGGUCCGACUGCGCAAAGGAAGUUUACCUCGACUGGCGGCAAGUCCUUGGAGUAUAGACGCACCAUUCGGGCCCGUCGUGGGUUGCCUCAGGCGUAGGUGAUGGCCCAGAUCAUGGCCCCUGUCGGUGUCAAAACCAGCCGAUCUCAGGUAGGGGGUCCCGAACUAUGCGUAUGAGGAUCGAAGGUAAUAGGAGACAAGGGGACACGAUGUUUACCCAACUUCGGGCCCUCUUAAUGGAGGUAAUACCCUACUUCCUGCUUGAUUGACUUUCAUGAGUAUAGGGGUUACAAGAGUUGAUCUACCUCGAGAUCGUAAUGGCUAAACCCUAGCUGUAUAGCUUAUGCAAAUUCUGAUAGCCUCUACGGACUAAACCCUCUGGUUUAUAUAGACACCGGAGGGGCCUAGUGUUGUACAGAGUCGGUUUACAGAGAAAGAAUACAACACAUCCGGACGUCAAGCUUGCCAUCCACGCAAAGGAGAGUCCCAUCCGGACAUGGGAGAAGGCCUUCUAUCUUGUAUCUUCAUGGCCCAUCAGUCCAGCCCAUGCUACAUAGCCCGGACACCCGAGGACCCCAUAAUUCAGGACUCCCUCAGUAGCCCCCCGAACUUGCCUUCAAUGACGACGUAGUAUUCGGCUCAUGUCUUCGGCUUUGCAAGGCGGGUUCUUUAUUAUAAUCCGGACCAUUGACAUUCCGGUGAUAACCUCGAUGUCUUUUACGAUUCCCCCCUAUCGACGCUUCGAUUUUUGCGCAUCGAGCGAAUAUGAACGGUUUAUGCCUUUUUUGCAAAUAAUCUCCUCAUUACGCUUGGAUGGCACCUAUAGAAGGAGAUGUAGAUCUCCAAAUGUCAUCUCACAUUGCGCAGAAGGAAAACCACCAAGUUCAGCCACGAGCAAAGCUUUCCAUCAUGGCCAGUGCCCCAGGAUCCUCUUCGCGCCCCCAUGGCCCUCAAGAGGGUGAUUGGCAGAGUUGCUCCGUGCGUCAUCUUGAGCUGAGCCGACUCCAGACGCAGGGUUACCUCCCCCUCACGGAUCUAGUCUCCGUUCGAGCGGGCUUGUAUUCAAUCGACAACGAUGCGAUGGCUGAGAACUUCCCCAACCCCAAUAAGGAGCAGAGGGUGUGCUUCGUCCCAUUUCUAUUGCGGGACCUGGGAUUUCCAAUCCAUCCGUUCCUCCGGGGGUUAUUGGAAUUUUACGGCAUCCAACUACAUACCCUCACCCCAGGUUCGAUUCUCCACAUCUCAGGUUUUGUGGCCCUCUGCGAGCUAUUCUUAGGCAUCGAGGCCCAUUUUGAAUUAUGGAGGAAACUCUUUUGCGUCGUUCCCCGCCACCGAGGAGGUUCCAUAUUUGAAGUAGGUGGUGCCGAAGUAUGGAGUAUAGCUUGAUCCGGAUACCUUGUAGGAACACCUAAAGAGGUAUACUCGCAGAGGUCCUCCGAAUGGUUUUAUAUGGACAAUGUCCCGCUGUCUCCCUGAAUUUUCCAAUGCUCCUUUAAGGAAGCGCCUCAACUGGCAUCCCCGCAGUCCCAUAGAAGAAGACAGUGUGGAGAUAAAGAGGUUGGUCACCAAGGUCAGGUUGCUAGCCCAUACCGAGCUCUCAAUAGUUGAAGUCAUGGCCAUUGCAAUAAAGAGGUGUGUCCAGCCUCUUCAAUCCAGAGUAAGUACCUUAUGGUGCUAGCACGGAGAAGACGACGCAUCCCGCUACAGACGGAAGGGUCCGGAUACCCCAGCCGAACUGGUCUCAAUUUUGGCUGAUAUGUAUAAGGGCAAAAAAGAAGAUUUUCUCCGGCUAAACUGCCGGGAGGCUUAUUCUAUGUACACCCUUAUUGAAUGGGUAAGAUCUCGAUCAUCUGUGCUUAUUUCAUUGCAUUGCAGACACUACUUGAAUUUACUCUUUGUUGCCGCCAACAAUCAUGGAGGAGGAUGACCGAGGAUGUCCACUGUCCUGCUCCCCAUCCAGAGAUCAUAAUCGUGAUAAAGAUCCUGGCUUUUGCGAGGAUCCGGACAUAUAUAUAGAAUUCGAUGAUGGGGUAUUCUAUCAAGCGAGCCUUGACGGUUCGGAAGUUGCUAUCACCGCCGACUACCCUCGCCUUUAUCCCUUCUGCAUCGUGAGUAUCCGGAGGCUUCUUAAAAGGAGAUCCUUAUCUGCAUCCUUACCCAUUGUACUGAUCCGGUAUUUUAACAGGAUCGACGCUCUAGGGACCGUAUCUCCUCAAGGGUGGCUCCUACACAGGCCGUCGUUCAAAAUGAAAAGGGACUCGGAGUACUGCGGAGACCUCACAAUCUUCCAAGAGGUAUGUGUACUUUAAUAUAUGCCUAGGCAUGAGUCUGGGUUGUUAAAAGUCUCCCUUUCUAUGUUUGACAUCAGGAGGAGUACGCGGCAGACGGUGGGAAAACGCGCGAUUAGCAAAAUGUCCACUAAUCCGGUGCCGAACUCGUUAACUAGGACGCGAGCCAACGCAAUGCCCAUUCUGCCUACUCAAGAGGAUUCGGAUGACGUAUCAGUCAUGAAUUCUGAAGUGGAGAGCGUGAUGAAGCACCGUUGAUUAAAGGAGGCUAUGCAUGCUCCGGCCUUUUCUGAACAAGAGUUUGCCGCACUGAGUUCGUUGCAUGCAUAUAUCUGAGCCGCUCGAGACGGACUUGCCAGAGUCAUUCAGUUGUUCUUGAAGGAUAUACAGGUAAGAUUUGAUGCAAUUUGUAUGGUCAUAUGCCAGUAGCCCCCGAGACUUGAAACGGUGAAGCAAACCGAUUUAAGGAUCGAUAAUUUUUGCAGGUUCUGAAAGAAAAGAACACUAUGCUAGCCUAGGAGCUGAACACAAACCAGACACAACUGAAUGCGGUCACCGCCAAACCAGGGGAAUUGAUAGAGAUCGCGACGGGCGAAUCUAGGGAGAAAAAACUUGAGGAGGAAAAGGACAAGCAGUCCGAAGAGAUAGAGAGCUUGAAGUCUCAGCUAUUGGUCGUUUAAAAGGAAAAUAAAAAACUUAAGGGCGGCAUGUUCGGUAUGUCUUCCACUAUUAUUUAGAACCACCAUAGGUGCUCAUGUUUUGUCCAUAAUGCGGAAUAUUAUGAAUUUGUUGCUUGCAGGUCUGUUAACUGGUCGGCCGGAAGAGGAAGUAUUCGGAUUUCAAGGUGACGUGCUAAAGGAGUUGUCCGUCGUGCAUGCUCGGGCCCAGAAAGCCAUGAGGAGUAUGGUGAAGGCGUUAUGGCCAUCUGAUACCCCUCCAGAAAGUAUGGAGGGCCUGGCAAAUCUGUUCAAAGGUGGCCGGCGCCGGUUCGAGCUAUGGAAGACGUCUGCCUGCCGUCAAGGCGCACGAGAAUCCUGGGCAUGGUGAAGACGCGCUUUACUAAACUGGACCCGAAUCAUAUGGCCCGAGUAGGACCACAGGGACCAGAUGGGAAGGAUAUCCCAUUAAAUUUGGUCUAUGAUCAAGUAAUGAUUGCUCCAAAAUAUUCUCAGGAAGGUUGUAGAUUAGACUGCCUUAUAGACGGAAUAGAUAAGGAAUAGGUUUUUGGCUUAAUGUAUCAAUGUACAUUUAUGAUCAACCUUUGGUUUGAUCCGAACAUGUGAAAUGAUUUUUUCGUCGCAUGCUUUCGGCUUUAACCUCCGGCCAAAAUGGUGGAAUGUUUCUGGAUACUUAAGACAAAAGGAAGUAUCUAUCCGGAAACCAGGCAACCCAGUCAUUAUGCUCGAACAGACAAAAAAUUCGAGUUCGGGGUGUAUGUUAUAUUAAGUAUGUAAGAAACAUCUUCCAAGGAAAAUAGUUCCGUGAAGGGUUCCUUUCCUUGGGGUGGCAUAUUGUGAUUACACGUGCCGGUGUGUGUGGUCCGUAAUACGGAAAAACUAUCUCGUAGUGCUGAAAAUGGUUGCAAUACGGCAACAAUCUGUCGUUUUAGUGCCACCAAUUAUUCUCUUAAGAACGCUAGCUUUCGGCUUCACCCGUCUGAGGUACAUGUCCGGAUAACCCGGUUGUAACAAUCGCAGAGGUGCUCCCUUUAUGCCCUAGCCGAACAAUCGGGAACGUAGGGCAUAAGCACAGGAGCAAGGCAACCCAGCUUGGCAAAAACUUAAGUCAUAGAGGUGCAUAUAAUGGCAAAAAGGAUGUAUAUCCGCAAAUGAAACAUAUAUUGUGAGCUCUAGGCUUGGUAUAAUAAUAAGCUUCUACUUACAGAAGCCGCCAGUCAUGGUGGGGUUUGUACAUUUAAGGAUGUGUACCCCUCAAGUGUUCGGCUUAUCUGAACACACCAUGGGAAACGUAUAAAAACGAAAGAAAGGAAAAAAUUGAAAAGGAGACAAAAGAACGAAUAAGAAGCAUGGUCGGUCUUAUGUGUAGAAUCUUCGAAGCCGGGCAGCGUUCCAAGGGUUCGGCUCUAAGCGAUUAUCCGAUGCAUUGCAAAGGCGGUAGGAUCCUCCAGUGAGAACUUCAUCUAUAAUGAAGGGACCUUCCCAUUUUGGUUUGAGUUUGUCCUUUUUCUUCUUCGGGAGGCGUAAAACAAGCUCACGGUCGUUAUAAGUCUUUGCCCGCACUUCUCUGCUUUGGUAUCUCCGAGCUUGUUGUUGAUAGAAUGCGGAACGGGCUUUUACGACAUCAUGCUCGUCCUCCAGGCCAUCUAAGUUGUCCUGCCGAUCGAGCUCGGCCUCUCUCUCUCUUCAUACAUGCGCACUCGAGGUGAGUCAUGAAUAAUGUCGCAGGGCAAGACAGCCUCUGCGCCAUACACCAUGAAGAACGGUGUGUAUCUGGUAGUGCGAUUGGGCAUGGUCCGCAGCCCCCAGAGUAAGGAAUUGAGUUCCUCGACCCAGUGUUUAUCCGACUCCUUUAGGGAUCGCACUAGUCUGGGUUUGAUGCCGCUCAUUAUCAGGCCAUUAGCCUGUUCGACCUGACUGUUUGUUUGAGGGUGAUAUACGAAGGCGUAAUCGAGCUUGAUGCCCAGGUUAGCACACCAAUUUUUCACCUCAUCGGCUGUGAAGUUAGAGCCGUUGUCAGUAAUAAUGCUGUGUGGACACCAUAACGGUGGACGACACCGGAUAUCAAAUCUAUCAUCGGUCCAGCUUCAGCCAUUUUUACUGGUUUGGCCUCUAUCCACUUAGUGAAUUUAUCCACCAUAACCAGUAAAUAUUUCUUCUGAUGGCUUCCCCCUUUAAGGGGUCCGACCAUGUCUAGUCCCCAGACCGCGAAGGGCCAGGUAAUGGGGAUUGUUCUUAGGGUGGUGGGCGGCAUAUGGCUUUGAUUGGCAAAAACCUGGCAUCCGACACAACGCUGUACAACGGCAUGUGCAUCUGCUCGGGCAGUGGGCCAGAAGAAACCUGUACGGAAGGCCUUGCUUACGAGGGCCCGAGCUGCGGCAUGAUGGCCGCCGAGGCCAGCAUGUAUUCCGGCCAAGAGCUGCCGCCCCUCCUCUUCGGAGAUACAUCUUUGAAGAACUCUUGUAGUGCUUUUCUUGUAGAGUUCUCCGUCAUGAACUUUGUAGGCUUUAGAACAUCGAACUAUGCGACGGGCCUCGUUCUGGUCAUCAGGGAGCUCCUACCUAUUAAGGUAGGCUAAGAAGGGUUCGGUCCAUGGAGCGUUACCGCCAUCAUUCCAUGGGCGGAAGGCAUUGGUUCGGUGCCCGAGCCCCCGAUGAUAUCCGAAUCGUGUUCGGCAUCUGGGGGUGUGAUCGGCGUCGGACUUGUAUUUUCGCUCUCGUCCUGCCAUACCACGGAUGGCUUGAAAAGCCUUUCCACAAAGGUGUUAGGCGGGACGGGGUCGGGUUUAGCGCCCAUUCGAGCAAGGAUGUCUGCUGCUUGAUUACUGCCUUGAGCCACAAGAUGAAACUCGAGCCCCUCAAACCGAGCUGCUAUUUUGAAUACGGCGUUGCGGUAGGCCGCCAUCUUUGGAUCUUUUGCAUCGAGUUCUCUAUUUAUUUGAGAUAUCCCGAGGUUCGAAUCCCCAUGCACCUCGAGGUGUUGUAUGCCCAUAGGAAUGGCCAUCCGGAGACCAUGCAUUAGUGCCUCAUAUUCGGUCACGUUAUUGGAGUCUGUAUACAUGAUUUGUAAUACAUAACUGACUGUGUCCCCUGUAGGGGAUGUUAGGAUGACACCAGCCCCCAAUCCGGCAAACAUUUUAGAGUCGUCGAUGUACAUCACCCAGUUGGAGUAUGUGAUGUACUCUUUAGGGAGUUCAGCUUCUGUCCAUUCGGCGAAAAAGUCGGCUAACACCUGAGAUUUAAUAGCUCGGUGUGGCUUGUAUGCUAUUUCGAAUGGUAAGAGCUCGAUAGCCCAUUUGGCAACGCGGCCGGUGGCGUCUCGAUUGUUUAUGAUGUCAUUGAGUGGUACUUGGAAGCCACCGUGAUCGAGCACUCUUGAAAGUAGUGCCACAGCUUCCGAGAUGCCAUGAAGACCGCAUACGCUAUCUUUUGAUAGUGCGGGUAUCGGGAUUUGCAUGGUGUAAGGACCGCCGAUACAUAGUAUACUGGUUUUUGGAGUGGGAAUUUGUGUCCCUCUUCCUCUCCUUCGACGACGAGCACAGCACUCAACACCUGGUGAGUUGCAGAUAUGUAGAGCAACAUAGGUUCGCCGACGUUUGGUGCGGCAAGGAUUGGGUUGCUUGCUAACAAAGUUUUUAUUUAUUCCAAUCCGGCUGUUGCCGCAUCCGUCCACUCAAAGUGGUCGGUACGUCGGAGCAGGCGAUAAAGUGGCAGUGCCUUUUCUCCCAAUCUGGAGAUGAAUCGGCUCAAAGCUGCCACGCACUCCGCUAGUUUUUGGACCUGCUUUAGGUCUGUUGGCGUUGCCAAUUGUGAUAGGGCCUGGAUUUGCUUCGAUUACUCUAUUGUAAACAAUGAACCCGAGGAGCUUUCCAGCCGGAACGCCGAAGACGCAUUUUUCUGGAUUGAGCCGUAUGUCAUAUAUUCGGAGGUUGUUGAAUGUAAGGUGUAAGUCAUCCACCAAUGAGUCAACAUGUUUAGUUUUGAUGACUACAUCAUCUACACAUGCCUCGACCGUCUUGCCAAUUUGUUUUUCCAGGCAUGUUUGAAUCAUGCGCUCGUAAGUGGCGCCGGCGUUUUUUAGUCCGAAAGGCAUAGUGUUGAAGCAGAAAGGCCCAUGCGGAGUAAUGAAUGCCGUUGCAGCCUGAUCAGAUUCCUUCAUCUUGAUUUGAUGGUAUCCGGAGUAUGCGUCGAGGAAGCAUAGUGAAUCGUGUCCAGUAGUCGCAUCAAUGUUUUGGUCAAUGCGGGGCAGCGGGAAGGGGUCCUUAGGGCAGGCCUUGUUAAGGUCUUUGAAAUUGACACAAAGGUGCCAGGAUUUGUCCUUCUUUGGCACCAUGACCAGGUUUGCUAGCCAGUCCGGGUGUUCGAUCUCUCUGAUGAACCCGGCUUCCAGUAGUUUGUUUAGCUCCUCCCCCAUAGCUUGUCGCUUGGGUUCGGAAAAUUGCCGCAACGUUUGCUUGACUAGUUUGAACCCCUUUAUUAUGUUGAGGCUAUGUUCAACCAGUCUGCGUGGGAUUCCUGGCAUAUCCGAAGGAUGACAGGCAAAGAUGUCCCAAUUCUUGCGCGGGAACGCUCUUAGAGAGGCGUCGAUUGUUGGAUCCAGCUGCGCUCCAAUUGCUGUUGUUUUGUUAGGAUCCGUUGGGUGUACUUGAAAUUUGACUAUUUCAUCUGCUGGUUUGAAGGAAGUGGAUUUGGGCCUCUUAUCGAGGAUGACAUAGUCCUUGUCUAUUGUGGAGCGCAGAGUGGUUAGCUCCUCGGCCGCAAGGGCCUCGGAUAGCGCCCCGAGGGCCAGAAAGGCAGUUUUGCUUUCGGUGCGGAGUGCAAUAUUCGGGUCACUAGUGAUAGUGAUAACUCCAUUAGGCCCUGGCAUUUUAAGCUUCAUGUACCCGUAAUGGGGUAUGGCUUGAAAGCGUGUGAAUGUGUCUCGCCCCAGCAGGGCGUGAUAUCUGUUGUUGAAAGGUGCGACGUGCAAGAGCAACUCUUCGGACCUGUAGUUCUCCUGCGUGCCGAAUAGGACGUCGAGUUUAAUCUUCCCCGAACUUCAUGCUUCUCGACUGGGGAUAAUGCCUCAGAAGGUGGUGCCCCUUUGCUCGAUGCGACUCUUGUCCAAUUGCAUUUUAUUGAGCGUGUCCUCGUAGACGAGGUUGAGUCUGCUGCUGCCGUCCAUGAGCUUAGUGAGCCUAAAACCAUCCACAAUUGGGUUUAAGACCAAGGCGGCAGGUGCUCAGACUGAUCUGGCCCUUGGUUCGUCGUCGACAGUAAAGGUUAUUGCCAUAUCGUUCCAAGGGUUUAUUGUGGCUACUUGGUUGAUUUCGGCGAGGUUGCGGAGCGCCCUCUUGCGCCGAUUGUUUGAAGAAAAGGUCUUGAUGACCGUAAAGACAUUGAGAUCGGCAUCCUCCGAAGAGUGCCUCUCUGGAGUAAUGUUGGUGAGGAUGGCCUCGCCGCUCUUAGCCACCUGCCGGAGUACCCAACAUGCCCGAAGGCUAUGUGUUGGUUCGGCAUUCGGCAUCAUAUGUAUCUGACAGGGUUUGUCGAGCAGGUUGUCAAGGACAGUUCUGUGUCCCGUGAAGGGCUCGACUUUUUUGUCCAUGAGAUGAUGAUCAGGUGCCCCGUAAGGGUGCAUCCUUUUUGUCCGUCCGGUGGGCUGCUUGAAGGCAGGAGGUUCCCACCGAGCUGUCUGGGCCUUCUAGGCGCUUUCCAUUGCGCAGUACUUCUGUACGAUGUGUGCCAAAUCUGCGAAGUGCAGUAUGCAGUGGCGGUUGAGGGCGUUACGGAUUCCCUCGUCCGUACAGUUGCGGCAAAAUACUGAAACCGUGUCGUCGUCGCAACAAUCUUUGAUCUUGUUUUUAGCAAGGAGGAAUCUGGCCCAAAAGUGAUGGACCGUUUCCUCAGGUUGCUGAUGUACAUACAUUAGGUCGCAUAUGUCUAGAGGACCUGAAUUGCUUGGGGAAUAUUGCUUGUGGUGGGUGGGUGGGUUAAAAUCCGAACCAUGACCCACUAUUGCAUCCGGAGUUUGAAGAAUUUCUGAGGCCACCAGCCCAGGAUCCGGAGUGUCCUGGUGGCUUUUGGGCUCAACGCCCGGUCUUAUGUUCAGAGGACAUGAAGUCUCUUCCCGAAUAUAGGUAUCCGGCUUGCAGGACUCGGAAAUCCGAACAUAGCUUGUUCUUAACUUAGGGGAGAAGUAUUCUCGGCUUGUUCCUCCACGCCCGCUACCAGAUGGGUGAUCGGCGGGGACCUGAUUUCCCUCUGGUCGGGUUUAAGCCCAAUCCGAUCAUAGUUUGUUGCAACUCCUAAGGAGACGAUGCGAUCUAGUAGCUCGUUUAAGGACGAGGCAUCUGCUGGAUCCAUAUUUUUGGGGUGUUCAAGGCCGAUGCGUAGACGCUGUUUAGCAAUUUCGAGGGCUGCCUUUGGCUUAACAGCCGCGCGGGCGCUCAUGGUGAAACCGCCGAGCUGGAGGACCUGUCCCAGGACUAGGGCCCUUCUAGAGGUAAUGUUGUCGUUAAUGACAAGGCGAGCCAUCGAUCCCAUCGUCGACGACAUAAUGGAACUCUCAAUGGAAGCACCAAUGUCGGUGUCAAAACCGGCCAAUCUCGGGUAGGGGUCCCGAACUGUGAGUCUGAGGAUCGAAGUAACAGGAGACAAGGGGACACGAUGUUUACCCAGGUUUGGACCCUCUUAGUGGAGGUAAUACCCUACUUCCUGCUUGAUUGACUUUGAUGAGUAUAGGGGUUACAAGAGUCGAUCUACCUCGAGAUCGUAAUGGCUAAACCUUAGCUGUCUAGCCAAUGCAAAUUCUGAUAGCCUCUACGGACUAAACCCUCUGGUUUAUAUAGACACCGGAGGAGCCUAGGGUUGUAUAGAGUCAGUUUACAGAGAAAGGAAACUACACAUCCAGACGUCAAGCUUCCCAUCCACGCAAAGGAGAGUCCCAUCCGGAGACGGGGGAAGGCCUUCUAUCUUGUAUCUUAAUGGCCCAUCAGUCCGGCCCACGCUACACAGCCCGGACACCCGAGGACCCCAUAAUCCAGGACUUCCUCAGCCCCCACGUCCUUCUCGGCGAGCUCCUCCGGAUGCACCCGAGUGGGAUAACUUGGCCCCUCAUACAUCCACAUGGGGUGGGCCCUGGCUUGCAGGGGUUGGAUCCGCCGAGUGAGGAAAGUCUCUAGCAAGUCCAUUCCGUUCACGCAAGUGUUCAUGACCCCAACAAGGGCAGUGGCCAGGAUGUCGACCCCCGUCUUAUCCUCCUUCAUCACCGAAAGAGGCACGGGAGCGCANNNNNNNNNNNNNNNNNNNNNNNNNNNNNNNNNNNNNNNNNNNNNNNNNNNNNNNNNNNNNNNNNNNNNNNNNNNNNNNNNNNNNNNNNNNNNNNNNNNNNNNNNNNNNNNNNNNNNNNNNNNNNNNNNNNNNNNNNNNNNNNNNNNNNNNNNNNNNNNNNNNNNNNNNNNNNNNNNNNNNNNNNNNNNNNNNNNNNNNNNNNNNNNNNNNNNNNNNNNNNNNNNNNNNNNNNNNNNNNNNNNNNNNNNNNNGUUGUUGGUUCCGGGGACGUCCCUGCAGUAGAACCAGGUUCCCUGCCACACUGCAAAAAAAGACACAUCUGUGACAUUUUGGGCCGAACGAAAAAAAUUCUGUCAUACUUAUGACACUUCUAUGACGAUAAUUGUGACAAAACCCGGUAUCACCAUAGAUGUGGUGGGCUCCUACUUCUAUGACAAAAAAAUCAUGAUAGAAAAUGGGCUUUUCGUCCUGGGCGGGCUGGAGACGCAGCUGCAUGACAUUCUUUGGGCCGUCCAUGAUGGAAAAAACAGUGGUAGAAGCGAGGGCGAGGAAAAUAUCGGGGUGUUCCCAGUUACGGUGGGUGGUCGGGGCUGAGCGAUGCGCGUUGCUCUCAUACACGCACGCGCGUGGGUGCGAGGCGUUGGGCUUUAACUGAACCCGAGCGAGGCGUUGGGCUCUAACUAAACCCGAGCGAUUGCACUGCAGGCUACGCGUUACUGAACCAGAGCGGCCGAUCGAUGGCUUUUAACUGAACCCGAUCGAGCGAUUCCUUCGCUACUGCUGCUAACUGAAGCCGAUCGAUGCUGCCUCUGGAUGAACAGUGAGUGUUGCUGGGGGGUUUGGGUGAACAGUUCCCGGUGGGGGUGGAUGAACAGGACCCCGUGGUGUUGCCUCUGGAUGAACAGGACCCCGAUCGAUCGAGCCGGUUGGGGCUGGAUGAACAGGACCCCGUGGAGGGCUGGAUGAACAGGACCACCCCGUGGAGGGCUGGAUGAACAGUAGGCAGUGGAGGGCUGGAUGAACAGUAGCCCAUGGAGGGGUGGUUGAACAGGAGCCCGUGGAGAGGGCUGGUUGAACAGUAGCCGAUGGAGUAGCGCGCGGUGGAGGCUGGAUGAACAGGAGCCCGUGGAUGAAUAGUCGCAGGUGGAGGCUGGAGGAGGUCGACGGUGGAUGAACAGUAGCCCGUGGAGGCUGGAGGGGGUCGACGGUGGAGAUGAACAGUAUCCCGUGGAGUCCCGUUUUGCGGUACGCCACACCCCUCCCGAUGAACAGGACCCCCGUUUCGACCGUAGCGCUCCAACACAAGUCCGUCUCCUUCGUUUUGCGGUACGCCACACCCCUCCCGAUCUACAGGACCCCCAUUUCGACCGUAGGAGGUCCAUUUCCUCCGUUUUGCGGUACGCCAGACCCCUCCCGAUGAACAGGAUCCCGUUUCGAACGUGGCCGGUCGAACACAAGGCCGUUUCCUCCGUUCUCCGGUACGCCAGGCCUCGUUUCCAUCGGCUGUUCCGUCCAAGCCCUCCCGAUGAACACGACGACGCAUUCCGUUCUGACCUAGCAGGUUGGCUCCCCAUCAACACGAUGACGACGCAGUUUCUCCGUUCCGACCCAGUCAUGUACACGAGCCCUGGCCGUACUUAUGCGCGAGUAGGCGUUUGAGACCCCGCCCGUAUGUACGUACGUGGCCGUAUUUUCUUUCUUGCACACUGGCCGCUGUACGUACGUGUACAUGCUACGUGCGCGCCUCUACAUCGACCAGUAUGUACGUACACGUUCGCGACCAGAAUGACAACGCUAUGUAUGCUUCGACCAGGUGGGUCCCGACUGUCACGCACUUCCCUGCGUGCGAAGAUGUAGCUGGUGGGUCCCAGCUGUCAGGGGGGCGAAUCGUUUUUUUUUGCGCGGACGCACUUCCUUGCGUGCGAAGAUGUAGCUGGUGGGUCCCAGCAGUCAGGGGGAAACGUUUUUUCACGAAAUGCGGUGGCCCGUCCGGUGGGUCCCUGCUGUCAGGUGGAGGAAUAAUUAUUUUGCACGUAACAAGGAGGCACUUCCUUGCUGCGGCCGUGGACCAAGCUGUCAGCCUCUCCACGUACAGUCCACGUCCGAUGGAAGCCGUUCCUUGACCACGUUGACCACGCCGCGCCGAGAGCACCAGGGCGGUGGACGACGGCGAGGCCUAGGAAGGGGACGACGCGGAGCCAGGGAAGACGCGGCAGUGGAUGCCCACGCGUAGAGGAGUAUGAGGGUUCACUGGUUCGCUGUGGUGUGAGGCUACCGUCGCUGUAGAAUAACAGGGGGUGUGGGUGAGUAGAGGGAUGGCCUGGCCAACGGUGGGAGUAGUAGGGGGCGAUGAGGCCUCCGCGGCAUCGCAGCCGGCCACGGGAGGUAGGAGCAUGAGGCACGACCGACGCUGGUUUGGGCGGCUGGGGCAAGAAGACCAAAGGUUGAAGAAGCACUACGGCCGUUGGAUGGACAUCGUACGGUCACUGGAGCUAGAAUCGUGCAUAUUGACUAAGUUGACAAAGCCCUCCGUCCCCGUCAACUUAGUAGGCCCACAAGUCAGCCUGCCACUAUACUGGUUCCCAGCUAGCAGGGGGAGUAUUCAUUUUUUUGUGCGUAAUAAGGAGGCACUUGCUUGCGUGCGAAGAUAUAGCUGGUGGGUCCAAGCUGUCAGCGGCGGUAACGUUUUUUCAUGAAAUACAGAGGCCCUUUCGGUGGGUCGCAGAUGUCAGGUGGAGGAAUCAUUAUUUUGCGCGUAAUAAGGAGGCAUUUCCUUGCGUGCGGCCAUGGACCCAGCUGUCAGCCUCUCCACGUACAGUCCACUUCAGAUGCAUGUUGGUCGUUGAGCUCGUUGACCAGGCCGCGCCGAGAGCACCAGGGCGGUGGACGAUGGCGAGGCCUAGGAAGGGAACGACACGGAGGCAGGGAAGACUCGACAGUUGUUUCCCACGUGGAGGGGAGUACGAUUGUACGUGGGUUUACUGGUUUGUCUGCCGUCGCUGGAGAAUAACAGCAGGUGUGGGUGAGUAGAGGGAUGGCUAGGCCAGUGAUGGGAGUACGGUGCGGUGGUGAGGCCUGUGCGGUAGCACAGCCGGCCGUGGGGAGGAGUGAGCAGGCAGUCCCGCCGGCGCUUGAUUGAGCUGCUGGAGCAGGAAGAGCAGAGAUUGAAGAAGCACGACGGCCGUUGGAUGGACAUCCAACAGUCACUGCUUGUGCGUCAACCUUUUUUUAGGAAAGCCUCAAAUCUGUGGAAAACAACAUACAACCCAUCUGCCAUUAUUUCUAAUAAUUUACAGCCCAUUCGCUAAUUCUUAAGGCUUUUGGAGCCCAUAUUCUUUUUGUUAGCAUUACAACCCAUAUUGUGGCCACAGUUAAAAAAUUGUACGAAAUUUUGCAUAUUUCGGUGCGGUCCGAACUGUUUUUAAUCCUGAAAUUUCGAGUCACAUUCAAACUAAUUUUAAAAAUAAAUGUAUAUCAAUAUAAAAUCCAACAAAAUUGUCCACGCAUAAAAAUCAAUGCAAUUUAAAAUCUCGAAAUGAAAAAAAGAAAUUUGAAACUAAUUGUCGGUUUGAUGUGUUUCAAAAAUGUACAACCCAUUUCUCAUUACUGAUAGGCCAUUUUCUCGGCCAGCCGAAUGAAGCUCUCCUCGUCUUGAAAGAUUUGCAGACAGGCCUAACAAAGCGACUUACUUGGCAAAUCACAGAAAAAUUGGGCUGUGGCCAUGGACCCAGCUGCGGCCAUGGACCCAGCUAUCAGCCUCUCCACGUACAGUACUCUUCCGAUGGAAGUCGGUCGUUGACCACAUUGACCACGCCGCGCCGAGAGCACCAAGGCGGUGGACGACGGCGAGGCCUAGGAAGGGGACGACGCGGAGCCGGGGAAGACGCGGCAGUGGAUGCCCAUGCGGAGAGGAGUACGAGGGUUUACUGGUUCGGCUGCGGUGUGAGGCUGCCGUCGCCGCAGAAUAACACGGGGUGUGGGUGAGUAGAGGGAUGCCCUGGCCAGCGGUGGGAGUAGUAAGGGGCGGUGAGGCCUCCACGGCAUCAUAGCCGGCCACGGGAGGCAGGAGCACGCGGCACGACCGGCGCUGGUUUGGGCGGCUGGAGCAAGAAGACCAGAGGUUGAAGAAGCACUACGGCCGUUGGAUGAACAUCGUACGGUAACUGGAGCUAGAAUCGUUCAUAUUGCUAAGUUGACAAAGCCCUCCGUCCCUGUCAACUUGGUAGGCCCACAAGUCAGCCUCCCACUAUGUUGGGUUCCAGCUGGCAGGGGAGUAUUAAUUUUUUGUGCGUAAUAAGGAGGCACUUCCUUGCGUGCGAAGAUAGCUGGUGGGUCCGACCUGUCAGCGGGGGGCACGUUUUUUUCACAAAAUAUAGAGGCCCUUAUGGUGGGUCCCAGAUGUCAGGUGGAGGAAUCAAAGACUUGAGAAGGCGUAUAGAACAAGCUAGUGUACCAGUAAAGAGAUGUUGCUGAGUUUUAGAAAAAAGAGAGACGUGCUCCUGUAGCUGGUUCGAAUCCAAACGUAAAAUAUGACUAUAUAUGGUGCUAUGCUACUCUGCAAGUAAUGAAACUGACAUAUCCAACGUUCGCUUCUCCUCUUCUCUACUUACUCUGCCUAGCAUCAUAAGCUUUGGCCGCAGCAACCAUGUCCGCUGGCUGCUCGUCCACCCGCUCUUCAGCAGGCAACAACCAAAUAUGCGCCAAGUCGCCACCCGUACCAUCGCCUCUAGGUCUCAUCACACCCCCGCCGGCACGCGCACCGCAGCCGGCUGCCGUUGGUGUGGUGCCACUGCUGCAAAUCAUGCAGAGUCAUCCGCCGCGUCUCAACCACAAUCCUCAACCCUGGCCGAGUCUUCUACAAAUGCCUGAAUCAUGGGGUAAUAAUAUGUUUAAGUGUUGUUCUGCUGCUUUCAGUUGCUGAUUUUUUUAAUAGUUUGGUUGAUGAUCUUCCAAUUUGAUUCGUGCAGAAAAGGGAAGAUUUGUGUGAUUUGUAUUUCUGGGAAGUUGUUGAUGUGGGGGAGUGCAACUACGCUGAUUAUUUGGUUAGCCGAGGAAUCCCAAUACCAGCAGGUUGGGAUGUUGGACAAGUAACUGAAGGAACGACAGAAGAGGAAGAUGCAGAGCAGAAGGUUAAAGAUGUAGUUCCUCUGAUCAUGGCCAAGCAACAGCUGCCGAACGGCCUUGAGAGCAAUGAGGAGAUGAAAGAGCUUGUGAAGAUAAUGGGCAAAAUCGAUGUGCUCUAUAGGAUGAUUGUCUCUUUAUUUACAGUGUAUGUAGCACUUGUGAUGUAUUCAGUGGCUAUGACAUGAGCACUUUGCUGAAACUAGUAAUGAAUGAAACCUAUGUAGCAAGCUGGGCGUAGUGUUGUGAACAUCUAAUGAUUUCUAUUAACGGAAAUCAAGGGGUAUCCCCUUUUGCUCAUAAAUAAAUAAAUAGCAGAGGCCCUUUUGGUAAUAAAUAAAUAAAUUAGCAGAGGCCCUGUCAGGUCAGCUUUGUUCUCAUUUGAAGACGUCGAGCAAAUUGCAGUCCAACAGCAAACUAUGUCAUCAAAUUCAAGUUUCACAGCCAAAUAUGAGUACAACUAAACAACAAUGUCAUCAUGUUUUAGUCGUCAUACAAUCACAAACACAUAUCACCAUACAUAACAAGUGAUGUUCUCACAGGAAAAUACUAAACAACAUGUUCAUCAGGUUUCAGUUGUCAUAGCAAACACAAUUUCACAUAGUAGAUAAAAAAUGUCUUCUAACAGGCAAAUAUGACAAAAGCAAUGUAAUCAUCAUCCGCAGCAGCAGCGUCAACAUCUUCGCCAUGUGUAUCAGUCUGAAUCGUAAUUCCCCAAGGUGUCAUCUUCUUCUUCGUCCUCGAACGUUGGCUUCUUCUUGAUCAACUCUUGUAUGUCCACAGCACGACAGUCAGUCUUUUCGCUGGCGUCAUUGACGUGAUUGUUCUCAAAGAUAUUAGGAACAUCUGUGUUAUCUUGUACAUCAGGAGCAGUGUAAGCAUCAUCUUGUUGUGCAACUUCAUUAAACGAAUUCCUCUGCUCAAACCUUUGCAAUACUCUCCAGUCAUCGCUACGUGCAAAUGUGUCUUCCAAGAAAAAUAUAUGUGUUGCUUGAUUGCCAAAAUAAAAGGCUCGUUGGUUUGGUAUGCCACCUUGACAUUGAUGGAUUUGAAAUAAUCACCAGCUCUGGGUUUUGCGAUCUUGAAAAACAGGUUAUACCAAUGACAACACAAUAGAACCACACACCGAUGAUCCUCGAAACUGGAGAUAUACUGCAACUAAACAAUGUCUAUUAUGUUAGCAUACAUUUCAGUUGUCUCUUUGUCAUACAUAUCCGUGCUCAUGAUGGCACUAUUUUGUGUCUUCCUGCCUUCGUCUCGUGCAAGGGUGUUGUAGCGCACAUCUCCAACAACGCAAGAUUCAUAAUGUCUUACCCGAGUAUCAGGACCCAUUGCUAGUGAGUAAAGGGCAUCAUCAACUGCCUGCCCAUCCUCCCGCAUCUUCUUAACCUAUGGUUAGAAAAUAGACAAGCUGAUCAUCUUAUGUACUCAAUAUAUUAAAAAAACUGACAGUGCAAUUCAAAAGCUUACAUGGCUCUUGAACCAUUUCGCAAAUCCUGCCAUAACCAGUUUGUCAAUGUUUCUUGGAUUUUGCGGCAGUUACUCCUUUUUGUAGAUGCUGCACAACGUAGUGAUCGCGUCAAACAUCUAAAUAUAUAAGAAUGUGCUGCAAGUUUAGUAGAUUACGGUGUAUAAGCUGCAGUACUUAGCACUUACUUGAUAUAAGGUAGUAUCUCAGGACAGUUAUUCAACACAUACCAAACCAUUUUGUCCAAAUCUUUACGUUUAUCCUCUUGUCGACUCUUUCCUGUAACUCGAACAGAAUAAUCGAAAACAUUGACCCCGGGAUUGUGUUCACCCACCUCUUUGCUAAGCUGAUCAGCUGUUUCAAUGUAUUUUGAGCAGAAUGUCAACGCUUCUGUAGCAAUGUAGGCCUCUGCAAUGGAACCCUCGGGUCUAGCUCUGUUCCUAACAUAGCCCUUGAAAGUGCCUAGCCGCCUUUCAAUAGGGUACAUCCAGCCAUACUGUACUGGACCUCUAAGUAGUGCCUCAUCAGGUAGAUGAAUAGCCAAAUGCACCAUCACAUCAAACAAGGCUGGAGGAUAUAUCUUCUCAAGGUCGCAUAGGAUAGUUGGUAUCUUGUCUCUAAGACGCUUCAAAGCAUCUAUCCUGAUAUUUCUACUGCAGAGUUCCCUGAAGAAUUGUCCCAACUCUGCAACUGCUCUGUAUAAGUCGGGGCGGCCCAAUCCUCUAAGGAUAACAGGUAAAAACCUUUGAACUAGGACGUGGCAGUCAUGAGUUUUCAACCCUUGUACCUUGUUUCCAUCCGCACUGACUCUCCUUUCAGGGUUGGAAGCAAAUCCAUGUGGGAAUCUCACACGUGACAGGACCUCGCAGAAUUAUUUUCUUUUUACCUUGUCCAAGACAUACACAGCUGGUGCCAUAUCCCGUGGUUUACCUUCAUCUUGCACCUGCAAAUCCUGUCUGAUACCCAGGUGUGUCAAAUCAAUCCUAGAUUUUAAGGUAUCUUUCGUCCUGCCUUCAAUAUUAAGAAGUGUGCCGAUAAUGCUGUCACAUAUAUUUUUCUUGAUGUGCAUCACAUCAAGAUUAUGCCGCAGAUCCAAAUCUUUCCAAUACUCCAAGUCCCACAAAGUGGACCUGCGGGUAAACAAUAAUCUCUCUUCUACCCUGCCACGCUUCCUUUUCUUGCUACCAUUACCAGGAUGGUUUCCUGGUGUAAUAUGCCUGACCUUCUCUAAUUCCACUUGCAACUCAUCGGCGGUGAGCCUCUUUGGCGCAUCACGGUUUUCAUGCUUUGCAUUGAACACAUGUCUUCGGUAUUUUCUAGGAUGCGGCUUGUCCUUGGCAAGGAAAUGGCGGUGUCCAAUGUAACAGAUCUUGCUAAGUAUUGCGUAUGACAGCGGAUUCCUGUCACAGUGAACACAUGCAUUGUAACUAUGUGUCGUUCGCCCUGACAUAGUUGAGGGAGUCCUGGAUUCGGGGGUCCUCGGAUAGCCGGACUAUAUCCUUUGGCCGGACUGUUGGACUAUGAAGAUACAAGAUUGAAGACUUCAUCCCGUGUCCGGAUGGGACUCUCCUUGGCGUGGAAGGCAAGCUUGGCAAUACGGAUAUGUAGAUCUCCUCCCUUGUAACCGACUCUGUGUAACCCUAGCCCCCUCCGGUGUCUAUAUAAACCGGAGGGUUUUAGUCCGUAGGACAACAACAAUCAUACCAUAGGCUAGCUUCUAGGGUUUAGCCUCUACGAUCUCGUGGUAGAUCACCUCUUGUAAUACUCAUAUCAUCAAGAUCAAUCAAGCAGGAAGUAGGGUAUUACCUCCAUCGAGAGGGCCCGAACCUGGGUAAACAUUGUGUCCCCCGCCUCCAGUUACCAUCCUCCUUAGACGCACGAGACCCCCUACCCGAGACCCCCUACCCGAGAUCCGCCGGUUUUGACACCGACAUUGGUGCUUUCAUUGAGAAUUCCACUGUGCCGUCGCCGUAAGGCUAGAUGGCUCCUUCGAUCAUCGGCAACGAUGUGAUCCAGGGUGAGGUUUUCCUCCCCAGACAGAUCUUCGUAUUCGGCGGCUUCAUACUGUGGGCCAACUCGCUUGGCCAUUUGGAGCAGAUUGAGAGCUACGCCCCUGGCCAUCAGGUCAGGUUUGGAAACUUGAACUACACUGCCGACAUCCGCGGAGACUUGAUCUUAGACGGAUUCGAGCCCAUGUCAGGUGCGCCGCACAAUCACGACGAGCAUGAUUUAGCUCUGCCAUUGGACAGUGUUCGGGAGAUCACACCCGCAACCACUCUGGCCCUCAAUCCUGAACAAAUUGCACCCUCUGAGGACGGGUGGAUGGACCCCGCCACGGAGGCCGCACACUCAGUGGCGAUAGAGCCGAAUACUGACUUCACCUCCUACGAGACCCGUGUUGCCGAACCGUUGGAUUUGUCCCCGGCCAUGGACUCCGAGCCGCCUCCGUCCGUGCCCAUCAAAUCCGAUUGGGCACCGAUCAUGGAGUUUACCUCCGCGGAUAUCUUUCAGCACUCGCCUUUUGGCGACGUACUAAACUCGUUGAAGUCUCUCUCCCUGUCAGGAGACACUUGGCCGAACUAUGUCCGGCUAGAAUGGGGUGCGGACGACGAAGAAAUUCGCUCCCCACCCACCACCCACUUAGUAGCCAUUGUCGACGAUUUGACCGACAUGCUCGACUUCGGCUCCGAAGACAUCGACGGUAUGGACGACGAUGCAGGAGACGAACAAGAACCACCGCCCACAGGGCGCUGGACUGCCACCUCAUCGUAUGAUAUAUACAUGGUGGACACCCCCAAAGAAGGCGAUGGCGAUAAGACAACGGAGGAUAAUCCCUCCAAGAAGCAAUCCAAGCACCAACGUCAGCGACGCCGCUCUAAGUCCCGCCAUAGCAAAAGCAGCGAUACCGGCACAAGAGACAAUAAUGCUCCAGAUAGUGCCUAAGACGACGACAAUCCCUCCAGCCAGACCUCGAGCGGGAGGAUGAACAAGCUAGCCCUCCAGAACAGGCAGCAAACGGAGAAUCAGAGGAUGACAAUUACAUGCCUCUCUCCGAAGACGAAGUGAGCCUCGGUGAUGAAGAAUUUAUCGUGCCUGGGGAUCCCGUCGAGCAGGAGCGCUUCAAGCGCCGGCUUAUAGCCACAGCAAACAGCCUGAAGAAAAAGCAACAACAGCUUCGAGCUGAUCAAGAUCUGCUAGCGGAUAGAUGGACUGAAGUCCUGGCAGCCGAGGAAUACGAACUCGAGCGCCCAACCAAGAGUUACCCAAAGCGCAGGUUGCUACCUCAACUCGAGGACGAAGCAUUGAAACUGAAGGAAAUAUGCCCUAGAGGCAAUAAUAAAGUAUUAUAUAUUUCCUUGUAUCAUGAUAAAUGUUUAUUAUUCAUGCUAGAAUUGUAUUAGCCGGAAACAUAAUACAUGUGUGAAUACAUAGACAAACAAAGUGUCACUAGUAUGCCUCUACUUGACUAGCUCGUUAAUCAAAGAUGGUUAUGUUUCCUAGCCAUAGACAUGAGUUGUUAUUUGAUUAACGGGAUCACCUCAUUAGGAGAAUGACGUGAUUGACAUGACCCAUUACGUUAGCUUAGCACCCGAUCGUUUAGUAUGUUGCUAUUGCUUUCUUCAUGACUUAUACAUGUUCCUAAGACUAUGAGAUUAUGCAACUCCCGUUUACCGGAGGAACACUUUGUGUGCUACCAAACGUCACAACGUAACUGGGUGAUUAUAAAGGUGCUCUACAGGUGUCUCCAAAGGUACUUGUUGGGUUGGCAUAUUUCGAGAAUAGGAUUUGUCACUCCGAUUGUCGGAGAGGUAUCUCUGGGCCCACUCGGUAAUGCACAUCACUAUAAGCCUUGCAAGCAUUGUGACUAAUAAGUUAGUUGCGGGAUGAUGUAUUACGGAACGAGUAAAGAGACUUACCGGUAACGAGAUUGAACUAGGUAUCGAGAUACCGACGAUCGAAUCUCGGGCAAGUAACAUACCGAUGACAAAGGGAACAACGUAUGUUGUUAUGCGGUCUGACCGAUAAAGAUCUUCGUAGAAUAUGUGGGAGCCAAUAUGGGCAUCCAGGUCCCGCUAUUGGUUAUUGACCGGAGAGGUGUCUCGGUCAUGUCUACAUUGUUCUCGAACCCAAAGGGUCCGCACGCUUAAAGUUACGAUGACAGUUAUAUUAUGAGUUUAUGUGAUUUGAUGUACCGAAGGUUGUUCGGAGUCCCGGAUGUGAUCACGGACAUGAAGAGGAGUCUCGAAAUGGUCGAGACGUAAAGAUUGAUAUAUUGGACGACUAUAUUCGGACACCGGAAGUGUUCCGGAGAAGUUUCGGAUUAAACCGGAGUGCCGGAGGGUUACCGGAACCCCCCGGGGAAGUAUUAGGCCUUAGUGGGCCUUGAGGGGAGAAAGAGGGCAGCAGCCAUGAGGUGGUGCGCCCCCUCCCAGAGGAGUCCUAGUUGGACUAGGAGAGGGGGGCGCAGCCCCCUUUCCCUCUCCCUCUCCCUCUCUUUCCUUCCCCCCUUCUUUUCCUAGUAGGACUAGGAAAGGGGAGUCCUACUCCUACUAGGAGGAGGACUCCCCCCUCUCCUUGGCACGCCCCAUAGGCAGCCGGCCUCCCCUUGCUCCUUUAUAUACGGGGGCAGGGGGGCACCUAAGAACACACUUGAUAUACGAUAUUUUAGCCGUGUGCGGUGCCCCCCUCCACCAGAUUACACCUCGAUAAUACCGUCGCGAAGCUUAGGCGAAGCCCUGCGUCGGUGGAACAUCAUCAUCGUCACCACGCCGUCGUGCUGACGAAACUCUCCCUCAACACUCGGCUGGAUCGGAGUUCGAGGGACGUCAUUGAGCUGAACGUGUGUAGAACUUCGGAGGUGCCGUACGUUCGGUACUUGAUCAGUCGGAUCGUGAAGACGUUCGACUACAUCAACCGCGUUGUGAUAACGCUUCCGCUGUCGGUCUACGAGGGUACGUGGACAACACUCUCCCCUCUCGUUGCUAUGCAUCACCAUGAUCUUGCGUGUGCGUAGGAAUUUUUUUGAAAUUACUACAUUCCCCAACAGUGGCAUCCGAGCCUAGUUUUAUGCGUUGAUGCUAUGCACGAGUAGAACACAAGUGAGUUGUGGGCGAUAUAAGUCAUACUGCUUACCAGCAUGUCAUACUUUGGUUCAGCGGUAUUGUGAGAUGAAGCGGCCCGGACCGACAUUACGCGUACGCUUACGCGAGACUGGUUUCACCGUUCGGAGCACUCGUUGCUUAAAGGUGACUGGCGGGUGUCUGUCUCUCUCACUUUAGUUGAACCGAGUGUGGCUACGCCCGGUCCUUGCGAAGGUUAAAACAGCACCAACUUGACAAACUAUCGUUGUGGUUUUGAUGCGUAGGUAAGAACGGUUCUUGCUAAGCCCGUAGCAGCCACGUAAAACUUGCAACAACAAAGUAGAGGAUGUCUAACUUGUUUUUGCAGGGCAUGUUGUGAUGUGAUAUGGUCAAGACAUGAUGUGAUAUAAUGUGUUGUAUGAGAUGAUCAUGUUUUGUAACCGAGUUAUCGGCAACUGGCAGGAGCCAUAUGGUUGUCGCUUUAUUGUAUGAGAUGCAAUUGCCAUGUAAUAGUUUUACUUUAUCACUAAGCGGUAGCGAUAGUCGUAAAAGUAAUAAGUUGGCGAGACGACAACGAUGCUACGAUGGAGAUCAAGGUGUCGCGCCGGUGACGAUGGCGAUCAUGACGGUGCUUCGGAGAUGGAGAUCACAAGCACGGUGCUUCGGAGAUGGAGAUCACAAGCACAAGAUGAUGAUGGCCAUAUCAUAUCACUUAUAUUGAUUGCAUGUGAUGUUAAUCCUUUAUGCAUCUUAUCUUGCUUUGAUUGACGGUAGCAUUAUAAGAUGAUCUCUCACUAAAAUUUCAAGAUAAAAGUGUUCUCCCUGAGUAUGCACCGUUGCAAAAGUUCUUCGUGCUGAGACACCAUGUGUUAAUCGGGUGUGAUAGGCUCUACGUUCAAAUACAACGGGUGCAAAACAGUUGCACACGCGGAAUACUCGGGUUAAACUUGACGAGCCUAGCAUAUACAGAUAUGGCCUCGGAACACAGAGACCGAAAGGUCGAGCGUGAAUCAUAUAGUAGAUAUGAUCAACAUAGUGAUGUUCACCAUUGAAACUACUCCAUCUCACGUGUUAAUCGGUCAUGGUUUAGUUACUUUGGAUCACGUAAUCACUUAGAUGAUUAGAGAGAUGUCUAUCUAAGUGGGAGUUCUUAAGUAAUAUGAUUAAUUGAACUUAAAUUUAUCAUGAACUUAGUACCUGAUAGUAUCUUGCUUGUCUAUGUUAAUUGUAGAUAUAUGGCCCGUGCUGUUGUUCCGUUGAAUUUUAAUGUGUUCCUUGAGAAAGCUAAGUUGAAAGAUGAUGGUAGCAAUUACACGGACUGGGUCCGUAACUUGAGGAUUAUCCUCAUUGCUGCACAGAAGAAUUACGUCCUAGAAGCACCGCUAGGUGCCAGGCCUCCUGCAAGAGCUACACCAGAAGUUAUGAACGUCUGGCAAAGCAAAGCUGAUGACUACUCAAUAGUUCAGUGUGCCAUGCUUUACGGCUUAGAACCGGGACUUCAACGACGUUUUGAACGUCAUGGAGCAUAUGAGAUGUUCCAGGAGUUGAAGUUAAUAUUUCAAGCAAAUGCCCGGAUUGAGAGAUAUGAAGUCUCCAAUAAGUUCUAUAGCUGCAAGAUGGAAGAGAAUAGUUCUGUCAGUGAGCAUAUACUCAGAAUGUCUGGGUAUAAUAAUCACUUGAUUCAACUGGGAGUUCAACUUCCGGAUGAUUGCGUCAUUGACAGAAUUCUUCAAUCACUGCCACCAAGCUACAAGAGCUUCGUGAUGAACUAUAACAUGCAAGGGAUGGAUAAGACGAUUCCCGAGCUCUUCGCAAUGCUAAAGGCAGCGGAGGUAGAAAUCAAAAAGGAGCAUCAAGUGUUGAUGGUCAGUAAAACCACUAGUUUCAAGAAAAAGGGCCAAGGGAAGAAGAAAGGGAACUUCAAGAAGAAUAGCAAGCAAGUUGCUGUUCAGGAGAAGAAAUCCAAGUCUGGACCUAAGCCUGAAACUGAGUAAUUCUACUGUAAGCAGACUGGCCACUGGAAGCGGAACUGCCCCAAGUUUUUGGCGGAUAAGAAGGAUGGCAAGGUUAACAAAGGUAUAUGUGAUAUACAUGUUAUUGAUGUGUACCUUACUAAUACUCGCAGUAGCACCUGGGUAUUUGAUACUGGUUCUGUUGCUAAUAUUUGCAACUCAAAACAGGGGCUACGGAUUAAGCGAAGUUUAGCUAAGGACGAGGUGACGAUGCGCGUGGGAAAUGGUUCCAAAGUCGAUGUGAUCGCCGUCGGCACGCUACCUCUACAUCUACCUUCGGGAUUAGUUUUAGACCUAAAUAAUUGUUAUUUGGUGCCAGCGUUGAGCAUGAACAUUAUAUCUGGAUCUUGUUUAAUGCGAGACGGUUAUUCAUUUAAAUCAGAGAAUAAUGGUUGUUCUAUUUAUAUGAAUAAUAUCUUUUAUGGUCAUGCACCCUUGAAGAGUGGUCUAUUUUUAAUGAAUCUCGAUAGUAGUGAUACACAUAUUCAUAAUGUUGAAACCAAAAGAUGCAGAGUUAAUAAUGACAGUGCAACUUAUUUGUGGCACUGCCGUUUGGGUCAUAUCGGUGUAAAGCGCAUGAAGAAACUCCAUACUGAUGGAAUUUUGGAAACACUUGAUUUUGAAUCACUUGGUACUUGCGAACCGUGCCUUAUGGGCAAGAUGACAAAAACACCGUUCUCCGGAAUUAUGGAGAGAGCAAAAGAUUUGUUGGAAAUCAUACAUACAGAUGUAUGUGGUCCGAUGAAUAUUGAAGCUCGUGGCGGAUAUCGUUAUUUUCUCACCUUCACAGAUGAUUGGAGCAGAUAUGGGUAUAUCUACUUAAUGAAACAUAAGUCUGAAACAUUUGAAAAAUUCAAAGAAUUUCAGAGUGAAGUUGAAAAUCAUCGUAACAAGAAAAUAAAAUUCCUACGAUCUGAUCGUGGAGGAGAAUAUUUGAGUUACGAGUUUGGUCUACAUUUGAAACAAUGCGGAAUAGUUUCGCAACUCACGCCACCCAGAACACCACAGCGUAAUGGUGUGUCUGAACAUCGUAAUCGCACUUUACUAGAUAUGGUGCGAUCUAUGAUGUCUCUUACUGAUUUACCGCUAUCGUUUUGGGGUUAUGCUUUAGAGACGGCUGCAUUCACUCUAAAUAGGACACCAUCGAAAUCCGUUGAGACGACGCCUUAUGAACUAUGGUUUGGCAAGAAACCAAAGUUGUCGUAUCUUAAAGUUUGGGGUUGCGAUGCUUAUGUGAAGAAACUUCAACCUGAUAAGCUCGAACCUAAAUCGGAGAAAUGUGUCUUCAUAGGAUACCCAAAGGAGACCAUUGGGUACACCUUCUAUCACAGAUCCGAAGGCAAGAUAUUUGUUGCUAGAAAUGGAUCCUUUCUACAGAAGGAGUUUCUCUCGAAAGAUGUGAGUGGGAGGAAAGUAGAACUUGAUGAGGUAACCGUACCUGCUCCCUUAUUGGAAAGUAGAUCAUCGCAGAGAUCAGUUUCUGCGACACCUACACCAAGUAGUGAGGAAGUUAAUGAUAAUGAUCAUGAAACUUCAGAUCAAGUUAUUACUGAACUUCGUAGGUCAACUAGAUCAAGAUCCGCACCAGAGUGGUACGGUAAUCCUGUUCUGGAGGUCAUGUUACUAGACCAUGGCGAACCUACGAACUAUGAAGAAGCGAUGGUGAGCCCAGAUUCCGAAAAAUGGCUUGAAGCCAUGAAAUCCGAGAUGGGAUCCAUGUAUGAGAACAAAGUAUGGACUUUGGUUGACUUGCCCGAUGGUCGGCAAGCCAUUGAAAAUAAAUGGAUCUUCAAGAAGAAGACUAACGCUGAUGGUAAUGUUACUAUCUAUAAAGCUCGACUUGUUGCGAAAGGUUUUCGACAAGUUCAAGGAAUUGACUACGAUGAGACCUUCUCACCCGUAGCGAUGCUUAAGUCUGUCCGAAUCAUGUUAGCAAUUGCCGCAUUUUAUGAUUAUGAAAUUUGGCAAAUGGAUGUCAAAACUGCGUUCCUGAAUGGAUUUCUGGAAGAAGAGUUGUAUAUGAUACAACCGGAAGGUUUUGUCGAUCCAAAGGGAGCUAACAAAGUGUGCAAGCUCCAGCGAUCCAUUUAUGGUCUGGUGCAAGCCUCUCGGAGUUGGAAUAAACGCUUUGAUAGUGUGAUCAAAGCAUUUGGUUUUAUACAGACUUUUGGAGAAGCCUGUAUUUACAAGAAAGUGAGUGGGAGCUCAAUAGCAUUUCUGAUAUUAUAUGUGGAUGACAUAUUACUGAUUGGAAAUGAUAUUGAAUUUCUGGAUAGCAUAAAGGGAUACUUGAAUAAGAGUUUUUCAAUGAAAGACCUCGGUGAAGAUGCAUAUAUAUUAGGCAUUAAGAUCUAUAGAGAUAGAUCAAGGCGCUUAAUUGGACUUUCACAAAGCACAUACCUUGACAAAGUUUUGAAGAAGUUCAAAAUGGAUCAAGCAAAGAAAGGGUUCUUGCCUGUACUACAAGGUGUGAGAUUGAGUAAGACUCAAUGCCCGACCACUGCAGAAGAUAGAGAGAAGAUGAAAGAUGUUCCCUAUGCUUCAGCCAUAGGCUCUAUCAUGUAUGCAAUGCUGUGUACCAGACCUGAUGUGUCCCUGGCUAUAAGUUUAGCAGGGAGGUACCAAAGUAAUCCAGGAGUGGAUCACUGGACAGCGGUCAAGAACAUCCUGAAAUACCUGAAAAGGACUAAGGAUAUGUUUCUCGUAUAUGGAGGUGACAAAGAGCUCAUCGUAAAUGGUUACGUUGAUGCAAGCUUUGACACUGAUCCGGACGAUUCGAAAUCGCAAACCGGAUACGUAUUUACAUUGAACGGUGGACCUGUCAGUUGGUGCAGUUCCAAGCAAAGUGUCGUGGCGGGAUCUACGUGUGAAGCGGAAUACAUAGCUGCUUCGGAAGCAGCGAAUGAAGGAGUCUGGAUGAAGGAGUUCAUAACCGAUCUAGGUGUCAUACCUAGUACAUCGGGACCAAUGAAAAUCUUUUGUGAUAAUACUGGUGCAAUUGCCUUAGCAAAGGAAUCCAGAUUUCACAAGAGAACCAAGCACAUCAGAAGACGCUUCAAUUCCAUCCGGGAUUUAGUCCAGGUGGGAGACAUAGAAAUUUGCAAGAUACAUACGGAUCUGAAUGUAGCAGAUCCGUUGACUAAGCCUCUUCCACGAGCAAAACAUGAUCAGCACCAAGACUCCAUGGGUGUAAGAAUCAUUACUAUGUAAUCUAGAUUAUUGACUCUAGUGCAAGUGGGAGACUGAAGGAAAUAUGCCCUAGAGGCAAUAAUAAAGUAUUAUAUAUUUCCUUGUAUCAUGAUAAAUGUUUAUUAUUCAUGCUAGAAUUGUAUUAGCCGGAAACAUAAUACAUGUGUGAAUACAUAGACAAACAAAGUGUCACUAGUAUGCCUCUACUUGACUAGCUCGUUAAUCAAAGAUGGUUAUGUUUCCUAGCCAUAGACAUGAGUUGUUAUUUGAUUAACGGGAUCACCUCAUUAGGAGAAUGACGUGAUUGACAUGACCCAUUACGUUAGCUUAGCACCCGAUCGUUUAGUAUGUUGCUAUUGCUUUCUUCAUGACUUAUACAUGUUCCUAAGACUAUGAGAUUAUGCAACUCCCGUUUAUCGGAGGAACACUUUGUGUGCUACCAAACGUCACAACGUAACUGGGUGAUUAUAAAGGUGCUCUACAGGUGUCUCCAAAGGUACUUGUCGGGUUGGCGUAUUUCGAGAAUAGGAUUUGUCACUCCGAUUGUCGGAGAGGUAUCUCUGGGCCCACUCGGUAAUGCACAUCACUAUAAGCCUUGCAAGCAUUGUGACUAAUAAGUUAGUUGCGGGAUGAUGUAUUACGGAACGAGUAAAGAGACUUACCGGUAACGAGAUUGAACUAGGUAUCGAGAUACCGACGAUCGAAUCUCGGGCAAGUAACAUACCGAUGACAAAGGGAACAACGUAUGUUGUUAUGCGGUCUGACCGAUAAAGAUCUUCGUAGAAUAUGUGGGAGCCAAUAUGGGCAUCCAGGUCCCGCUAUUGGUUAUUGACCGGAGAGGUGUCUCGGUCAUGUCUACAUUGUUCUCGAACCCAAAGGGUCAGCACGCUUAAAGUUACGAUGACAGUUAUAUUAUGAGUUUAUGUGAUUUGAUGUACCGAAGGUUGUUCGGAGUCCCGGAUGUGAUCACGGACAUGAAGAGGAGUCUCGAAAUGGUCGAGACGUAAAGAUUGAUAUAUUGGACGACUAUAUUCAGACACCGGAAGUGUUCCGGAGAAGUUUCGGAUUAAACCGGAGUGCCGGAGGGUUACCGGAACCCCCCGGGGAAGUAUUGGGCCUUAGUGGGCCUUGAGGGGAGAAAGAGGGCAGCAGCCAUGAGGUGGUGCGCCCCCUCCCAGAGGAGUCCUAGUUGGACUAGGAGAGGGGGGCGCAGCCCCCUUUCCCUCUCCCUCUCCCUCUCUUUCCUUCCCCCCUUCUUUUCCUAGUAGGACUAGGAAAGGGGAGUCCUACUCCUACUAGGAGGAGGACUCCCCCCUCUCCUUGGCACGCCCCAUAGGCAGCCAGCCUCCCCUUGCUCCUUUAUAUACGGGGGCAGGGAGGCACCUAAGAACACACUUGAUAUACGAUAUUUUAGCCGUGUGCGGUGCCCCCCUCCACCAGAUUACACCUCGAUAAUACCGUCGCGAAGCUUAGGCGAAGCCCUGCGUCGGUGGAACAUCAUCAUCGUCACCACGCCGUCGUGCUGACGAAACUCUCCCUCAACACUUGGCUGGAUCGGAGUUCGAGGGACGUCAUCGAGCUGAACGUGUGUAGAACUUCGGAGGUGCCGUACGUUCGGUACUUGAUCGGUCGGAUCGUGAAGACGUUCGACUACAUCAACCGCAUUGUGAUAACGCUUCCGCUGUCGGUCUACGAGGGUACGUGGACAACACUCUCCCCUCUCGUUGCUAUGCAUCACCAUGAUCUUGCGUGUGCGUAGGAAUUUUUUCGAAAUUACUACGUUCCCCAACAGAAACCUACAUCACCAGCGUAUGAUGCGGUUGAUCGGCCACCUCGUGGCCGAGACAGAGAGGCAUAUCAGCCCGAAGUCCAGCCCGCACCCCGCCGCCAUUCAAACAAAAAUACCAAGGCCCGGGGCAACACACGGGACCUGUGAGACGUAUUGGAAAACAAAACAAAACAUGCAAGAUCGAUCUACGGAUCACGGGGUCGCGCCCCAACACGUGAUGAUGGUCGUCACGCCGGAUACACUAAAAGCAAAUCCGGCUGGCCGAAUACAGCAGACAAGACUCGUAUGAACUGCGUCGUGAUAUAGCCCGGCACAGAGGAGCCGCACACCCCUUAUGCUUCACUAAUGAAGUAAUGGAUCACGAAUUCCCAGAGGGUUUUAAACCCGUAAACAUUGAAUCAUAUGAUGGUACAACAGAUCCCGCGGUAUGGAUCGAGGAUUUCCUCCUCCACAUCCACAUGGCUCGCGGUGAUGAUCUACCUGCCAUCAAGUACCUCCCACUAAAACUCAGAGGACCAGCUCGGCAUUGGCUGAAUAGCUUGCCUGCAGACUCCAUUGGCAGUUGGGAGGAUUUGGAAGAUGCAUUCCUUGACAACUUCCAGGGCACUUAUGUGCGACCACCGAAUGCUGAUGACUUGAGCCAUAUAACUCAGCAGCUAGGGGAAUCGGCCAGGCAAUUCUGGACCCGGUUCCUAACUAAGAAAAACCAUAUUGUCGACUGUCCGGAUGCAGAGGCCUUAGCGGAAUUUAAGCAUAACAUCCGUGACGAGUGGCUUGCCCGGCACCUCGGCCCAGAGAAGCCGAAGUCUAUGGCAGCCCUCACGACGCUCAUGACCCGCUUUUGCGUGGGCGAAGACACCUGGCUGGCUCGCAGCAACAACACAUCAAGAAGUCAUGGCACUUCAGAUACAAAGGAUACUAAUGGCAGACCACGUCGUAACAGACACAGGCGCCACAACAACGGCGACGCCGAAGACACGACAGUCAAUGCCGGAUUCAGCGGCUUUAUAUCCGGACAGCGGAAAAAGCCGUUCAAAAGAAGUAAUCCGGGCCCGUCCAGUUUGGACCGGAUACUCGAUCGCUCGUGUCAAAUUCACGGCACCCCCGAUAAGCCAACCAAUCACACCAACAGAGAAUGCUGGGUGUUCAAGCAUGCCGGAAAAUUGAACACCGAAAACAAGGACAAGGGGCUGCAUAGCGACGACGAGGAGGAGCCUCGGCCGCCGAACACAGGAUGACAGAAGAGGUUCCCUCCACAAGUGAAAACGGUGAACAUGAUAUACGCAACCCACAUUCCCAAGAGGGAACGGAAGCGUGCACUAAGGGACGUCUAUGCGAUGGAGCCAGUCGCCCCAAAGUUCAACCCAUGGUCCUCUUGUCGGAUCACCUUCGAUCGCAGGGACCACCCCACUAGUAUCCGUCAUGGCGGAUCUGCCGCAUUGGUCCUUGACCCCAUCAUCGAUGGAUUUCACCUCACUCGAGUCCUUAUGGACGGCGGCAGCAGCCUGAACCUGCUCUAUCAGGAUACAGUGCGCAAAAUGGGUAUAGACCCCUCGAGGAUCAAACCCACUAAAACCACCUUUAAAGGUGUCAUCCCAGGUGUAGAGGCCCAUUGCAUGGGCUCAAUCACACUGGAAGUGGUCUUCGGUUCUCCGGACAACUUCCGAAGCGAGGAGUUAAUCUUUGAUAUCGUCCCGUUUCGUAGUGGCUAUCACGCACUGCUUGGGCGAACUGCAUUUGCCAGAUUCAAUGCGGUACCGCAUUAUGCAUACCUCAAGCUCAAAAUGUCAGGACCUCGCGGGGUUAUAACAGUCAAUGGCAACACAGAACGCUCGCUUCGCACGGAGGAACACACUGCGGCCCUCGCAGCAGAAGCACAAAGCAGCCUUUUAAGGCAAACCGUCAAUUCGGCGAUAAAGCCCCCAGACACCUUCAAGUGAGUCCGGAGUAACCUGCAAAAGGAUCGCCUGGCACGUUCAGAGCUCGCCUAGCAAUUCGGCCCCCGUCCUAGUCCCAGUCAAGCGACGAAAUCUGUGCCGCGCGUACAUAAUUACGCACUAAAAAUACCAUGGGCAUUGGCGGGGGCACGGCCAGGGCACGUCCCACAAUGCGGCUCAACCGCCCCAGGGGCUGUAUACCUUUAUCAUUUUCUCUCAUUCAGGACCUUACUCUCUGGAAGCCCUUUUCGGCAGUCUGAUUGCUGGACACAUUACGGGAAGGAAAAACCAAGGAGGCAAGAAGCUAAGACGUACAAGGGAAUCCCCAGGUGGUCUCUGAUAACAAUCGAAGUACCCGUUUUAAAUACCCAUAUGCAGCUUGCCCUUGGAUAGGACAUGCCAAAUAGUCCUAUUUUUUGCUUAUUGCACUACUUGUAUCAGUACGCUUCGACGUAUUAUUUAAAUAACAAUGCAUAGCAUUAGUCUAUUAUUGCAUUACCCUUCCCUUUUUCCUUGUCUAUUUAUUUACGACAAAUUACACCCGUACGUUCUGGUACGACCAGCAUGCCAGGGGCUUCAGUAUACCCCAUAAUACGGCGUGAGAAGUCCGAACACUUUCGACAGUGCGGCACCCCGAACUUAUAGCAUUAUAUGCAUCAGCUCCGAAUCAUGUCUUGGGUCAAUAGUUGGGUUUGCCCAGCUCCCAUGUUUUGGUACCUUACAUUCCGCAAUAUCGGCUAAGGUAGCACUGGGAGAACUACUGUGAUUGUGUCCCAGUUCUUCCGGACGAGCACCUCAGUAGAGAAAGCCGAAAACUGACUGUCAUGAUAAGGCGAGAGCUGGUCGCUAUUCGAGAGGUAUCAAGUCCUUAAAGACUUUUUCCGCUUUGGGCGAGGAGACGGCCUUGCCCGACUUAGGCGUAUAUAGCGCCCCAAAUUCGGCCUUCCGAAUACUAGGGGCUUCGCCAAAAUUUAAAUUUGUAGACUUCUAUGGCUAAGUGAGAGUGAUAAAGCCUUAUAGUCCGAUUGCCUGGUUCGUUAUGCUGAACACCUCCCUCGAAGGACCCAAAAUUGGGAUAUAGAGUGCUCAGGUUUAUCCCGAACACCUCAGUACUAGUUACAUGGGGGCAGAAGCCGACGACUGGCCAACUCUCAGAUUUUAUAAACGCCCGCACAGAAGGUAAUAUUUUAAAUUCACAAGCGUUGCAUAGCGCAAAUGAACUCGUUUCAUAUUACAGGAUCACAUGAGUACAUUCAUUCGAAUAUUACAUCCUUAGCACAUUCCUCCGCCACAAGGCGAGAACCCUUCAGGACACUGUUAUAAUACAUUUCGGGGUGGCGAUGCUCCUUGCCUUCCGGCAGCCCCUCCUUCACCAGCUUCUCGGUAUCCAGCUUCGCCCAGUGCACCUUUGCCCGGGCAAAAGCCCUGCGCGCACCCUCGAUGCAGAUGGACCGCUUUAUGACUUCAAGCCGUGGGCAGGCAUUCACAAGCCGCCUCACCAGGCCGAAGUAGCUAUCAGGCAGGGGAUCGCCAGGCCACAUCCGGACUAUAAGACCCUUCAUGGCCUGUUCGGCCGCCUUGUGGAGCUCGACCAGUUGCUUCAGCUGGUCGCUCAAGGGCAUGGGGUGUUCGGUCCCAGUAUACUGAGACCAGAACAACUUCUCCAUCGAGCUCCCCUCCUCGGCCCGGUAGAACUCCGCGGCAUCUGACACACUGCGGGGUAGAUCUGCGAACGCUCCUGGAGAGCUCCGAACUCGGGUAAGUAAAAAGAAAGUUUCCUUCACAUGCUUGAUUUGCAUAAUGAAUGCCUUACCCGCCGCUAUCUUCUUAACUGCCUCAAUCUCCUGGAGGGCCUUUUGGGCUUCGGCCUUGGCAUGUUGUGCGCUUUCAAGGGCUUUCGCAAGCUUGGACCCUUGUGUCUUAGAGUCAAGCUCCAAGGAAUCGUGUUUUUUGGCGAGAGCCUGGAGCUCUUGCUGCACCUCACCUACUCGGGCUUCUUGCUUUUCUCGCUCGAUUCGCUCCUUGGCCGCUUUGUCUUCGGCCUCGGAUAGCGCCUUCUGCAGGGAUGCCACUUCGGUCGUGGCCCCUAGCAACACUCAUGACGAUCCUAUCAUUCUAAAACCAAAUUUUUUAUAAUAUACAGACGGGGUAUCACUUACCUUUGUUCUCUUCGAGCUGCCUCUUGGCAAGGCCGAGCUCUUCCUUGGACCGCUCAAGGUCACGCUUCAGUGCGGCGACCUCCGCAGUACGUGCAGUAGCGGCUAGCAGUGAAGCCUGCAUAUGCACAUAGACAUAUUUCGAUUAGACUCCUGCGAUUAUUAUUUGAUCCUCUAUUCGUCCUUUCUUCGCGAACGCCAAACAGAGCAUCAGGGGCUACUGUCUAUGCGGUAACAUUCUCUUAUAAUCUGGUUACUUACCUCAAAGCCUGUUAGGAGGCUGACACAGGCUUCAGACAGUCCGCUCUUGGCGGACUGAACCUUCUUGACCACCGCACUCAUAAUGGUGCGGUGCUCUUCAUCAAUGGAAGUGCCACGAAGCACUUCCAGCAAGUUGUCUGAUGCCUCUGGAUGAACAGAGGCCGUCGGCACAGACGGCUGGCCCCCCUUAGUGAGGGGCUGCUGGACAGAAUCCGGAACCACUGGAGGUUCCGGCGCCGUAUUCGGCUUGGGGCUAGACUUGCAGCCCCCGGCGUUGGGGCCUAGGGGAGUCUUGCCCCUCUUACGCCCAGCACCUGGAAUGUUGCCUUGGGGCACCUUCGGAACUGUCCCCCCUUGGUUCUGUUCCCUUUGAGACAACACCUCGUCAUCGUCCGUGGGGCAGGGGAGGAGGCGGUCGGGAGCGAAUCGCUGUUCAUCUCCGACUCGCCCAACGACUCCUCCGAAGAGGAUACGCCGAUAUGAGCUUUGGAGGGGUUGUGUCAUCAUGUUCGGCAUGAUAAGAAGCAACCAAACAAGACAUACCAGAAUUACGAUGGUAUCCGGAUACUUACGACUUCGCCAGGGGCUUAUCCCUGGGCAGCCACUCGUCGUCGCUGUGGGUGGCGGUUGUGGAGUUGUCCGGAAGGAGGGUCCUUCCCUUCUUGGACCCUUCGGCCACCCCGGCCGGGGCGGCCUUCCUUUUCCUGUCUCCCCCGGCUGGGGGGGGGGGAGAAGUUUCCUCUUCCUCCUCCUCGUUUUCGUGGGAGGAGUGCGCCUUGGUGCUUUCGGACGAUGAGUCCGUUAUAACCUUGCGCCGGAGACCAUUCCUGGUCCCCGUGGCCUUCUUCUUGGCCUUCUUCUCCGGCACCUCAUAAGGUGCAGGAACCAGCAUCUCCGUUAGGAGAGCAUCUGCUGGAUCUUCGGGCAGGGGAGCUGGACAAUCGAUCUGCUCCGCUGUCGCUACCCAGUCCUGUUAAAUGGCGUGAAGGCUUAGAUCCCGCGCAUGGUUAUACUGGGGAAAUGAACAUCUUAUAAGAUAUAAAAGACUUACCGGAUUAGCAGGGCGCUUUGCGCUGAGUCCGCGGUCCUCGGUAAGGGGAGGAGGUACCUCGGCGCCCUUGAACAACACCUUCCAGACGUCCUUGUGCGUCGUGUCGAAGAGCUCUCGCAGCGUCUGGUGCUCAGCCGGGUCGAACUCCCACAAAUUGAAUGCCCGUCUUUGACACGGGAGGAUCCGGCGGAAGAGCAUGACUUGGACCACGUUGACGAGCUUGAUUUUCUUGCUCAUCAUGUUUUUGAUGCAUGUUUGGAGUCUGGUCAGCUCUACCGGGGAACCCCAGGAUAGGCCCUACUCUUUCCAGGAGGUGAGCCGCAUGGGGAUUCCAGAUCAAAAUUUGGGGGCUGCCACCCAGUUGGUGUCGCGUGGCUCGGAGAUGUAGAACCACCCCGAUUGCCACCCCUUUAUGGUCUCCACAUAGGAGCCUUCGGGCCAGGUGACGUUGGGCAUUUUGCCCACCAUGGCGCCUCCGCACUCUGCUUGCUGGCCGACCACCACCUUCGGUUUAACAUUGAAGGUCUUCAGCCACAGGCCGAAGUGGGGCUUGAUGCGGAGGAAGGCCUCGCACACGACAAUGAACGCCGAAAUGUUGAGGAUGAAAUUGGGGGCCAGAUCGUGAAAGUCCAGCCCAUAGUAGAACAUGAGCCCGCGGACAGACGGGUGGAGGGGAAAUCCCAGUCCGCGGAUGAAGUGGGAAAGGAAAACCACCCUCUCAUGGGGUUCUGGAGUAGGAAUGAUCUACCCCGCAUCUGGCAGCCGGUGCGCGAUAUCCGCGGCCAGAUAUCCGGGUCCCCGCAGCUUUGUGAUGUUCUCCUCCGUAACGGAGGAGACCAUCCACUUGCCUCCCGCUCCGGACAUGCUUGGAGUGAUUUGAGGAGAAAAACGCGAACUUGGGCGCUGGAGCUUGAGUGCGCAAGAAUGGAUGAGCAAGGAGGAAGAAGGCAUGGGUGAAAAGGGUGAAUCUUUGUCCCUUUAUAAGGGCGGAAGAAGCUAUGCGCCUCCCCACCUACCUGGUAAACUCGCUUAUUCCCCAAGCGUCGUAAUUGAUGGCGCGGUUGGGUUACCCAUACCCGUAUUGAUGAGAAUCCUGUGAUAAGGGGACACGAUCUCUGCUUCGACAAGACGUGCCAAGGAAACCGCCUCGCAAUAUGUGCGGUGGCUGGUUGUGAAAAACGGUUCGAAUAAUGACCGGGCCGUGGUGUGAUGUCAUGCUGCAAAAUGCAUCAGCAGAUUAGAUUUGUGGAAAUAUUAUUCUCUCUACGAUGGUAUGUGGAAUUUGUUUUGCAGAGCCGGACACUAUCCUUGUGUUCAAAAUCUUGUAUGGAGUAUUCCGAGGAGGAACCUGCCUUGCAAUGCCGAAGACAAUCUGCGCGCCGGAGUCAUCGUCAUUGAAGCCUGGUUCAGGGGCUACUGAGGGAGUCCUGGAUUAGGGGGUCCUCGGACAGCCGGACUAUAUCCUUUGGCCGGAUUGUUGGACUAUGAAGAUACAAGAUUGAAGACUUCCUCCCAUGUCCGGAUGGGACUCUCCUUGGCGUGGAAGGCAAGCUUGGCAAUACCGAAAUGUAGAUCUCCUCCCUUGUAACCGACUCUGUGUAACCCUAGCCCCCUCCGGUGUCUAUAUAAACCGGAGGGUUUUAGUCCGUAGGACAACAACAAUCAUACCAUAGGCUAGCUUCUAGGGUUUAGCCUCUACGAUCUCGUGGUAGAUCAACUCUUGUAAUACUCAUAUCAUCCAGAUAAAUCAAGCAGGAAGUAGGGUAUUACCUCCAUCGAGAGGGCCCGAACCUGGGUAAACAUUGUGUCCCCCGCCUCCUGUUACCAUCCGCCUUAGACGCACAGUUCGGGACCCCUACCCGAGAUCCGCCGGUUUUGACACCGACAAUAGUGCCCAAAGCUGGAUAAUCAUGGAUGCACCAAAUUAUAACAGCACGCAGAAAGAAAUCAGCUGGUGGGCUGCUAUAUAGGUCUCGAGUGAGAACACCCCUCCAUAGCUGUUGAAGUUCCUCCACAAGAGGCUCCAUGAACAAAUCAAAAUCCUUUCCAGGACUUUUUGGACCUGGGAUGAGCAAGGCCAUCAUGUAGUUUGAUUCUUCGGUGAAGACAUUUGGAGGCAUGUUGUAAGGGAUAACAAGCACUGGCCACAUGCUAUAUGUGGUGCUCUGGUGGCCAAAUGGGUUAAAUCCAUCUGAAGCUAAGCCAAGUCUAAUGUUUCUCGGGUUAGCAGCAAACUUUUCAUGUUUCUGAUUGAAGCUUUUCCACUCACUACCAUGUGAUGGAUGGCUUAUUACAUUCUGAUCUCUAUACUCCUGGUUCCUAGAAUGCCACAGUACAUCCUCUCUUGUUUCAGCAUCAUGAAACAACCUCUGCAAUCUUGGUGUAAUUGGAAAAUGUCUCUGAACAUUAUGAGGAAUCCUCUCCACAGCAUCGCCAUCUUUCCAUCUUGAUGAUUUGCAUUUCGGGCAUUCACUUAAGUUGGCAUAAUCCUUCUAGAACAGAACACAAUUAUUCUUACAAACAUGGAUCAUAUCAUAUCCAAUUCCAAUUGCACGAAGGAAAUUCUUCAUUUUAUUGUAGGUGUGUGGCAGCUCAGACGCAUCUAGGAAAGCUUUGCUGAAAGCAGCCAACAUUGCAUCGAAUGAUUUGUUGGUCAUCCGCUCAGAUGUCUUCACCUGAAGAAAUGUGACCAUAGCUGAGAAUACUGACAGCUUAUUUCCUGGGGUGACAGCCACGUUGCAUUGUUCCAACAUGCGGGCCCACCAUUUUUCUUCUGCAGGUGAAAGUUCACGGAAUGCACGAGCAUUUCGUAGCAUUGUUUCAAUGUUGGUCAAACUCACUGGCUCCGCCACCACCUCCUCCUCCUCCUCCUCCUCUUCCACCUGAGCAUCAGGCAGAUCAAGAUGGUGAUCUGCUGCUUCCACGUAGUUAAUAACAUUGACGUUCACAGCUUCACCAUGAUGAACCCACCUAGUAUAUGUGACUGACAUCCCAUACAAGUGUAGAUGAUUUUGCACAGUUGACUGGGGUCUUGUAACUGAAUUCAUACAACUGCUACACGGGCAGAGCACAUCUGAUUUCGGACCACCGUACUCAGCUCUGAUAAAGUUCAUGAAGUUUUCAACCCCCUCGACAUAUGCAGCGGAGAAUCUUCGAGCAGAAGUUAUCCAAGUCCUGUCCAUCUGUUAGACAUACAUAUUAGUUCUUCUACUAGAUAUUACAGGAAAAACAUAUAUGCUUUUUUAUGAAGUCUAGAAGAAAAUACCGAGGUCGAUGUCUAAAGCUAUGGUAAAAUAUUUGGACGAUCAGAUCUAAGUAACGAAAUAUAUGUAAAGAUAAUUCAGCAAACAGAUUUGAGUGCUAAAUUAUGGCAGGCUGUUUCAGUAGUCAAUGAGGCCGAGCACACAGCCAUCAAACUAUUGAAGGCCAUCGCAGCAACAAAGAUCGAGUAUAAAACGGUGUAGAGCUAUUUCACCUAACAGAUUGGCUACUAGACCAUGGCAAUCUACGUCACAAUAAAUAUAUGGCAGGAUAUUUUAGCAACUAAUCGGCCUUGGCAUGCCAUCUCAGCUAAGCAGAUUGAGUGCAGAACAGGGCAAGGAAGCUUCUUAAGCAGAGCAUAUUGACUGUAAACUACUUCGGCAAACAGUGAGAUUAACAGCGUCUAUCAGCUAACAUUCAGCGCUACACCGACAUGCACGGGGCCUCAGUCUAGAAUGCGCGUACCGUGGGAGAAGCUGACCGCCGUGCGUCUCCACACGAACGUCGCCAGCGGUGGCGGCGCUGACCGCCGUGCGCCUCCAAGAGAACGUCGCCAGCGGUGGCGGCGUGGCUAGAGGACGACAGUCUACGAGAGCGUACUGUGGGAGCGAGAGGAUCUCCGUGUGUCCCCUCGACGAACCGCGGCGCCGACAUAUCGGCGCGGUGGGAAGGCGGCUUUAGCAGAGCGAAUGGAGUGGAGGGGNNNNNNNNNNNNNNNNNNNNNNNNNNNNNNNNNNNNNNNNNNNNNNNNNNNNNNNNNNNNNNNNNNNNNNNNNNNNNNNNNNNNNNNNNNNNNNNNNNNNNNNNNNNNNNNNNNNNNNNNNNNNNNNNNNNNNNNNNNNNNNNNNNNNNNNNNNNNNNNNNNNNNNNNNNNNNNNNNNNNNNNNNNNNNNNNNNNNNNNNNNNNNNNNNNNNNNNNNNNNNNNNNNNNNNNNNNNNNNNNNNNNNNNNNNNNNNNNNNNNNNNNNNNNNNNNNNNNNNNNNNNNNNNNNNNNNNNNNNNNNNNNNNNNNNNNNNNNNNNNNNNNNNNNNNNNNNNNNNNNNNNNNNNNNNNNNNNNNNNNNCGGUUGAAUCUAGGAUUUGGUGGGGAAUUUUUGGGUGGGGGGGGAGGAUUUUCGCACGGUGGGCGGGGGGAGUUUAGCGAAUGGUCGGUUUCUCCAAGUGCAGUCCCACGUGUCAGUGAAGAGGCAAGCCGAAGCGCGUUCUGUGUGCGUGAGCCGUGUGUAGGACCGAACGUGUGUGGAGUGCAAUGCGACCGCGACAGGGGUGCUGUGAGUGUAUCGCCUUUUUCCCUUUUAAACUAGGUGCUUUGCCCCCUCAAAAAAAACUUGUUGCUUCGCGCGAUCCAUCGAUACUACUACUAGUAAUCCGGUAAUCCCGACUAAAACGGCGCGGCCGGGUCUUUUCCCGCGCGAUAUGCUGGGAGGUUGGCUUAGUUUGGUUUUUUAGGACGAGUAAUGCUACACCUACGUAAUCCCAGUUACAUAAUGAACAUAAUGUGAAACGUGUGAGCUGUUGAUUGUAGAUUGGGGGAGAGAGGGGCCCACCACCAUGAAAAUCAGGGGAGGAGAGAGAGAUAGGCAAUUUACGUUAACCCUUUCGUAGGUUCCCAUAGAUGUAGAAAGAUGUGAAAUGCGUGAAUGUGCAUUUGCAGAUAAGGCCUUCCCUCGUUCAUCCUUUUCUCCCACAAGAUCUUGAUCUUCCGUGCAACGCACGGGCAUCUUGCUAGUACUCCUACAAUAUACUAUAUUAUUGUGAAAGUUCAUAUAUACCGGCCGAGAUUAAUGCAAACACGACAGAUUUUCAUUACAUUUCAAACUUUUAUAGGACAGAAAAAUAAAAGAAACCCGACCCUAAACCUAUUCUACGGCGGCGACCGACGUCCUCCAUCUGCGAUCUCCAUGUACGGGGGCGGGGUUCAAGACCCGUGAAGUGAAGGUGCGGUCUCCGGCGAGGAAAAGUAGAACACGGGAGACGGACCGGCCAGUUGGCACACCAUGCCCUGCCGCCUCUCAUGCCCUACUCAUCCUCGGAGGAGUCCCCGACCUCGGCGGUGCCGGACAUUGGACGACGGCAAGUAGGAUGCGUGGCUGAUGGUGCUCCCGUCGUCGGCCGCCAGUGUGGCCACCGCUUGUGCGGUCGCGUCCGCGUCCGGCUAUGCCACUAUUGCGUCGCGAGAGGCGACUUGAGCGAGGGCGGCGACCUCGAGCUUCAUCCCUGAAGACAAGCUCUCCCGCAGAGCGUUCGCGCUUGCGGUCAUGGCGGAUGUGGUGCUAGGUAGGAGGACGAUGCGCUAUGGUGUGGAGGUUAGCUGGGCGUUGCCGCUUUAAGUAGCGCAUUCCGGUGAGGCCAGGCGUCCUGGUGCGUCAUUAAGUCGCCGGAGUUGGUUCCUCGGGCACCGAGCCUCUUAAUGACAGCAUACGGAUGGACGGCAUGAAUGCGGGCAGCUGGCGCCGACUGGGAACGCACCGCGCGACGGCGCGAGGGACGAGGGUUUUUGGUGUGCCAGGGUAGUCAGCUGCGGUCGUGGCAACGUUGGAGAUGCCCUUUGCUCACAUGCGAUCGACGCAUGUCAUUGAAAAAGCAAGACGACCCGGCUUGGUCUCAGGUCCUGAGGAUGCAGUUGGCCGCGCUAGACCACUCCGCGGACGCGUCCUGGCGCCCCGUGCAUCCUCGACGAGCCGGGUGUUGGGGUGUGUUUGGAUUGUGGCCAAAGUGCACUUUACCAAAAUUUUGGUCAUGACCCAAAGAUUGGUCUUUGUUUGGAUGGUUGCCAUUUUUUUGGCAUGCCAAUGAACUCUAGCCAACUCUAGUUCAUUUUUCUUGCCAAUGUCGGCCAAAUCAUGGCCAACCAAAACCUCAACCAAAAUUUUGGCUACCCAAUACUUUGAUGGGGCAACCUUGGGCACAAACCAAACAUACUGUUGGUCGUGCCAUAGCACUAACGCCACCCUCGGCACACUGAAACUGACCGUGUCUAGCGACGAUGAGCGUGUCGCUCACGGCGGUCGCUGUGUCCAGAGGCGGUGUUGGAGCUGCGCCACGUUGUUGGCCCCCACGACCCACAUGAACGGUUGCCGGUGGCGAGGAGGUCGUGGGCCAGCUCCUCCAUUGGACUAGUCUGUGCUACGUUGUCCCGACAGGUGUGCCCCACAUGUCGGUUUCCCUGUUUUCCCGGCCAUAUUCGAGCGUCAGUGCUCCGUGUUGCGCAUUAGGCCUUUCGCUAUGUAGGCCAAGCAAGACAACUUAUUGUUUAUUUGAGCCAUUCAAGUAUAAUCAUGUGGCGUUUGCUUAUUUCUCAUUCCUCUCCAACCCUCUUCUCCAUUGAUCAUGUCGCCCUCCGGUCGAGUCCAUCCUCCCGCAUGCCUCAUUUGAACAUUCUGCCGAGUAUCAUUCGCAUGUGGGCCUAGACCAUGCUUGUAUUUCCAAUGUUUUGUAAUUUGUCUGACAUGCAUACAAACAAACGGUUCGUUUAAAGUUUCACUUUGCCUCCACUACGUGUCGCUUCGCGUCUUAGUUUUGACAUCCCAUUUGGUUCAUGCCCCGACACAUGUUGACGAGAUCGAUUGAUGUUUAGAGAUCAAUUGCGUAUCGUGCAAGGAGAUAAAGGUUAGGUCUGUUUCUAUGAUAGAAAUGACCCGCGGGGGGGGGGGUCUGUGGGGAUCAACGGGAGUAUAUUGUACGUUCAUAAGCGAAACAAAUGUAUUGUACCCACCCUAGUCCUCUUUUACGUAUUGUACCCACCCUAGUCCUCUUUUAAUCGAUCUCCGGACCCCGAGAUGAAAUCGAGAGAGAACGAGUGGGGGUAUGUGUGAUACCUAAGGCAGAUUCAAAAUUUUGAACCGGUGAUCAUAGCAUCCACAAAUCAUAUACAAAGGGUAUUCAAUGUUCGUUUCGUUUUUGAACGUACAAUAUACUCCCUCCUAUCAUUUCUAGUUUACAUAUAAGUUUUAUGUGUAGUCAAAGUAUCUCUACUUUGAUAAAAAUAAGUAUCAACAUUCAACAACGCCCAAUCAAUAUUGUUAGAUUCGUACGUACUCCUAGAUUUGUACUCGAGAUGGUUUCCAAUUUGUUUUCAACCACGUGAAUGUGCUUGUUCUCGCGCAUGGUCUUCCUACUAGGAUUUCGCCACGUAUAGCUAGUCCAAUAGUAACUUUUUUGAAGCUCCCUGUCCAAUAGUACUAGUGGAGUACUGACAACAUCUGUAUUAGAGUAUGCAGUGCUCAUAGUAGUACUCCCUCCUUCCAUUUAUAUAGGGCCUAUGUGGAGGAGAGAGAUGUGAAAAAGUAAGGGGAGUGAGCUCUCAUGCAAGAGCCUAGCUAUAUAAGCAUUCCUAGUUAAAUACAAUAAAUAUGAAGAAAGAGAUGGAGAGGAGAUGGAAAGAAGUACUAAUACAAUAGCCAACCUUAUAGAUUUUUUUGCGGGAAAUAGCCAACCUUAUAGCCCACACUACUAUAUGAGUGCAUAUAAUAGAUGAUGGCUAUAGAUGACAUGGCAGUUCCUUAUAUCCAUCGACUGGCUAUAUUAUUAACCAUGCUCUAAUGCGUUUUUCAAAACCGCAUUUGACUAUUGACAAGAUUAAUAGUACAUGAGAUGUAUAAUGUGAAAAUUAUAUCAUUGGAAGCUCCUUUCACAUACGAAUUUGACCGUAUGCUUUGUGUAAGUUGCAUGUCAUAUAUUAUUACUCUAACAUUUGGUCAAAGUUAGCCUCGAAAAACGCAUUAGGCCCUGUAUAGUAAAUGGAAGGAGGGAGUAGUAGUGGAAGUGGAUCCUCUGACAUAGGUAUCCCUUCCUUACCCUCCCUUUCGGUCACUUACUUGCGGAACCCAUGCUUACUAGGCCCCGCAUGUUAGUUACUCAAUGGGUUCGGCCACGUCAGGGGAUCCUCAUCCAUAGUAUACUCCCUCUGUUUUUAUUUACUCCGCAUAAAACGGAGGGAGUGGUAGUAUAAAUGAUGCGGGCGGGGGAGGGGGAGGGACAUUGGUUUGCUCUCAACUGCGGUCCCACAAGCGAGCGAAAACGCAAGACGAAGCGCGUUCCAUUCGGUGAGCGACGUGGAGGGUCCAGCGUGCCGGGCUGCAACGCGAACGCGACAAGAGCGAUGUACAGUCAAAACCGAUUGACCGGUCGUCACCGGAACCACUAUUCAAACCAGAACCUUCGCUGCUCGGCCUACGCCAACCACUGCCCUAAAACCACACCUAAUCUCCAGCCCCUUCCCCCACCUUUCAAUCCCCUAGCCCGCGUCAAGCGUCCCCUAGUUCGCCGGAAAGCCAUGGUGUGCCGGAAGAUCACGUACUACAAGAUGCUGACGCUGGAGUGCCGCGCAGAAAUCGCGGUAACGGUCGGUGCCACAGACCUCCGUUCCCAAGCUCGCUUUGCGGCAGGCCAAUCCCCGAGUUCUCUGGAGCCAAGCUACGAGGAGGAGGAAGCCGAUCCAAUGUUCAUGGCGGAGGUCACAGCGCAGAAGGCCUCCGAUGGGUAUGAGACGAUGGACGUCGACUUCGUGCCGGCGUCCGAGUCCCCCAUGGUGCAGGCGGACCAGCGGUUCAACCUGGCGAUACUAAAGGAGGACCGCGAGGCAGAGGCUCAACUCGACGCAGAGCGCGCGCAUGCCGCUGCCAUCGAGGCUCUCCUGCAGGCGGAACCGGAUGUCGUGGAUGUGAACCGGGCGGCGGAGGCUCAACUUGAGGCGCAGCGCGCGGAUGCCGCUGCCAUCGAGGCCCUCCUGCAGGCGGAACCGGAUGUCCUGGACUUGAACCGGGCGGCAGAGGCUCAACUCGACGCGGAGCACGCGGAUGCCGCUCUCAUCGAGGCCCUCCUACGGGCGGAACCGGACGUCCUGGACUUGAACCGGGCGGCGGAGGCUCGACUCGACUCGGAGCGCGCGGAUGCCACUGCCAUCGAGACCCUCCUGCAGGUGGAACUGGACGUCCUCGACUUGAACCGGGCGGUGCUCUCGUCCGUGCAGAGCGCCCGCACGCUCCGCAUGAACGAGUAGCUGGAGGCCGAGGACAACCACGGGGCGGAGACACACGUCGGCAGCUAUGGCUGGUUCGCGCCGGCAGCCAAAGACGACGAGGCCGUCUCGUUCCGCGAGUAGUGAUAGUUUUUCUUUAUGUUGUUGUUUUUAUGGACUUUUGCUGUGUAAAAACAUAUAUUGUUAUGCAAGUUGCCUGACGUGGGUCAGUCUACCAUUUCAGGCAGUUGGAUGAAUAUCCUACGUCUCCUAACCCUUCUUCCUCACCUCUUCUUCUUCCCCAAUAGACCACUGCAGGGGCCGUACGGAUACUCCCCAACAUGCGGUUGGAUAAACAUACUCUAUGAACGAAAAUUAUGUGUCAGCGGUAGGAUGGCUGAAUUUGGUUUGUUCACAUGCGAUAGCACAUGUCAGUGAGGGUGCGUUCCCUUGGUGGGGUUUGCGGCGUGCAGGAGCGACUGUGUGAGGGUGCGGUGUGACCGCGGCGUGCAGGAGCGACCGUGUGAGGGUGCGGUGCGACCGCGACAGCCGUGCGCAAGUGUACCUCCUUUUCAUUUUGAAAACUUUAGGCAAGCUUGGCAAAAAUGUGUGGCGAAGUAUGGCAAUGCAAGGCCUAGACCCAAACAGGAUAAGUACGUACUAUGUACUAGGAGUACUAGUGUUAAAAAAGAAAGGCGGGGUUUUCCUUCACGGGAUUAAUCGAUACAAAUCCUCGUUUCACGUGUCAAUUAAUGCGUAUUUUUUCUCCAAAGCCCAAAGAGCUAACCAUCUCACUCAUCAUCACUUGAUUAAUGCAGCGCCAUGCAAACCAACCUUCUCACUUCCGCAUGCAUGCAGGGGAUAUUAAUGUCCUUGGUUGCUAGUACGAGGCAAACCCCAUCAAUUUUGCCUCGAUUAGUGUUAGUUGCCUUUUGCAAAUUGUUAUUUUGAUAUACUGGCCUUGUGUACAAAAAAAUGGAGGUAGUAUCUAUACUUGACUUCCUUCCACAUUGCGGUGACAUUGACCAUAUCUCGAACGUUGUGGUUUGGCGAAGUGCGUUCGACGGAGAACACCAUUGAGGGAGACCACAGUAAGUCGGUUGCAAGUGCCGCCUGCAAGCCGAGACAACCGCCUUAUUUGCAUCCAGGAAGUCCGCUGAACCAAAGGUCGCGUAAAUGUACUAGUACUACUCGUACACAAUAACGUCGUCCGUCCAGCUUAGUGCGGUGAGAUGGUUUCUCGAAGAAGACGAUGGAGAAGCUAUGACACCCCAAAAUUUUGACCUUGAUUUAUUAAUUAAAAUUUUGCCAGGAAAUUAAAAUUUUUAUUUUCUGGUUUUAUCUGUUAAUUUCAGAUAACUCUGUCCCUCUGAAUUUUUGAGUUUUUCCUUCUGGAUGGAAACCUUUCAAAAAUAUUGUUGGACUUGUAUAUCUUCCCAAGACCAUUUCUUUUAUCAGUGGAAUUAUUUCUACCAUUAUUUUUCCUGAACUUUAUUUCUUUAAAAAUGGUUUGUCAUAAGUUUUAGAGUUCCAUUUGCACUACAACCCUUUCAAAUACUUCUUUAAAAAUUCCACCAAACUUUGGGGAUGUCAUGUGAUGUUUCCACAUCACUUUUAUGCAAAAAUAUCUUUUGGUCAUUGGAGAUUUUGGGCUCUGCACCAAAUUUUCAAAUCUGGUCCAGUAGGUAAUUUUGCACUACAACCUAUUUAAAUAUUUCUUUAAAAAUUCUUCCAAGUGUUUGGAGAUGUCAGUAGAUGCUUAUAAUUCAACUUUAUGCAAAAAUCCAUGAGUGUCCUUUGAAAAAUUUGAGCAAAUUAUCCUCAUCUUCAUUCUGGUCCAGUUUAGUGUUUUGCACUGCAACCAUAUUUUAUCUUGCUCUUGUUGCCUUGGGAUUUGUCCUGCUGUUUGACCACUCUACCAAACCCUUAAGUCCAGGAGAUUGGACCCAUUGGAGUAUUUUUGGUCCAUGCAACAAUGCCCUUCACUUUCUGUCCAGAAUUGAAGUAUUGCAAAUCUUGCACUAACAAGUUUCUGGUUUUUCCCUAAUAGCCUUGCCAUCAUCACUUGCACCUAAAGAGACCCCAACCUGGAGAUUUGGGCCACCAGAAGAGGUGCUUAGAUGCCCAUAACAUUCUGCCGAGCACUUGGUGUGCAUAGCCAGAUUUGGCAUGAUUUUUGGUUUGCAUUGUGAGCUUGACCCUCUGACCCAACAGACUUGUCCACUAAGCUCCUACCUACCACUAACCUAGACCUGUUUACUACCAGCAUCAUUCGAGCUCUCUAACACACGUUGGCAUCUCAACGAGCACGUAGCGUGCGUGCUCUGGGCGCGGCCAGAGCGCGCGUUUUGCACGUGCGUGCGCCCGAGUCGCCGCGUCCGACUGCCGCCUCCCCGUGCUCGUUCUGGCCACUCCCCUCGCACAGCCUGCGCGCCCGACCCCUCCCUCACCGCAGAGCCGCCCUGGCCCCCUCCUGGCGCCCUAUAGCGCCGCCGUUAGGUCGGCCAUGGCGGCAAGCGGGCGGCCGCAGCGGCCCCUGCCAUGGACGGCGCCGCCCGAGCCAUACGCGUGCGCCAGCUGCCCUCUGGAACAGCCCGAACUCAUCCACGAGCCCGUCCGCUAGCGCCCGUCGCCGCCACGUCGCCCUGCAGCUACAGAACGGCGGUCCGCGGUGUGCUUAUCCACAGCCGCGGGAACCGACCUCGAUCGCCUAUAAAAGGAGCCCCCAAGCUCGUCCAGACCCUCAGGCGACCUCAGGCCAUCUCCCUAGUGCCCCCAUAACCAACAAAUCGAUGGAGGGAGGCCGUCUACCUCGUCUCCGGCCAGUUCGGCCGCCGCUGCCCUCCGGUCCAGUUCGUUGCAAGUAGAGCUCCUCCCGUCCAUCUAGCACCACCACCCGACUCCCCUUGACCGUGCGGAGCUGCCCAGCACCUCAAACUCGCUCGGGAACCACCGGAGCCCAAACCCCCAAUUGCUCCCGAAACGCCGUCCGCCGCGAAGCUCGCCGCCGGCGACUCCCUGUGUCCCCGCCAGCCUUUCGACCACGGGGAGGACCGCCCUGGACUAGCGGAUCCAUCCCUGCCCUCGGAGCCCCGUGGGGAGCCGCCGUUCGUCGACGGCGAUCGCCGGAGCCCCGCCUCUGUUCGGCCAGAGAAGGAAGGAGGCAGGGGACGAGUGGUGAAACCUGACCAGUGGGCCCAAGGGACCCACUGUCAGUGACCCACGAGUCAACCCACGCUGGUUUAAGUGGAGACGUAUUCCGCCGAAUACGCCUUCGCUAGGAGAAAGCGUAAGCCCCCGAACCGUUUUCUCUUUUUUUGAUUUUUAUUAAAAACAGAACUUUGACUAAACUUUGACUCGCCAUAAAUUUUUAAAUAUAAUUCCAAAUGAUUUGAUUCUUUUUCUGUCAUUGCUCAAAUUUGGUCUAGUUUAUUUUCAUAUUUAUUUGAAAAUUUUCCAAACAACUUUUUUGUACUGUUUUAAAAUUAUGUGUUAAUUUAAAUUUCCUCAAAAUAGGAUUUUGGAGAGAGAAGAAAAUUUUCAAAAAGUUUUUGGGAUGCACCCUGCCUCUCCACAACUUGAAGGCAAGCAUUCUGAACCCUGGCAUAAUAUUUUAUGUGUUGUUUGAUACGGUUACAACAUCACCUUGACAUGGAGCAUUCGUUAUUUUAUGUGACGAUACGAUCAUACGCAUGACUGCAUAAUGAGAUUCUUUGCUGUUAGAAUUGGAUAUGCUUGUGAUCAUAAUCAUCUUCGUAUGCCUUUCAUGCCUACCGGAAGGAAGCCGGGAAAGUCUCUGUCUUGGGUAGACACGAGCUUGUCCCUAGUUCCUCGUCGAGACGAGUGUGUCCGGUAUGGCAUGAUGAGGUAUGAUGAGUGGUGAUUCUAUCUGUUAAUUGAAAUAUAUUUGUUAUGCUAAUCAUACAGGGAAUACUUGAACCUCCUGAGUUGGCCGUAGAUCGAUUCUUGUUCCAGUAACCCCCAUACUUGUUUCGUACUAUCACUUGUCCCUGCCGCAGGUAGGGUACGGUUCAGUAAGUUGUCAACCCCUUACCAAGCACACACCGUACAGAGAGGCCAUGGUGGAAGAUACCGGAGGCAUCCGGUAGGCAUGCCACCUGGUCCGGGGGUAUGGGUGUUUCCGGUUGGAGCCGAGGGGGGUAGCUCCCCUAGUUUGCGCGCGUUAUAAAUUUUGUGAUCCCAUGCUAAGUCGAGGUUGUAGCCUCCCCAAUUAGAGUUUUUCUUAAUGGGUGUUGUGGGUGAUUCCAGACACCGGUAAGUUAGGCUGGUGUGUGCGGUCAGGUGUGUUUUCAAUUAAAAGACCGUAGGCGGAAUUAGUCCCGAUGAACCAAAGAAAUCCGUUACUCGUGGGUAAAGAGUACACCCUCUGCAGAGAUUAAACAUCUAUUCGAAUAGCCGUGUCCAGGGUUAAGGACUACAGUCUGGGAUGGGUCAAGUGUCGGUCUUAGUGUCGGUCUUCGGAGGAAAAAUUGCUAAACCAGAACAUGGAUAAUGACUUGUGACUCAUGAUGAUUAUGAUCACUAUUAUUAUGGACUAACCAUUUACAUUAUUUGAAUUAUUGAGUAUCCCUGGGACGGUUCUACCUCCAGGAUAUUCACUGUGAUUAUUCUUAUAUAAGCCCUUUAUGUGGUGUCGCUCAGACGCCCGACUGUGGCAUGCUUGUUAUUUAAAUUGUUUAUAAGCCCUUUAUGUGGUGUCGCUCAGGCGCCCGACUGUGGCAUGCUUGUUAUUUAUUUACUCUAUAAGCCCUUUAUGUGGUGUCGCUCAGACGCCCGACUAUGGCAUGCUUGUUAUUUAAAUUGUUUAUAAGCCCUUUAUGUGGUGUCGCUCAGACGCCCGACUGAGGCAUGUUUUAUAUGUUCAUCCUUUCGAGGUGUCGCUUCAGACACCCGAUCGGUGCAUUUUUAUUUCUAUCCUCGGAUUGCAUAUUCAUGUUUUAUAUGAACAACCUGCAUCCGUGCAUCAUGGAUUUUGUUUGUUUCGUGACUGACAUUGUGAUCAUAGAAUAUUUCAGAGCAUGAUUGUCAUUCGUUGUAUUAUACCCGUGUUCAUAAUGUUUGCGAGUACAUUCAAAAGUACUCACUGGCUUGUCCCUGGCUAUUGUCUUGGCCAGAUUUCGUGCAAGGAGAGGAGCGUUGCGAUGAUAGCCCCGGAACCCACGCAAUGGUGACAGCAGCCUCGCGAAGAUAGGAGUUAUCCUGGUCAGCUGUUCUUGUGGGAAAUGGAGUCCCAUGGCCACUGAUGAAACCACAAACCGCUUCCGCCAUCAGCCACUAGAAACUAUUUGUUGUACUCAUAGGCCAGAAUGGUCUUGUAUUACACAUUUUGUAUUUUGCUUGGAAUUUCUAUAUCAAGUUGGUGCCUCAUCAGCUAACAGUAAUCCUGGGGCUGGUGAGCACAAGGGCCAUUUUCUAGGAAAUUGAUAUCCCGAAAAUCCGGUCCUGACAAACUUGGUAUCAGAGCCAGGCUAACCAUUGGCUAAUCCUAUCUUGGCCAGGUCAAUAAACCCAGGUUAACCUAUCCACCAGACCAUAACCCAACCCCGGCCAAGCUUCUCGUGUAAGAUAGCCGCACAGUCACCCCGACACCUUUUGGCAGUCGGUGCCCAACCUAUCAGCCUAGCCCGUCGAUCACGCGCCAGUGACCGACACCUAAAAUGUCUCAUUCGCAAGCAUGCGAAGGAAGACUCCGUCCCCUUUUUUCUAUAAAAAGGGCACGCUAGCCUCAACACAACACAGCACAGCCUCUCCCUCAAACCGAGCCUUAGUAUUUCUACGCCUCGUAAUUGUGUGAUCUUGUAGUGCCAAAAUUAAAUGAUGUCUGCUUGUGUGCCCCUAUAUUUUAAUAGUAGCAAUGCAUGAGUACGUUAGCGUACAGUUGCAUUUUUAAAUUCCGGGCGUAGCCACCAAAAAACCACCCCCGACGACACCCACAGUAAUACAUCACUUUUGUGAGAUAUGUGUAUCUGUAGCAUUGACCCCGACCCCAUAGAGCAGAACCGACAAACUAGUUACCAUUCACCACGGUAAAUAACCCAGCCCCAAUGCUAUAUAAAAGGCCACCUCGUGACCUUGCCAAGUACCCCUCACCUUGUGCACAACGCUCACAACCAUUUCUUUGCCAUGCCAAGCCCUAGUAUUUAUUUGAGAACUCCAAACGCAACCCCGGGUAGUUUUGUUAGAAUAUUGUGGGACUUUACCUGCAGUACCAUGAGUGCUAUCCAUCCCCCCCAGUACGAGUUGCUCAAAUCGAGGAUCUCCCCAUCCACCUCGAAAUAUUGGGCAGUGGUGCACAUCCCUCCCGCAAACCCAAACCAAGACCCAACGGAAGUCUCCUUCGUGGGGAAAUCCAUGCCGACUCCGCAUAUGGCCAUAGAAGCUGCUGCGUACGAAGCGCUUGCUCGUCUUCGAUUCGCGGUACCCUAUGCCAGCGAACGAGGGUAUUAUUACUUUCCGAGUCGUGCAGCACCCGGAGAAGUAGCAUCUUUUCCCGGUGGACGAAUUGAGAGAGACCCGGUACUGGCCAACCUUGCCCAGUAUGUUAUCGCUCAAGAGCGUUUGACUCAGCGGGUAAUGGGUUAUCUCCAGAGCCUCGCUGAUUUAAAUCCUCAGAUCGCUAUUGGCAGACCACUGAGACCCGACCAGGAGAGACGCAUUCAUCGGCUAGUCAAUCCGCUUCCCCCGAUAGAAGAGGAGUGUGCCCCAGUACCAGAGACGUUUUCUCAGGACCCUGUCCAUUUACCGUUUUCAUUGUAGACGUCACCGCUAUGUUUAUUAUCCCGGCAGUUAUUUAUGUGUUGCAACUUAUGCGUGGUAUCCUAAAUUUGUGCGACGGAUCAAAUAUUUGGUUUCAAUUAUGUGAGCAGUUUUACUGCUGUUAAUUUUGAUAACUAAUUUUCACUCACGAUAAAUUCUGAAGUGAGGAUUUCCCUGAGUUGCUGCAGCGUAUACCUUUUCAUGACAUAGAUUUUUAUUCAUGCAGCACCAUAACAGCAGACUCACAACCACAACCACUCGACCACGUGCGCUAAUUACAAAUCCUCGUGCACAUUUUGCACCUAACUGAUCACACCCGAGCACACCACAGUCUCAGUAGGAGAGAUUUGUGAGUAAUUUAUUUGGGUGCAAGUGGCCUCCAGCACACUGACAGCAGUUAGCACUCGAUGCCACACUUAAUCCUCGUGAUCACCGCCGCCGCGGAGAGCCAACACUCGAGCGGUAGCAUCACGACAAUCAUCAAGGAUCAUCGCGCACAGGAGCACGGAGAACCCCAGCAACGCCGCCAACCCUCCGCACAUCAGGACCACGUACCAGUCCGGCAUCACCUCCGCCAUUAGAGCCUCGUCUCGAGCUCCUGCAAACAGAAAUGGAGGAGAAUGAAGGAGAAGGAGAAGCGAGGCCAGGUGUGAGGAAGAAGAAAGGAGCACCGCGGUCAUUUUAUAGCUCGAGAUCGGUGUACGGUGGGCGAAGUCCACCAGCGCCGCUCGUCGCUCGAUCGCCGGUGUUCGGAGGCGAAUCCGCGAGCAGUGCCGACAGUGCACUGGCCCGCGAGGUGAGUGCACGCCGCACCGGCAGCUAGCACGCCGCGCACUACCACAGUACAGCCUAGAUGCCCUACGCGCUAGACGUCGCCGGUGGAGAAAGCACGGGAAAGCACGCGAGAGAGAGGAAGAAGAGAGAGCCAGAGGUAGAAGGAGAGACUGACAGUGGACCCCGGGUCCACCUGUCAGCCAGAGGGAGCACUGUGCUCUCGGGUACGACCAGCGUAUUUUAGUAAUUUAGAAGUUUAUUCUAAAUUUACUGUAACCAAAGUAGAAAUAUCUCGUUUUCCCCAACCAUGGAUUUUUUUUCCACGCAGCGCCAGUGUUCCACACUGUAGUUUUACACCACUUAUUGCCCUCUCACUGUGGAUACAUUUUAUUGCAUAAGUAGGAUGAUUUUUUUGGUAAGAGCAAUGUUUGUUCAAAACAACUUUUAGCAAAUCUCGAGGACGAGAUUUUUUUUCUUAAGGGGGGUAGUGUUGUGACACCCCAAAAUUUUGACCUUGAUUUAUUAAUUAAAAUUUUGCCAGGAAAUUAAAAUUUUUAUUUUCUGGUUUUAUCUGUUAAUUUCAGAUAACUCCGUCCCUCUGAAUUUUUGAGUUUUUCCUUCUGGAUGGAAACCUUUCAAAAAUAUUGUUGGACUUGUAUAUCUUCCCAAGACCAUUUCUUUUAUCAGUGGAAUUAUUUCUACAAUUAUUUUUCCUGAACUUUAUUUCUUUAAAAAUGGUUUGUCAUAAGUUUUAGAGUUCCAUUUGAACUACAACCCUUUCAAAUACUUCUUUAAAAAUUCCACCAAAAUUUUGGGAUGUCAUGUGAUGUUUCCACAUCACUUUUAUGCAAAAAUAUCUUUUGGUCAUUGGAGAUUUUGGGCUCUGCACCAAAUUUUCAAAUCUGGUCCAGUAGGUAAUUUUGCGCUACAACCUAUUUAAAUAUUUCUUUAAAAAUUCUUCCAAGUGUUUGGAGAUGUCAGUAGAUGCUUAUAAUUCAACUUUAUGCAAAAAUCCAUGAGUGUCCUUUGAAAAAUUUGAGCAAAUUAUCCUCAUCUUCAUUCUGGUCCAGUUUAGUGUUUUGCACUGCAACCAUAUUUUAUCUUGCUCUUGUUGCCUUGGGAUUUGUCCUGCUGUUUGACCACUCUACCAAACCCUUAAGUCCAGGAGAUUGGACCCAUUGGAGUAUUUUUGGUCCAUGCAACAAUGCCCUUCACUUUUUGUCCAGAACUGAAGUAUUGCAAAUCUUGCACUAACAAGUUUCUGGUUUUUCCCUAAUAGACUUGCCAUCAUCACUUGCACCUAAAGAGACCCCAACCCGGAGAUUUGGGCCACCAGAUGAGGUGCUUAGAUGCCCAUAACAUUCUGUCGAGCACUUGGUGUGCAUAGCCAGAUUUGGCAUGAUUUUUGGUUUGCAUUGUGAGCUUGACCCUCUGACCCAACAGACUUGUCCACUAAGCUCCUACCUACCACUAACCUAGACCUGUUUACUACCAGCAUUAUUCGAGCUCUCUAACACACGUUGGCAUGUCGACGAGCACGUAGCGUGCGUGCUCUGGGCGCGGCCAGAGCGCGCGUUUUGCACGUGCGUGCGCCCGAGUCGCCGCGUCCCACUGCCGCCUCCCCGCGCUCGUUCUGGCCACUCCCCUCGCAUAGCCUGCGCGCCCGACCCCUCCCUCACCGCAGAGCCGCCCUGGCCCCCUCCUGGCGCCCUAUAGCACCGCCGUUAGGUCGGCCAUGACGGCAAGCGGGCGGCCGCAGCGGCCCCUGCCAUGGACGGCGCCGCCCGAGCCAUACGCGUGCGCCAGCUGCCCUCUGGAACAGCCCGAACUCAUCCACGAGCCCGUCCGCUAGCGCCCGUCGCCGCCACGUCGCCCUGCAGCUACAGAACGGCGGUCCGCGGCGUGCUUAUCCACAGCCGCGGGAACCGACCUCGAUCGCCUAUAAAAGGAGCCCCCGAGCUCGUCCAGACCCUCAGGCGACCUCAGGCCAUCUCCCUAGUGCCCCCAUAGCCAACAAAUCGACGGAGGGACGCCGUCUACCUCGUCUCCGGCCAGUUCGGCCGCCGCCGCCCUCCGGUCCAGUUUGUCGCAAGUAGAGCUCCUCCCGUCCAUCUAGCACCACCACCCGACUCCCCUUGACCGUGCGGAGCUGCCCAGCACCUCAAACUCACUCGGGAACCAUCGGCGCCCAAACCCCCAAUUGCUCCCGAAACGCCGUCCACCGCGAAGCUCGCCGCCGGCGACUCCCUGCGUCCCCGCCAGCCUUUCGACCACAAGGAGGACCGCCCUGUACUGGCGGAUCCAUCCCUGCCCUCGGGGCCCCGUGGGGAGCCGCCGUUCGUCGACGGCGAUCACCGGAGCCCCGCCUCUGUUCGGCCAGAGAAGGAAGGAGGCGGGGGACGACUGGUCAAACCUGACCAGUGGGCCCAAGGGACCUACUAUUAGUGACCCACGAGUUGACCCACGCUGGUUUAAGUGGAGACGUAUUCCGCCGAAUACGCCUUCGCUAGGAGAAAGCGUAAGCCCCCGAACCGUUUUCUCUUUUUCUGAUUAUUAUUAAAAACAGAACUUUGACUAAACUUUGAGUGGCCAUAACUUUUUAAAUAUAAUUCCAAAUGAUUUGAUUCUUUUUCUGUCAUUGCGCAAAUUUGGUCUAGUUUAUUUUCAUAUUUAUUUGAAAAUUUUCCAAACAACUUUUUUGUACUGUUUUAAAACUAUGUGUUAAUAUAAAUUUCCUCAAAAUAGGAUUUUGGAGAGAGAAGAAAACUUUCAAAAAGUUUUUGGGAUGCACCCUGCCUCUCCACAACUUGAAGCCAAGCAUUCGGAACCCUGGCAUAAUAUUUUGUGUGUUGUUUGAUACGGUUACAACAUCACCUUGACAUGGAGCAUUCGUUAUUUUAUGUGACGAUACGAUCAUACGCAUGAGUGCAUAAUGAGAUUCUUUGCUGUUAGAAUUGGAUAUGCUUGUGAUAAUAAUCAUCUUCGUAUGCCUUUCAUGCCUACUGGAAGGAAGCCGGGAAAGUCUCUGUCUUGGGUAGACACGAGCUUGUCCCUAGUUCCUCGUCGAGACGAGUGUGUCCGGUAUGGCAUGAUGAGGUAUGAUGAGUGGUGAUUCUAUCUGUUAAUUGAAAUAUAUUUGUUAUGCUAAUCAUACAGGGAAUACUUGAACCUCCUGAGUCGGCCGUAGAUCGAGUCUUGUUCCAGUAACCCCCAUACUUGUUUCGUACUACCACUUGUCCCUGCCGCAGGUAGGGUACGGUUCAGUAAGUUGUCAACCCCUUACCAAGCACACACCGUACAGAGAGGCCAUGGUGGAAGAUACCGGAGGCAUCCGGUAGGCAUGCCACCUGGUCCGGGGGUAUGGGUGUUUCCGGUUGGAGCCGAGGGGGGUAGCUCCCCUAGUUUGCGCGCGUUAUAAAUUUUGUGAUCCCAUGCUAAGUCGAGGUUGUAGCCUCCCCACUUAGAGUUUUGCUUAAUGGGUGUUGUGGGUGAUUCCAGACACCGGUAAGUUAGCCUGGUGUGUGCGGUCAGGUGUGUUUUCAAUUAAAAGACCGUAGGCGGAAUUAGUCCUGAUGGACCAAGGAAAUCCGUUACUCGUGGGUAAAGAGUACACCCUCUGCAGAGAUUAAACAUCUAUUCGAAUAGCCGUGUCCAUGGUUAAGGACUACAGUCUGGGAUGGGUCAAGUGUCGGUCUUAGUGUCGGUCUUCGGAGGAAAAAUUGCUAAACCAGAACAUGGAUCAUGACUUGUGACUCAUGAUGAUUAUGAUCACUAUUAUUAUGGACUAACCAUUUACAUUAUUUGAAUUAUCGAGUAUCCCUGGGACGGUUCUACCUCCUGGAUAUUCACUGUGAUUAUUCUUAUAUAAGCCCUUUAUGUGGUGUCCCUCAGACGCCCGACUGUGGCAUGCUUGUUAUUGAAAUUGUUUAUAAGCCCUUUAUGUGGUGUCGCUCAGACGCCCGACUGUGGCAUGCUUGUUAUUUAUUUACUCUAUAAGACCUUUAUGUGGUGUCGCUCAGACGCCCGACUGUGGCAUGCUUGUUAUUUAAAUUGUUUAUAUGCCCUUUAUGUGGUGUCGCUCAGACGCCCGACUGAGGCAUGUUUUAUAUGUUCAUCCUUUCGAGGCGUCGCUUCAGACACCCAAUCGGUGCAUUUUUAUUUCUAUCCUUGGAUUGCAUAUUCAUGUUUUAUAUGAACAACCUGCAUGCGUGCAUCAUGGAUUUUGUUUAUUUCGUGACUGACAUUGUGAUCAUAGAAUAUUUCAGAGCAUGAUUGUCAUUCGUUGUAUUAUACCCGUCUUCAUAAUGUUUGCGAGUACAUUCAAAAGUACUCACUGGCUUGUCCCUGGCUAUUGUCUUGGCCAGAUUUCGUGCAAGGAGAGGAGCGUUGCGAUGAUAGCCCCGGAACCCACGCAAUGGUGACAGCAGCCUCGCGAAGAUAGGAGUUAUCAUGGUCAGCUGUUCCUGUGGGAAAUGGAGUCCCAUGGCCACUGAUGAAACCACAAACCGCUUCCGCCAUCAGCCACUAGAAACCAUUUGUUGUACUCAUAGGCCAGAAUGGUCUUGUAUUACACAUUUUGUAUUUUGCUUGGAAUUUCUAUAUCAAGUUGGUGUCUCAUCAGCUAAUAGUAAUCCUGGGGCUGGUGAGCACAAGGGCCAUUUUCUGGGAAAUUGAUAUCCCGAAAAUCCGGUCCCGACAGAAGGGGAGUCAGCAAAGAGUGAAAUGAUGGUUGCUUCGUCCGUGCUUUGUGAUUUGACGCCUCACUGCUUUGUGAUUUGUGAUAGAAUGGACAGGGGAGUAGACUCUGUGCUCUAUACUGUACAUGCGUCCAAGCACGGGAGAAAGAGGAGAGACGUUGCAUUUUUCUAUUCCUUCAAUCAAUCAAUCAGGGAGCUUCGGUUCCAUCCUUUUGGCUUUGGCAACACCGUCCAUAAUGGUUCCCACGAUGCCAAAAGUUAUUUUCACAUUUGGCUACACAUUGUGGAUGCCCUUAACCGUACCACUUGGUUUUGCACCUGUGUGCUAUCUAUACAAAUCUCAAUUAUAUUGAUCUAAAAAAUUAUAGAAUCAAGAUUAGUAAAAAGGAGGUGAUUUUGCAGCGCGGAUGGCGGGGGAGGUUUCUUAUUUUUAGAGGAUGUUGUCCUGGCGGUUUGCUAACAUGCGGUCCCACGUGUCUGUGCUUUACCAAGCCGAUCCGCUUCCCACAUGAGGCAGAACAACGGCAGAAGCAACACGUGGUUAACUUGAAGAAGAUGAGGGAGAAGCGGAUUCAGCAACGAGUGAAAUGAUGGUUGCGUUGUCCCUCCAACUUCUUUUUUUAGCAUUAUUACUUCGUCCCUCCAACUUAACUGCGGGAAAGGUGCAGCUUUGUGAUUUGACGUCUCAUUGCUCAUUACCACGCCGGCACCAUGACUGGGUGCUUCACCCAGGCUGCUCUGCACUUUAUUCCGGUAUGGCACGUGGACCCGGUAGUUUGAUGUCCCACAUGUCGGUGAAAGGGACUAGAAGAUUUAUGAAAGCGAGCGCUCCACUCUUACGACGGAGGAGUACACGACAUGACGGCCCAGUGAACUGUCACUUGUACUGUAUAGUACUAUAGUUUUGCUGUUUCGUACGAUCCAUCAAUACAAACCCGAUUAAACAAGAAAGGGCGGGGGUUUUUCCCGCGCGGUACAUGAUACUGGCCAUACGUUUCAAAGGCAAUUUUAAUGUAUGCAAACUGAAUAAUUAAGUAACAAUAUGAUAUCUAGUAAAACUAAAAUCACAUAUGAUUUAUUGUGUUAGAGUGUAGUAGUAGUGUUGUAUUGCAUAGUUGUUAGAUGUAACAUGCGAGAACGUGUAGAGAUGUAGUUUUGGAGGGCCUACAGAGAGAAAAGCGUAAUACGUUCGCCGAACUUCAGAAUAAGCUGAUUACGGUCACUAUAUACGUUUUGCGAUGAUUAUACGGUCACUUGCUCACGGUUCAGCAUCAGAUUGCACUCUGUUGACCCGCCAAAUAGUCUGCGUGGCACCAUGUUGACUAGUUAAAUUGACCACAUUCCUUGUGGGUCUCACCUGUCAGCUCGCAUAGGGAAAAGGUCAGAUAAACACAAAUUUACGCAGACGCGACAAGACUCCAACCCGUGUGCGGGAAUCACCUGGUUGUGUAUGUGUCUAUCAGGGCCUGAUGUGUGCGCAUGCACAUGUAGGUUGAGCACUUGAGUGUGAGAGUGUGUGUUGGUCGUGUGGUGUACUGGUGUGUGCAUGCGUGUGUGCGUGUGAGUGUUGCGUGCGUGCGUGGCUGCGUGUGUACAUGUGAGUGUUGCAUGCGUGCGUGGGUGCAUGUGUUCGAGUGAGUAUUGCUUGCAUGCAGUUUGUUUGCAUGCGUGUGUGUGUGUGUAUAAUCACCACACCAGCUCCUGUGUGUUAAAACAGACGGCUCAACAUACCAAUACAAGGCCACCUUGUCCGUUGUGCCCGCGGUCAUGACUUCGAACCACCGUCCAAUAUUUUUUUGUCGUUUGUUUCCAUUCUUACUAGCAAGAUGCCCGUGCGUUGCACGUAACAUCUAGAUGCAUUUGUAUGACUAGUUUAUCUUGUGAGAGAAAAGGAUGAACGAGGGAAGGCCUUAUUUGCAAAUGUGGAGAGGUGUGUGGGUACCUUUUUGCAAAAUUGUCAUAGUUUCUUUCCUAUCCGUCAGAUAUAAAUCGGACGGCCUAUAUUGCAGGAUGGCAGGCACACCAUCAUCAGCAACUCUGUUUUUUAUAAGAGUGUAUUUUAUAUUUUAUAAGAGUGUAGAUGUAGAGUAGAUACAAGCCGACAGGUGGGCCCGAUGGUAGUGAGAUAAUGUGAUGCAACACUAGAGGUGCCACGUGGAGCGUUUAACUGGUCAACUAGUCGUGUCUUGAGCAAAUACAGAGUUGUACGGUGAGCCCGUGACUGUAUAAUAACCACAAAACAUAAAUGGUGACCGUAAUGAGUGGAUUCUGAAGUCCAAUGUACGUAUCGUGCUUUCGCUUCAAAUACAAUGAUCAUCACUGUAUAUAUCGCGAGAGAAAGAUGAAAUAUGAGUGAAUGUGCCGGGGCUUACUUUUAGAGGACCUGGAGAUAGUUUGUGUGCGUACGUGAAAGGGGUGUAGAGGGGGGGGGGUAUGCGAUGGAGAGAGAGAUGCUCUUCGUUUCUCUUUAUUAUGACUAACUUUAUAUAUAGUAUAAAAAUAUACAAAUUCACAGUGCGGAAUAAAUAUCAUUGUGGGCACCAUGCAAUGCAAAUUAGCGUUCAUACUCCUCCAUAUAACUUUGUAAUGUUGUAUAUAUGUAGAAAUUCUAAAAUAAUUUUUUGGCCACACUUUAUUCAAAACGAAUGUUGUAUGCGAAAUAAAUGUGAAGAGAGGGCUUUUUAGAUCAACGGGGUACGUGAUGUAACAUGUGUGAAUGUGUAGUUGAUGCAUUUCGCAGGACCUAGAGAGGUAUGUGUGUGUAUUACGUAUUCGAGAGAGGCAUGGAUAAAGGGGCCGGCGGGGGGGGGGGCGUGGGAGAGAUAGCACGAGAAAUGAGAGUGGUCUAGAGAGACAGAGACGAAUAUGAUGUCAGGGCGAGAGAUUCCCUUGAGUGUGUAUAUGCAAGGGGGGAGUGGAUAGAGGCACCAGGAGAAUAUUUUUUGUGUGUGUGGUGUCUGUGUUGGUAUGUGUGGGUGUGAGAAGAUAACGAACCGUGGGGGCAGAGGGUGUGUCACCGCAUGACGUACGGUGGGUCAAGGUGAGGCCCUUCGUUCGGUUCCGUCCUGCGCCACAUUGGUCGGCCCGUGACGCAUUUAGGGAGACCCAUGGAUGACUGGUCGUACAAGACAAAGAUAGCAUAAUUGUGAAGGACUCUGUGUCCACUGACAAAGCCAGCUAGGAUUUGUAACCCUAGGUUCUCGGACUAAGGUAACCCCUUUAUCUUUGAUGUUACUAUUCAUCCAACCUAACUUUAAGGGGCAUCCUACAGAAUGCUCUGCUAGAAUCAUACUCGUCGAUUAGGAAGAGAGGUGUGAGACAAUGCGUGAGAGACAGGCCUAAAGAUAAUGUGCGUACAAGAGACACGUAGGCAGGUCUAUGUAUAUAGAAAGGGUCGAUGGGGAUUGUGCGUGUGUAUGCUUGCGAGAGGAAGAGUGCUUGUGAUAAAGGUUAGUGAAAACAGUCGUAAAUGGUUACGAGAGGGAGGGAGCGUUAUAUCAAGAGCAUGUGUGCAAGAAAGACACCUUGGGAGAGUGUGUGUGAGCAUGUGUGAGAGACCAUCGAUGGAGAGUGAAAAUACACGUAAAAGACUGUUGUACACAUUGAUUAAAGAUAUAAAUUGUAUCCAAAUAUUAGGAUGGGAUCAUGAUAUUUGCAAUUCGCGUAAGGAACGGUCAUUGAUCCAUCAGACAUCUAGAUUCUAUCGAAUGUGAGCAUGUCUAUGUUAUUAUUCGACACAAUUGAUCCACAUAGUUAGUAUUUUGAACUCCAGACAAUGCAUCACUUUAGCAAUCGAAUAUAAACGUGAGUAUAGUUCAUGUUGUGUGUGUAAAGCACAUUAUACAUACGAAAGUUACACAAUGAACAUUAUAAAUAGCUACCUAUGAACUAGCAUACAUUUGAAUUCAACUUAAGGUGGUUUAAAAAAAUCGUAUUCAACAUUAGUCCAUUCAAUUAUUUGAAUUUGAUAUCAUGGCAUUUGUAAAUCAUACCUAAAUUAUGGGGGCACCAAUCUUUGCUCUGAUUUUGUACAUAAUCGCAUAUGUAGUCGUGUACAAAAUAGAUACAAAUUUAGCUCCUCCAUUCCAAAAUAAUCGUAGUUAUAGGAUUUUCAAGUGUCAAAAUUUCAAAAAGAAGUGGAUAAUUUAAUGAGGUUUUCAAACAUACAAGGUCAAAUUUAAUGUUGUCUAUUUAGGUCAAUCCUCAAAGUUCAAGAGUACUCUAAACGUGAAUGCUUGUGUUUCAAAAUUUCGAACGAAGCGCCAAAAGAGCCUCUACUCGCCCGAAACCGGGUGAGGCCAAUGUUUGGUAGUACAAGGAAAUUGCUUUUUUAAUAACUCCGACCCGUGAAACCUACCGGCCCGACGUCCAAAGGUCUAAACCAGGGUAUGUUUGUAGCUUCAUCUAGAUGCCACGCACGGCCUCCGAAAAACAUUCAUACACAAUGGCCGCCUAAGCACACAUGCGCGCGGCUGAAAUCGCUCACGCCUACUAUUUGGGACACCUGGGAUUACCAUCCUACCCCCGACCCGCAGUAGGUCCGAAAUUUAAGAGGGGGGGCAAAGUUUGUACUUUCCCCAAAUUUCAAACAAGCGCGUCCCAUCUUCUGUUCAAAAAAGCCAAAAACAAGUGCGUCCCAGACCGAAACAUGGUUCUCCCCCUCCCCCCCCCCCGCCCACCCGUCCGAUUCCCCAUUCGUACUCUGUGGGCGCAAAAACUACCUCCCCACCAGCCGCGAAACCCCGGCGUCCUCCGUCCGCCACCCUAUCCCACCCAUCAACCGCCGCCCUCCUCCAUCACGCCGGAGCCGAUACCCCGACGUCGUCGUCCACCGCAACGCCCCCCACGGCUAGUAGUUGAAGUCGAGGCCGAGCCGUCCGUACCCGAGCUAGUUCAACCACGCCGUCCUGCGCCUCACCGCUGCCGCUCCAACUUCGCCACCCUCUACUGCACCGGAGCUGUUCCUGCUACGCCGUCCUUCGCCGCCUCGGAUCUGCUUCCCCUCAACCGACAUACGGCCAUGACAACACAGUCAACAAUUUGGCCAUGGGUUCGUCCAAGCCUGCACCCUCCUCCAAAACAUCGGUUCCCCGGCAAAAAGAAGAAGAUCAGUGCGACAUGUGGAGGCGACCACACCGGCAACCGAAAAUGGUACUCCUCUUCCCUUAUUCGUGCAAAUCUUACGUGUCUGCUUGCACGGUAUUCAUCCCACAGAAGACACUAGUUGACCGCUUCUUCUUAAUACUAGAUGUUCCUAGUUACUCGUGAUGCACAAGGUUUCUCCUCAUAUACUAUUUCACCUUAGCUAGAGGUCCGUCGCCCCCCUGGAUUUCAAUUCCUGGUCAGUUGAUUCCCAAUUAACGGAAGCAUUCCCCGGCGUAACAGGUGCUAGUCCGCCUAUUACGCCGGGGAAGCAGCGCCUCAGUGUUUAUCUUAGGGGCGAGUGGGGCCUAGAGCUACUGGCGCCCGAUCUGGACGUCGCCCGGGAUUAAAGGGAUGGCCUGGGGGCGCUGCCAAGCACGACUGUGGUGUGAGGUCGAGGGGAGGGCGGGGCGGCGGAGGCAGGGGUCUGGGCCGGUGGUCGCUGGCGGUUCGAGAAAGAUCGUCAACAGUGACUGGCGGGAGGUAGACAAAGGCCAUCUGCCCGUUCCUUAUAGAUCAGACGGUUCAUAAAAAAUAUCGACCGACCUAUUUAUUUUCAAUCGACUGUUAUCUUGAUAGGACCACAUGUGGUGGUGUGCUGGAGGAGUACCUGCAUUUCCUGUGCUCAUAUAUUACAAAAUCAUACGGAGUAGAAUCUAAUUUUGUUUGACAUGCAAUGUUGUAGAGCUAUCAUAUGUCUCCUGUCAUUUAUUUUUCAGCCACCUGCUAUCUGCUACUUUUACAGUGCACUAGUUCAGCACACACACUUCACCCAUACUCUCACUAUUUUGUUUUUAUGCAAGGGUAUUUCAGACCCUGCUUUGGCAGAAGCAGAAACGAAUAGAGAGAAGUCGCUCCAGCGUGGUAUGCGCCUAGGCCAGACACAUUUCAAGGCUUUAAAGAGUGUAGUGUCAGCAGAUGGAGACGAGGAACGUAGCUCUGGAGUUGAUGAUCUCGCUCGCCGUGAACCACCAUCCCAGGUGCUUGCUUUAAGUUCACGAUGGUGGCGAAGUAGCCCACCUCCCACCAGACUCUCAGGUCCUAGAUGAUCAUGCUCACCACUCUAGCCGGAUGUCUAGCUUGUAUUGCUUCCAAUUUGGUUAAAUUGCACCUGCUUAGCUUACACACUAUACCUUUGAAUAUGACACGCCUUCCUGUUUCUGGUACAUACUAGUACAUCUGUCUAUUAACCAUGUUCUUACAUCAAACUAAUGUUCUUGUGUAUCCCUCAUCAAUCACUUAUGAUGAGGCAGUCAGGCCAGUGGACUACUGUGAUAAAAGAUCCUCAUUUAAAGAAUGCAGUGUCAGCCUCCCCACAUGAUUCUCAAGAAACAGCAAGGCUAGAUGAAGAUAGUGAACGUAGCUCUAUAGUUGACUACCGCAUUUCCCCUACACUAGCAUCGUAGGUGCUUGCUCUAACUUGGCAGCGUGAUAUGUGGUUGCAUGUUGCAUAUGGUGUCUAGAUUGUAAUUCUUCUAAUCUGGUUAAAUUGCAUGUGCUAUUCUGCUUAGAUUAUACAUUAUACCUAUUAAUGUGACAUGCCUUCCUGUUUUUAGUACAUAGUACAUCUGUCUAUUAAGCAUGUCCUCACAUAAAACUAUUGUUUUUUGUAUCCCGCAUAAAUCAAUAUGACGAGACACCUUCAGUAUAUGCAAUGUGAUAUUAGUUGCAUCUUUGAUAUGAUUUAUAGCGUGCGCUACUUCUAAUUUGUUGAAAUGCCAUUUAUGAUGGGACACUUUUAACUUGGCAGAGUCAUAUUGGUUGCAUCUUUCACGUGGUGUCUAGCUUGCAUUGCUUCUUAUUUGUUGAAAUGGUUUCUGCUUAGUUUACACAAACAGUUGUGAAUAUGCCAUGCCAUCUUUUUUUUCGUAUUAUUCCAUCCUGGAAUCAUGUGUUUGCCUUACAUCAAAGUAGUGAUUGUCAGUAUCAUGCACGAAUUAGUUCUGAAGAGUGAAUUUUAUUGCUUUUUCUUGUCGGUUUUACUUGAAAAUUCAAAAUCAAUAAAGCGGAAGGAAGUUAGCAAGGUGAUGACCCACAAGUAUAGGGGAUCUAUCGUAGUCCUUUCGAUAAGUAAGAGUGUCGAACCCAACGAGGAGCAGAAGGAAAUGAUAAGCGGUUUUCAGUAAGUUAUUCUCUGCAAGCACUGAAAUUAUAGGUAACAGAUAGUUUUGUGAUAAGAUAAUUGGUAACGAGCAACAAGUAACAAAAGUAAAUAAAGUGCAGCAAGGUGGCCCAAUCCUUUUUGUAGCAAAGGAAAAGCCUGGACAAACUCUUAUAUAGAGAAAAGCGCUCCCGAGGACACAUGGUAAUUAUCGUCAAGCUAGUUUUCAUCACGUUCAUAUGAUUCACGUUCGGUACUUUGGUAAUUUGAUAUGUGGGUGGACCGGUGCUUGGGUGCUGUCCUUACUUGGACAAGCUCCCACUUAUGAUUAACCUCUAUUGCAAGCAUCCGCAACUACAAAAGAAGGAUUAAGGUAAACCUAACCAUAGCAUGAAACAUAUGGAUCCAAAUCAGCCCCUUACGAAGCAACGCAUAAACUAAGGUUUAAGCUUCUGUCACUCUAGCAACCCAUCAUCUACUUAUUACUUCCCAAUGCCUUCCUCUAGGACCAAAUAAUGGUGAAGUGUCAUGUAGUCGACGUUCACAUAACACCACUAGAGGAGAGACAACAUACAUCUCAUCAAAAUAUCGAACGAAUACCAAAUUCACAUGACUACUAAUAGAAAGACUUCUCCCAUGUCCUCAGGAACAAACGUAACUACUCACAAAGCAUAUUCAUGUUCAUAAUCAGAGGAGUAUUAAUAUGCAUAUAGGAUCUGAACAUAUGAUCUUCCACCAAAUAAACCAACUAGCAUCAACUACAAGGAGUAAUCAACACUACUAGCAACCUACAGGUACCAAUCCCAGACUUAGAGACAAGAAUUGGAUACAAGAGAUGAACUAGGGUUUGAGAGGAGAUGGUGCUGGUGAAGAUGUUGAUGGAGAUUGUCCUCUCCUGAUGAGAGGAGCGUUGGUGAUGACGAUGGCGAUGAUUUCCCCCUCCCGGAGGGAAGUGUCCCCAGCUGAACAGCUCUGCCGGAGCCCUAGAUUGGUUCCGCCUCGUGGCGGCGGAGUUUCGUCCCAAAAGCUUGCUUAUGAUUUUUCUUCGAACGAAAGACUUCAUAUAGCAGAAGAUGGGCACCGGAGGGCCAACAGGGGGCCCACGAGGCAGGGGGCGCGUCCAGGGGGUAGGGCGCGCCCCCCACCCUCGUGGCCAGGGUGUGGGCCCCCUAUGGUAUUUCUUCCACUCAGUAUUUUUUAUUAUUUCCAAAAAUGACUUUCAUGGAGUUUCAAGACUUUUGGAGUUGUUCAGAAUAGGUCUCUAAUAUUUGCUCCUUUUCCAGCCCAGAAUUCCAGCUGUCGGCAUUCUCCCUCCUUAUGUAAACCUUGUAAAAUAAGAGAAAAUAGGCAUAAGUAUUGUGACAUAAUGUGUAAUAACAGCCCAUAAUGCAAUAAAUAUCGAUAUAAAAGCAUGAUGCAAAAUGGACGUAUCAACUCCCCCAAGCUUAGACCUGGCUUGUCCUCAAGCGGAAGCCGAUAACGAUAAAUAUGUCCACAUGUUUAGAGGUAGAGGUGUCGAUAAAAUAAAAUACGGACAUGAAGGCAUCAUGAUUACUCUCAUAAUAGCAACAUAUAUGGAUAAUGUCAUAUGAUUUCUUAUGCUUAAGUAAUAGUCUAUUCACAAUGCAAAGUAUAAAUCAGAAACAUUAUUGAGAACUAACAAACAUUAAUCUCAGUCAUUGAAGCAAUUGCAAUUUAUCAUAACAUCAGAAAGAGUCUAUGUGAGAGCUUUUUAGCAAGUCCACAUACUCAACUAUCAUUUAGUCUUUCACAAUUGCUAACACUCACGCAGUACUUGUGGUUACGAAGUUUUAAUCGGACACAGAGAAAGAUAGGGGCUUAUAGUUUCGCCUCCCAACCUUUUACCUCAAGGGUAAUGUCAACAAUAAUAGUUCAUGCUAACUUACAUCCAAUUAGAUAUAUAUAUCAGGAUCUUUCCAACAUCCUGUGCUUGCCAAAAGAUAAAAUGUAAAAAGGAAAGGUGAAGAUCACCAUGACUCUUGCAUAAGGUAGAAGGUAAUAAUAAAACAUAGGCCCUUCACAGAGGGAAGCAGAGGUUCCAUGCGCUUUCAGGGUUGGAUGCACAAAAUCUUAAUGCGAAAGAACAUCACUUUAUAUUGCCACUUGUGAUAUAGACCUUUAUUGUGCAGUCCGACGCUUUUAUUUCUUCCACAUCACAAGAUCGUAUAAAGCUUAUUUCCUCCACACCAAUCAAUCAUACAUAUUUAGAGAGCAAUUUUUAUUGCUUGCACCGAUGACAACUUACUUGAAGGAUCUUACUCAAUCCAUAGGUAGAUAUGGUGGACUCUCAUGGCAAAACUGGGUUUAAGGGUUUUUGGAAGCACAAGUAGUAUCUCUACUGGGUGCAAAGAGUUUGUCUAGCAUGAGGGGGGAAGGCAAGCUCAACAUGUUGGAUGAUCCAUGACAAUAUACUUUAUCUCAGAUAUAAGAAAACAUAACCCAUUACGUUGUCUUCCUUGUCCAACAUCAACUCUUUAGCAUGUUAUAUUUUAAUGAGUGCUCACAAUCAUAAAAGAUGUCCAAGAUAGUAUAUUUAUAUGUGAAACCUCUCUUUCUUUAUUACUUCCUAUUAAUUGCAACGAUGACCAAAGCUAUGUCUGUCAACUCUCAACAACUUUUAAUCAUCAUACUCUUUCUAUGUGAAGUCAUUACUCUCCAUAAGAUCAAUAUGAUCUCUUUGUUUCUUUUUAUUCUUUUCUCUUUUCUUUUAUUCACUCAAGAUCAUAGAAAAAUAAUCAAGCCCUUGACUCAACACUAAUCUUUAUUAUAUAUAGCUCACGGACUCGAUUACAUAGAGAGAUCAUAAAGCAAAACUCAAGGCUAGAUCAUACUAAAACUUUAUUCUACUAGAUCAGGAUACUACUAAUAGGAUCGAACUAAGAAAAACGGUAAAGAUAUGAGACGUGGUGGUGAUACGAUACCGGGGCAUCUCCCCCAAGCUUGGCAGUUGCCAAGGGGAGUGCCCAUACCCAUGUGAUUAUGUCUCCUUUGUUGAAGAAGAAGAUGAUGGUUUAGUUGAUGGCGUAGGCUUCUUCCUUAAUUUGCGCUUGAGGACAGCAUUUUGAUCCCUCAGGUCAUCAGUCUCCUGCUCCAGGCUUAAUAUCUUUUUGCAUAAUUCCUGCUUGUUUUCCUGCAAGAGGCGAAAAGGGAUGAACUCGAUCUUAAAUUUCUUUGCUCUAUCAGGGAGGCUUGACUUUUUGAACUCCACAUGCAUGUCCCCAGGUUGAGGUAAUGGGACUUCAUCCUCAUCUGAGCUCGUCUCCUCCUUUCUCUUGGGCUCAUAGUCCUCUUCUUCUUCCGUAGUCCAACCACAAUGCUCCACAUCCCCAUAGACCUUAGGAUCUGCAAGGUAAUCAGCCACCUAGCUUUCUCCUUCCGAAUCCUGGGACCACAUGUUGCUCUAAUCUGCAGCAGGACAGCUCGAAACAAAGACAGGAGAUAUUUGCGUGAUACGGAGGUCAAAACCUUUGGGAGAUUAUAUAAUGAAUUUUUACCGUCCAAAAUACGUAUCGUGCAAGAAAACAGAGUCCAGAGAGCGCACGAGGUGCCCAUGAGGCAGGGGGCGCGCCCAGGGGGUAGGGCGCGCCCUCCACCCUCGUGGAGCCCUCGUGUCCUUCCCGGACUGCUUCUUAUUUUUCUAUUUUUCUAAAUAUUCCAAAAUGGAGAAAAAUUGCCUUUAGAACUGUUUUGGAGUCGGUUUACUUACCGUACCACAUACCUAUUCCUUUUCGGAGUCUGAAGCGUUCCGGAAAGUGUCCCUUAUGUAUUCCUCCGGGGUUACGGUUUCAAUAAUAUUGGUUUCAACAUUUAUGGGAUUACCUAAGAUAUAAUGUUUAAUUCUUUGACCGUUCACCACCUUCGGAUUUGUGCCUUCGAAGUUGUUUAUUUUUAUGGCACCGGAACGAUAGAGCUCCUCGAUGACGUAAGGGCCUUCCCAUUUAGAGAGAAGUUUUCCUGCAAAAAAUCUUAAAUGAGAGUUGUAUAGCAAUACAUAAUCACCUACAUUAAACUCACGCUUUUGUAUCCUUUUGUCAUGCCAUCUUUAAACUUUUUCUUUAAACAAUUUGGCAUUCUCAUAAGCUUGGGUUCUCCAUUCAACAAGUGAGCUAAUGUCAUACCUCUUCUCACCGGCAAGUUUGAAAUCAUAGUUGAGCUCUUUAAUGGCCCAAUAUGCCUUAUGUUCUAGUUCGAGAGGUAAAUGACAUGCUUUUCCAUAAACCAUUUUAUACGGAGACAUACCAAUAGAAUUUUUAUAUGCAGUUCUAUAGGCCCAUAAUGCAUCAUCAAGUUUCUUGGACCAAUUCUUUCUAGAUCUAUUAACAGUCUUUUGCAAAAUUAAUUUGAGUUCUCUAUUACUCAAUUCUACUUGACCACUAGACUGCGGGUGAUAAGGAGAUGCAAUUCUAUGAUUGACAUCAUACUUAGCAAGCAUUUUACGAAAAGCACCAUGAAUAAAAUGUGAACCACCAUCAGUCAUUAAAUAUCUAGGGACUCCAAACCUUGGAAAAAUAACUUCUUUAAGCAUCUUAAUAGAAGUGCUAUGAUCAGCACUACUAGUUGGAAUAGCUUCUACCCACUUAGUAACGUAAUCAACAGCAACUAAAAUAUGUGUGUAUCCAUUGGAGGCAGGAAAAGGUCCCAUAUAAUCAAAGCCCCAAACAUCAAAUGGUUCAAUAACAAGUGAAUAAUUCAUAGGCAUUUCUUGACGUCUACUAAUAUUACCAAUUCUUUGACAUUCAUCACAAGAUAAAACAAACUUACGGGCAUCCUUGAAGAGAGUAGGCCAAACAAAACCGGAUUGCAAUACCUUAUGUGCAGUUCUGUCUCCAGCGUGGUGUCCUCCAUAAGCCUCGGAGUGACACUUGCGUAGGAUCUGUUCCUGUUCAUGCUCAGGUACACAACAUCUAAUAACACCAUCUACUCCUUCUUUAUAAAGAUGUGGGUCAUCCCAGAAGUAAUGUCUUAAAUAAUAGAUUUUUUCUUUUGUUGGUAUGUGAAACUAGGUGGUAUGAAUUUAGCAACGAUGUAAUUAGCAUAAUCUGCAUACCAUGGGGUAGUACGAGAAGCAUUUAUGACAUUUUAUUGUUCAUCAGGAAAGCUAUCAUCAGUAGGUAGUGGGUCAUCAAGAACAUUUUCUAACCUAGACAAGUUGUCUGCAACGGGGUUCUCAGCUCCCUUUCUAUCAAUAAUAUGCAAAUUAAAUUCUUGUAACAAGAGAACCCAUCUAAUAAGUCUAGGUUUAGCAUCUUUAUUUUCCAUAAGAUAUUUAAUAGCAGCAUGAUCAGUGUGAAUAGUUACUUUAGAAUCAACAAUAUAAGGUCUGAACUUAUCACAAGCAAAUACAACUGCUAAGAAUUCUUUUUCAGUAGUAGCAUAAUUUCUCUGAGCAUUCUCUAGAGUUUUACUAGCAUAUUGAAUAACAUUUAAUUUCUUAUCAACUCUUUGCCCUAGAACAGCACCUACGGCAUAAUCACUAGCAUCACACAUGAUUUCAAAGGGUAAAUUCCAAUCAGGUGGUUGAACAAUGGGUGCAGAGAUCAAUGCUUUCUUAAGUAUUUCAAAUGCUUCUACACAAUCAUCAUCAAAGACAAAUGGUAUAUCUUUUUGCAAUAAAUUAGUCAGAGGCCGAGAAAUUUUGGAGAAGUCCUUAAUGAACCUCCUAUAAAAAUCGGCAUGAGCAAGGAAACUUCUUAUACCUUUGAUGUCCUUGGGACAUGGCAUCUUUUCAAUAGCAUCAACCUUGGCUUUAUCAACCUCAAUGCCUCUUUCAGAAAUUUUAUGCCCCAAGACAAUACCUUCAUUAACCAUAAAGUGGCACUUUUCCCAAUUCAAGACAAGGUUAGUUUCUUCACAUCUCUGCAAAACUUGAUCAAGGUUGCUUAAGCAAUCAUCAAAAGAGGAUCCAUAAACGGAGAAAUCAUCCAUGAAAACCUCACAUAUCUUUUCACAAAAGUCAGAGAAUAUAGUCAUCAUGCAUCUUUGAAAGGUAGCAGGUGCAUUACAUAAACCAAAAGGCAUACGUCUAUAAGCAAAAGUACCGAAAGGGCAAGUGAAAGUGGUCUUUGAUUGAUCAUCAGCUGACACAGGUAUUUGAGAGAAACCAGAGUAACCAUCUAGAAAGCAAAAAUGUGUAUGUUUGGAUAAUGUUUCUAGCAUUUGAUCAAUAAAAGGUAAGGGGUAAUGAUCCUUUUUAGUAGCCUUAUUUAAUUUGCGGAAAUCAAUUACCAUCCUAUAACCUAUAAUAAUUCUUUGCGGGAUCAAUUCAUCUUUAUCAUUAGGAACGACAGUAAUACCUCCCUUCUUAGGGACACAAUGGACAGGACAUACCCACUGACUAUCAGCAACGGGAUAAAUUAUACCUACCUCAAGGAGCUUUAGUAUUUCCUUUCUUACCACUUCUUUCAUCUUACGAUUCAGCCGUCGUUGGUGAUCACGAACUGGUUUGGCAUCUUUCUCCAAAUUUAUUUUGUGUUGACAUAGAGUGGAACUAAUGCCCUUAAGAUCAUCAAGAGUAUAUCCAAUAGCAGCACGGUGCUUCUUCAGAGUUUUCAAUAAUCUCUCAUCUUCAUGCUCUGAAAGGUUAGCACUAAUAAUAACAGGAUAUAUCUUUUUCUCAUCAAGAUAAGCAUAUUUAAGAGUAUCAGGUAACGGUUUAAGCUCAAACACGGGAUCACCCUUGGGUGGAGGAGGAUCCCCUAGGAUUUCAACAGGCAAAUUGUAUUUUAGGAUGGAUUCCUGUUUAAAGAAUACUUCAUCUAUUUCUCUUCUUUCAUUCAUAAACAUAUCAUUUUCAUGGUCUAGCAAAUAUUCUUCUAAAGGAUCACUAGGAGGUACGGCAAUAGAAGCAAGACCAAUAAUUUCAUCCUUACUAGGCAAUUCCUCUUCACGGUGUUGUCUACGAAAUUUAGAGAAAUUAAACUCAUGAGACAUAUCAUCCAAACCAAUAGUAACAAUAUCCUUUUUGCAGUCUAUCCUAGCAUUAACAGUGUUCAAGAAGGGCCUACCAAAUAUAAUGGGACAAAAACUAUCUUGUGGGGAACCAAGAACAAGAAAAUCAGCAGGAUAUUUAGUUUUCCCAGACAAGACUUCAACAUCUCUAACAAUUCCCAUGGGUGAAAUAGUAUCUCUAUUGGCAAGUUUAAUUGUGACAUCAAUAUCUUCUAACUCAGUAGGUGCAAUAUCAUGCAUAAUUUCUUUGUGUAAGUCAAUAGGUAUUGCACUAGCACUAGCACCCAUAUCACAUAGGCCAUGAUAAAAAUGAUCUCCUAUUUUAACAGAAAUAACAGGCAUGCCUACCACAGGUCUAUGUUUAUCUUUAGCACAAGGUUUGGCAAUUCUAGCAGUUUCAUCACAGAAAUGAAUAACAUGCCCAUCAAUAUUAUCAGACAAGAGAUCUUUAACAAUAGCAAUAUUAGGUUCAACUUUAACUUGCUCAGGAGGUGUAUAGGUUCUAAUAUUGCUUUUACGAACCACAGUUGAAGCUUUAGCAUGAUCUUUUAUCCUAACAGGAAAAGGUGGUUUCUCAACAUAAGCAGUAGGAACAAUAGGAUCAUUAUAAGUGAUAGUCUUUUCUUCAACUUUAAUAGGUGCAGCUACUUUUACUUCUAUGGGGGGUGAUAUUUAAACCACUUAUCCUUAGGGACAUGAACAUGAGUAGCAAAGGAUUCACAGAAAGAAGCUACUAUCUCAGAGUCAAGUCCAUAUUUAGUGCUAAAUUUACGGAAAACAUCGGUAUCCAUAAAAGAUUUAACACAAUCAAACUUAGGUGUCAUACCUGACUCCUUACCUUCGUCGAGAUCCCAAUAUUUAGAGUUGCAUUUAUUUCUUUCCAAUAAAUCCCAUUUGAAUUCAAUAGUCUUCAUCAUAAAAGAGCCAGCACAAGAAGUAUCGAGCAUGGUGCGAUUGUUAUCAGAAAGCCGAGCAUAAAUUUUUUGAAUAAUUAUUUCUCUUGGGAGCUCAUGAUUGGGGCAUGAAUAUAACAUUGAUUUAAGCCUCCCCCAAGCUUGAGCGAUGCUUUCUCCUUCGCGAGGCCAAAAAUUAUAUAUAUAAUUGCGAUCACGAUGAACAAGGUGCAUAUGAUAAAACUUCUGAUGAAAUUCCAAUUUCAAUCAUUUGUAGUUCCAUGAUCCCAUAUCAUCACAUAGCCUAUACCAUGUCAAUGCAUCUCCCUUCAAAGAUAAAGGGAAGACCUUCUUCUUAAUAACAUCAUCGGGCACACCUGCAAGCUUAAAUAAUCCACAAACUUCAUCCACAUAUAUUAGGUGCUCAUCAGGAUGCAUUGUUCCGUCUCCUGCAAAAGGAUUAGCUAGCAGUUUUUCUAUCAUACCCGAAGGAAUCUCAAAGUAGACAUUUUCAUCUUCAGUAGGUUCAGUAGGUUGAGGAGCAACUCUUUGCUCUACUGGUCGGGGUGAAGAUACCCCGAACAAGCCCCUCAGAGGAUUACUUUCCAUAGUAACAAGUGACAGUAAAUUUCAGCACACUAUAUAAAUUUUUCCUUACCAAAUUCCACCUACCAAAGGCGCUUCAAUCCCCGGCAACGGUGCCAGAAAAGAGUCUUGAUGACCCACAAGUAUAGGGGAUCUAUCGUAGUCCUUUUGAUAAGUAAGAGUGUCGAACCCAACGAGGAGCAGAAGGAAAUGAUAAGCGGUUUUCAGCAAGGUAUUCUCUGCAAGCACUAAAAUUAUAGGUAACAGAUAGUCUUGUGAUAAGAUAAUUGGUAACAAGCAACAAGUAACAAAAGUAAAUAAAGUGCAGCAAGGUGGCACAAUCCUUUUUGUAGCAAAGGACAAGCCUGGACAAACUCUUGUAUAGAGAAAAGCGCUCCCGAGGACACAUGGGAAUUAUCGUCAAGCUAGUUUUCAUCACAUUCAUAUGAUUCGCGUUUGGUACUUUGAUAAUUUGAUAUGUGGGUGGACCGGUGCAUGGGUGCUGUCCUUACUUGGACAAGCAUCCCACUUAUGAUUAACCCCUAUUGCAAGCCGCAACUACAAAAGAAGUAUUAAGGUAAACCUAACCAUAGCAUGAAACAUAUGGAUCCAAAUCAGCCCCUUACGAAGCAACGCAUAAACUAGGGUUUAAGCUUCUGUCACUCUAGCAACCCAUCAUCUACUUAUUACUUCCCAAUGCCUUCCUCUAGGCCCAAAUAAUGGUGAAGUGUCAUGUAGUCGACAUUCACAUAACACCACUAGAGGAGAGACUACAUACAUCUCAUCAAAAUAUCGAACGAAUACCAAAUUCACAUGACUACUAAUAGCAAGACUUCUCCCAUGUCCUCAGGAACAAACGUAACUACUCACAAAGAAUAUUCAUGUUCAUAAUCAGAGGAGUAUUAAUAUGCAUAUAGGAUCUGAACAUAUGAUCUUCCACCAAAUAAACCAACUAGCAUCAACUACAAGGAGUAAUCAACACUACUAGCAACCUACAGGUACCAAUCCCAGACUUAGAGACAAGAAAUGGAUACAAGAGAUGAACUAGGGUUUGAGAGGAGAUGGUGCUGGUGAAGAUGUUGAUGGAGAUUGUCCUCUCCCGAUGAGAGGAGCGUUGGUGAUGACGAUGGCGAUGAUUUCCCCCUCCCGGAGGGAAGUGUCCUCAGCAGAACACCUCUGCUGGAGCCCUAGAUUGGUUCCGCCAAGGUUCCACCUCGUGGCGGCGGAGUCUCGUCCCAAAAGCUUGCUUAUGAUUUUUCUUCGGACGGAAGACUUCAUAUAGCAGAAGAUGGGCACCGGAGGGCCAACAGGGGGCCCACGAGGCUGGGGGGACGGCCAGGGGAGUAGGGUGCGCCCUCCACCCUCGUGGCCAGGGUGUGGGCCCCCUCUGGUAUUUCUUCCGCUCAGUAUUUUUUAUUAUUUCCAAAAAUGACUUUCGUGGAGUUUCAGGACUUUUGGAGUUGUGCAGAAUAGGUCUCUAAUAUUUGCUCCUUUUCCAGCCCAGAAUUCCAGCUGUCGGCAUUCUCCCUCCUUAUGUAAACCUUGUAAAAUAAGAGAGAAUAGGCAUAAGUAUUGUGACAUAAUGUGUAAUAACAGCCCAUAAUGCAAUAAAUAUCGAUAUAAAAGCAUGAUGCAAAAUGGACGUGUCACAAGGCAGCGGAUGAAGGUGCUCCUUCCAAACGGAGGGCCUCUACAGAUUCUACUCCUCCAUCCCCCCAAGAUGAUUUCCAAGACAACACAUGCAUAGACACUCAAGGUAGCUGUGUUGGUGAUGAGCACGUCUCCCCUAGUGCACCAUCACAGGUGCUCCCUCUAACUUGGCACUGUUAUAUGUGGUUACAUGUUAUGUAUGAUGUCUAGCUUGUAUUGCUUCUAAUUUUGUUGAAUUUCAUCUGCUUACUUUACACAUUAUACUUGUGACUAAGACACGUGUUCCUGUUUCUAGAACAUACAAUAUCUGUCUAUCACACCAUGUUCUUACAUCAAAGUACAUUUGUUCUGAAGAACUAAAUUGUUAUUCGUUUUUCUUGUCGGCUUGACUUAACAUGGCACAGAGAAAGAGGAAGCAAGACAGAACGAUAGGGAAAGGGAAGCGGAAUAAUCCUGCAGAUUUUGCUGGUACUGAUGGUGCAAUAGAAGGUCAAAGUCCAGCGGAAAAUUGUACCGACAGGGUAUCCCGUGCUACACGAGCUGCAGAACAAGCCAAACAGAAACAAAUAGCUGCCACCAAACAAGCAGAGACAACCCUAGUUGUUGCAACACCUUCCACAGUACCACCAGCUGCACGAUUUACUCGUUGGUCAACUCAGCUAGCAGCACGUUCCCAAGCUCCCUUGCCACCUGACACUACUUCUGAAGCACUCUUGACACAAGAUGAGUUGGCAAGAUCAGAUGAACUUUGUGAGCUUCAACAGCAAGAAGGUAGUUGCUGGAGUCAAGUUACAGUUGCAUGCUUCUUUAUAUGUAGUCUCACAGUUUGAUGUACACUAACACUUCCUAUGUUUGUUGUUGGACUAGCACCUAGGCGCAAGAGGAAACAAACUUCAGGGAUAAUGCUCAAUAGGUUAACUAAAUCUAGAGGAGGAAGAAUGUAGAUCCGUUUUGAGGCAGGUUUAAAAAGGCCACGUGAUGCUACAGAGUCAGCCAAGUUAGUAUCAGACACAGCGGUUGCUAUUAGGUGUCAUGUACGUAUCCUCCCAACCUGGAUUCAGUAUAGGAAUGACAAAGACAAAACCUAGUUCAACACCUUCCUCGACCAUUUAUCUGUAAGUAUGGUUAUGUACGGAAACUAGUAAUAUUGUCUUGCUCUGUCCAAUACUUUCUAGGUUGCUGAUAAUGAGACUCCCAUCAUUUUCAACAGAUGAGGUUCAAGUUGGAUAGCCAAGAUGAUGCAACCAGACAAGCUUGCACCCAUGUUUUCAAGUCUACUCUGCGACAGUAUUGGUAUAACUUGAUGAAAACUCACAUUGAAGGCAAGGCUAACAGUGAACUUGCCCAAACAUCUCCGGUGGGAAAUAUAUCUGAUGAAGACUUGAGAGGCCUCGUUAAACACUGGUCCGAUCUGAAGUAUCAGGUACAUUAUAUAUAUGUGAUCAGAUCACAUGUUGAAGUCCGAUUUACGCAUGUGGCACACAAACCUAUCUUCUUGUAGGUGAACUGUUCAAAGAACAUUGCCAACUAUACGAAAGUGAAAUUCCAACAGACGAUAGGAUCUCGUAGCUAUAUUGCACACUGCGAGGCUCUUGUAAUUAGCUGCUGUUUCACUCUUUUCGCUGUACCAUAUUAUCAGAUCUAUAUUGACUUGUUUGAAAUGCAGAGGAAAGCCCGCAAGGACCAAAAAGUACCUGAACCAAAUGCUGUGGAAAUCUUCAAGGACUGUCACACCAGCAAGAAGAAGGGCAUGACUACACCAGUCAAAGCCGCUGUUGUAAGUCCUUAAUCCUCAUGCCUUUUAACUACUACUUACUCUGACUUGUGCCUUGAACUGCAUGGUUUGCAGCCAAUGUCUAUUACUCUUUUCAAUUUUAUACACAAUUGUCUUAGCGUAUCAUUGCACCUUACAAGGUUUAAAACAGAGGAGUGAUGUUCCUUUGAUCUUGACCUGUAAUCUAGUUCCGUGCUGGACUUGCCCACACAACAUUACAAUUGCAUGUUUGUCUGUUCUCAGUUGUUUUGUGAUAUGAAUGAUGUCAUACUAUGCUUACCGUAUUAUAAACUUCGUCUCUUUAUCCUUAGCCAUCAAUACAAUGUGAAGAAAUAGACAAUACAUUAGCGAUGGUACAUGGUCAUAUGUCUGGAACCUGGUUUUAUUAUGUACUUUGCAAUAAAAUACAACUAAUAUUUUACAUGGGUUCACCAGAAUAAGUUCUAUAUAUAGACCAAAGCUAUUUUUUUUGGUUUUGCUGCCUCCUUAAUAUCUUCUGUUCUGGUACUACUAACGUAAAACCUCAACUUUUCAGUGAGCUAUGGAAAAAAUGGUGGAACCGCCACCUUCUGAAGGUGGCGAGGCAACUAUAACCGCAAUGUCAGCUCUUGCUGCAGUGGGUCAGUACCUGUCCACUAACAGUGCCAAAAGCACAUUCCUACGUAAUACUGGGUUGGUUGUUAAGGCAAUCUCGUCCAAACUGCCUCAUGAUCAAGAUAUGCAUGCUCAAAACAAUGUUGUAUCUGCGCUCCAGACACAAGUCCAUUCCCUAACAGAGACCCUUUGUGAAACAAGGAGAGACAUUGUUCGAUGUUGUGAAGAUAUGCAUGGUUUUGAAACCAGACUAUCAAACAUUUGCUAUGUUGUUCAGGGGCUUAGGAGAACUAAAGGUGAAGGUUAUGGUGCUCCAUCGGACAAUACAACAUGAAAACAUAACAGUCAGGUCAAAUGAACCGAGCUUCUGAACUUCUGGUGGUGCAUUUAUCUGCUACACUGUUAACUUUUAUGCCAACCUUCCUUUUGUUUUAUAGUUGAAAUUUGUUUUGGUGCGAUACAAAAUUUGUUCUUAAUGUGCAGCCACCGGUUGAAGAAAACAGCAAGCCAUUUUUGUAUAGUGUAGGGUGUUCCCUAUAUUUGCACUGGUGGCGAACUUUGAUGCCCACUAGCUGUAGUUAACAUGGGCCUCCUAUGGGUCGUAGAAACAAUGGGCCUUCUAAGGGCCGUAGAAACAAUGGGCCUUCUACAGGGCGUAGAAACAGUGGGCCUUAUACGGGCCGUAGACACAAUGGGCCUUCUACGUGUCGUAUCAUCAAUGGGCCUUCUAAGGGCCGUAGAAACAAUGGGCCUUCUACGGAGCAUAGAAACAAUGGGCCUUAUACGGGCCGUAGACACAAUGGGCCUUCUACAGGCCGUAUCAUCAAUGGGCCUUCUACGGGCUGUAUGAUCGGUUGGCCAAACAUGGGCCAAUAAUAGACCACAUUAUGGUUGUAAAUGGGCUAGAGUUGAAAUCAUCCGUUCAUGGGCCGACCAUAACGGGCCGUCGUUAAUCGGUCGUAUUUGAUGACGCUAUGAAAACGGCCCAACGUAUUAACGGGCCACAAACGGGCCGACUGUAACCACGGGCUGAAUUUGGCCCACAAGCAGAAAAUGACAGUAACGGGCCGUAAGUAAACGAAUGCUGGAAAUGAGCCCAAGAAUAAAUGGGCCCUGAGAAGGCCGAAAGAUAACAUGGGCCGGAAACAGCCCAACGGAAUAAUGGGCCGUUAAUGGGUAUAAAGUGAUACACUGUUCAUUAUGGGCCAGUUUCACCACGUGCCGUUAAUGGGUAUAAAGUGAUACACUGUUCAUUACGGGCCAGUUUCACCACGUGCCGUUAAAUGGGCCGAGAGUUACUAAGGGCCUCAUAUGGGCUGAAAGACGUCAUAGGCCAUACAUGGGCCGGAAGUUAAAACGGGCUGGAAUUAUAUUGGACGGCCCAGAUGACGCUACUGGGCCUAAUUCGGAUAGGCCGUAAACGGGCCCUGGGUUAGCGGGCUGUAAAUGGGCUAUAUGCGAACAAGCCGUUAACAGGCUUGCCAUGGGCCGGCCCGCCACCUUUUGACCAUGUCAAACGGGUCGGCCUUUUCACAGGAAUGGCCGUCUGUUGGGCCGUGCCACGUGUCGACGUAUCAUAGACGCUUUGGAUCCAAUGAGUGGAUGACAUCUGUCCCAACGGUGAGCCGACACGUGUUUCCUCCAGCCAAUGAUGAUUUUACACGUGGAAAAUCCCCCAUUGGUCGGGGCUGUUAACGGGUUAUCGGAUCCAAAACCGGACCUGAUAGCUUAACGGCGUUCCGUUACGGUGGAUGCCACGUGUCGGUCACCCUUGACGAAAGCACUUCUGUGACGCGCGAUUUAUCGUCAUGGAAGUGGACAAUUCCAUGAUGAUAAUUUUGGUAAUGUCAUGGAACACUUCUACGACAGCACAUGUAAGACUAUCUUGAUUCUGUCAUAAAAUCGUCAUGGAUGUACAUGCAUGACAAAAAACGCGACCUACUAUGACAAACUCGUAUCAUGACGGAAGUGUAUUUUUUUUGUAGUGCACCCCUUGACUAAGUCGGGAAAACUCAUCUUAGGGAAGGCGCUGCCACCUUGGAGCUGGUUACCCAGGCCCCCGCACAGCUGGGUGACAUGGUUUUUUCGCUAGUCAGCGAAUCCUUUUCCACGGUCAUUGACCGACAAGUGAAGAUGUGCUUGAAGAGGCCCGAAUAGGGAUGACAACCAAGGAAGUUUUCACAAAGAGAAAUGAAAGCCGAAAGGUAGAUGACAGUGUUUGGAGGGAGAUGGUGGAGCUGCGCCCCAAAUUAAUCCAAGAAAGCCCGAAAGAAAAGGUGAGGAGGCAUUGUCGGGGGAUGAACCCCAGGCAGGCAACAGAACCCGGAUCAUUUUUAAAAACAACGGGGCCAGCAAUGCCCCUCAAGCCGGCCCAUGCUUGGCUGGGUAGCUUGACCCGGCCAAGCCCAUCGACCCGGCCAAUUCCUCCAACCCGGCCGGACUCCUCAACUCGGCCCCAACAACCAGCUCAAGACAACCGAACCCGGCGCACCAAGACUUCCCCAAUAAGCCAGCUCCUCCCUUGGCGUGUUCUCCAACCCGGCCACGGGUCAGCUCCCGUCCCAUCCCAGCCGUAUGAUGGGACGAGUCUCCACCUACGGAUGAUAGAGGCAACAGUAUCCCGCCCAUGCCUCAGGUCAACCGGGGUGUGGCAACAAUGCCCCACCUACCCGCUGACCAGGGCCGGCGUGGCAACAGUGCAACCGUCGUCACCAAUGACGCCAGCAAGCGGCGACCUGACAGAGCGCCACUGUAGCCGACUCAACCCGGCCACUCCGUGACGAUCGACAAGACGGCCAACAGUGCCCCCGUACCCAGCGGGCCCCGCACCCGGAGAACCCGGUGAGCCCUGACCCCCGGCGGGUCCCAGCACCGACUUCCCGGACGAUGACAACCCGGCCCCACGGCCUUGUAACAUUACCCUUGUACCCCCGGGGGGUUGACCUAUAAAACCCCCCAGGAGCCUUCGAUCACUCACUCACUUACUCACACACACCUAGCGAGCAACACCCUAGGAGAGGGAGCAGCCUAAGCCCUGGCUUGUCUUCCUUCUUGCUCCAUACAGCUCAAGCAGCAACUUUGAACUGUUACAUAUAAACCACAAUCGGCAGGACUAGGGUGUUAUCUCUCCGGAGAGCCCUGAACCUGGGUAUGUCUUGCGUCCCGCGCUCGCUCAUGCCGACCUCGCCUCUAGAGCCCACCAGUGCCCUCGAGCCUCCUCCUAUCUUUAGCCAUCCCUUGGCAUCUGCCAUGCGCCCACCACGAUAGUUGGCUCCCACCGUGGGGUAGCUCGAGGUCCUGGCCGGGAGCAUGCUUCAGAUGGGGCUCCUCUCCGACUCCAAUGAGCCCGUCACACUGGCGGACGACGUCAUCGACGCACUCACCACCUCCUUCGCCGCGCUACGCAUCUCCGAUACACCUGCGGCCGACGAGUACCCCAGCGAGGUACUUGACUUUUCCGACUCCCCCUUUCCCUUGGCGGCGGCGCUCCCGCCGGGGCAAUAGACCUCUGCGUGGAGGUCUUCGACAACGGCGCCGCUUCCUCAUCUAGCGCGGCGAGGAAGGCUGCCGAAGCCAGGGCCGCAGCGGAGCGGGCCAGCCCGCCCAACCCACUGCGCGCCAUGAUGCAGAGCCUUCACGUCCCCAUCAGCACCGACAUCGACGCCUCCGACAUCGCCGAGGCCCGGACUCGUCUCGACGAGGACCGCUAGUGCCUGCUGGACCUCACCGAGAUGCUCGCCACCACGGAGCGCCGCCUCGACUCCGCUCAGCUGGAGCGCAACGCCGCCUACGGCUUCACACCGGACGCGCUCGAGCAGAGCCGGGUCGCCAACGUGCGGGCCCGGGGCGGCGCGAACGGGCGCGCCUUCGGCGUCAUCCCUCCCGUCUACGAGACUCCCGUGAAGAACAUGCGCGCCGCCCAGGCGGCUGCGGUCGGCCUGGAUCAGCUCGCAGGCGAAGAGCUGCAGAACCGCCUCAAAAGGGUGAACGACCUCCUUGCUGCGGCCAACGCACAGCAGGACCGCCUCAACCAGCUCGCCAAGCCGGCGGGAUCCGGCUCCGCCCGCGUCGCCGGACCCGGCUACCACUAGAACACGGCGUCUUCACCACCUGGCGAGGCGCCUUCCGGCCGCACCCGGACCCAGCGCAACCCCACCCCGACGACUGCCGGCGGCUUGGGCGACGAGCCGGUCUCGGAGGCCCGACACCGACUCGACCCUCUGCUCCAACCCGGCCGACGUCCGACUGCGGUCGACCCGGCCCCCGCAGCGCGGGCACUGACCGGCUGGGUCCGCGCGCCAUCGACGACACCGACGCCCGCCACCGCCUCGACCGACUCGCCCUCUCCCAGGAGCUGGAGGAGACUGGCCUGGUCAGGCCGGCGUGCUUCGGACCAUGCAUCGGGUGUGAGCCCUUUACUAAAGGGUUCACGCUCCCCCACGACACCCCCAAGUACAACGGCACCGUGAAGCCGGAGGACUGGCUCACCGACUACACCACCACCAUCAGCAUCGCUGGCGGUAACCACCGCCUCGCCAUGCGCUACGCGCCUCUCAUGCUCCAGGGGUCGGCCCGCACCUGGUUGAACAGUCUGCCGGCGGGCAGCAUCAACGCGUGGGUCGACUUCGAGCAGGCCUUCUUGCGCAACUUCACCGGCACUUACAAGCGAUCUGGCCGCCCCAAUCAGCUCGCCAUGUGCGUGCAGGGGCCGGCGGAAACCGGCUGCGAGUACCUUGCACGCUGGACCGAGCUCCGGAACAACUGCGAGGGCGUCCACGAAGUCCAAGCGAUCCAAUACUUCGUCAACGGGUGCCGGGAUGGCACCCUCCUCAAGCACAAGCUCUUACGCUCUGAGUCAGCCACCAUGGCCACGCUCAUGGUGACGGCGGACAAGUACGCCAAUGCCGACUCCGCCAUGAAGAUCCAGGUGGCGCUGGAUGAAGCCGGCAAAGCGAAGCCGNNNNNNNNNNNNNNNNNNNNNNNNNNNNNNNNNNNNNNNNNNNNNNNNNNNNNNNNNNNNNNNNNNNNNNNNNNNNNNNNNNNNNNNNNNNNNNNNNNNNNNNNNNNNNNNNNNNNNNNNNNNNNNNNNNNNNNNNNNNNNNNNNNNNNNNNNNNNNNNNNNNNNNNNNNNNNNNNNNNNNNNNNNNNNNNNNNNNNNNNNNNNNNNNNNNNNNNNNNNNNNNNNNNNNNNNNNNNNNNNNNNNNNNNNNNNNNNNNNNNNNNNNNNNNNNNNNNNNNNNNNNNNNNNNNNNNNNNNNNNNNNNNNNNNNNNNNNNNNNNNNNNNNNCAGAACAACAAGCGCAAGGCCGAUCAGCCAGCCCAGCGCUAUGACAACCGGCACGUCGCGGCCGCCGAGCAGGCGCCUGCGACCAAUCCGGCCGCCAAGCGCCGGUAGACCGGCAAGAAGACAUGGCAACCCGCCAUGAUCUUCGAGGAGAUGCUCGACGCCCUCUACAAGCACCACAGCGGCGCAAGGCCUUCGACGCACACGCUUCGGCAGUGUGCCAUCACCAAGCGCCUCCUAAGGGGCGACAUCCCGCCUCCUCCGGCCCCGGCUCCAGGAGCGGGGCAGCCGCCUCCGCCUCCACUCCGCCACCGGCUGGCGGUGCGAUGCGCGACGACAUCUACCCGGCCCAGAACGCGACCUACGUCGUCUUCACCAGCCUCGGCGACGACAAACGCAACGAGCGCCUCCUUCGGCAGGAGGUGAACACCGUUAUCCCGGCCAAGCCGGAAUUCAUGCACUGGUCGGAGCGCCCGGUCACCUGGACUCGGGAGGACCACCGGCCAUCAUGCCAAACCCGGGUGGUUACGCCCUCGUCCUCAACACCACCAUUGUCGCACAUCGGCGCACGUGCAAGUUCUCCCGGGUUCUCAUCGACGGCGGCAGCAGCAUCAACAUCCUCUACCGCGACACCUUGACCAAGCUCGGCCUCGAGGCCAAAGACCUCGAGCUAACCCGGACGAUCUUCCCCGACAUCUUCCCUGGCCUCUCCUGCUCUCCGAUCGGACGGGUCCGGCUCGACGUCCUGUUCGGCGACAGCAGCCACUUUCGACGCGAGCCGCUCUGGUUCGAGGUGGUGGACCUGACCAGCGCGUACCAUGCGCUGCUUGGCCGGCCCGCGCUUGGCAAAUUCAUGGCGAUUCCUCACUACGCCUACCUGAAGAUAAGCUAUUGGGUCUGAGGGGCUUCAUCACCAUCACCGACGACUACCGCAAGUCCAUAGAGUGCGCCCGAGACGGCGCCAAGCUGGCCGAGUCGCUCGUCGUAGCCGAGGAGCAGCGCCAACUCGACCGAAUUGUCGCCUUGGCCCAAGAGGCGUCGACCGCGCCGAUCCUGGCCGAUGAGGCCUCGUUCAAGCCCUCCAGGAGACCAAGAAAGUGAAGCUGAACCCGGAAGACCCCAGCUGCAGCAAGUACGUUGUCGUGGGCACCCGCCUCAACAACAAAUUGGAAGGCGAGCUCGUCGACUUCCUUCAUGAGAAUCAGGAUAUUUUUGCAUGGACCCCAAAGGACAUGCCAGGUAUCUCGAGGAAGUACGCCAAGCACAAACUCCAUGUCCGCAAGGACGCCAAGCCUGUCCAUCAACCCCUGCGACGUUUCUCCCAAGAGAAGAGAAGAACCAUUGGUGAAGAGGUCGCCAAGCUCUUGGCGGCCGGCUUCAUCAUGGAAGUGUUUCACCCCGAGUGGCUGGCCAACCCAGUCCUUGUCCUAAAGAAGAACAAGACCUGACGCAUGUGUAUCGACUACACCAGCCUGAACAAGGCCUGCCCCAAUGACCCGUUCGCCCUCCCGCGGAUCGACCAAGUCAUCGAAUCCACUGCCGGGUGAGAGCUCCUAUCCUUCCUGGAUGCUUACUCCGGCUAUCAUCUAAUCAAGCUGGACCCGGCUGACGCCCUGAAGACGUCCUUCAUCACGCCCUUUGGGGCGUAUUGCUACAUCACCAUGUCGUUCGGCCUGAAGAACGUCGGCGCCACCUUCCAGUGCUGCAUGCAGAAAUGCUUGCUGCCGCAAAUCGGCUGCAAUAUCCACGUCUAUGUGGACGACAUCGUGGUGAAGACCAUGCAGCACCUCAUGCUCCUCGACGACCUAAAGGAAACCUUCGCCAACCUGCAUGAGUACAAGGUCAAGCUCAACCCGGAGAAGUGCGUUUUCGGCGUCCCGGCCGGAAAGCUACUCGGCUUCCUCGUCUCGGAGCGCGGCAUUGAGGCAAACCCAGAGAAGAUCAAGGCCAUCGAGCGCAUGCUCAAGCCGGCUCGGCUACGCGAUGUCUAGAAGUUCACCGGCUGCUUGGCCUCGGUCAGCCGGUUCCUCAGCCAGCUGGGCGAGAGGGCCUUGCCCCUGUAUCAACUGAUGAAGAAGACGACACCAUUCGAAUGGAAUGACCAGGGGGACGAGGCUUUCCAGGAUCUCAAGUGCAUGCUCUCCACCGCACCAGUCCUGGCCGCAUCGACCGAGAAGGAGCCGCUGUUGCUCUAUAUCGCCGCGACCUCGCGGUCGGUCAGCACGGUGAUGGUGGUCGAGCGACCAAAGAAGGACAAGGUCCAAGACGUCUAGUGCCCUGUCUAGUACCUGAGCGAGGUGCUCUCCGCCUCCAAGCAGAACUACCCGCACUACUUGAAGAUGUGUUACGGCGUGUACUUCACCGCCAAGAAACUGAAGCAGUACUUCCAAGAGCACGUUGUUACCGUGGUCAGCACGUCCCCUCUCGGUGAAAUCAUCAGGUGCCGGGAUGCCUCUGGCCGGGUCGCCAAGUGGGCGCUCGAGCUAGCCGGCCACACCAUCCUCUACGGGCCCCGCACUACGAUCAAGUCCCAAGCUCUGGCUGACUUCCUCGUCGACUGGACCGAGACCCCGUACCUGCGGCCACUGCCAGACUUGACGCACUAGCACAUGCACUUCGACGGCUCGAAGAUGCGUCUCGGCCUAGGGGGCGGCAUUGUGUUGUCCUCCCCGAAGGGCGACCGGCUCAAAUACGUGCUCCAGAUCCAUUUCGCCGCCUCCAACAACGUCGCCGAGUAUGAAGCCCUUGUGCACGGCCUCCGGCUUGCCAAGGAACUCGGCAUCCGGCGCAUCCUGUGAUAUGGCGACUCGGAUUUGGUGGUGCAGCAGUGCUCCGGCGAGUGGAACGCCCGUGACCCCAACAUGGCAAGCUAACGCUUCCUUGUCCAGAAGCUGUCCGGAUUCUUUGCGGGUUGCGAGUUCCUCCACGCACCGCGCGCGGAAAAUGAGGCGGCCGACAAGCUCGCCAAGAUCGCCUCGUCCUGCCAGUCCAUCCCGUCCGGCGUCUCUCUCGAGCACCUGCACAAACCAUCUGUCAAGCCCUCUCCGGACUACGAGUCAAUCAACAUCCCAGACGACCCGGUCGCGCCUCACCCGGGCCGGGGAUAGUCGAACCCGGCCCGGGGAUUGUCGAACCUGGCCUGGGGACUGCCGAACCCGGCCCGGGGGCUGCAGCUGGCAACCCGGCCGCCGCCGUUCCCGACCCGGGGACUGCUGAACCUGGCUUGGGGGCUGCCGCCCCAGAACCCGCCAUGGUGGCCGUCUUCGCCGUAGUGACGGCGACAUCAUGGGCCCUGCCUAUCUCGGAGUUUCUGGAGAACGGUCCUCCCCAUGGACGAGACCGAAGCCCGGCAAGUGCAGCGCCGGGCGUCCGCCUACAGCAUCAUCAACAACGAGCUCGUCAAGCGCAGCUCCGCCGGCGUGUUCCAGCGCUGCGUCAAGCAAGACACGGGCAUUGAGAUCCUCCUCAACAUACACCAGGGCGAGUGCGGGCACCAUGCCGCCUCGCGGUCCCUGGUGGCCAAGGCUUUUCGCCAUGGUUUUUAUUGGCCCACGGCCCUCGAAGACGCAGAGUUGCUCGCCCUCAAGUGCGAGGGAUGCCAGCGCUUCAGCAAGCGCAGCGACCAGCCGGCGUCGGCACUCUAGACCAUCCCGGUCGCCUGGCCCUUCGCGGUCUAGGGACUCGACAUGGUGGGGUCCUUCAAGACCACUCGAGGCGGCAUGACGCAUCUGCUGGUGGCGGUGGACAAGUUCACCAAAUGGAUCGAAGCAAGGCCAAUCAAGAAGCUGGACGGGCCAACGGCCGUCCGAUUCGUCAAGGACAUCACGGUGCGCUAUGGCAUGCCAAACAGCAUCAUCACGGAAACGACACCAACUUGGCCAAGGGCGCGCUCGCGCAGUACUGCUCCGUCUCCGGCAUCCACCUUGACCUGGCUUCCGUUGCACACCCGCAGUCCAACGGCCAGAUCGAGUGGGCCAAUGGCCUCAUCCUAUCCGGCAUCAAGCCGCGGCUCGUCGACCCACCCAUCCGUUCACCCGGCAGCUGGCUUGACGACUUGCCGGCCGUCCUCUGGAGUCUUCGAACAACGCCAAACCGGUCGACCGGGUUCACCCCAUUCUUCCUCGUCUAUGGAGUAGAAGCCAUCAUCCCGACCGAUGUCGAGUUUGACUCGCCACGUCACGAUGUAUACCGAAGCCGAAGCCAAAGAAGCCCGCGAAGACGGUGUCGACCUGCUCGAAGAAGCACGUCUCCUAGCACUCAACCGCUCAGCCAUCUACCAGCAAGGUCUAAGGCACUAGCACAGCAAGAAGAUCAAGCCCCUCGCCUUUCGGGAAGGAGACCUCGUCCUCCUACUCGUCCGAGAGCAGACCGGCCAACACAAGCUGUCCUCCCCAUGGGAGGGCCCCUUCAUCGUCAGCAAAGCCUUGUGCGAUCGCAACGCCUACUACCUCAUCGAUGCCCGCAAGUCAAACAAGCGCACGAGAGGCACCGCCGGUGAAGAAACAAUCCGGCCGUGGAACACAGAACUCCUCCGCCCGUUUUACAGUUAGCCAUGUGCACGUAUGUAUCGCUGCCUUUUGUAAUCAUUUGAAAACUAUGGAGUCCCGGAACGACGCUCGGGGGCUGCCCUUCCUGAGCAUGCUAUUUUGUCUCCUACAUUUGUGCACCAUUUACCUCUUUGUCAAACCUGACCACCGGUCCGACUCGAUCGACCCGGGGGCUCGGGGGCUGGCCGGCUUGGUCACCACCUGCCGCCUUUCCUUAGCAGUUCUUGACGCACUGGGAUCGUCGCGACCUUCCACUUCGCCCUAAGCCACAGAACCGGCUUCGGCUGUCGACUGGCAAGCGCGCAAGGCCAGAGCACCAAUCCGCCACAAACACUAAGUCAAGGACCGCCGGGUCACCCAACCCGGCCUCGCCACUUUAAGUUGCCGCACGACCGGCUACUCGCCAACCGGCUUCGCCGGAUUGCUGCCAGCCGGCCCAGUGGGUGUUUCGCUCGCGCUCAAUGUUUCGACAGCUUAAGUAUGGCGCGCUCCUCUCAAAGGCUGAACUCCUUGUCACGGACCGGACCCUCGGCCGUCAGACUCGCGCGGGGGGGGGAGCCCGAGAGGGGAAAACCGCAAGAAAACGGCUCAAAGGACAAAAGGCAAGAGUGCAAACAUUCACGAAAUUUAUACAUCACCAGUUCAAAUUUAAACAGGCCUAAGGCCAGAGUUCAUUACACCCGGAAACCCCCAGUUGGUGGGUGGACCUGCUAACUAACAGAAAUUUUCGCUAAGUUCAAAACAGGCAGCCUCAGGCAUAUCCCUCGGUGACCUCCGGGCCUGCCGAGGUGCCGGUCUCCCCCUCCUCAGCGUCCACAUUGCGGUAGACAUCCGUCUCCUCAGAGCUGCCCUCCGGGUCAUCCAGAAGCAGGCCAUAGUCGUCAGCAGGCACGACUCCGCCAUCUUCCACCCGCUCUGGCCGGAACUCGUCGUGGAAGGCGAACCCGGUGAUGUAGCUGGCCCGAGCAGCGAUCUGGCCGGCCUUUGCCUGCAGCUGGCUCUCCGAGCCGGCUCGCUGGCCCAUAAACGCGUCCAGCGACAGGUCCAGAUACCAAGACAUCGCGAACCUGAGUGCCAUCUCGGCGCCAGCACGGGCGAUGGAAACGCGCAAGUCAUGGAGCCAAUCCGGCCCCGCCUCCAACCACCGUGCCAGCCGCGUGAAGCUGUUCGGCACAACGGAACCCGGCCAGAGGGCCGCUGUCAUCGCCACGCCUGCCUCAGAGAGCCGCCCCAUCUGCUUGCUCAAAACUCACAGACGGGCCUCGGCGGCGGUCACGAUCUCCGGGAAGGUCCAGGCCACCCGCGGGUCAGUCCCGGAGCCGACGAUCCCCUGCGGAUCGCGCUGAAAGCGGACCGCCUCCUUCGCCAUCUGGCGUGUCUCCGGGAAGGCCACUGUCAAGAAGAAAAGCAAGUCAAAAGAAAGUCACCAAGGACAAGAAGCCGGGGUCCCAACCCGGCAAAAAACCCAAGGAAAGCACUUACUGCAGAAGGACUCUUCCAGGUGCUGCGCUUCGAGCAACGUAUCGCGCCGCUCCCGGGCGAUGGUCCAGUUGCGCUCCUGGAGCGUCUUCUCCAGCUCGGCGACCUUGGCAAGGGCCGCUUUCAGCUCGGCGUCCUUGUCCUCAGUCGCCUUUGCGGCCUCCUCAUGGCGCCGGGUCUCCUCCGCCGCGGCCACCAGCGCCUUCAGACGCUCCACCUCGGCCUGGAGCUGAUCCUUGUCGUCGGCCAGCUUGCCGCGUUGCUGGUCCGCCUCGACAAGGGCCUGCUGCUCCUCCACAACCUUGGCGGCUUCCGCCUUAAGGCGCUCCACCUCGUCCUCAACACGGCCCUUGUCUCCCUUCAGCUGCUCCCGCAGGCGGCUGGCUUCAUCGAGCGCCUGCCGGGCUCCUGUCGCCUCCGCCCUCGCCCUCGCCACAUCGGCCCCAAGCCGGCCGGCAUCGGCAACGAGCCGGUCAUAGUGGAAGCCGGCCCGAAUCAGCCGGGUCCUCCAGGACAGCACCUCGGCUGAAGAAGAAAGAUUCAGAAACAAAGUACUAUUUUAAGAUUCGACCCAACUGCUACGUACUUGGCCCGAAUCUCAGGGGCUACACCCAGUGGGUGCGCUAGCGCGCCCCCACUAAAAAAGAGCACGCAAAGAAAAUACCUGCCGCGGCGCGGAGCUCCUCCUCAUUGGCGGCAAGCUGCUCCUUGAGCCGCUGGUGCGUCUCCAAGAGCCGGUUGAAGACGCUGACCCAGUAGGAGUCCAGUUGCUGCAGAAGGCACAAUCAACACAAGAUAGUGAUUUAAGAUUCGGCCCAACUGCUACGUAGUUGGCUCGAAUCUCGGGGGCUACACCCAGUGGGUGCGCUGGUGCACCCCCACGAAGAAGAAAAGCAGGGGAAACUUACGAGCACGGCGCGCUCCAGCUCCUGCGUCUACUCCACCUCGACCUGGGCGAAGGCCUGGAGCCAGUCCAUUCGCCCUCACAGGCGCUGGGUCACGGCGGCCAUGGCCGCCUCCUCCUGGGUCAGAGGCCCGAAGAAGACCUCGCCGGUCCCGCUCCGCGUCGGCUACGACCCGACGGCCUGGCGACCUCUUGACCUGAGCACCAGGUAGUGCUCAAGCUGGCCGCGCCCCCUGUGGCCGGCGCCCCCUCCGGCGCCCUCGCCGGUUCGGCGGUCGGAGCGACCCGCGGCUCCCCCACCAAUGGCGCCUUGUUCGUCGGUGCCUCGGGCGUUCCCUCCGGCGCCAUCCGCGGCGCCUCCUCCGAGACGGCGUCGCCGCCGCCUCCGUCGAUCCCCGUCCGCUCGACCACAUCGGUCCGCUGCGGGGUGUCGUCCCCGACGACCAUGACCUCCCGGUUGAGGUCCAUCACAUCCGCGCGGUCGCCUUGGCCGCGCCUCCCCUCCAGCGAGGGCACGAAGACUGUCGCCGCCACCACCAUCCCUGCUGGCAUCUCCGGCCAUGUCGGCUCCUCGCCCGAUCGCACCCACAUUGCCGCAGCGUCAACCCAGGCCUAGGUCGACGCCGCCUCCAGCUGCGCCUCAGCCCGGUUCCGGUCCCGCUAGACCAGGCCUUCGAUGUCGGCCGGGUCCAGACCGAGAUCCAGGUCUGCCUGCUCCUCCUCCUCGUCGUCGUCCUGCCGACGGUGCCGGACCGGAUCCUCCGAAACGCGGCACCCUCGUUGGAUGCCGCAUCCGCCGUCGCUAGCGCCAGCGAGAUCGGCGACCUGAAACCCAAGACAAAAUAAAUACAAGCCAAGUAGAGCCGCUCGGCCACUCGGUUCAAGCGAAAAAGGAACUCACCCCGGCACCACCAGAACGUCGGGCCUCGCCGCCCUCUCCUGCGGAGAGCCACGCCUUCUCUUGGCGGGCGGCUUCGCACCCCCGGCCGGGUUCGCCGCGCGCUUCACGGCCGAGGCCCGCGGCGCGACAUUGUCCUUCCCGUGCGGCCAGCUCGCUGCCGGCACCCCCCAGGACGACCCGACUCUGGCCGCACCGCCACCUCCUCCACCUGGCGCCGCUGCGACAGCAACUCGCGUCAGCCUCCCAAGACCGUCCCGUGACUGGUGACUCAAGAAGUGAAGACAAGACUUACCCGCUCGGUGCCCUGCGCCCGCGUCGACGGUCGCCUCCUCCCCUCCGCCGUGGGCCUCGGGCAGCUCCGAGGCAAUGCGCACCACCUGCGCCCGCGCCCGGUUGUAAGGAUGCCGGAUGGCGUUCAGAAGCACCUCCCGUGUCACGUCAUGGCGAAUAAGAACAUGAGCGGCAGCAAAGUACAGAGAGCAAGGACUCACCAUCGGUGCCGGGUUCGCGUGGCUGUACGGGGGUUUCCCAAACUCCCAGUCAUCCCGCAGGUUGGCCUUGGAGAUGUCAUUAACCCGGCGUGCGACCUGGUCCGCCCCUAGCCGCAAGUUUGCCAUGCGGUUGGGGUCCUGAAGGCCGGUCAUCUGACUGACGAGGUGGUUGCGCUGCUGUAGCGGCAUCACUAGGCGGGCGAUGAAGGCGGUGAUGAGGUCGGUGCCGGUGAGCCCCUCCUGCUCCCUCAUCACCGUACCCGCUCGCACAGGUUGAGCACCUCCUGCGACGGGUGUUUGGGGUAGUACCCCCAGUUCUGCUUCUCCCUCGGCGGCGAGUUGACGAAGGGAGGCAAGUUGAUAUGGUCCGCGCCGAGGUUGCGGCCGUAGAAGAAAGAAUCCUGCAACUUCUUGGCAGAAUCCUCCAGCUGCAUCUUCGGGCAAUCAGCGCCCGACCGCUUGGAGAUGACCGCGGCCCCACACUCCGACAUCUCUCCGGCCCUCGGCCCCUGCUGUUUCAAGGAGAAGAAGUGCACCCAGAGGUCGAUCGAAGCCUCAACCCCCAGGUACCCCUCGCAAAAGGUGACGAAGCCCGACAGCUGCAUGAUGGCGCCGGCGCCAAGAUGAUGGGGCUGGAGCCCAAAGAACUCCAGGAAGUCGCGGAAGAAGCCGCUCGUAGGAAGCCCGAACUCGCGCUUGAUGUGCGGGAAGAAGACCAUGCGCUCCGUGCCCUCGGGCCGCGGCUCCCGCUCACCCUGCGGAAGGCGCGCGGCGACCUCCGUCGCCCCCGGCAGGCACCUGGUGGUGCAGAGAUAGGCGAUGUCAUCGAGGGUGACGGUCAAGCCCAUCCACGAGCCCGACGGCAGCGCCAUCGAUGAAGAUGCAGGAGGAGGAAGAAGAAGAUGGUGAUGAAGCUCUGCUCAAAGCAACGGGCGUCGCAGCGCGCGGCGGUCGCAAGAAGCAGAGGAAGGAAGAAAAAGGCAGGAGGGCGUGAGCGAGAAUGAUUUCCGCCGCCCCCUCCUCGCCCCAAUUUAUAAGCCAUAGUUUGAAACAUGGGGGAGUGGGAUCGUUUGCGCCCACCUCUCCCACUUUCCCGCAAUAACUGCGCAUGUACAUGCGCAAUAACUGCCUCGAGAAUGGCAACCGACUUGCGGACGCCACAAUAAAUACGCGCGCGUGGGCCGAGGGCGCGCGGCUGCGCGCCCCAGCGCGUCGCCCUGUCCCAUCGCGCGCGUGGCCUGUCAGGCCCUUCCGGCUUCCGGGCGCCAUGUGGCGCCCGCGCGAAGUCCAAAAGGUUACCCCAAGAUUCGACGAACUCCUCGGUUUCCCGCCUCUGACGGGGUGCCGCGAUCCGGCUUCCGGAAGCCGGCACACAGUGGGUGUUGCCGGACCCGGCGGCGAUAAAAUUUGCCUCCUUAGGGAAGGGAAACUACGAAGGCCCUCCCAUCCGAAGACGGCGGACCUUCACAGCUUCGGGGACUACUGUCGGGGGGAUGAACCCAGGCAGGCAACGGAACCCGGAUCCUUUUUAAAAAUAACAGGGCCAGCAAUGCCCCUCAAGCCGGCCCAUGCUUGGCCAGGUAGCUCGACCCGGCCAAGCCCCUCGACCCGGCAAAAUACUCCAACCCGGUCGGACUCCUCAACUCGGCCCCAACAACCAGCUCAAGACAAUCGAGUCCGGCGCACCAAGACUUCCCCAACAAGCUAGCUCCUUCCGUGGCAUGUCCUCCAACCCGGCCACAGGUCAGCUCCUGUCCCAUCCCAGCCGUACGAUGGGAUGAUUCUCCACCUAUCGAUGACAGAGGCAAGAGUACCCCGCCCAUGCCUCAGGUCAGUCGGGGCGUGGCAAUAGUGCCCCACCUACCCGCUGACCAGGGCCAGUAUGGCAAUAGUGCAACCGUCGUCACCAAUGACGCCAGCAAGCGGUGACCUGACGGAGUGCCACUAUAGCCGACUCAACCCGGCCACCCCCUGACGAUCGACAAGACGGCCAACAGUGCCCCCGUACCCAGCGGGCCCCGCACCCGGAGAACCCGGCGAGCCCUGACCCCCAGCGGGUCCCAGCGCCGGCUUCCCGGACGAUGACAACCCGGCCCCACAGCCUUGUAACAUUACCCUUGUACCCCUGGAGGGUUGACCUAUAAAACCCCCAAGGAGCCCUCAUGCAUACGGGCAGACACCUUCGAUCACUCGCUCACUUACUCACACACACCUAGCGAGCAACACCCGAGGAGAGGGAGCAGCCUAAGCCCUGGCCUGUCUUCCUUCUUCCUCCAUACAGCUCGAGGAGCAACUCUGUAUUGUUACAUAUAAACCACACUCGGCAGGACUAGCGGUGUUAUCUCUCCGGAGAGCCCCGAACAUGGGUAUAUUUUGCGUCCCGCGCUCGCUCAAGCCGACCUCGCCAAUGGAGCCCACCAGUGCCCUCGAGCAUCCUCCUAUCUUUAGCCAUCCCUUGGCAUCUGUCGUGCGCCCACCACGACAGGCAUAGACAAACCUCCCUCGAUGUUUGUUACCAAGAGAACGCGCUUGUCCUCCUCCGGCACUGGCUCGAUCUCCCCCGCCUUCGUGUGCCUCUAUGCCUCCUGCGGGAUGAGCCCCUCCGCGGUGAGGUCCUACAACCGUCUGGCUGAGAUGCGCGAGGUCCCCCGACGUCCCGCCUGCCAGGCUGCCGGUGCCCAAGGAAGUGGCCUUCCCAGCUUCUUCGCCUUGUCUGUGGAAUCCUUCGCCAUGGAUCUGAGUGCUCUAAGGCGCUCGAGUGAGGAGGAUAAGCAGAGGAGUCGAGGGAUAAAAGGGGAUCUGGAGAGCUAACACCAGCCCCCAAUCCUUUUAUAUCUCUGACUAAAUCGCAUGUCGGAUCUCUCGCCGCAGAUCUCUGGAUCGACGGUGCACGUGACGAGAUAUCGUGUAGAACUACCGUGGCACGUGGCAGAUUUAGGGGGCAAAAAUCGAGGUGUCGUACCCCCACUUUCCCCACUAACCCAUGUCAUUACCGCUUCCGCGCGCACACACACAAAUUCAAUCCCAAGAUUUUUGGUGCAAAUCGAUCCGAUUAAUUGCUCAAAGUUCCCUUUCCGAGGGACGUCCGUCAGUCUGACUGACCACCCUCCACGGGGAUCCAUGCACUCGGCUACUCUAAACACCCGACCAAAGUGUUCUUCAGGAUUGCUAUGGGAUGAGCUUGAUGCCCUUCCGUGGGUUGACUUGGCCAAUUCAUUAGGCUCCGAGGCACAUGACUCGUAAAUCUGGACUCGUAGAAUGGCCUGCGCUAGAGUUCCCCUGGGAUAAGGUGUGGCAUCUCUCCAGAGAAUCGGACCAUGCGCUGGGAUCACCACUCGGGUUAUAAUGGCAUGCCCUCACUCGGGCCUCAAGUCUAUCUCCUAUAGAGACAAGCGAAUGCCACUAGGUUUUUCUCGGCAGUCAAUGACACUCGAUCAUCCGGGGAACUUAUAGUCCAUAAUCCAUUGUGUUUUCAUCUAAGGAGCAACGAACCACGAUUAGGAAACGUAUUCCGAGUGCCCCUGAAGCACUCGGACGUAAUUGAAGGCUCGGUCCAUGUGCCCUACGAAUCCUCAACCGAUUCCUGGGCUAAUGAUGAGGUUCAUCUACUAUAGGUAGAGUCAUGAACCUGUCAUAUAAGGCCCACCUAGGGCCCUGCACCAUCAUUGGUAGGUAUCAAGACCACACAAGCAUUCAGAUGAGUAUGUUGGGAAGCUCAAUCGGAUACCUCGGCAGCACUCGGACACCUCCUCAGUCGUCAUGUCAAUCAACACUUGGGCCAGAGAGAUGGAGGGACGACAUGGGAACUGUAACGGUCGAGGAAUCCUAAGUCACCUUUAAAGUGGAGUCAAGACCAUUGUUUCCCAUAACUACUGUAGUUGAGGCUCUUUGCACCUGUAAUUGCUGUAGUUAAUGGCAUUAAGUGCCUCGGCGGCGUGGAGUACAGAUAGCUGCAACGCACUCCAUAUAAGCUGCAUUCCCCCUCCUGGUCCGCGGUUAAGCAGUCUCUGUAAUCACACCCCCAAAGAAAACAAGCCUCAAGGCAUGAGACCUAGGCUAUUAUCUCUGCCGAGAGGGGCCUGAACUUGUUAAACACUGAGUGUUACACCUGCGCCGUAGCUAGGCUCUUAUCCUCUUUCAUACCCCUAGGACUCAUUGUCAAGAUCGUAACCCCGACAGACGCUACUGGCAGUCCAUACGAGCGCGUGAAGUUGUACGGAACACGGUCUUGCGCUCUGGUCUUUCUGGUGUGCCUCCUACUUGGUCUCCACUAUCUCCUCUUUACUCAUUUUCAUGUAUGACUUGAUUUCAUUCGUAAAUAGCCCAUUUCCAGUGGAAAUAAAAUAAAGAUAGGAUAUGUGCAAUGCAAUCCUUUGCACUCAUUAGCCAUUAGUAACAAUAUUAGAGCGAUAUCUCAUUUUUUAUGUAAUAUCUUGGUUCAAACUCAGGUUUGAUGAGCGUAAAAAUAACACUCACGAAUAGUGGCAAUCGUAUCUAUCGAACAAUAUGAACGGGGUACACUCAAGAAACUAUACAGGUUUGAGUCCUCUUCGGUGGAGGUAAUACCAUACUCAUGUGGUGCUCUUGCUCUCGGCAUAGGUUACAAUGUCAGAGAGUUGAACCCACAAAUCGAUGCCCUACUCCCGGCUUAUAUAGAGUACCCUAGGAGGGAUUGCCAUAACAGAUUGGUAUAAAUGCUAUUGAUGGUCGUAUGCACGACCGACUGUAUGUGACCAUUACUAUUGGCAACUGUCGUAUGUAACAAGAUUAUGUCACCAUUGGGUAAACGUUCAUAUUAAAUGUUUUAUGGGGUUACGGUAUCCUAGGACUCGGUCCACUAUAGGUCAUUUGACUGGUCAUGUCUUCUUGAUGACCGAUUGUUGGACGGGUUAAUAAUCCAACUGUAGACACUUAACCGUUGUGAUGAUCUUCCUUGGAAUCCAAUGCCCUAGGUUGUAGCUCCAAUGGACUUAGCGUGUAGCCCCCUUGCCCAUUGUAUUAUAGACCGUAUUCUUGAUUGACGUGGGUCUUUGUGACGUCCCCAAUUUAAUCACGCACUAAUCGUACACACAAAUGUGCACGAUCAAGAUCAGAGACUCACGGGAAGAUAUCACAACACAACUCUAGACACAAACUAAAGUCAUACAAGCUGUAUAUUACAAGCUAGGGGCCUCGAGGGCUCGAAUACAUAAGCUCGAAUACAAACGAGUCAGCAGAAGCAACAAUAUUUGAGUACAUACAUAAGUAAACAAGUUUGCCUUAAGAAGGCUAGCACUAACAUCAACACAUAUCGAAAAGGCAAGGCCUCCUACGUGGGAGCCUCCUAACUACUCCUGGUCAUCGGUGGCCUCCACGUAGUAGUAGGCAUCCUCGUGGUAGUAUUAGUCGUCGGCAAUGGCAUCUGGCUGCUGGGAUUCGCCAACUAAUCGCGGUAAUUGGGUACAGGGGGAAAAGAGGUAGCAAAGCAACCGUGAGUACUCAUCCAAAGUACUCACAAGACUUAUAUCAGAUCUACACUACAUAUGCAUUGGUAUCAAUAAAAGGGGGUAGUAUAUGUGGACUGAACUGCAGAAUGCCAGAAUAAGGGGGUGAUGCGUCUCCAACGUAUCUAUUUUUUCAAACUCUUCUGCCCUUCUUUUGGACUCCAAUUUGCAUGAUUUGAAUGGAACUAACCCGGGCUGAUGCUAUUUUCAGCAGAAUUGCCAUGCCGUUAUUUUUGUGCAGAAAUCAAAGUUCUCGGAUUGACCUGAAAAUUUUACGGAGAAUUUUUUUGGAAUAUAUAAAAAAUACUGGCGCAAGAAGUUAGCAGAGGGGGGCCACCCAGAGGCCACAAGCCCUAGGGCACGCCCUGCAGGCUUGUGGGCCCCGUGGACCUCCUUCGACCCUAAUUCCAACUCUAUAAGUACCUAUUUGUGGAGAAAAAAAUUAGAGAGAAGGAUUCAUCGUGUUUUACGAUACGGAGCCGCCGCCGCCUCCUAUUCUUCAUCGGGAGGGUUGUUCUGGAGUUCGUUCGGGGCUCCGGAGAGGGGGAUUCAUCGCCAUCAUCAUCGCCAACCUUCCUCCAUCACCAAUUUCAUGAUGCUCACCGCCGUGCGUGAGUAAUUCCAUCGUAGGCUUGCUGGACGGUGAUGGAUUGGAUGAGAUUUAUCAUGUAAUCGAGUUAGUUUUGUGAGGGUUUUAUCCCUAGUAUCCACUAUGUUCUGAGAUUGAUGUUGUUAUGACUUUGUUAUGCUUAAUUCUUGUCACUAGGGCCCGAGUGCCAUGAUUUCAGAUCUGAACCUAUUAUGUUUUCAUGAAUAUAUUUGUGUUCUUGAUCCGAUCUUGCAAGUUGUAGAGACCAAUUAUGAGUUAUGAUCCGCAUACCCCAAGGUGAGAAUAAUUGGGAUUCUUUCCCAUGAUUAUCGUAGUUUGAGGAGUUCAUGUAUUCACUAAGUGUUAAUGCUUUAUUCCGGUUCUUAUUAAAAGGAGGCAUAAUAUCCCUUAGUUUCCAUUAGGACCCCGCUGCCACGGGAGGGUAGGACAAAAAUGCCAUGCAAGUUCUUUUCUAUAAGUAUGUAUGACUAUAUACGGAAUGCGUGCCUACAUUAUAUUGAUGAAUUGGAUCUAGUUCUCUGUCACCAUUGGUUAUGACUGCUACAUGAUGAAUAUCAUCCAACAUAAUUAUCAUUGUCGAUCGAAUGCCUACGAGCUUUUCACAUAUUAAUCUUUGCUAAGUUACUUUCAUUGCUACUGCUGUUACAAUCACUACAAAACUACUAUUGUUACUUUUGCCACUAUUACUGUUAAUUCCAUACGACUUUGCUACUAAAUACUUUGAAGCAGAUAUUAAGUCUUUCAGGUGUGGUUGAAUUAACAACUCAACUGCUAAUACUCGUGAAUAUUCUUUGGCUCCCCUUGUGUCGAAUCAAUAAAUUUGGGUUGAAUACUCUACCCUCGAAAACUGUUGCGAUCCCCUAUACUUGUGGGUUAUAAAGACCUUUUUCUGGCGCAGUUGGCGCGGAGCAUAGCUCUAUUUGCCGAAUCACUUGGGAUUUAUAUCUAUUGAUCACUAUGAGGAAUUUGAAAUAUACCAGAACCAGGAUUUUCCCUCUACUACGAGGGGAGGUAAGGAACUGCCAUCUAGCUCUGCACUUGAUUCACCUUCUGUUUUGAGUAAACUUGUGACACCUACACCUGCUAUUAAUUCUGAUAUGUCGCAAGUAAUUGAUGAUGCUACUUCUACUAUGCAUGAUGCUUAUGAUGAUACUACUACUUUGCUUGAUAAGACUGUGCCACUCAGUGAAUUUCUUGACGAACAACUUGCUAGAGCUAAAGAUAUCGAGAAUGUUGAAACUGAUGAUAUUUCUGAAAUUGAUGAAAACUGACCACUUUGAAACACCUGUUAGACCUAGCUCUCCUAGCUAGAUAUGAAUUGCUUGUUAUAACUGAGGGUUAUGUUAUGGAUGGAGAGGUAGCUAGGGACGUUCUUGCUUGUAAAGAUAGAGAGGAUCUAAAGAAACUACUAGUCAAAUUGAAAGAAAAAAAUUUGAAUGCUUGAUAUGUCUCCAACGUAUCUAUAAUUUUUUAUUGUUCCAUGCUAUUAUAUUAUCUAUUUUGGAUGUUUUAUAUGCAUUAAUAUGUUAUUUAAUAUUAUUUUGGGGACUAACCUAUUAACCUAGAGCCCAGUGCCAGUUUCUGUUUUCCCCUUGUUUUUGAAUUUCGCAGAAAAGGAAUAUCAAACGGAGUCCAAACGAAAUAAAACUUUCGCAAUGAUUUUUCUUGGACCAGAAGACACCUACAAGACUUGGAGAUGAAGUCAGAAUUCCCACGAGGCAAUCGACGACAAGCCUUAGGGGCGCACCCUUGGGGGGCGCCCCCUGGCUUGUGGCCCCCUCGGGAGUCCACUAACCUCCUUCCUUGGCCUAUAAAUUCAGAUAUAUUCCCAAACCCUCAGAAGCAUCCACGAAAAAAAAAUCCGCCGCCGCAACCUUCUGUUCCCGUGAGAUCCCAUCUUGGGGCCUUUUCCAGUGAUCUUCCAGACGGGGGUUCGAUGACGGAGGGCAUCUACAUCAACCCUAUUGCCCUUCUGAUAAAGUGUGAGUAGUUUACCUUAGACCAACGAGUCCAUAGCUAGUAGCUAGAUGGCUUCUUCUCUGUCUUUGAUCUUCAAUACAAUGUUCUCUCGAUGUUCUUGGAGAUCUAUACGAUGUAAUCUUCUUUUGCUGUGUGUUUGUAGAGAUCCGAUGAAUUGUGGAUUUAUGAUCAGAUUAUCUGUGAAUAUUAUUUUAAUCUUCUCUGAAUUCUUAUAUGCAUGAUUUGAUAUCUUUGUAUUUCUCUUCAAAUUAUCGGUUUGGUUUGGCCAACUAGAUUGGUAUUUCUUGCAAUGGGAGAGGUGCUUAGAUUUGGGUUCAAUCUUGCGGUGUCCUCACCCAGUGACAUAGUAGGGGUAGCGAGGCACGUAUUGUAUUGUUGCCAUCAAGGAUAAAAAGAUGGGGUUUUCAUCAUAUUGCUUGAGUUUAUCCCUCUACAUCAUGUCAUCUUACUUAAGGCGUUACUCCAUUCUUUAUGUACUCUAGAUGCAUGCGGGAUAGCGGUCGACGUGUGGAGUAAGAGUAGUAGAUGCAAGCAGGAGUCGGUCUUCUUGACACGGACGUGAUGCCUCUAUGCAUAAUCAUUGCCUUGGAUAUCAUCAUAACUUUGCACUUUUCUAUCAAUUUCUCAACAGUAAUUUGUUCACCCACCGUAUUAUUUGCCCCAAGAGAGAAGCCUCUAGUGAAACCUAUGGCCCUCGGGUCUAUUUUCCAUCAUGUAUUUUUAGAUCUAUAAACCAAAAAAUACCUUGCUGCAAUUUAUUUACUUUUAUUUUUUUUAUGUUUUAGCAAUAUUUUAUACCUAUCUCUAUCAGAUCUCACCUUUGCAACUGAUCGUGAAGGGAUUGACAACCCCUUUAUCGCGUUGGGUGCAAGUGUUUGAUUGUUUAUGCUGGUGCAUAGAUUGGAGACUUGCGUGUACCUCCUACUGGAUUGAUAGCAUGGUUCUCUAACUGAGGGAAAUACUUAUCUCUACUUUGCUGUGUCGCCCUUUCCUCUUCAAGGGGAAAAUCAACGCAAGCUCAAGAAGUAGCAGGAAGAAUUUCUGGCUCCGUUACUGGGGAGGUCUACAUCAAGCCUACCAAGUAUCUAUCAUAAACUCUCAUCUCUUGCAUUACAUUAUUUGCCAUUUGCCUCUCAUUUUCCUCUCCCCCACUUUCAAAAUGAUUUUCAGAAAAAUACAAAAAGAUUUGCCGUUUUUAUUUCGCCCUCUUUUUUGUUUGCCUUUUUCUCGUUCAAUCUUAUGUUUGCUUGUGUUGCCACGUGCCUUCUAUUUGCUUGCGUCCUCGCUUGCUAAAAAUCUAUUGAUAUGGAUCCUCAUCCACUUGCUAAUCUUUUUAAGAGAUCCAAUUAUGAUGAACCAAUUGCUAGUGAGUUGAGUGCACUAGAUUAUCUUUAUGAGGUUUUGCUUGAGAUUCGUGAUUCUGAAAAUUGUGAUGAAGUGUUGAAAUAAGAAAUUUAUGAAGUGAUUCACGAUAGUGCCUUGAAUGAAAAGCAUGAUUGUAAUGAUAUUAUUAUAAAUUAUAUAAAUGUCAAUUGUGUUAAUGAUAUACAAAACCCUAAGCUUGGCGAUGCUAGUUUUGCUAUGUCCACUACUUGUUGCAAUGAUCAUGAUUGGGGUAAUUCUUCUUAUAGUCUUGAAAAUUCAUUUAAUCCCCAUGAUUAAUAUGAGAUUGAUAAUAAUGUUUGCAAUAAUAUUGAAAAUGAGUUUGGAUGAGUGUCAACUUUAGAUCCCACAUAUUUGGAAAAUGUUCAAUCUUAUGAAGUUUUUGAUAAAAGUGGGUUUGGAAAGGUCAAGACUUUAUUUGAUGAUAACCCCACUAUUUUGGAAGAGUGUUAACUUUGCAUGCAUGAGGAUCAUGUAGGAAAUAUGUUGUGUGAUAGCUAGAUUGUUGAAUUUGAUUAUGAUCCUACAUGCAAUUAUUAUGAGAGAGGAAAAUAUGGUUGUAGAAAUUUUCAUGUUACUAAAUUACCUCUCGUCAUGUUGAGAUUGCUAUUGUUUGUUUCUUCUUCCAUGCAUAUGCUAGUUUUUUCUUGCCAUGAUAAUCUAUUUGCUUAUAAAAUUCCUUUGCAUAGGAAGUAUGUUAGACUUAGAUGUGUUUGUCAUGUGUUUUAUGAUGCUGUCUUUGUGCUUCAAUUCUUGUCUUUCGAGUGGGCAUCAUUGAAAUCUCAAUGCCUAGCUAAAAGGCUUUAAAGAAAAGCGCUUAUUGGGAGACAACCCAAUAUUUGUUUCCUAUUUUUGAAUAAAUAUAUCAUCUAGCCUCUGAUUAGAUGUGUUUUCAUGUUUUAAAUUAGUGUUUGGGCCAAGUAAGACCUUUGGAAUGGCUUACGGUGAUAGUUGAUUUGAUCUUGCUGAAAAACAGAAACUUUCGUGCCGAGUAAAAUAAUUUUCCUUUUCACAAAAGCGUGAUAAAAUACUUGUUGGUGUUCUAGGAACCAGGGUACCCAGACUUGCCUGCCUGCGGCCCAUGCCGUGGCUCCCUCGACGGCCUGGUAUGGCCCAUCUACGCGACCAUCAAGGCAAGGCCCUCGCGAGGGGCCAAGCCACGCGAGGCGGACGACGCCAAGACCUCCGAAGGGAGCGGCCUCCCCAGACUGCUCCUGAGGAGCAGAGAUUCCUAUGCACCUGCCCAACCUCAUGAGGUCACGGUGACGCAAGCCAUGACGACCAAGGCCAGGCGGGCGCCAGUGGGCGCAGAGAGGACAGUUUGCUCUUCGAUGCUAAGGAGGCAAACGUAGGCGCGGGUUCCCGAGGAAUCAAGCAAAGGUUUUGAUUCCAGUGCAACAAGACCAAGACCGCCAGGACGGCAGGAAGGAUGUCAUUGCCAAGCCCACUUCAGCGUCACGACUAGAAGCUUUGUAGGCAAAGACCACCUUUCAUCAGCAUAAGAUGCACUACUUGUCCCCUUCAAACUGGCCACUGUGGAAUCCCUUCCCGCCUACGUUUUGGGGGAAGAGGGCCAAGGCCACUAUAAAUAUAGGUUAGCCACCGCCAUAGAGGGGGAUGGGAAUCUCUCAGCUCAUUCCCUCACCAGAGCAAGUCUCACAAGGUUGGUCUUCCCUUGUACUUGCUCAUCCUCAGCCCCUCGUGAGGCAAAUCCACCACAAAGCAGGAGUAGGGUCUUACACCGAAGGGGAGGUUGGCUGGAGAGGUUGAGUUCUUCGCACACACCCCAGAGUUCGAACCUUUAUUUGAUCCGCGGAGCCCUGAAUCAGACAUUUGGCGCGCCAGGUUGGGGCGCGUGAAGCUUCCCUGCCACCGUUCGCUCCUCCGCCGUUCCUUCGCUCCUAUGGCCGAAGCUCCCCGUGUUCAUGUCGAGCGUCGGGCUGCUCGUGUCACUCAGACGACACCCAUGGGUAACAGUGCUCUUCGCCGCUCUGCCUACCCGGUGGCUAACGCCGCCACCGACCCUGCUGCACAUGAGCAGCAGCACUCAUCGCUGCCACCGCCUGUGCGGCACGACAACCGCACCGCGACUCCAUCAUCCACUCUAGUCACGACGUCGUCUUCUCACGCCCGCCGUGGGCCGGCGAAUGCGCAGGCUGCGCUGGUCAUAGCGUGUGAGCUUUUGCGCUACCGCCCGGCCAACAACCUCUACGACGACUAGCUCAGCCGCAUCGCCAAGCUCGUCAGCACCACUGGAGAAGCCCUGCACCGUCCCGAUCGCCUCGUCCCCCACCGUCACUGGCAGGCGACGUGCCUCACGGCAUGCCUCCUCCUCCUCUGCACGACGUGGAUCUCGAGCCUAGGUGUGCGGCACCGUAGCAUGAUCCGCCGUGUAGGGCGCCGGCGUGCGAUGAAGAAAGCUGCCAGGUGGUGCAGUGGCAACAAGCCGAUGAGCACGUGCUUCCAGCACCGCCGCGUCAAGGUCGUGUACCACCAGAAGUGGCGGUGCGCAGGCAUCAAGAUCAAGAUCCUCCCAUGCGACCGGCCCCGGUGAGCGUGGCAGGCUGCCAUGCUUUCACCCCGGAGCUACGCCGCGUCGUCUGGCCCGGCAAGUUCAAGCCGGAUCUGCGUCCAAGCUACGAUGACAUCCCUGACCCUGCCGAGUUCCUCCAGCUUUACGAGCUAAGCAUCGAGGCAGCGAAUGGCGACGACAAAGUCAUGGCGAACUGGUUCCCCAUGGCCCUCGAGGACGGCGCGCGUUCCUGGCUCCUGAACCUCCCGGUGAGGUCGAUCUCCUCCUAGGACGAGCUCCGGGAGCGCUUCGUUGCCAACUUCCAGGGCACUCGUGACCGCGCUCCUGCAGCAGGCGACCUGCGACGCAUCAAGCAGCAGCUGGGAGAAACCUUGCACAAGUACAUACAAUGUUUCACAAACGUUCGCCUCAAGAUCCGAAAGGUGCCAGAUGAGGCCAUCAUUUCAGUGUUCGCUGAUGGCGUCCGGGAUGUCAAGAUGAAGGAGGAGCUCGCCAUACAUGAGGAGCUGUGUUCAGCUCUGGAGAUGUUCAAUAUGGCAACCAGGUGUGCAAGGGCAUAAGAAGGCCGCCUCUCCCUCCUGGAGCUCCUGGAGGUUGAUCCUGAAGACAAGAAGGACAAGGCUAAGGAAGUGAAGUGCAAGGGCCCUGCCGUGCUGGCCGCGGAGCCUGAGAUGAAGCGCAACCAUGACCACGACAAGCCUCCCAGGGGUAGCCACCUGUGACGGGCGCAUUGGCCGCCAUCCCAAGUGCAGCGACCGUGGCUACGACCGCGGUGGAGGGCGUGGGACAACCGCGGCCCCCGCGGGGACUUGUGUGGUCAGACUCAUGAGGACUGCUGGCUGGGCCAGCCUUGCGACGGCCCCUGGCGUGACCAGCCCCGCGAGGACUAUCCUUAGGGGAAUGCCGACCUUCCUCCGAUGCCGCCGCCUCCAAGGAGAUGAUGAGGCUGGAGGCUUCGAGGAGCCACGAGCAAUUGCCUGCAUCCUGGGUGGUGCUCAGGCUCCCGCCUCUCAUCGCAUCUUCAAGCAGUUCGCACGCGAGGUGAAUGCCGCCCUUCCCAAGCUAAAGGCGUCGCGUCCCCUCAGGUGGUCCAAGUACGCCAUCACCUUUGACUCUAUAGACCAGCUCAAGUGCUCAGCCGCCGCUGGCGCGCUCCCGAUGGUCUACGCGCCCACCAUCAGCAAUGUCCUCGUCACCAAAACGCUCAUCGAUGGUGGCACGGGGCUCAAUGUUGUCUCCGUCGAGACGUUCGAGAUGCUCCAGGUGCCAUACGACCAGCUCCUCCCCACCAAGCCCUUCUCAGGGGUGACCGAUGGCUCCAUCGUCCCCAUAGGGCAGAUUCGUCUCCCUGUCACCUUCGCCUCCCGUUCCAAGCUCAUCGACUUCUAUGUCACCCACAUUCGCCUCCCGUACAAUGUUGUCCUCGGUUAUCCAGCCCUUGCCAAGUUCAUGGCGGCAACUUACCACAGAUACAAUGUCCUCAAGAUGUCGGGAAGUGGCGGCAUCAUGAUGGUCGCUUGCGACGAGAAGGAUGCAGUGUGCUCCAUUGAGCGCGCCUACCAACCCGCGGCGGUCGAGAACUCCAAUGGCGAGGGUGACACCCUGCAUCCUGAAGCCAUCCCCAAGAAGAAGAAGCAGCUCCUCCCCAAGGGCCGCCAAGAGGCUGGCGCGCUCGACGACCGUGCCUUUCCCUCUCGCAUAGGAAGGCGCGCCCGACGCCCCUCUCAGGACGGGCUCGGUGGCUCUCAUCUGGAGGGCCUUUGACCUGACAAGUGUCAGAAGGGAGGCAUUCGGGCACCAUGUGGGGGCGUGCUUCCACGCGCCCCCUGUGAGCAAGGCGUGAGGCGCCAAGAGCUCAGGAGUUUAUCACCAUGGAGAUCCAGGAGCUUCAAGAGGCGCAAGCCAUGCGUGGCGAGCGUCACCCCGCACCGCCCAGUGUAGCUGCCGCCCUAGACAUGGGUGGCGAGCUGCGCGUCUGCGUCAACAUCCUAGGCCUCAACAGGGCUGCUUCGCAGGAGCUCUUUUGGCUGUCCCACAUACGCUGGAGUGGGGGCUACCCCUGCAGCCACGUCCACAUGUCGUUCGGCCUACUAAACGCGGCUACCUCACACCAGCGCUACAUGCAGGGCAUCCUGGUGGCUCACGAGGCCAGGCGCAGGCGGUCUUGGCAGAGGAGGUGCCGGAAACUCGCGAGCCCCCUGGGCCUCAGGAGCCGGCUGGCUCGUGAGGAGCGAUCUCUGCAGUGCACAUCUUCAGCUACUCCAGCACUUCUACAACGACGGUGCUAGGUGAUUUUUUGGUUUGUUCAGUUGAGGGUGCCCUUCGGGCUGCAUUAUCCUCGAGCUGCCAGGGCCAGCCCCAGUAGUUGUAUCAUUUUGAUUCAUGUACUCUGGACUACUUAUGUGUGCUCCGGUUAUUAUGGUUGUUAAUGUUACGCCUGCCGUCUCGUUACCUAUGGAGUUACCCUUCGCGACCUUUGCACAUUGCUAACCCGCCUCUUGCUCAUCCCGCAACGGGGGCUGCUGGCACGGCGCUUGUGCUUGGGUCCGUCCCUGCAGUGCUGAUAAGCCUAAGAGAUCGAGCUCUAGUGCACGUCACCUCAUCGGGUCCUUAGUGCCUUCGUAUUCUCGUGGAAAGAUCAUCGGCAGGAUAGUAAGCAUGGAUGCUUGUUGUGUUUUAUGGAUUGACCCGCAGGAACCCCCGGAGUAAGGACCACAGGAGGUUUCAGUAAUGUCGGGCACCCUCGCGGGGCAUGCCGCUCCUCUCUCGCGUAGUCCGCUUCCAUGUAAAAGGGGGGCCUUGAGCACCGCGCCUCAGGGGCUCCUACUGGCCCUCGAGCCCUCACCCACUGGCCUUGACCACGGCACCGCGACCUAGCAUACCAACGGCGGCCGAGCCUCGCUCAAGAGCCGGGUCCCGAGGACGUAGAGCACCCAGGUGAGCGGGGGAGAUGGACUCGGUAGGAGCCCUGCAGAGGGGGCACCGUCGGGAGAAGGGCAUAGCCUAACGCUACACAAGAAACUCGACCUCACAGCAAAGGGACCACCGCAGGCUCGCCAAGAUAAGUCACCUCAGACGCACAGGCGCAAACCUCAUAAUCAGCGCCUUGUCUCUGGCGAUCUCGCUCGGGCAAGGAGCUUCCCUUUCAGUCCUUCGGAAGCCGCUUGCGCGCCAAAGGGGACCCCCUGAGCAUCGCGCCUCAGGGGCUCUUACCAGACCUCGGGCCGCUCACCUCCUGGCCUUGACCACGACAUCGCGACCUGGCAUACCAGCGACGGCCGAACCUGGCCUGGGGACUGGGUCCUGCCGACGUAGAGCACUAAGCUACCGUGAGAAUGAAAGGGGGAACCAUGCCAAAGCGAGAGGCGCAAACGACAUCGAUUGGAAAUGAUAACAUUAAAGUGCGAAUGUCGCAGUUUUUACAUACCCCCAUGGCGCCCAUCAUGAUUUUUGCGCAGGAAUGAAGCAAAAGGAAAAAACCUCCUGAGAGCCAUGGCCUUGGCGGUGUUGCCAACGAUGUCAGGGUGGCGCUCCUCCUCCUCUAGGCCCGGGCGCGGAGGUGCGGCGGCUCGUAGCUGCCGUCGUCACUCGAGCCUGGUCCGGAGGAAGCACUACUGCUGUCGGAGGAAUUACAGACAAGGCCAAGGGCAAGUUCACCUCCUAGAGACCUCGCCGCCCUGCUGGCCUAUAAGGGGCCGCCGUCUUGUGCGCCUCCCCUGGGGCGACAUUCCAGACGUCGGUCGUCCUCUCCGAAGACCUUGAAGAAGAGCGUCGAAGCCCCGUCGUACUCGAAGUGGAUGGUGUGUCUCCCCUCCGAGCUGCAGGCGCGGGCGAUCUCACUCCAUCCCCGGGUCAUGAACACGUCAUCGGAGUCGACGGCCUCGACCUCCGCCUUUGAAGCAUGGCUGCAGCAGCCAUCGUGUUGCAGCCACAGCUCGACGGGCCCCGUCAGCGGUAUCCCUCGCCAGGGACCACGGGAGCCGGAUCCACGUUCCCGGCGGCAUUGCUGCCCACACCACAAACUUGCGGGCCGUGCCUUCGGCAUGCGUCUGCGGGUGGAGUGGUCGUACGGCCACCGCUUGUUCUCCCCCACGACUCCAUCCCUUGGGGCUUCCAUGGCUGCUGUCGUGGACAGGGCUAUGCGCGCGAGCAUACGUGCGGACCGGGAAGCCCGGUGGAGCACGCUCCUGCCUGGGCCGCGUUGCCAAGGGCACCGUGGUGGCCCGCGAGGGCAAUUGCGCCUUUUCUUCAAUGGGAGCAGCUCAAGUUCCACCUGAGGGGUUUUCCCUUCUCCGCGGCGGAGAACCUCCUCACUGGCGCAAUGGACGCUCUGGCAGAGUGGCGGGGUGAAGAAGAAUGAGCGAGCGGCGAGUAGAUGAAGAUGGGCUGUGGGCUCCNNNNNNNNNNNNNNNNNNNNNNNNNNNNNNNNNNNNNNNNNNNNNNNNNNNNNNNNNNNNNNNNNNNNNNNNNNNNNNNNNNNNNNNNNNNNNNNNNNNNNNNNNNNNNNNNNNNNNNNNNNNNNNNNNNNNNNNNNNNNNNNNNNNNNNNNNNNNNNNNNNNNNNNNNNNNNNNNNNNNNNNNNNNNNNNNNNNNNNNNNNNNNNNNNNNNNNNNNNNNNNNNNNNNNNNNNNNNNNNNNNNNNNNNNNNNNNNNNNNNNNNNNNNNNNNNNNNNNNNNNNNNNNNNNNNNNNNNNNNNNNNNNNNNNNNNNNNNNNNNNNNNNNNNNNNNNNNNNNNNNNNNNNNNNNNNNNNNNNNNNNNNNNNNNNNNNNNNNNNAGACGCCCAUGUCCCAUCAAGCACCACAUGUCAGCCUGGCCCACAGACGAUUGGGGCACGCGGGACUUCGCCCUUGCCUUUGGGUUCGCCUCGAAGCCAAGUCUGAGCGUGCCUUGGACCCGGGAGCUACUGUCGGUAUUCUGGGAACCAGAGUACCCAGGCUUGCCUGCCUGUGGCCCAUUGCGUGGCUCCCUCUAUGGCCUGGUACGGCCCACAUCGACGCGACCAUCAAGACAAGACCCUCACGAGGGGCCAUGCCUCGCGAGGCGGCCGACGCCAAGACCUCCGGAGGGAGCGGCCUCCCCAGACUGCUCUUGGGGAGCGGAGAUUCCUAUGCAGCUGCCCAACCUCAUGAGGUCGCGGCACAAGCCAUAACUACCAAGGCCAGGCGGGCGCCAGCGGGCGCAGAGAGGACAAUUUCCUCUUCGAUGCUAAGGAGGCAAGUGCAGGCGCGGGUUCCCGAGGAAUCAGGCAAUGGUUUUCGUUCCAGUGCAACAAGACCAAGACCACCUGGACGACAGGAAGGAUCUCAUCGCCGAGCCCACUGCGGCGUCAUGACCAGAAGCUUUGUAGGUGAAGACCACCUUUCGUCAGGAUGAGAUGUACUACUUGUCCCCUUUCAAAUUGGCACUGUGGAAUGCCUUCCCGCCUAUGUUUUGGGGGAAGAGGGCCAAGGCCACUAUAAAUAUAGGUUAGCCACCACCAUAGAGGGGGAUGGGAACCUCUCAGCUCAUUCCCUCACGAGAGCAAGCCUCGCGAGGUUGUUCUUCCCUUGUACUUGUUCAUCCUCAACCCCUCGUGAGGCAAAUCCACCACAAAGCAGGAGUAGGGUCUUACACCGCAAGGUGGCCCGAACCUGGAUAAACUGCCGUGUCCAUCUUCUUCCUUGUUCAUCGAGCUAGGCCGUGGGGUGAUGGGGUGGUAGGCUGGAGAGUUGAGUUCUUCGCACACGCCCCAGAGUUUGAACCUUCCUUGGGUCCAUGGAGCCCUGAAUCCGACAAUACUGAUUCUUUUUGCACAAGAUUGAUAUACAAAUUCCCUCCGCUGUCCUAAUUUUGCUAAAUUUUUGGAGUUACAAAAGUAUUCGAAGUUUACAGAUUACUACAGACUGUUCUAUUUUUGACAGAUUCUGUUUUCUAUGUGUUUGCUUAUUUUGAUGAAUCUAUGGGUAGUAUCGGGGGGUAUGAACCAUGGAGAAGUUGGAAUACAUUAGAUAUUACACCAAUAUAAAUAAAGAAUGAGUUCACAACAGUACCAAAAGUGGUGAUUUAUUUUCUUAUACUAACGGAUCUCAUGAGUUUUCUGUUGAGUUUUGUGUUGUGAAAUUUUCAAGUUUUGGGUAAAGAUUUGAUGGACAAUGGAAUAAUGAGUGGCAAAAGCCUAAGCUUGGGGAUGCCCAAGGCACCCCAAGGUAAUAUUCAAGGACAACCAAUAGCCUAAACUUGGGGAUGCCCUGGAAGGCAUCCCCUCUUUCGUCUUCAUCCAUCGGUAAAUUUACUUGAGGCCAUAUUUUUAUUCAGCACAUGAUGUGUGCUUUGCUUGGAGCGUCUUGUAUGAUAUGAGUCUUUUCUUUUUAAUUUGCCACAAUCAUCCUUGAUGUACACACCUUUUGAGAGGACACGCAUGAAUCGUGAAUUUAUUAGAAUAUUCUAUGUGCUUCACUUAUAUCUUUUGAGCUAGGCAAUUUGCUCUACUGCUUCACUUAUAUCGUUUUAGAGCACGACCGUGGCUUUAUUUUAUAGAAAUUCUUGAACUCUCUUGCUUCACUUAUAUUAUUUUGAGAGUCUCUCUAAACAGCAUGGUAAUUUUCUUUGGUUAUGAAUCUAGUCCUAAUAUGAUGGGCAUCCAAGUGGGAUAUAAUCAAAACUUCCAUAUAAAGUGCAUUGAAUACUAUGAGAAGUUUGAUUCCUUAUGAUUAUUUUGAGAUAUAAAGAUGGUAAUAUUAGAGUCAUGCUAGUGAGUAAUUGUGGAUUGGUAGAAAUACUUAUUUUAUAGUUUGUGAUUCCUGUAGCAUGCACGUAUGGUGAACCGUUAUGUGAUGAAGUCGAAGCAUGAUUUAUUUAUUGAUUGUCUUCCUUAUGAUUGGCGGUCAGGGACGAGCGAUGGUCUUUUACUACCAAUCUAUCCCCUAGGAGCAUGUGUCUAUUACUUUGUUUUGAUAGCUAAUAUUUUUUUGCAAUAAGUAUGCGAGUUCUUUAUGACUAAUGUUGAGUCCAUGGAUUAUACGCACUGUCACCCUUCCACCAUUGCUAGCCUCUCUAGUACCGCGCAACUUUCGUCGGUGCAUUAAACCCGCCAUCACCUUCCUCAAAACAGCCACCAUACCUACCUAUUAUGGUAUUUCCAUAACCAUUCUGAGAUAUAUUGCCAUGCAACUUCCACCGUUCCGUUUAUUAUGACACGCUUCAUCAUUGUCAUAUUGCUUUGCAUGAUCAUGUUGUUGACAUCAGAUUUGUGGCAAAGCCGCCAUUCAUAUUUUUUAAUACAUGUCACUCUUGAGUCAUUGCACAUCCCGGUACACCGCCGGAGGCAUUCAUAUAGAGUCAUAUAUUUGUUCUAGAUCGAGUUGUAAUUCUUGAGUUGUAAGUAAAUAAAAGUGUGAUGAUCAUCAUUAUUAGAGCAUUGUCCCAUGUGAGGAAAGGAUGAAGGAAGCUAUGAUUCCCUCACAAGUUGGGAUGAGUCUCCGGACUUUACAAAAAAUAAAAGAGGCCAAAGAAUCCCACAAAAAAUGAGAGAAAAGAGAGAAGGGACAAUGCUACUAUCCUUUUUCCACACUUGUGCUUCAAAGUAGCACCAUGAUUUUCAUGAUAGAGAGUCUCCUAUGUUAUCACUGUCAUAUACUAGUGGGAAAUUUUCAUUAUAUAACUUGGCUUGUACAUUCCAAUGAUGGGCUUCCUCAAAUUGCCCUAGGUCUUCGUGAGCAAGCAAGUUGGAUGCACACCCACUUAGUUUCUUUUUGAGCUUUCAUACACUUACAGCUCUAGUGCAUCCGUUGCAUGGCAAUCCCUACUCACUCACAUUGAUAUCUAUUGAUGGGCAUCUCCAUAGCCCGUUGAUACGCCUAGUUGAUGUGAGACUAUCUCCUUCUUUUUGUUUUUUCCACACCCACCAUAUUCUAUUCCACCUAUAGUGCUAUAUCCAUGGCUCCCGCUCAUGUAUUGCGUGAAAAUUGAAGAAGUUUGAGAACAUCAAAAGUAUGAAACAAUUGCUUGGCAUGUCAUCGGGGUUGUGCAUGAUUUAAUACUUUGUGUGAUGAAGAUGGAGCAUAGCCAGACUAUAUGAUUUUGUAGGGAUAACUGUCUUUGGCCAUGUUAUUUUGAGAAGAGAUGAUUGCUUUGUUAGUAUGCUUGAAGUAUUAUUGUUCUUAUGUCAAUAUUAAGCUUUUGUUUUGAAUCUUAUGGAUCCGAAUAUUCAAGCCACAAUAAAGAAAAUUACAUGGAUAAAUAUGUUAGGUAGCAUUCCACAUCAAAAAUUCUGUUUUUAUCAUUUACCUACUCGAGGACGAGCAGGAAUUAAGCUUGGGGAUGCUUGAUACGUCUGCAUCGUAUCUAUAAUUAUUUAUUGUUACAUGCUAUUAUAUUAUCUGUUUUGGAUGUUUUAUAUGAAUUAAUAUGCUAUUUUAUAUUAUUUCUGGGACUAACCUAUUAACCUAGAGCCAGUUUCUGUUUUUUCCUUGUUUUUGAGUUUCGCAGAAAAGGAAUAUCAAACGGAGUCCAAAUGGAAUAAAUUUUUGUGAUGCUUUUUUUGGACCAGAAGACAUCUACGAGACUUGGAGAUGAAGUUAGAAGACCCACGAGGCAACGACAAGCCGUAGGGGCGUGCCCUAGGGGGGCGCCCCUGGCUUCUGGCCCCCUCGGGAGUCCACCGACCUCCUUCCUUGGCCUAUAAAUUCAGAUAUAUUCCCAAACCCUCAAAAGAAUCCACGAAAAUACUUUUCCGCCACCGCAACCUUUUUUUCCCGUGAGAUCCCAUCUCUGGGCCUUUUUCGGCUAUCUGCCUUAGGGGGAUUCGAUCACGGAGGGCAUCUACAUCAACCCUAUUGCCCUUCCAAUGAAGCGUGAGUAGUUUACCUGUAACAUCCCAAAUUUUCAAUUUGGAAUGUUAUACAUAGGUCAUUCAUGCAUAUCAUAUUUUUAUUGCAUUUCGUUUUGUGAUCCUCGAAAUUCUAAGCAACUCAAGGACCCACGGAGAGAGUUGGGGAUUUCACGUUUUUCAUAUUUGAAUUUUGUCAAAUAUCGAAACAAGGAUCAAUUUGGUUUUAAUUAUUUUUCUCUCCGAAAAUAUUUCAUAUUAAAUAUAUGAGAGGAGAUAAUAUGACUACUCCAAAAUAAAUGAAAUAUUGGAGGAAAAAUAUCAAAAUAAAAUAAAUAAAUUUUAUUUGGAGUUUAUUGCAAUUUUAUUUGAAUUAGGAAAAAUAUGCAUUUUGCAAAACUGCAUUAGAGGCCCAAAUAAAUGUUCACUUUGUCCGGAAUAUUAUUAGAGGACCCUGAAAAUUUAUUUCAGGAUUUUUGGAGUCUGUUUAGUAUUUCUUUUGUUUGUUUUUCCGCGUCAGGUUUUAAAAAAAAGUUGCACCGACCUAAACGGGCCGUGUCCGACUAGGACUCCUGGCCCGGCCAGCCUUUAUAAGCCGGGAGACUCGACCCCGCCGCCAAACCCUAGCGCCGCCCCCGCCCUUGUGCCGCCGCCGCCUCNNNNNNNNNNNNNNNNNNNNNNNNNNNNNNNNNNNNNNNNNNNNNNNNNNNNNNNNNNNNNNNNNNNNNNNNNNNNNNNNNNNNNNNNNNNNNNNNNNNNNNNNNNNNNNNNNNNNNNNNNNNNNNNNNNNNNNNNNNNNNNNNNNNNNNNNNNNNNNNNNNNNNNNNNNNNNNNNNNNNNNNNNNNNNNNNNNNNNNNNNNNNNNNNNNNNNNNNNNNNNNNNNNNNNNNNNNNNNNNNNNNNNNNNNNNNNNNNNNNNNNNNNNNNNNNNNNNNNNNNNNNNNNNNNNNNNNNNNNNNNNNNNNNNNNNNNNNNNNNNNNNNNNNNNNNNNNNNNNNNNNNNNNNNNNNNNNNNNNNNNNNNNNNNNNNNNNNNNNNNNNNNNNNNNNNNNNNNNNNNNNNNNNNNNNNNNNNNNNNNNNNNNNNNNNNGCCACCCGACCCCGCCGGAGCCGCCGCCGCCGCCCCACGAUCCCGCCGCUGCCGCCGCCAACCUCCACGGAGGUAGAAACCGCCGUCGUCAUCGUCUCAGUUUUUUUCCAGAAAACCCUAGAUCGGUUUUGUUCAAUUUUUUUCGGUUCAGUUAUUUAGCGGAUGUUCGUCCAUACAUUCAUUUUAACGAACGCUGUUCAUCCGUUAGCCGCAGACAGCGAACGUUUGUUCGUUAGCCUGUUCGUCAGUUUUUAUUUUUCCAGGGUUUUUCCACGAUUAUUUCCGAUCGCGAUUUCUGCCCUAAUCUUCGAUCUAGUAUAACUUUUCGCUCGUUUAUCCAAAUAUGGUGAAACAAGCGCCUAGAUCUUCGUCUCGAAGCCCUCUUUCUGUUUAACCAACUUGAACAAGAUUUUGGUACUGUAAAAUUUGACUUUAGCCCAGAUUAGUAAUCGGACCUUGUUUCUUUCGCAGCUUGAGUUUCGUUGCGCCGUUUGAUUCGAUUCUUUUUGCAAACCGGAGUUCUUCAGUUGAACUUUCUGGUUAGAUCUUUUUAUUUGAGAUUUACCCGUGCAUUUUGCUUGAGUGCUUAUGUAUGCUAUUGUUUGUUUGUGAUAGAAUUUCCAGAGUGCGAAGCGUGCUACUACGAGUCACUAGGUUUUGCGGAUCGUCAGCAAGGCAAGUAACACAUUGAUCAUACUCUUUUCAUACCCAGUUUUUAUGCAUUAGUUACAAUCCUCAAACACUGCAUGAUUAGGAUGUGAUUAACUUGUGGGUCUGGGAAGUAGUUGAUGAGGUAGAACCUAUCACCUGUUUUAUUAUCAAACCCUUGGGAGUUACUUCUACGCUAUGCUUAUAUUGCCAUGCUAUGCUCGUAGACGUGGAUGGGUUUGAGUGUAUUCCAUGACAGAUGUGAGAUUGUUAAUUAAUGAUUCAAUUUAAGGUGGCAACUUUAAUACACAUCUGGGUGGAUUGUUAGUUUUGGGCACCUGGGGUUAUACCAGUGUUGUCCUAGGAGAUCCCGGGGUUAUACCGUGUGAUCCUCCUAUGGUUCGCCACCCAGGCUCAAAGGGAUCAUAAGAUUAUUCAUGCAAGAGACUUCCGUGUGCAGCCACAAGCUAUUAUGGGCUCUAGCAUAGUUGAGUAGGUUGCAUGACGUCUUCCAGUGGUAGGCUAGCAGAUGUAGGGGAUGUAGGUUGGUACUGUCUACCUGGGGUUAGAGUUAAUGCUUCUGAAAGACUGUGUCUCGGUCAUCCGUUUCUCAAACACCAUGUAGUGCGAGAAAUUCCAACGGAGGAGAUCGACUCUUGUGGGGAAAAGUGCGCAAACCUCUGCAGAGUGUAUAAACUAAUCAUGGUUAGCCGUGUCCCCGGUUAUGGACAACUUGAGUAUCUGGUACUUGAAUUAUUGAUUUGAUCUCAUCACUCUAAAUUAAUUUGUUGGGUUGUUAAUGAUUACUUUUAAUUGGGAUUGAGAUGGGGGUAUCAUUCUCAAUGUUUCAACCACCAUGGUAGUUAAAUAAAAAUUUAUUCCUUUGUUGUAGGGAAAAAUUGGCUUUUCGCAAAAACAUUAUAACCAUAGAGCCUCCACCAGCCAUAUAUGCAUGUAGUGAUAGCUAUUAUUCAUCAUUAUCCUAUGGUGUGAAUUUGCCAGUACAUUCAAUGUACUGACCCUUUGUGGCUGCAACGUCUCAUGUUGCAGGAAUCUUACGACGAGUAAGUGAUACGUUAGGGUUACGAUUUCUACGCUCAUCUUUGCCGUUGGUGUUGAUGGGAAUCCACAACAUUGUUGUUACUUCCGCUAUUUGGAUUGAGGUAAUAGUAUUUACGUUAUUUAUACAUGUGAUUUACCUCUGUUAUAAAUCCUCGAGUACUAUGUGUGUCAGCAUACCGAUCCAGGGAUGACACUUAAGCACAGAGACUUGACCGUCUGAGGUCGGUCGCUACAUUACCUCAGACCUCCGGGUCCAUAGCUAGUAGAUAGAUGGCUUCUUCUCUCUCUUUGAUCUUCAAUACAAUGUUCUCCUUGAUGUUCUUGGACUAUCCGAUGUAAUCUUCUUUUGCGGUGUGUUUGUCGAGAUCCGAUGAAUUGUGGAUUUAUGAUCAGAUUAUCUAUGAAUAUUAUUUGAAUCUUCUCUGAAUUCUUAUAUGCAUGAUUUGAUAUCUUUGCAUUUCUCUUCGAAUUAUCGGUUUGGUUUGGCCAACUAGAUUGGUAGUUCUUGCAAUGGGAGAGGUGCUUAAUUUUGGGUCCAAUCUUGCGAUGUCCUCACCCAGUGACAUAGUAGGUGUAGCGAGGCACGUAUUUUAUUGUUGCCAUCAAGGAUAAAAAGAUGGGGUUUUCAUCAUAUUGGUUGAGUUUAUCCCUCUACAUCAUGUCAUCUUACUUAAGGCGUUACUCCGUUCUUUAUGAACUUAAUACUCUAGAUGCAUGCUGGAUAGCGGUUGAUGUGGGGAGUAAUAGUAGUAGAUGCAGGCAGGAGUCGGUAUACUUGACACGGACGUGAUGCCUAUAUGCAUAACAUUGCGUUGGAUAUCGUCAUAACUUUGCGCUUUUCUAUCAAUUGCUCGACAGUAAUUUGUUCACCCAUCGUAUUAUUUGCCUUCAAGAGAGAAGCGUCUAGUGAAACCUAUGGCCUCCGGGUCUAUUUUCCAUCAUAUAUUUCAGAUCUACAAACCAAAAAUGCCUUGCUACAAUUUAUUUACUUUAUUUUGUUUUAUGUUUUAGCAAUCUUUCAUACCUAUCUCUAUCAGAUCUCACCUUUGCAAUUGACCGUGAAGGGAUUGACAACCCCUUUAUCGCGUUGGGUGCAAGUGUUUGAUUCUUUGUGCUGGUGCAUAGAUUGGAGACUUGCUUGUACCUCCUAUUGGAUUGAUACCUUCGUUCUCUAACUGAGGGAAAUACUUAUCUCUACUUUACUGCAUCACCCUUUCCUCUUCAAGGGAAAAAUCAACACAAUCUCAAGAAGUAGCAAUGCUAGAAUGCAAUAUGAUCCUAAGUUUGCUACUUCGCCUAUCUUUGUUACUGAUAAGGAUUAUGAAUUCUCUGUCAAUCCUGAGUUAAUUACAUUGGUUGAAUCUGAUCCUUUCCAUGGUUAUGAAUCUGAAACUGUUGUGACACAUCUUACUAAAUUGAAUGACAUAGCCACCCUAUUUGCGCACGAGGAAAAAAAUCGCUAUUACUAUAUUCUUAAGUUGUUUCCUUUCUCAUUAAAGGGUGAUGCUAAGAUAUGGUUUAAUUCUCUUGCUCCUGGUUGUGUGUGUAGUCCCCAAGAUAUGAUAUAUUACUUAUUUGAAAAAUAUUUUCCUGCUCAUAAGAAACAAGCUGCUUUACAGGAAAUGUUUAACUUUGUGCAAAUUGAAGAAGAGAGUCUCCCACAACCUUGGGGGAGGCUUCUCCAAUUACUUAAUGCUUUGCUUGAUCAUCCUCUCAAGAAAAAUGAAAUACUUUAUGUCUUUUAUAAUGGACUAACUGAUGCUUCUAGGGACCACCUAGAUAGUUGUGUUGGUUGUGUUUUCAGGGAAUGAACUGUUGAACAAGCUGAAGAAUUUAUUGAAUAAUAUAUUGAGUAAUGAUAAUGAUUGGACUCUUCCUGAACCACCACCUAAACCAAAUCCGAAUAAGAGGGGUAUUCUAUUUCACAAUCCUGAAGAUAUGCAAGAGGCAAAUAAAUUUAUGAAGGAAAAAGGUAUUAAAGCUGAAGCUGUUAAGAAUUUACCACCUACUGAAGAAAUACAUGGUCUGAAUACCCCGACACGGGUAGUAGAGGUAAAUUCUCUCUAUACAUUUGAUGAAGGUCAUAUUCCUUAUAAUAAAUCUACUAGUCAAUGCUUGGAUGAAUUUGAUAACUUUAUUGUUAAACAAGAAGACUUCAAUGCAUAUGUUAGUAGACAAUUGAAACGAAAUGCUUUUAUGCUUGAACGCUUGGGUGAUUAUAUGUUUAGCAUAGUUAAUGAUCUCAAGAUUGUUAGUAAACAUGCUUCUAUGGUAAAAACUCAAGUAGAAGAAGUUCUCAAGGCACAAAAUGAUUUGCUUAAUGAAAUGAAUAAUAAGAUGAAUGAUCAUGUUGUUAGAGUUAUGACUAGAGGUGGUAAAAUGACUUUGUAUCCUGAGGGCCAUCCUAAGAGAAUUGAGCAAGAUUCUCAGAGAAUUAAUAGAGAUGCACCUAGUCCACCUAAGAAGAAAAAGAAAAAUGAUACUCCCUCCAUUCCACAAUGUAGUGCCUAUAGAUUUUUAUGGAAGUCAAACUUCGCCAACUUUCACCAAGUGUAUAGAGAAAAUAGUCUACAUCUAUAAUACCAAACAUGUACAUUCUGAAAAUAUAACUCAUGAUGUAUCCAGUGAUGUGCAUUUGGUAUUCUAGAUGUACCUACUUUUCUCUAUAAACAUGGUAAAAGUUUGUAAUGUUUGACUUCUGCAAAAAUCUAAAAGCACUACACUAAAGAACAAAGGGAGUAGGACUUUGCAUGCUUCUAGUGAACCUACUAAAGACACACCUGAGAAUCCAAAUGAUAUUUUAUUUCUGAUGCUGAAACAUAAUCUGGUGAUGAACAUGAGCCUAGUAAUAAUGUUAAUGAUGAUGCUCAUGUUGAUGCUCAACCUAGUAAUGAUAAUGAUGUGGAGAUAGAACCUGAUGUUGAUCUUGAUAACCCACAACCUAAGAAUAAGAGAUAUGAUAAGAGAGACUUCAUUGCUAGGAAACAUGGUUCAGAAAGAGAACCAUGGGUUCAGAAACCCAUGCCCUUUCCUCCUAAACCAUCCAAGAAAAAGGAUGAUGAAGAAUUUGAGCGCUUUGUUGAAAUGCUUAGACCUGUGUUUUUGCGUAUGCGUUUAACUGAUAUUCUAAAAAUGUGUCCUUAUGCUAAGUAUAUGAAAGAUAUUGUUCCAAAUAAAAGAAAGAUACCGGAAGGUAAAAUUUCCACCAUGCUUGCUAAUUAUAAAUUUAAGGGUGGAAUACCAAAGAAACUAGGAGAUCCAGGAAUACCAACUAUACCAUGCUCCAUUAAAAGAAACUAUGUUAAAUCUAUUUUAUGUGAUCUAGGAGCCGGUAUUAGUGGUAUGCCUUUCUCUUUGUAUCAUAGACUUGAUUUGAAUAAGUUGACACCAACUGAAAUCUCUUUGCACAUGGCCAAUAAAUCAACCGCUAUACCCAUCGGUAUUUGCGAGGAUGUGCUUUCGUAGCUGCAAAUGUUACUAUCUUCACAAACUUUGUUAUUCUUGAUAUACCCGAGGACGACAGUAUGUCGAUAAUCCUUGGUAGACCCUUUUUAAUACUUCAGGGGAUGUUAUUGAUUGCAACAAAGGCAAUGCCACUUUUCAUGUUAAUGGUAAUGAGCAUACAAUACACUUUACAAAGAAACAACCUCAAGUUAAUAGCAUCAAUUCUAUUGGAAAAUUUCAACAAUUGCUAUUGGAGGUUUUGAAUUCCCUGUUCCUACUAUCAAAAAGAAAUAUGAUAUUCUUAUAGUUGGGUACAUGCAUAUCCCCGUUGAGGUAACCUAGUGUUAUACGCAGAUUCUCCGGUUUCAUGUCAUUCUGAAGAAGUUUGUUAAUAAGACUUGAUCAACCAUGUUAAUGGAUUCCUUUUGACAGGCAUGAGAUGGAUGAAAUUAGUAAACACAACUUUCUAUACCCACUUUUUACUUUAUGUUAUUUAGAAUAAAUAAAGUAUAAAUGCUAUUAUUUUACUGUUUUCUGAAUUAUCCGUGCAAUAAAAAUGACCAGAAAAUAAAAGUUCUCCAAAUGCCCUGAAAAAUUACUAUGAUUUUUCUAUAAUAUUUAAGAAUUUUUGGCACUCAACACACCUCAAGGGGGUGCACCAGGGGCCACAAGCCCACAGGGCGCGCCCACCCCCUGGGCGCGCCUACAAGGCUUGUGGGUCCCACAUGGGUCCCCCUCACUUAUUCCAGCACCCAUCCACUUCGUCUUCCUCCAGAAAAAUGCCACCAUUGCUCAAACCCGUGUUCUUGCUCAUUUUGCUGCCAUUUUUGAUCUCCUUGCUCGGAACUCCGUUUCCAAAACUGUUUCGGGGGAUUGCUCUUUGGUAUGUGACUCCUCCAAUGGUCCAAUUAGUUUUUGUUCUAGUGCUUUAUAUAUUGCAAAUUUUUGCUGUUGUGGUGACCUUGUUCUUGAGCUUGCAUGUCAAAUUUAUAUGGUCCAAAGUAGUUUUGUUACAUGAUAUAGCCUCUAGACACUUGUGGGAGUAGUUGCUAUCAAUUUUGUUGAGUUUUGUUCACUUUUAUUUUGAGUCACUUACAAUUUGAGAAAUUUUCAGAGAAAAGAAAAACCAUGAGGAGGUGGUUAAGGGGUUCUUUGAGCCGGAAUUCAGAAGAAAAUGAAAAUGAGGAGAAGAAGAAGAAGCCCAAGUACAACCUUCCUCGCACUGCGGAGGUUCGGCCAUGUGACUGGCCAAGUGACACGUUCUUGAGAGAGGCUGGAAUUUAUGAUGAUUUCUAUUAUUUGGUGGAGAAUGCAGGCCUCCUUCCUUUCCUUCGAGAUAAGUGUGAUCAAUACCUCCUACUCACUAAUACCUUCGUGCAAAAUUUUCACUUUCAUCUAGGAAGGAUCCUCCCAUGGUAGGAUUUCACUUGUAUGAUGUCCCUAAGCGAAUGACACUUUAUGAUUUUUGUGAUGUUUGCAAAAUACCUUAUGAGGGCAGCAUCAGUGAGCCACGUCCUAGGGAUGUGGAGGAUUUCCUUUCUGGAACUACUAUGGGGGGAGAGAGACGGGUGUCGGAAGCGAGAGUGGCUAGUCUACAUUUUCUUGUUUUAUGCUAUUAUUCUAUUUCCUGGGAGAUGUUUGAUUGGUCGUGGGGUGAGUGGAGGCCUCAGUGUCCCUGACCUUGCCAUUUUGCGCCAUGCUUUAUUUGCUGAGAGAACUUUUAGUUUGGGUGCUAUUAUUGCUCGACGGUUGAACAUGAAUCACUCGAAGGGUACUAUUUUUGGAGGUGUCUAUGCCUCCCGCCUCGCUAAACAUUUUGAGAUACCCAUUAGGCAUGAUGAGAAGGAGGGGAUAUUGUUACCAACUAAAUAUUUAAACUAUGCUAGUAUGAUAGCACAUGAUAUUAUUGCCAAGGAUGAUGACAAGCGACUCUUAUACAACCUAGUAUAUAGUCAGGUACUUGUGAGAUUAUUACCUUGCCUGCACCUUCUUUGUUCUAUAUUCGUUCAGGCAGGUACACCAUUAUGCCCGAGGACAUUUACACAUACUAGAGGCUAACACAACCUCCAGCACCUGAGCCAGCACCAGUUCCUGAUCCGUAUUAGGAGCCUAUUUAUCAGUGGGAGCCAUAGGAGCUCACCAACCAGUGGAACCCUCAGGACCCUCCGCCGUAUCGAGGAGAGGGUUAUUUCGAGCCGUGGCCCUAGACCAACUUAGGCAAAAAUCCUAAGCUUGGGGGAGUAUGUAUUUCUCACCGACAUUACAUUCAUGUUCACACAUUCAUUCUAGUUGUCGGUGUUCAUCAUUUUUCAUUGUAUUAUCCAUGUUAGUUUAUUUUUCUUGCUUUAUUCUUGUGUGUUCGAAAAACUUUGAUAAAAUCCAAAAAAAAUAUUUCUCGCUUCUUUUUAGUUUUUCUUUCUAGUUUAAUUAGUUGUGUAAGUGCAUCUAGUGCCAUCCCUAGUUGGUUUUGGAGUAUUGAUGAAAACGUGGUUGAGGGAAUAAUGUGUUUGUGAGAAUUACAGGAUAACACAUGUAGUAGUCCCUCAUAGAUUCGGUUUACCUACCGGAGAUGACCCCUAAAAAUGUAUGAAGACAUUAAAGACAAUGGUGGUUCAUGAAUACAUUCACUUGAAGACUAUGGAGUGCAAAGACAUAGUUUCUUUCGUAGUUUCCUUUCAUUCUUCAUUGAGUCAUAGGAACCACCGUACUGUUAAGAGGGGUCCAAGUGAACAAAGUCAGAUGACUGAAGUGAUGGUCAACCAAAAUCCUAUGUCUUCGAGCGAAGACAAUAAGAGCAAAUCUUAUCCAGAGCUGGAUGAGUCUGCUUUGCUUGUAGCCCAAGCCAAGCUAUCGCAUGUGUUUGAAAUCUGACCAUUGGACAUGUGUUCGUUCCUUAGUGACACGGGGUCAUUUCAGACAUAUCAUGUCGGGUUGCCUCCUGGCUAUAAAUAGUCCACCCCCUACACCAUAAAUUGGUGGCUGCUCAGAGUUAGUGCACGACUUUUGUUAUUUGAGAGCAACCCACUUCCGAAGCCUUUGAGAGAGAUAUCCUUGCGAGGACAAAGCCCAAAACACCCAGAGCCAAAGAGUGUUAGGCAUCAUUGAAGUCUUUCUGCCCGCGUGACCUGAAGACUUGUUACACUUGAGGACUGUGUAUCCUCCAGCCGGUUAGGCGUCACGUUCUGAGGAUCCAGGAGUCAUUGUGGAUCGCCAGUGAACAGAGUCUGUGAAGGUUUGGAAGUCUACCUUGAAGACUUACCAGAGUGAUUGGGCGAGGACUGGGUGUCCUUAGAUCAAGGGGAAUAAGGUGAAGGCACGGUCUUCUAAGUUCAAUCUCAGCCUCCCUAACGAGACGUACAGUGGUCGAAGCAACUAGAACUGGUCUACCAAAUGCUUGUCUUCACCAAGCUACUGGUUCUACCCCGCCCUCACUUCCUUACUUUUCAAUUUGUCUUCCUGAAUUCAUUGCAUGCUUGCCUGAUUUGUUUGAUUUCACUGUGUGAAGACUAUUACCUGUUUGGCUUCAUACUGUCUUCCAUUCCGAUCCAUACUACCUAGCUCUUGUUAGUCUUCGUGCUUUCAUUACAUUGCUUAAUUGACUAUGUCUUGUCUAGUGUAGUUCAUCUUCCGCUGCAUAUCAUAUUGGUUCAUUCUAACAGUUUGUCUUCAAAGACCUCGUGUUUUGAAGACUUUCAUAAAAAUCGCCUAUUGACCCCCCCUCUAGUCGAUAACUAGCACUUUCAAGUUGUAGUAUUAAAAGAAAACACACAAAGAUUUCUCGUUCUUCUUUUGCUUGUUGGGAGCUUUCCUGUGUAAAUAGUUUUUCUCGUUUUUGUUCUACUUUCUUUAGAAAAACAAAAACUCCAAAAAUAUUUCAAUGUGUUUCUUUGAAAUUAUUUUCUUUUUCUUUGGGUCGUAAGGAGAAGAGCACGAUGAAAAUGUUGAGUGGCUCUCAUAUGCAUUAUUGCUUAUCUAACAAACACUGGUGCACGUCGGUCCUAAACAAAUGGUUUUUAACCCCUUUCCACGACGACAUUUGGAACCGUAGCCAAGUGAGUGUAGGCGAUAGGGGGGUCCUCCGCACACGACCUAGAAACCGUCGGGGAUAUGCCCUCCUGGCACACACGCUCAGAAAAAUGAGGUCGUGUGUGACCGGCGAGCGCUCAAAUACAGAAAUACGUACAGUAGAGCUAAAAAAUACAAUUAUACGGCGAAAUUGUUUCCGGUCGCAAGUACAUCCCACACAGUCAGUCCCGCCUAAACGUUUCCGUUUGUAUGUACAUCCCACACAGUCAUUCCAAGGAAAACGUUUCCGUUCAUAGGUACAUCACACACAAUUUUUCCCGUUAAAUCGUUUGUGAUAGCGUUGCCAUUGCACACGAUAUUAAUAAUUUUAUCGUUUGCGUUAUUGAAUGCAUCACACACGAUGCGUAGAAGAAACUGUGUGGCAAAGGCUGUCCAUCACACACACUUUUUAUGUGGUAAACAUUUGCGCAAGGUGGCCUAACGCAAACAGUUUUCAAGAGAAAGUCGUGUGUGUAGUGGAGAUUGAUCGCACACGUAGUGGAUCCUAGAAACGUUUCUGAUCUCCACGUAUAUCGCAGACGUUUCGCUUUCGCAAACUGUGUGCAGUGUAAUCCCUAAUUAAUCCAUAAUUAAUCCAAUUAAUCCCUAAUUUAAAAAUCACAUGUUUUGAAUUUGAAAGUAGGCAAUCACUUAUUUCAUAUCCAACCAUGUUUAUUACAAAUAUAGGUUCAACCACGAAUCCAUAAUUCGAUGCACAGGUACAUAUACUGAAGAACUACAGAAGCACCAAGUAAAGAAUGAUGAACCACAGUUGUACUAAAGACCGUAAAGAGAGAGGCGAAAGACAUUCUUGUUGCUGGAGAAGGUGAAGCAGAAUGCCCAUAUUGUGCCCUCCUCCAUGCGUAAGGCGCGCAUGACUCUAGGCCAACCCCGUGUGAUGGUUGCUCGUCCAUCCUUCACUGUCUUCAUUAGGACUUCUCGAUGCUCAUUGUAGUCUGGAUGAAAUACUUUAACCUUCAUUGCGUGUCCACCAAGCAUGUAAUAGGACUCACUCUUGGUGCAGCAGGGUACGAUUCAAAUCACAACCUCUUCAUGAAUGAACCAACAACUAAAAAACAUGCAUGAACGCAAAACCACAGGGGGCAUCCCCAGACAAACCAAAAGGUUCUCUCUGAUUAUAGAUAGUAGCGAAAUUGCCAAAACAUUAAAGACCUGAUCACAAAUUGUGCUUUUGACCAACCAACUUUCAGUACAACCGAUUGCAGCAAAAACUAGGUAGAAUAGUUCAAUAUCCAGACACGGGUAAAACUAGGGAUGGCGCCAGCGCCCAAUCAUGCCAGAACUAGAUCAAAGCGCCACACGGGGAGCAGGAGCUCCAGGGACAGCACGCGAGGUAAUCUUGAGUGAACUGCUUCAGGAACCACUGGGAACGAAAAAGAUUCAUAAAUUGUUGUCUAAUAACUCAUUAUGGGCAGUAAAAAGAGAAGGCUGUAGAUCAUAAACAAAUAAUUUGCUUGCCACCAUCCGUAUCUUUUUGCUAAUAAUCCUUAUCAGUUUCCUCACUUGACGCUUGUUCAUCAAUAUCUCAUUGCCCCAUACGCAGAAAGGGUCGAUGCGUGGACCCUUGCCGAGGGCAUAUGUACCUACAAGCAACAAGUCAAUAUUAGAAGCUAACUAGUGUCCAGGCCUGGAUCUGUAUUCACUACAUUAUGGAACGACGGGGGGAGUACAAGCCGAGGGAUGAAGCUAACCUCGGCAGAAAAUGGUGGCCAAUCCCGUUGUUGUCCUGCAUAAGUAGUGGAAAGGCAUGAUAAGUACAACAAUCUUAACAUCAAACAAAUAUAGCAAAGGUAAACAACAUCAUCUCCAAAUGAUAGCUUGAAUGGGUUGGUUUCAGAUGUUGUUAAAGAAGAUAUAAAAUGGAAGGCAAUGUUACCGAGAGCAGGCUUAACAGCCAUCAAAUAUUGCAAUUCAAACUGGUAUUGUUGAAAAUGAAUAGAACGUAGGUAAUGCUUAAACAUCAAACUGGAUAAAUGUGUAAAACUGAAAUAAAGGGCAUGUGUUAACUACACCAGGAAUAACUGGAACCAAAUAUAGCUGUUCAAACCGGUAUUGAUGUAGUCGAGCGGCACAGUUCCGACUUGCACAUAAUGAACAACACAUUGUGAAUGACUGAAAUAAACAAGGCAUAAAUGACCAGUAUAACAACCAAAUAUAGCCAUUGAAAACUGGACAGAGUCUCACUGCAACCUACCUAACAAGCAAAUACAGAUAAGCAGGGCAUAUGCUUGAAAACUGGAUAAAUGCUCACUUCAACCAACCUAACAAGCAGAUAAAGAUAAACAAGGCAUCUGCUUGAUAACUGGACAAAUGCUAAAAAAGGCAACCUAACAAGCAGAUAAAGAUAAACAAGGCAUCUGCUUGAUAACUGGACAAAUGCUAAAAAAGCAACCUAACAACCAAAUACAGAUAAACAAGGCAUCUGCUUGAUAACUGGACAAAUGCUAAAAAAAGCAACCUAACAACCAAAUACAGAUAAACAAGGCAUCUGCUUGAUAAUUGGACAAAUACUCACUGCAACCAAACUAAGAACCAAAUAUAGAUAAACAAGGCAUCUGCUCGAUAACUGAAAAAAUGAUCACUCCAACCAACCUAACAACCAAAUACAGAUAAACAAGGCAUCUACUCACUAUAAACAACCAAAUAUAGCCAUUCGUGAAACUAAAGUGGACAAUUCAUACUUAAACAUCACAUAGACCUAUUGAACAAUACAUUUUUGCAUAACUGAUGUAAUUAAACACGGCACAGUUAAAGCACCGCACGACAAAUGCUACUACAACAAAGGGUACGGGUUGGCAAGCUAGAAAAUGUAAGAUUUGCUGAUAUAAUGUUGCCUCACAUCUCAUGGACGGAUCCUUCCAGUUGGAAGAGCACAGACCCAUGGUGCGCCCUCUGAUGUCACAGAUGGGUUGUUUCACCUUGGAAGAACCUUCGUGGGUGCCCUCCUCGUGGUCGUGGUCGAUGAGAUCUGACUUGGCAAUUGAGGAUCCCAAGCCGCCGCCAUAGAACGUGUCCUUCAGAAGUGACAAAAUGGGCUCAAUGGCGUAUAAAGCUCGCAAAUCGUUAACCGCUUGGCGGAGGAGAUCAGCAGCAGGGCCAUCAAAGAGAUCGAUGGCGGUUGAACUAGAGGGGUUGGGGAUGGACCACUUAACCUGUGACAUGGCCCGCGUGAAGUCGUCGGUGUGGACGAGCUUGAUGUCAUAGCCCGCUGACAUGAACCCUUCGGCAUGGCAACAUAGUCAACGUCUUCGCCGGCUUCUGCGGUGACGUGUUGCUCCGGGAUCGACAGGUCGGGGCGAACGGCGGCUACCUCACCAACGUCCACCGGAGAGGCCAUGAUAAACCUCUUCUUGGCCGAACGCUCGUCGGGCUCCCCGGGAUACGUGGUCGAGCUUAGGCUGCGAAAUUCUGGAGCAGGGGAUGUGGAUCUCGCGCGGAGGGACACCGCAGGCCUCAUCUAAAAACUCAGGGGAGUGGGGCGGCGGUAUGGGAAUCGCUGGAUAACCUGAACUUUAUUAUCUAAGCUAGGAGGAACGGGCAGGCUGGCAGGGUUGACGGCGACGCCGGCGGCCGCGAGCUAGGGUUCGAAGGGGGGAGGGGUGGGUGGGGGACUGAGGGGGUGGUGGUGUUUGAGGAUACGCCGCAGCUACUGAAAAUUUUAGUAAUGGUGGGUGGAGAUGGUGGUGGACGAGGGAGGGCGACGGUUCAAAUGCCUCGGCUACUGCAAUUUUACUAUAAGGUCGGUGCUAGAGGAGUGUGGGCGACGGUUGAAGUACGGCGGCUACUAAAAUUUGGGUAAAGGAAUUGAUGCGGGGCAGGAGUGCCCAAGAUCGCGCACGGUCCAAUAACAAUAUGCGUGUAUGAUAAUAAGGAAAAGUGGCACGGAUCCGCCGAUUUUUGCAACGCUCAAGGUGGGUAGUUUGUUUUUUAUAUUUCUAGCUAGCUGGUCUAUCGCACACGGUUCGUCCUAAUUUCCAAAUAAACUUACCCGCCUUUAGCUUGCACAGGUGGUGGUUUUACAGCACACUUGCAUCGCACACAGUUAAGCCAGUACCUCCACCCUUUGCUCGCGCUUGCGCGGUCGUGGUGAUUUCAGCGCACUUGCAUCGCACAUAGUUGAGCCGAUACCUCCACCAUUUGCUCACACUUGCGCGGUCGUGGUGAUUUCAUCGCACUUGCAUCGCACACGGUUGAGCCAGUACCUCCACCCUUUGCUCACGCUUGCGCGGUCGUGGUGAUUUCAGCGCACUUGCAUCGCACACGGUUGAGUCAGUACCUCCACCUUAAUUUGCUCGUGCUUGCGUGGUCNNNNNNNNNNNNNNNNNNNNNNNNNNNNNNNNNNNNNNNNNNNNNNNNNNNNNNNNNNNNNNNNNNNNNNNNNNNNNNNNNNNNNNNNNNNNNNNNNNNNNNNNNNNNNNNNNNNNNNNNNNNNNNNNNNNNNNNNNNNNNNNNNNNNNNNNNNAGUACCUCCACCUUAAUUUGCUCGCGCUUGCGCGGUCGUGGUGAUUUCAGCACACUUGCAUCGCACACGGUUGAGCCAGUACCUCCACCUUAAUUUGCUCGCGCUUGCGCGGUCGUGGUGAUUUCAGCGCACUUGCAUCGCACACGGUUGAGCCAGUACCUCCACCUUAAUUUGCUCGUGCUUGCGCGGUCGUGGUGAUUCACAUCGCACUUGUAUCGCACACGAUUAAGAUAUUAUACCCCGUGUCCGUUGAGGGUCAUCGGAGUCUUUGCAGCAAAAAAUAACGUUUGAGAAGGUCAAAAGACAGCCACACCAGCAUGUGGCCCAAAUAUAUAUGAGUGAAAGGGGUCGUCUGUGAUGUUCAAAAUUCCAAUGCACAACUUUGACCCCGUGGGCCCACGGUUGGGCUUGUCAUUGAAGAUCGAUGAGAGGGGCCAAAAGUCAAGAACCACGUGGAAGUGGCCAAAUAUAUGUACGAAUAUUGUGGAUGUUUAAAACUUUAAAUACACAAUGCAUAACUUUGGUGGCACCUGCCUCGCAAACCCGAAAGCACCCAAACAACCACCUAGGUAGGAUAUAUAUAAUGACAUAAUGUCAUACCUAGCUAAGAUGCUUUGCCCACGACCUCCCACUUCGUGUCAGCGGGGCGGAUGCACAUAAUGAUCGAUACUUUGGUCAUACAUGCAUGUCGCCAUGACCUACCAUAAGACGGACCAAUGAAUCUUUCGUUUGGUCAAAUGACAGUUGUUGUUGUCGAUAAACCGCUUGGGCCAAUAGAUUGAACCAUCAUAAAAAUUGGGCGAGAGGGACCACAAAACCAGCACCUCUUGCAUGCGGCCCAAAAUGAUGUACGUUGGGAAGGGGUGAUGUGUGUUUUCAAUAUAGAAUAAUGUACAAUUUAGAUGUGGUGCCUACCUCUCGAUACAGACAACAACCAUGAAGGCAAGGUAGUUAAGGAUGAGAUACGUACACAGGGUUUGAUGUAGGUCGAACCCAGCAAUCCGAGCAUCUGGGAGGGAAUCUGGACAACGCAUGAGCUCGAGCUUUGGUUAACCGACAUUUGACGGUGACCGGCCCUAACACGAACUAGGAGGAAUCCAUUCAUGGCCAACAUGUACCCCUCAUUAUGGGUCAAAGGGAUGAUAUAUAUACACUCGGGAGCCCACAGAUAUCCGUGUCGUCACAAAAAACCGCAUAAGGGAGACAUGGUCGAUCAGAAGACCCCAUAUACACUGCAUGCGGCCCGAAAAUAUGUAUGGGUACGAUGGUGUAUGAUGUGUUUAAAUCCAAAAUGCACAACUUCGAUGGGCCACGCCAACUACAUUACAAAAACACCGUACCCGACUCCAAGCCUGGUUCAAUACCUAUGAUGUCAGUUUCCCAACUUCGAAGGGCCGGCGGGGGGACACACACACACACACACACAUAUAUAUAUACAUCUAUACACCUAUAUAGUGUGCGAAUAACUAUGAAAGUUGCUCGUUGGAUGAAGCCAAUCCGACGGUGCAGAGAUAGUUUUUUUAUAAAACUAAUUGAUUUUGGAUGAGAUGAACUAUAAGAAUUAAACGAACAUCUAGAUCAUGCAUAUCUGGGAGAAGAGGCGGGAAACCGAGGAGAGGAGUGGCGAGAAACGGUAGCCUGUUUUGAAUGAAAACCUAGUAGAGAAGGAAGCGUGAGCUACACGACGCAUGCGCACAGUGCUUACCCAUGUACUGCAUGUUCUGUCAAAAGGGCUUAGGGUUGCUGUUCGAUCUGGGAGCAUCCAAUGGUGCACAUGUACGAUCCGUGGGGUUUGGGUUCUGGCCAGUGAGAAUGCAGGACUCAGAUCGCGCGCGCGGCAGGGGGAAUAUCAUACGGAAACCAACAUUCGGUGGAAACUGGUGAAAACCACGAGAAAAAGAUGUUUUGAAGUUUCAAAAAAAUGCGGGAUGUUAACAUGAUGAUGUUUUAUUGCCACACAAAAUUUCAAGUUGAAACACAUUACGAGAUGUGAGCUAUGAAAAAGACAAAAUCAGUGUUGAAUAGUGCCGAAUAGUAAUGUCACUAUUCAGGGUGGAAUUUGUCAUUUUCAUAGCUCAUAUCUCGUAAUGUUUUUCAACUUGAAAUUUUGUGUCGCAAUAAAACAUCACCUUCUUAACAUCCCACAUUUUUUCAGAUUUUUAUGAAACUUUAAAAUAUGGUUUCCAUGAAGUUUUCAUUGAAUAUCGGCUUUCGUGAGUGAACUGUGUGCUAUUUGAAAACAUUUCGUGAGAAGAAUCUCGGUUUUUAAAUCCCCGCAAAUACAAAACUAAGCUGAAAAUUGUGAAACCUGCCAUGGUGUCACGACAUCGCACUUAUAUGUCGAGGAUUUUUUUCGUCCAUUGUGGCGCAAGUAUUAGUACAAGCCUCUUACAAACCGGAGCUUCUCUCAAAGAAGCCUCAUGGUUCCGAUAGGGAAACGUGUCCCAUUGUGGGCGAAACGUAAUCACUGCCUCUUUUCACCUUGUAUUUGCUUCUAGGGGCAACAUGGAACGACAUGAUAUCUGUGCUGAAAUUUCAACUUCACUACUGCAGGAUGCUGCUAACGCGACACUACGAUCAGAGACCCUUCGACGAAACUGUGUGCAAUGCAAUAAUCGCAAAUGAUGGUGUAAAGAACCGUCAAAAAGGCGCAAAACGUUUGCGAUGACGGAUGCAUCAAACACGGUUUAGAUUUUAGUUGCGUGUGCGAUUCAGGGCAUACGGUUCAUCUCAAUUAACCGUUUUCGAUGAGUAGGAACAAAAGAAACAGGCAACCAGAUGAAGGUGUGUGUGAUGUACAACAUACGGUUCACUCGGAUGAACUGUUUGUGAUUAGGCAGCACAAAAGAAAUAGUCAGCCAGAUCAAGGUGUGUGCGAUGUACAGCAUACAGUUCACUCGGAUGAACUGUUUGUGAUUAGGCAACACAAAAGAAACUAUCAGGCAGAUCAAGGUGUGUGCGAUGUACGACAUGCGGUUCACCCGGAUGAACUGUUUGCGUUGAGACAAGAGAACAUAAACGGUUCAAUAUAACAAAUACCAUAAAUAUUGCAAUGUUCAAAUUCAAAUAUUACAACGCCCAAAUUCAAACAUUGCAAGCUGCGUCAUUUCUGAAAAGGGAUCAGCCGCUGACAAGUCAUGUAUGGGUUUGACACAAUUAUUUCUAAUUGCUUUGCCAUAUGUUCUUCCCAUAUGAAAUUUGGCAUUUUUGGAGGCACUUCCAUUCAAUAGUACCAGUCGUAUCUGCUGAUCAUACCAUUGAUCUUUCCUAAUUAAAUGCGUGUUCAACCUCAGUACACUCAGCACCUUUGCUCUGGCAAGAAAGAACCUGGCGAGUGUAAUCUCCGGUGGGGUCCCUCGGUAGGAGUUCAAAGUAAUAGUUGAGAGAUGCAGAUCUAGGCAUUCGAUGUGAUUGUCGUUAUAAACAUCAUCCACUGGGCCUAAUAUGCACUGCAAAAGAACAGAACGUGUUAGUGCCUACAUGCAGUUUUGAACACUGCUACACGCCCGUUUGGUUUGCAGGAUUGGUAAAAUGCACCAAUGUGCCAUCUUCGAUCUGGCAUGAUUAAUAUGGGCAUUUGAUUACAAUCUAGAAACAUGUAGCCUUCUUCACAAGAGGUUGGAUCGGAUGAAAAAUUCCCUAAGAAAACUAGUAUAGAUGAAUCCAAAGGAGAAAUUCUUAUGGACGAUUGUAACCAUAUGAAUGAAGCAACCAAUAUGGGGUGGGGGUGUAUGUCCUAAAAUCCUCCAAAAUUCCUUCAGAAAUAGUAGUACAUUGUCAUUGUGAACUUGGGAAAAGGUGCAAAAAAUUGAACUCUCUUAUGGUUAACAUUUAACAUGAAAGGAACAUCACCUCGAUCUACAGCUUCUUCAGGCAUGGAAAGCAUCUCAGGCAACUGAAAACAUGGUCUAGGUUGGGGACGAUAGAUUCUAGUGCCAAGACCUUCACUGUGCCCAGAGUCUGGGUGAAGCUUCGCUGGAUGACAGAUGAGCAUACAUCUUCAAAACUAGUUAUAACGUUGAUAUCAAGAAGGAGAGGUAUAUGAGGCAACUGUUGUACCUGAAAGUUGUAGUAUUUGACAGACGAGUAGCCCACCACUUUCAAUUUCGGCACAGAAAUGACAUUGAUUCUUGUUAGACCUUGUUGAUCAACUACAAGUAAUCUCUCAAGUGAAGGUGUGUCCUGGAUGACCAUAUUGUGGUCCACCUUUUGUGAUGUCUCGUUGCAGCACCAGCAACACACAUAAAUAGUGCAGAGAGUCCUGGAGUUGAUGUGCAAGGUACUUGACCAGUUCAUCGCCUGAAGACGAAGGAACUCGAGUGCAAUACAGCCGCAGAGCAGGCGCUCCAUGUCAUCCUUUGGGAUGCGGACGGCGAUGAGCUCGAGGUGCUUCAGUCGUGGUAGAAAAAGAGCGAGCGCGUCAUUAAGGGGGAUGGCAGUUCAUGAACUUGGUGAGGCGCAGCAUGGGCGCGAAGCGGAGCACAGACGUUGGCAGCAAGCUCAUAUGCCCAUCAUUACAACUUAGAUUCUUGAGCUGAUCUAUGGCGCGGGAUCAGAACCACUCGUCAAGCUUGCCUUGCUCCCUGCCAUUGGAACGGAACUUGCCUGCGACAAGGCCUUUGAUUGGGCCAUGGUGACUGCCGAGGAUCUAGGAGAACGCAUCCAAGCUUUGGCGAUAGCCAUGGCAGAGCUUGUGGGCCUGGAGGAGGUCGACAGGGGUGCGGAGCCAUAGGGUGCAUUACCGCCGGGAAACGACGGCUAUCCUCGCCCGAUUUCUGAUUGGGAGGAGGGAUAUGAUGACUAUCAACAUAUCAUCGGGGAGGUUGUUGAUGAAGUCCAGGCCUGCUAGAGUCGCUUGCAGUUCUUUCUCGACCCACCUCUGCUUGUUGGCAGCCUCGUUCUCCACCUCAUCGGCGGGGACGGGAACCUCUGUCUCCAUAUUCACGCUGUGCUCCGGUGCUACAGCAGCCCCGGCGUCGCCACUCCCUCCGAUGGGGCGCUUCGGCGGCAUCCUCAGACACUGAUGGCUUUGAGGACUCAAAGCGGCGUCGAGGAUGCAGGCGGAGAGAGAGCAAUUGUGUGUGUGGCGAGGAUGGGGGUGCGGCCGCUCGGCGGCGCCAUUAAUAUAGACCAGUGGGAGCGAGGCAGGCGGCGGUCCAAGGUUGUCUCGCUUCUCGGUGAGAACGACUGCUUAAUCUCUAGUAUGAAUGAAAUAUAUGCUUAAUUAUUGAAUUUUAGUUGCAAAAAAUAGAUGGUGAUAUUGAUUUUUAGUUGCACAUUUUGACAAAUCGCAGUGUCUCUUGGCUUAGCGCCGAAGUCUGGCUUUAAUUUGCAUACCGUAAUCUGAACCGUUCGCGUUGAAGAGAUGCAUAGAUCCUGCGUUGAACAGCUUGUACGCUUCCCGGUGAGCCUACGCACCGGACUACGGUCGCACGCCUCCCGUUCAGUCAAGCAGCUGUUCACACGGCACCUCCUAUAGCCAUUAAAACGAAGACACAUGGCCUCACGUGAAUGGUUAACCGAACGCACAGGGUUUGAAUUAUACAAGCGUUUGAGAUACUAAAGUGGCAGCUAUUUUUUUCAAAAUGCCUUUGUUGGCUGUCAUUAUUCGAGUGUGCCUUCUCUCAAAAUGGACACGAAAAAUACCACAGCAUGUCGGGUGCCCUUCCAUGAUAGCAUGCCAAGUUUCAUGAAUUUCAGACAAGUUUUGGAUUUACUAGAAUUUAAAAACCAGGCAUCUCACCGUUUUGCCGGCAACCAAUGCUGCCCUGGUGUUUGAAAUUCAUUCCCAUUUCUUGCAUGGGACCUAAGCAUGCACCCAAGGACACAGAUUUGAUUUUUCAAUGAAUUUAUAUGCACUGGAGCAUGCGCAUGUAGUUCAAAUUUGAAUUAUGCACAUAAAUGCAUUGAAAACUCAGUUAAUGCAUAAAAAUGUCCAAAUGAACCCCGAAAAAUCACAAAAAUUCACACAACAUUCCUGUUGUUCUAUGUUGACACGUGGAAAAAACUUGAAAGCAAUAAGAGGCAAUGGAUAUCGUUUCGUCCCCAAAGGUGGGACGUUCCCUACCGAAAACCAUCAUGCUUGUUGUGAGAAGCUCCGGUUUGUGAGAAGCAUAUGCCCAAACGUACCACAAAUGGGACAAAAUUUGUACCACGGCAUGUUGAUGCCGCUCCAUGAUAGCAUGCCAGGUUCCAUGAAUUUCAGACGAGUUUUGUAUUUACUAGAAUUUAAAAACUAGGCAUCUCACUGUUUUGUCGGCAAUCAACGGUGCCAUGGUGUUUGAAACUCAUUCCCAUUUCUUGCAUGGGACCUAAGCAUGCACCCAAGGACAAAGAUUUGAUUUUUCAACGAAUUUAUAUGCACUGGAGCAUGCGCAUGUAGUUCAAAUUUGAAUCAUGCACAUAAAUGCAUUGAAAACUCAGUUAAUGUAUAAAAAUGUCCAAAUGAACCCCGAAAAAUCACAAAAAAUCACACAACACUCCUGUUGUUCUAUGUUGACAUGAGAAAAAAACUUGAAAGCAAUAAGAGGCAAUGGACAUCAUUUCGUCCCCAAAGGUGGGACAUUCCCUACCGAAAACCAUCAUGCUUGUUGUGAGAAGCUCCGGUUUGUGAGAAGCAUAUACCCAAACCUGCCACAAAUACGACAAAAUUUGUACCACGGCAUGUUGAUGCCGCUCCAUGAUAGCAUGCCAAGUUUCAUGAAUUUCAGACGAGUUUUGGAUUUACUAGAAUUUAAAACCCAGGCAUCUCACUGUUUUGCCGACAAUCAAUGGUGCCCUGGUGUUUGAAACUCAUUCCCAUUUCUUGCAUGGGACCUAAGCAUGCACCCAACGACAAAGAUUUGAUUUUUCAAUGAAUUUAUAUGCACUUGAGCAUGCGCAUGUAGUUCAAAUUUGAAUUACGCACAUAAAUGCAUUGAAAACUCACUUAAUGCAUAAAAAUGUCCAAAUGAACCCCGAAAAAUCAUAAAAAUUCACACAACACUCCUGUUGUUCUAUAUUAACACAAGAAAAAAAACUUGAAAGCAAUAAGAGGCAAUGGAUAUCGUUUCGUCCCCAAAGGUGGGACGUUCCCUACCGAAAACCAUCAUGCUUGUUGUGAGAAGCUCCGGUUUGUGAGAAGCAUAUACCCAAACAUGCUCCAAAUGGGACAAAAUUUGUACCACGGCAUGUUGAUGCCGCUCCAUGAUAGCAUGCCAAGUUUCAUGAAUUUCAGAUGAGUUUUGGAUUUACUAGAAUUUGAAAACCAGGCAUCUCACUAUUUUGUCGGCAAUCAACGGUGCCAUGGUGUUUGAAUUUCAUUCCCAUUUCUUGCAUGGGACCUAAGCAUGCACUGAAGGACAAAGAUUUGAUUUUUCAAUGAAUUUAUAUGCACAGGAGCAUGCGCAUGUAGUUCAAAUUUGAAUUAUGUACAUAAAUGCAUUGAAAACUCAGUUAAUGCAUAAAAAUGUCCAAACGAACCCCGAAAAAUCACAAAAAUUCACACAACACUCCUGUUGUUCUAUGUUGACACGAGAAAAAAACUUGAAAGAAAUAAGAGGCAAUGGAUAUCGUUUUGUCCCCAAAGGUGGGACGUUCCCUACCGAAAACCAUCAUGCUUGUUGUGAGAAGCUCCAGUUAGUGAGAAGCAUAUACCCAAACCUGCCCCAAAUGGGACAAUUUGUACCACCGCAUGUUGAUGCCGCUCCAUGAUAGCAUGCCAAGUUUCAUGAACUUCAGACGAGUUUUGGAUUUACUAGAAUUUAAAAACCAGGCAUCUCACCGUUUUGCUCGCAAUCAACGGUGCCAUCGUGUUUGAAAUUCAUUCCCAUUUCUUGCAUGGGACCUAAGCAUGCACCCAAGGACAAAGAUUUCAUUUUUCAACGAAUUUAUAUACACUGGAGCAUGCGCAUGUGGUUCAAAUUUGAAUUAUGCACAUAAAUGCAUUGAAAACUCAGUUAAUGCAUAAAAAUGUCCAAACGAACCCCGAAAAAUCACAAAAAAUCACACAAUACUCCUGUUGUUCUAUGUUGACACGGGAAAAAAACUUGAAAGCAAUAAGAGGCAAUGGAUAUCGUUUUGUCCCCAAAGGCGGGACGUUCCCUACCGAAAACCAUCAUGCUUGUUGUGAGAAGCUCCGAUUUGUGAGAAGCAUAUAUCCAAACCUACCCCAAAUGGGACAAAAUUCGUACCACGGCAUGUUGAUGCCGCUCCAUGAUAGCAUGCCAAGUUUCAUGAAUUUCAUAAGAGUUUUGGAUUUACUAGAAUUCAAAAACCAGGCAUCUCACUGUUUUGCCGGCAAUCAACGGUGCCAUGGUGUUUGAAAUUCAUUCCCAUUUCUUGCAUGGGACCUAAGCAUGCACCCAACGACAAAGAUUUGAUUUUUCAACGAAUCUAUAUGCACUGGAGCAUGUGCAUGUAGUUCAAAUUUGAAUUAUGCACAUAAAUGCAUUGAAAACUCACUUAAUGCAUAAAAAUGUCCAAACGAACCCUGAAUAAUUCCAAUUCUUUUAUGAUCACUGCAGAUAAAAGGUCUAGCAAUUCAAACACCGUCCAUGGCCGCUGUGACCCCAUUAUGUAAUUCAAAUCAAGACCAAAAAUCAAGUAGAUCCCACACAGUUUAUUAUAACCAACCGUGUGAGAUGCAGCACAAAAUAUCUUUGGACCAUGUCUGAAUAAGGGACCGUGUCUGAUGAAACUUUGCGCGCCAGUUUUUUGGCUGAAGCGAUUCCAAAUUUUCGGCUUCCGCGGAAAUAUCUACCUCCCCGCCCCUCCCCCUUACCAAAAGCCACAUUUCCCCUCUUUCCGCCUUCCUUUCCAAUUUGAAACCUUCACUCCUUGCUUACAGUGUCGCCGCCUCCUCGCCUGUGACCCUCCUUCACGCAGCUCGGCCUCGCCUAUCCAGGCAGGUAAUCCACACCCGACCCCCAUCCUCCUCCUCCUUCCACAUCCCACAUGGCCCGACUGCCGGCGCGAGCGCGACACCUUCCACCCAAAUCACCGACCCCUCCACCAAAUAAGCGCCGGCCUAAGCCAUGGUGCACACAGUAUAGCCAGGACCUCAAGGAGCAUUUGGCAGCGGAGAAGCAAAUCGCGGCCGCACACGCGAAUGAGGUCACGAUGGCUGCCAUUUGUGCCGACCCCCAGAUCUUGGAGGAGCACCUCGCCGUCGAGGCCACCGUUGACGCCUCGCGCGCCGACGCUGCGACGCAGUUAGGUGCUUUAAACGACGGUUCGUGGCAUUUUCUCGAGGCCACCAUCGGUGCCUUUGACAAAGACUACGAGGUGUUUUCUCAGUGUGCACGUGCUUACCUCAUCUCGAGAGCCAGCAGGUUGGUGCCCGGAGCGGCUCAGGAAACUCACCACUACAACGAGGGCACCCACGAUGCGGAGGCCUCGCCCUCUUCCAUGUCCAAGGAGCCAAUCAUCAUCGAUAUCUCCGACAAUGAGGAGUACCUUGUCUUAUUAGCUCACUAUAAGGACCCAUGUUUAGUUUGCUAGCUACUGCCUUUCCUUAACAAAUUCUAGUGAAUUGUGCUAUCUACUUUUACCAUGCAAUCUUCUGCUAUAGUGUAUAUGUUCUAUAUGUCGUGCAGUGUGGUGUUCAAUUAACUGCUUGGUUCAAUUCUGCAAAUGUGAUGUUCAAUUCUUCAGGGUGCAAUAUUUCCAAGUUGUUAAGCAUGCUUGGUUUGGUUAACUGUCUGAUCUUCUAUUAGGAGUAUGUUAUAUUGUUCAAUUGGUGUUUACUUAACUGAUUGGUUCAUUUGUUGUGGCUUGGUUCACUUGUUGUGGUGUUUAGUUAACUGCUUGGUUCAAUUCUGCAAUGCGAUGUUCAAUUGUUGUGGCUGCAUUCUGUUAUUGUAUACCAUGUGAGGAAUAAAUCGAAUUUGGCUGUACUAAAUACAUGAGAAACAAAUACAAUUGCUAUAUUUCCAAGUUGUUAAGCAUGCUUGGUUUGCUUAACUGUUUGAUAUUCUAUUAGGAGUAUGUUAUAUUGUGCAAUGUGGUGCUCAGUUAAUGUUUGGUUCAUUUGUUGUGGUGUUUAGUUAACUGCUUGGUUCAAUUCUGCAAUGUGAUGUUUAAUUGUUGUGGCUGCAUUCUGUUAUUGUAUACCAUGUGAGGAAUAAAUCGAAUUUGGCUGCACUUAAUACAUGAGAAACAUAUACAAGUGCUAUAUUUCCUAGUUCUUAAUCAUGCUUGGUUUGGAUAAAUGGGUUUUCCAUGUGGCUUGAAUUAAUAUGAUGAAUCUGCAAUGUGCUUAUUUAUCAUCAACAUAUUUUACUGAUAGCAUGCGAACCCUUACUUAACCUGAUGACUAACUACCUUAUAUGUGUUGGAGGGAAACAAUGGGAAGCACUGAGGUUUACAAGAUGGUACUAACUAUUAUACCUUGCCUUUUUGUAUUCAUUUGCCCCAUUUCCAAUAUAGAGAAGAUAUUUAUGCACAUCCUUGUUUUCAGGCUUCACUGAUGAUUACCUCUGAAACCACCUCUGUGGUCAGGAGGCGAGGAAAGUUUUCAUACAACACCCACGGUUCAAUAUUGAAGUGUUCCUGAAGAGGUCGAAGGAUGGAGGUCAAUCAUCCACAGGCACUGGCCUAAAGUUGCAAAGACCUUCAACAUGAAUGAAGGCUCAAUAUUAGCCUUCCGCUUCAGCAGUUUUCCAGAUGAGAUGCAUCUCUCUAUGUACCGUCUAAGAUGCUAAUUUCGAAAGGUUCUAGAUGUUGCACGUGAAACUUGCUGCUGGUGCAGUUGUGUAAUGGGGUAGCUGAGUGCUGAAGCUAUAUCAUGUUGUACUCUGAUGUAUUUCAAUUAUGAAAUCCUGCUUCCUUAAUAUGGAAAUGGAAUAUAUUAUGUGCUUAAUAUGAAUGUCAAUUAGAUUAGUAAAUGGAUUAUUAAUAAUAGGGCAAUUAGCCCGCUAAUUGGCCAAUUAGCUUGCUAAUUGGGUUUUCCUAUUGCAAAUGGUUAAUGAGAAACCACUGUGGGCGAUGACCUCAGGCAACGCACACAGUUUCUAGGAAUAAACCGUGUUGGAUCAAUGAACAAUCACACAAGACAUUCUCUUCAAAACUGUUUGCGUUACGCCACCUUGCACAAACGUUUUCCUUGGAGUGACUGUGUGGGAUGUCCAUAGGAACGGAAACGUUUAGCGGGGACUGACUAUGUGGGAUGUACUUGUGACCGGAAACAAUUUGGCCGUAUAAUUGUAUUUUUUUAGCUAUACUGUACGUAUUUCCGUAUUUGCGUGCUCGCCGGUCGCACACGACCUCAUUUUGCCGAACGUGCGUGCCAGGAGGGUUAAUCCCCGAUGGUUUCUGGGUCGUGUGGGAAGGACCCCCCUAUCGCCCACACUCACUUGGCGACGGUUCCAGAUACCAUCGCGGAAAGGGGUUAAAAACCGUUUGUUUAGGAGUGACGUGCACCAGUGCUUAUUCAGGGUUCGUUUGGCCUUUUUAUACACUAAUUGAGUUUCCUAGGCAUUUAAUGUCCAUAAUUCAAAUCUGAACUACAAAUACAUGCUCGAGUUCACCAAAAUGGCUAGAAAAAUUAUACAUGUGUCCUUGGGUGCAUGUUUAGGUCCCAUGCCAGGAAUGGGAAUGAAUUACAAUCGUACUGGUGUCAUGGCUCGUCCUCAAACAUUUUGAAUCUCGGUUUUUAAGUCCCCAUAAAUCCUAAACUCUCCAGAAAGUCAUCAAAGGUGGCAUGGUGUCACGUCAUGGCACAUAUAUGUCGUGGUAAAAACAUUGUCCAAUUUGGGUCAAGCUUUAUUACAAACCUCUUACAAAAACUGGAGCUUCUCUCAAAGAAGCCUCGUGGUUCUGAUAGGUAAACGUGUUCCCCUUGUGGGCGAAACGUAAUCACUGCCUCUUUUCGCCUUAUAUUUUCUUCCACGGGCAACAUGGAACGACAUGAUAUCCGUGCUGAAAUUUAAACUUAUUCAGGGUUUGUUUGGCCUUUUAUACACUAAUUGAGUUUCCUAGGCAUUUAAUGUCCAUAAUUCAAAUCUGAACUACAAAUACAUGCUCCAGUUCACCAAAAUGGCUAGAAAAGUUAUACAUGUGUCCUUGGGUGCAUGUUUAGGUCCCAUGCGAGGAAUGAGAACGAAUUACAACUAUACUGGUUCCUGGCUCGUCCUCAACCAUUUCGAAUCUCAGUUUUUAAGUCCCCAUAAAUCCUAAACUCACCAGAAAGUCAUCAAAGGUGGCAUGGUGUCACAUCAUGGCACAUAUAUGUCGUGGUAAAAACAUUGUCCAAUUUGGGCCAAGCUUUAUUACAAACCUCUCACAAAAACUAGAGAUUCUCUCAAAGAAGCCUCAUGGUUCUGAUAGGUAAACGUGUUCCCCUUGUGGGCGAAACGUAAUCACUGCCUCUUUUCGCCUUGUAUUUCUUCCACAGGCAACAUGGAACGACAGGAUAUCCGUGCUGAAAUUUAAACUUAUUCAGGGUUCGUUUGGCCUUUUUAUACACUAAUUGAGUUUCCUAGGCAUUUAAUGUCCAUAAUUCAAAUCUGAACUACAAAUACAUGCUCCAGUUCACCAAAAUGGCUGGAAAAUUUAUACAUGUGUCCUUGGGUGCAUGUUUAGGUCUCAUGCCAGGAUUGAGAACGAAUUACAACCGUACCAGUGUCCUGGCUCGUUCUCAAACAUUUCGAAUCUCAGUUUUUAAGUCCCCAUAAAUCCUAAACUCACCAGAAAGUCAUCAAACGUGGCAUGGUGUCACGUCAUGGCACAUAUAUGUCAUGGUAAAAACAUUGCCAAUUUGGGCCAAGCUUUAUUACAAACCUCUCACAAACCGGAGCCUGUCGCAAGAACCCUCGUGGUUUCAAUAGGGAAACGUGUCCCCUUGUGGGCCAAACGAUAAUCACUCCCUCUUCUAGCCUCGUAUUUUCUUCUAAACGCGACACGGAAAAACUAUAGAUCGCGCUGAACUUUGAAAUUAUUCAGGGUUCGUUUGACCUUUUUUAUUCAUUAAUUGAGUUUUCUAGGCAUUUAAUGUCCAUCAUUCAAAUCCGAACUAUAAAUACAUGCUCUAGUGCACCAAAAUGGCUAGAAAAAUGUACAUGUUUCCUUGGGGUGCAUGUUUAGGUCCCAUGGAAUGAAUGGGAAUGAAUUCAACCGUCCCGUCGUCCAGGCUUGGCCACAAACAUUGCGAAUCUCGGUUUUUAAAUGUCUGUAAAUCCAAAACUCACCAGGAAAUCAUGAAACUUGGCAUGGUGUCACUACAUGGUUCAUAUAAUUGUUCAAUUUGGGCGAAGCUAUAUUACAAGCCUUUUAGAAACCAGAGCCUGUCGCAACCCUCAUGGUUCCGGUAGGGAAACAUGCCCCUCUUGUGGGCAAAACGAUAAUCGAUGCCUCUUCUCGCCUUGAACUUCGUUUUCUACACGCAACAUAGAAUAACAGGAGUGUCGGGCUGAAAUUUGAAACUGUUCAGGUUCGUUUGGCCAUUGUAUAUAUAUACAUUACUAAUUACUCAGUUUUAUAUGCAUUUAAUGUAGUCCAUCAUUCAAAUUUGAACUACAACCACAUGCUCCAGUGAAGCAAAAUGGGUGGGUAAUCGUACAUGUGUCAUUGGGUGCAUGUUUAGGUCUCGUUUAAGGAAUGAGAAUGAAUUACAAACUUGUCGUCGUCCUGAAACAAUGAGAAUCUCGGUUUUAAAUCCUAGUAAAUCAAAAAGUCACCCAAAAAACAUGAAACUUGGCAUGGUUUCAUGACAUGGCACAUAUAUGUCGUGGUAAAAAAAUUGUCCAGUUUGAGAAGAGGCGAACACAUUAGUAGCCAACGAAGUACUUUUUGAAACAAAAAGUUGACACGUUAAUAUCGCAAACGAUUGUAUUAUAUUUAGCAUGUCAAAAUUUAACCAUACUCUGUUGCGUGCGUGCAACUAUUUGAUUAGACGGGACGAGCGCGAGAAGUCCGUCGUGCAGGCUCGACGGGACGCGUGCGAGCAGUCCGCCGCGCAGGCUCGAUGGGACGCGUGCAUCCUUGUAACGCCCACGAUGCGGCUAUAUCUCCCACGUGUCGAGGCACGACUUGGAGGCAUAACCGCAUGGUGAUUUUGUCGCAAGAAGGGUUAUCUUCAUACAAUCCCAUGUAAUGAACAAGAAUGGGAUAAAGAGUUGGCUUACAAUCGCCACUUCACACAAAUAACAAGUUAAACAUAAAUCAUCCAGAAUACAAUCAAGGUCCGACUACGGAACCAAAAUAAAAGAAGACAACCCCAAAUGCUAGAUCCCCGAUCGUCCCAACUGGGCUCCACUACUGAUCAUCAAGAAACGAAACAUAGUAAUGACCAAGUUCUUCAUCGAGCUCUCACUUGAGCUGGGUAGCAUUGCCUGCACUGGUAUCAUCGGCACCUGCAACUGUUUGGAAGUAUCUGUGAGUCACGAGGACUCAGCAAUCUCACACCCGCGAGAUCAAGACUAUUUAAGCUUAUAGGAAGGAUGGGGUAAUGAGGUGGAGCUGCAGCAAGCACUAAGCAUAUAUGGUGGCUAACAUACGCAAAUAAGGGCGAGAAGAGGAGCAACGCAGCGGUCGUGAAACUAGAAUUGAUCAAGAAGUGGUCCUGAAACUACUUACGUUCAAACAUAACCCAAAACUGUGUUCCCGGACUCCGCCGAAAAGAGACCAUCACGGCUACACACACGGUUGAUGCAUUUUAAUUAAGUCAAGUGUCAAGUUCUCUACAACCGGACAUUAACAAAUUCCCAUUUGCCACAUAACCGCGGGCACGGCUCUCGAAAGUUUAUACCCUGCAGGGUUGUCCCAACUUAGCCCAUUAUAAGCUCUCACGGUCAACGAAGGAUGUUCCUUCUCCCAGGAAGACCCGAUCAGUCUCGGAAUCCCGGUUUACAAGACAUUUCGACAAUGGUAAAACAAGGCCAGCAAAGCCGCCCGAAUGUGCCGACAAAUCCUGAUAGGAGAUGCACAUAUCUCGUUCUCAGGGCACACCGGAUUGUCCAAACUUCUGGUAGGCGAGCCCAGAGUUGCCCCUGGUGGCCACCGGCGGCGGACAGGUUGGACCAACACUCAGAGGAGCACUGGCCCGGGGGUUUAAAAUAAAGAUGACCCUUGAGUCUGCAGAACCCAAGGGAAAAAGGCUUAGGUGGCAAAUGUUAAAACCAAGGUUGGGCCUUGCUGGAGGAGUUUUAUUCAAAGCGAACUGUCAAGGGGGUCCCAUAAAUCACCCAACCGCGUAAGGAACGCAAAAUCAAGGAACAUAACACUGGUAUGACGGAAACUAGGGCGGCAAGAGUGGAACAAAACACCAGGCAUAAGGCCGAGCCUUCCACCCUUUACCAAGUAUAUAGAUGCAUUAAUUAAAAUAAAAGAUUUUGUGAUAUCCCAAAAAUAUCCAUGUUCCAACAAGGAACAAACUUCAUCUUCACCUGCAACUAGCAAUGCUAUAAGAGGGGCUGAGCAAAGCGGUAACAUAGCCAAACAACGGUUUGCUAGGACAGGUGGGUUAGAGGCUUGACAUGGCAAUAUGGGAGGCAUGAUAUAGCAAGUGGUAGGUAGCGCGGCAUAGCAAUAGAGCGAACAACUAGCAAGCAAAGAUAGAAGUGAUUUCGAGGGUAUGGUCAUCUUGCCUGAGAUCCCGCAAGGAAGAAGAACGAGUCCAUGAAGAAGACAAACGGACGUAGUCGAAUGAAUCCUCACAACUCCGGAACGAAACCGAAGCUAACGAGAGAAGCAACCCAGAAAGAAACAAACAACAUAGUAAACAACAACCACAUACACAUGGCAUGAUGCACAAACAAGCAUGAUGCAUGUACGAUUUAAUGAGCAUGGCAUGGCAAAGUGCACAAACAAUACUAAAAAUUAAGUGGAGCUCAAUAUGCAACGAGUUGCAUAUUGACGAAACACCACAUCAAUUAUUUAGUUCUCUCUCAUUUAUGUACCCAACAAAUUUAAAUGUUGUUAAACAUGGCAAGGGGUGAAGCAUAUGAAAACUACCUAUUUAGGCAAGUUUAAAUGAGGCCGGAAUAACAAACAACAAUUCCGGAAAAUCCUCAUAUGCAUAUUUCGAAUUUGCUACUGUUCUGCCCUAAACCAUAUUUUAAUGUUGUUAAAAGCAAAAUAAAGUGCACCAUGUUAAUCUCUGCAUUUUUCUACCCCAUUUCCAUAUAAAGUUUAUUAAAUUCAGAGCUACGGUUAAUUAGUUAUGAAAUAAAUCAUUUUAACAUGGCAUUUAUGCAAAUUAAAGCAAACAGCAAGUUAAACAUUUUAAACAUGGAUGAAAGUUGCAUAUUAUGAAACUAGAUGAAAUUCUAAGCACUUUACAUAUAUGAAGUUUCUACAUAUGAUGCAUGGUUAAUUAGUUAUUACAUGCAUGAACAUGACGAUUUUUCGGUAAAACUGCACUCUCUGGAUAAAUAGCAAAUCGUCUAGAACUGAGAAAAAACGAUGCGGGCUGAAUCUGGCAGGCUGGCCCAACAGGAAAAAAUAACAGAGGAAGGGCGCUGGGGUGUGGCCUCACCCAGUGGGCCUUGGCCCGGUCGAUGCAUGCGGCUGAGGCGCGCUGGGCCUUGACGCUGUCAACGACGAGGAGGGGAGACCGGUUCGGGGCGAUGCAGUCAAAGGGGCGAACAGCUUCGCUGCCAGAUCGAGCGCGGGGUCAACGCGAGGUUGUCCCGCUCGAUGCAGGCGGCACUGGAUGAACUCGAGGGACGCGAACGAUCCCGCGACGCAGAGGCCAGAGAGGCCGGUACUCGACGGAUCCGGAGGCUGGCGACGUCGGGCGCGGUCGACGGCGAGCUCCUGCGUCGGGACGUCCAUGCGGCAGGGGACUUGGCGCGGGGGAGCUCUGGGACGAGCGGGACGCGGGAUGGACGCGGGAGGACGAAUUCGUCCGUCUCCUGGCUGGGCUUGGUGCAAACGGCGGCGAGGGAGCUGCGGCCAUCCAUGGUUGUACCUGGUACAGAGAGGGAGAGGCAUGAGAGAUGAGGGAGAGAACCAGAGGGCGGAGGGACGGAGGGGAAGAAGAGGGGAAGGGGCGACGGGGUCUUGGUCGUGGCCGGCGGCGGCGGGGUCACCGGAGGGCGCGGCCAGCAGGGUCGGCGAUGCUCGGGUGCGAGGGCUUCUGCUCCGCGGCUGUGGGCACGGGGACGAGGAGGUAGGCGCUGGCAUGGGGAGGAGCUGCUGGUUGGAUCGACGGGAGAUGGUGGUUGGCCCGGGAUGGAUCUGGGAGGAUCCCAAGGUGGGAGGCGAGUGGGUGGAUGGCUGGCGGUGGGUGAGGGGAUUUUGUGGAUGGACAAGCCUCCUAAAAACUAGGGUUAGGCUGUUUAAAUAGCUAGGUGGACUAGCUUAAGGCAAAACGGACCCUUCGAUCAAAAUCGAACGGUCGAGAAUAAAUAGGCUGUGGAGUCCAAUAAAGAAAACGGAGAUGUUUUAUAGAUGUUUGGGGAUGAUCCGGACCCAACGGUAACGAUUACACGGUUGGGUUAGGGAUAGCUUUCGAACGCGCACAUGAGGGGGGUUUGUGCACUGUACAGAGAGACUCCGGUUUAGGCAAGAGGGCAAACGAAGAACAAGGUUGGUCUCGGAACCGUCAACGAAAGCAAGGGGGGACGCGGCAACUACGAGCGGAUGCAAGUUUUAUGAAAACAUGUGGAUGCAAUGCGCAUGAUGACAUGAUGAAAUGCAACAACAACACCAAUAAAACACACGGCGGUCAUGCAAAACAUGGAAGGCAACUGGAGCGCCGGUCUUGGGGCGUUACAACACUCCACCACUACAAGAGGAUCUCGUCCCGAGAUCUAGGAUGGCACCGGAGAGAAGCAGAAAAGAAAGAGAAGAGGUAAAUCUAAGUUGCUUCUUGUACAAAUGAGUGAAACCAAAGAACCUUGAGAGGUUAAACAAUUUUGAGAAAAGAAUACAACGGAGAUGAACGAGAUUACAAACACUCCGUUAGAAAAGGGGAACAAGGAACAUUAUGAGAACCUUGUGGGUUGAAAGGCAUGAAACAAGGGCUUAACGGACCAAAAGAAUAUGAAACCACACCGGUAUAACGAGAUAGCCAAGGAACAAGAAUGACAUAAUUUUGACAGCACUCCGGUUGAAAAAGAGAAGGAAAACUUGAUAAGAUGAAAAGAAAUUGAAGAGAUGACACAACACUCCGGUUAAAUGGAUAAACAAGGAAAGAAGAUGAUCUUGACAAAACAAGAAGAUGGGUCGAAGAGAGCAAUAUCACAAUGCCUCCGGUAGAAAUGAAAGAAUGCAAUGAAAAGAACGGAGAAGAAAACAACAUGUUCUACCUUAAGUGAAUUUGAGAGGGCAUCCUUAAAAGAAGGAUAGAACGGAGUUGUUGAAAAAUCAACAAAGAAGACAUACAUAUAAGGAAGUUUUAGGGAAGUCUCAGUGCCAACGACUUGAAAAUCUUCAAAUAAUCUAGAUCACCCAAGACUUCGUAGUUACCUAAGAACUACAAAGGCACACAUUUUAAUAUCCCGAUCCAUGUAAAAAAAUCUCAGAACCUGCAGAAUCAACAACACGAAAAAGAGCAUAAUCAGACAGUUGUAAUUAUCAACACAUUCAUAAAAAGAAGACGUACAUAUAAGGAACUAAGAAACAGAAAGGGGAAAGAGAACUCUGAGCUAUCUAAUUCACUUAUGCUCGUCAUCACGCCUACCCUUUGACCCUGACUCGACCUUGAAGGAAUGCAUGAUCUAAUUGAUAUAGACAAGAGCAUGUUCUGAUCAGUAUACAAGAGAGAACAUCAGAGAAUAAUUCAUUAGAAGCUGGGAAAUAUGAACCUACCAGACUGAGCCUACCAUAGGAAGUCUGGUUUCCAUCUGAUCUUGCAGCUCCACGCCAAGCAGAGACCAGGACUCGGACCACAAGCAGAGAUCCAGUGGAAAUCGGUUAGAUCCAUAAACAUGGCAGCAAGAAAAUUAAAACCUAAUGCCUAACAAGAAAUAAGUAUUGAGAACAAGGGACACAACAUUCUUCCCGACUUAACACAUACAGACAAGUGAUGAAUAAAACAUUCUUCCUGAACAAGGGGAUGCAAACAUUGUUUCGGAAUUAACUAGAUUGAGAUUAUGCUGUAUUUCUGGAAGAAUUGCAGCAAAAUGAUAGAGAGAGAUGGCUUAUAGAAAAAAAUGUUUUUCCUUCUUUUACAUAAUAGCAAAUAUGCCCUGUACAUUGCAAUGGCAGAAAAAAAUCCCUCCGCCCAUCCGUUUUAGUUCAUAAUGUAACACCCAGAGUUCUUCCUUGUUCCAACCGUAUUCGGUUAUUCAGGUGCUCAGUAUUAUGAUUUGGAUCAGCCUCUACAGGAGGAGCUUAGCUUGUACUAAAAAACCAGAUCAGAAUUAAAUAGGAUACUAGGCGCAUGAGAUUAGACUUGAGCACCAAGUCCUGUUUGAACUUGUGUGGACAGACUUACUUUAGAAGCUAGCCUGCUACUAGGCACACAAGAUUAUACUUGGGCACUAAGUCUUGUUUAAACUUGUGUGGCCGGACUGGUCUCAACCAAUCAUAAAAAAUAAACAUCAUUCCUAUUUUAGUACUUGUGAUGAAGGAUUGAUUAUGAUUAUUUUUUAUAGUACUUAGCUGCACUGGUUGUAGAAUACGACUAGUUUUUUGCUGUUGGUCUGAACUGAACUAGAGUUUUUUGCUGAAAUAAUCAACACUUUGGAGUUUGGAUAGGAGUGUAGGGUGUAGUACAUGCUUUUUUGUUAAAUCUAUAUAUCUACUAAUAGCAAGGAAGAAGCUUGGUCAGCGUUGGAAUAUGACUGUUAUAAAUGAAUUCAUAUGUGCCCAGCCACUAACUAUUACCGACAUUAGUAACUCUGUUUGUUGGGAGCAAAACAUAUAUGUUACUUGCAUGCUCCGGACAUAAGAAAAUGUUGCGGGGCCAUAUAGAUAUGUACAUGCAUCACUUGGAACAUCAACCGUCAUGCUUAGGUUUUAGUAUAGUUAUAUACCUUAUGUGCAGGCAUUAGCCCUUCCAAGUUAAUGCCCGCCAAAAAAAGGUUACUGAACUUUUAUUUCUACAAUGGUUUUGUCUUAAACAUAACUGGUGGUUUCGUGGCCUAUAGAGUACCAUUAUUAUUAGCCCUCGCAAAAAAAGAGUACCAUUAUUAGCAUAAUGUCAAACAACUUUCAUAUUCUAAGUUCAGCUAGGGACAUCAUGACACACGUUCUUAACGAAAAUGGAACCCCAAACAGAUUAGGGGUGAAUGUAAGUGCAGAACCAUCAGGUAGUAAUAAGUCAGAAUUGGUUACCCUGAUCUAGCUAGGAGACUAAGGGGUCGAGGAUCAAUUCCCUUUUGGUUGACCACAACGAAAUUAUUGUCACUUCCUAAGAAAAACCUGAAUGCUAUAGAAACAUGUGAGCACAAUAUUUGCAGCGAGAGAGAGAGCAUGGGGGUAAGGUAAGAAAAUUACCUUAUUUAUAUUUAUCAAUUCAGUGAUGUUCCUUACAUGUUCAUCAACUUGUCAUCUCUGUAGAAACCAUCUUUUCUAUUUGUUCAAUGUUUGAGCAGAAGAAUCCUGCAUUUAUUUCACUAAGAAACUUAAGUACCUGUUAUAUGGUUCCCUUCAGUUAUGCAACUAAAUAGAAAUUCUUUGUAGGUUUGAAGUCAGCAUGUGCUACUGCGUGGGCAGGGACAUGUCUCAAUGAGGAUGUGAUCCAUCGGUGUUGUAGCUUCGAAGGCGCCGCCGGCAAAGGAAAAACAAGGAUCUGCAGGGUCGGGGGGAAUAUUACCUUUUACUACUGAUACAAAUACAAAAUUGCAGAUACACGGAAGACAGAAUAGGACCUUCUGAAUGGAUGUAGUUGAGGAGGACGGGUGCGUCGUACUUGCGUGCAUAGGAACAACAGCGACAUCUGCAUCUCCGAUCAAGCGGAGGAACGGCCGCGGCGAUGCCUUCCCCAAGGCGAGGAGGAUGGGUGGCAACGUCGUUCCAACGCAUGGAGAAAGUGGCGAGGGAGGCGGUCAUGGCGAAGGUUCCUCACAGAAGCGAGGGCGAGGAGACGACGGCGGUGGUCGGAACCCUAGCUGCAGGAUGUGUCUCACAUUUUUUUGGCGAAGGGCUGUGUCUCAGUUUUUUUGAGAGGAGGGUGCAUCUCGCUGGGAUAAAGUAAGAAGAGGUAACGCUUCCUACGCGAGAGGUUAGCGCUAAAAGAGAUGGAGGUGAGUACGGAGUGGUUAGCGCUAAGUGGGGAAGGUGGGAUGUUCAGCCAAACAACACAUCCUGUUAUCUUCGUUGCUAGACAUGUGUUGUUAAAAGGGGGGNNNNNNNNNNNNNNNNNNNNNNNNNNNNNNNNNNNNNNNNNNNNNNNNNNNNNNNNNNNNNNNNNNNNNNNNNNNNNNNNNNNNNNNNNNNNNNNNNNNNNNNNNNNNNNNNNNNNNNNNNNNNNNNNNNNNNNNNNNNNNNNNNNNNNNNNNNNNNNNNNNNNNNNNNNNNNNNNNNNNNNNNNNNNNNNNNNNNNNNNNNNNNNNNNNNNNNNNNNNNNNNNNNNNNNNNNNNNNNNNNNNNNNNNNNNNNNNNNNNNNNNNNNNNNNNNNNNNNNNNNNNNNNNNNNNNNNNNNNNNNNNNNNNNNNNNNNNNNNNNNNNNNNNNNNNNNNNNNNNNNNNNNNNNNNNNNNNNNNNNNNNNNNNNNNNNNNNNNNNNNNNNNNGUGUUGCCUCUGGAUGAACAGGACCCCGAUCGAUCGAGCCGGUUGGGGCAGGAUGAACAGGACCCCGUGGAGGGCAGGAUGAACAGGACCACCCCGUGGAGGGCAGAAUAAACAGUAGACAGUGGAGGGCUGGAUGAACAGUAGCCCGUGGAGGGGUGGUUGAACAGGAGCCCGUGGAGAGGGCUGGUUGAACAGUAGCCGGUGGAGUAGCGCGUGGUGGAGACUGGAUGAACAGGAGCCCAUGGAUGAACAGUCGCAGGUGGAGGCUGGAGGAGGUCGACGGUGGAUGAACAGUAGCCUGUGGAGGCUGGAGGGCGUCAACGGUGGAGAUGAACAGUAUCCCGUGGAGUCCCGUUUUGUGGUACGCCACACCCCUCCCGAUGAACAGGACCCCCGUUUCGACCGUAGCGCUCCAACACAAGUCCGUUUCCUCCAUUUUGCGGUACGCCACACCCCUCCCGAUCAACAGGACCCCCGUUUUGACCGUAGGAGGUCCGUUUCCUCCAUUUUGCGGUACGCCAGACCCCUCCCGAUGAACAGGAUCCCGUUUCAAACGUGGCUGGUCGAACACAAGGCCGUUUGCUCCGUUCUACGGUACGCCAGGCCUCGUUUCCAUCGGCUAUUCCUUCCAAGCCCUCCCGAUGAACACGACGACGCAUUCCGUUCCGACCCAGCCGGUUGGCUCCCCAUGAACACGACAACGACGCUGUUUCUCCAUUCCGACCCAGCCAUGUACACGAGCCCUGGCCGUACGUAUGAGCGAGUAGGCGUUCGAGACCCUGCCCGUAUGUACGUACGUGGCCGUAUUUUCUUUCUUGCACACUGGCCGCUGUACAUACGUGUACAUGCUACGUGUGCGCCUCUACUACGACACGUGCGCGCCUCUACAUCGACCAGUAUGUACGUACACGUUCGCGACCAGAAUGACAAUGCCACGUAUGCUUCGACCAGGUGGGUCCCGACUGUCAGGCACUUCCUUGCCUGCAAAGAUGUAGCUGGUGGGUCCUAGCAGUCAGGGGGGCGAAUCGUUUUUUUUUCGGACGCACUUCCUUGCGUGCGAAGAUGUAGCUGGUGGGUCCCCGCAGUCAGGGGGAAAUGUUUUUUUUUUGCGAAAUACGAUGGCCCGUCCGGUGGAUCCCCGCUGUCAGGUGGAGGAAUAAUUAUUUUGCGCGUAAUAAGGAGGCACUUCCUUGUUGCGGCUGUGGACCCAGCUGUCAGCCUCUCCAUGUACAGUCCACGUCCGAUCGAAGCCGUUCCUUGACCACGUUGACCACGCCGCGCCGAGAGCACCAGGGCGGUGGACGACGGCGAGGCCUAGGAAGGGGAUGACGCGGAGCCGGGGAAGACGCGGCAGUGGAAGUCCGCGCGGAGAGGAGUACAAGGGUUCACUGGUUCGGCUGCGGUGUGAGGUUGCCGUUGCUGCAGGGCAUGGCCAGUGGUGGGAAUAGUAGGGGCGGUGAGUUCUUCACGGCAGCACAGCCGGCCACGGGAGGCAGGAGCAUGCGGCACGACCGGCGCUGCUUUGGGCGGCUGGAGCAACAAGACCAGAGGUUGAAGAAGCACUACGGCCGUUGGAUGGACAUGAUACGGUCACUGGAGCUAGAAUCGUGCAUAUUGACUAAGUUGACAAAGCCCUCCGUCCCUGUCAACUUAGUAGGCCCACAAGUCAGCCUGCCACUAUACUGGGUCCCAGCUAGUAGGGGCAGUAUUCAUAUUUUUUAUGCGUAAUAAGGACGCACUUCCUUGCGUGCGAAGAUAUAGCUAGUGGGUCCGAGCUGUCAGCGGCGAUAACGUUUUUUUCACGAAAUACAGAGGCCCUUUCGGUGGGUCCCAGAUGUCAGGUGGAGGAAUCAUUAUUUUGCGCAUAAUAAGGAGGCAUUUCCUUGCGUGCGGCCGUGGACCCAGCUGUCAGCCUCUCCAUGUACAGUCCACUUCAGAUGCAUGUCGGUCGUUGACCACGUUGACCAGGCCGCGCUGGGAGCACCAGGGCGGUGGACGGUGGCGAGGCCUAGGAAGGGAACGACACGGAGGUAGGGAAGACUCGACAGUUGUUUCCCACGCGGAGGGGAGUAUGACUAUACGAGGGUUUACUGGUUCGUCUGUCGUCACCGGAGAAUAACAACAUGUGUGGGUGAGUAGAGGGAUGGCUAGGCCAGCGAUGGGAGUACGGUGGGGCGGUGAAGCCUGCGUGGCAGCACAGCCAGCCGCGGGGAGGAGGGAGCAGGCAGUCCCGCCGGCGCUUGUUUGAGCGGCUGGAGCAGGAAGAGCAGAGAUUGAAGAAGCACGACGGCCGUUGGAUGGACAUCCAACAGUCACUGCUUGUGCGUCAACCUUUUUUUUAGGAAAGCCUCAAAUCUGUGGAAAAUAGCAUACAACCCAUCUGCCAUUAUUUCCAAUAAUUUACAGCCCAUUUGCUAAUUCUGAAGGUUUUUUUGGAGCCCAUAUUCUUUUUGUUAGCAUUACAGCCCAUAUUGUGGCCACGGUUAAAAAAUUAUACGAAAUGUUGCAUAUUUCGGUGCGGUCCGAACUGUUUUUAAUCCCGAAAUUUCGAGUCACAUUCAAACUGAUUUUAAAAAUAAAUGUAUAUCAAUAUAAAAUCCAACAAAUUGUCCACGCAUAAAAAUUAAUGCAAUUUAAAAUCUUGAAAUGAAAAAAAGAAAUUUGAAAGUAAUUGCCGGUUUGAUGUGUUUUAAAAAUGUACAGCCCAUUUCUCAUUACUGAUAGACGAUUUUCUCGUACAGCCGAAUGAAGCUCUCCUCGUCUUGAAAGAUUUGCAGCCCAAUAGGCUUGACAAAGUGACUUACUUGGCAAAUCACAAAAGAAACUGGGCUAGCCAUUUUCAGAAAGAAAGAAAAAAACUACUGGGCUGCUCUGUGGUAAACAUAAAAGGGAAGGCUGUGUAGACAUGCCAGAGUGCCCCGCACAGCCCAGUUGACACCCUGCUUCCGUCUCAAAAACAAAUUAGAUAAAUGCCACAACAAAUAUGGCAAUUCAUAAAAAUGCCACUGCAAUUUCCAAACUUUGAAAAAUGCCACUGCAAUUUUUGCAAACUUUGGAAAACGCCACUGCAAUUUGCAAACUUUGAAAAACGCCACUCCAGACUUCGAAAAAUGCCACUGGGGAUGGCAUGAAAUGGCAUUUUUCAAAGUUUGGAAAUUGCAAUGGCAUUUCUUAGAAACACCAGAUUUGGAGUGGCAUUUAUCAAAUUAACCCAAAACAAAAAUAACUGGGCGAGCUGCUGGGUCCCUGAUGUCAGCCGCUCGUUGUGCAACUCUCUCGUUUAUGGACUACGUUGACAAUGGCAUGGGACCCAGAUGUCAGAAAUCCAUUACGAGGAGCCAUUUUUUUUAUUGGAUUGAAAUAAGGAGGCACUUUGCUUGCGUACUGCCAUGACCUUGGCGGGUCCCUGCUAUCAUUCUCUCCACGUACAAUCAUCUCCUGGUUGUGUACGCAUCAACUUGGUAGGCCCACAAGUCAGCCUCUAAACCCGUGGAGGACAAAUACAACCCAUUUAAAAAAAUAACAGCCCAUUCCAUAUGUUCAAACGGAAAGUUCAACAUUCAGAGCAAAGUAACAGGUCUGAUCCACAUAUAGAGUACUGAACUUCCACGUUGACAACCAUCAUAGCCAAGUUAACUAUCUACUUCCACUAAUACUCUAGUAGCAUACAAGUACUAACUUACUCUUAGCUAACUAGACGAUGCCGGCCGCCAUCUGCGGUACACGCUAAACGCCAGCACCGGCGUCCUCCGCCUCGCCUCGGACUUGCCAGAGGUGCGAUAGGGCGCGUUGCUCGCGCGCGUUGGCCCUUUCCAUGCCGGCGUGGUCCACCAAAGCUUCGGCUUCUAAGCGGGAAACCCACUUGACAAGCUGGUAGUAAAAAUCAGCGUCGCGAACGCGUGCGUGCCCGACACUCCACGUAGUCGGCCCACGUGCGGGCGCUCUGCUCGUCACUCAGAGUGUCGGUGUGCUGCUGCUCCAUGUCCCGCUGGCGGCGCAAAUCGGCGAUACGCUGCUCAUCCGCCAAGCGGUCGCGCUCCAACAACUCCUGCUCCUCUGCCAGGCGGUCGCGCUCCAACAAGUCCUUGAUCUCGUUGCCAUCUAAAGACCGAUAGAAUGCCUCCUCCCUCCGUCUGCCUUCCGGUGAAAAACCGAACACUAGUUUCGGCGGUGACCGCCUCCGGCCACGCCUAUCACGGACGGGCGGGGGCAUGGCGGACGUGGCGAGAGCGAGGAUAAGUGGCGAGCAACGUCGGGCCGGUGGGGGCUUAUGAGGAUAGGGCGAGUUGGGUCACGGUGCCACCAUAGGAGGCCGAGAAACAGUACUUAUAAGCGGAAGGUAGCACGACGGUCAUCGGAAUUCAAUGCAUAAUGAAGCAGGCAUGGCUUAGCGCGGCAGCUUGCCGUGGAAAACUAGAGAAACUGAAAUUCUGACUGUGCCGUCCCAUCCCGUCCGUGUUGGGUCGCACGCCGGCCUUACGGUCAAACGAGUGCACUCGAAUCAUCUCCCUCCUUGUCAAUAAUGAUUCCACGGAUUUAAAAGGCCCGCAACAAUUAAAGCGCAUCUUUUUUCGCAUCAGUUAGCUGCCUUAAUUACGGUCGGCUGCAUGCGGGCACUCAAAAUCGCUCGCAGCUAGUACGCGGAGCAGCAUGCAACGAGUCGCAGUCGAGGGCAUUAAUUGAUGAACUUUAGCUGGGAGAUAAGGCAUUUGCGAACGUUUUUGCUAGCAGUUUCUUCAGAUUCGCAUGGCAUUUUCUUCAGAGCAGCUUGUCAGUUUCUUCAGAGGUGGGCAUUUCUAUUCAAAAAACUGCCACUUCGGAUCUUGCGUCGCAACUAAAACAGCCAGGAGCGCAUUAGUAGGCUAGCUAGUGAUCGAUCGGUAACUUGUAAACACUGAGCGAACAGAUAUAAGGAACUGUUAAGGCAUCUCAAUGAUUCACAGAUCAUAUACAAAUAUGUAGCUCCAAAAGCAAAGAUCAGCCACAACUAAAACCAACUAGUACGAUUCCCAUACAUAAGAUCAACAUGUUAAUGCAUCUCAAUGAUUCACAGAUCAUAUACAAAUAUGUUCCUCCAAAAGCAAAGAUCUAGAAAAAACAUAUGUUCUUCCUACUAAUAUGGAUGCUUCUCUUGGCCAACAUUCAGUACAGACUGAAUGACAAAUUUGUUUGUGAAGUCUACAAUUCCUCUUGCAAACAUAAGUGGUUUCACCAACAGCUGGAACCAUGGGAAUGAAACACACAUGAUGGAGGAACAUCCACUGCAAUAUGAUUUGGUCUUGUCUUGAUCACACGGCGAGACUAUUUUCGGAAUACAAACUUUAACUUAGGCAAAAUGAUGCCCAUUGUAUAAUCAGACCAAAGCAAUGAAGCACCUAGUGUUGGCCAAUAAAUAGUACAGUACUACUUUUCUGCAGUCCAUGAAGUGACUAUCCAAUCUUUCUGUGUCUAUUUUCAAAUGGCACUGCAUGCAGUGACUAUACUAUUCUCUUGUGCAGUUCAACCAAAAUUGUGGUCACUUUGUGUGUUUGCUAAAUAGCAAUGUGCAGACAUCUCUGUUUGCACAAAUAUCAAGCAGCUAGUAAACAUAUACCCCACCUUGUAUUUUCGGUUUAAACAUGUGUCUUCCGCUAGAUCUGUCAUGUUUUGCACUUGAGAAUUUGAUACAGUCAUGUUUUGCCCUGGACAAUUUCAUACUGAAUUGAUUUGCUUGUUCAGAGCAGAAAUAUAGCGCCUAUUCUUCAUCAGACCAAGGAUAUCCAUGUUCCCAGUGAUGGAAGAUGUGAAAUCGGUACAACCGAAAUUGAGCAUCCAGUCAUUGAAUCAUGUCCUGCACCUCCAAUGUAGGUCCACCCUGCCAAUAAAUUCACAUGCAAACCACUAGUAUUACUAUCUAAUGACAGUACAAAAAGAGUAGCAAGAUAGUAGCAAACCAUGUAUCUUCUUAAUGAACAGCUCAUAGUGCCACCAAUUGGAUAUAAAGGUUUGGGAGAAAACAUGCUCCUAAUGUUGAACCAGUUGGACUUUUUGUGCAGUUCCAGUAAACUCGAGCAUCCCUGUUUGCAUAGAUAUUGAAAGUGUGAUUACUAUAAAAGUGGCACUAGUUGAAGCAUAGACUCAUAAAUAUAAGCAUUCCAAUUUCUUAAUGGGAAAAGGUAGCAAGACUGUUUCUAACCACCUUUUUGAAGGAAUAAAUAAGGCAACAGAGGCUGAUGUCAGAAAGGCAUAUAUAUAGUUCUUUCUGAAAGAAUGAUCGAUUCCUGACCUUUCCUCUUCUUUUAAGCAUAUUUUGUGUAGUUCAACUAAAAUAAAAUGCCAUCACCGCCUUGACAAUUCAGUGACACUGUACAAAAGGAAAUGACUUAACAUUACAUCAUGAUGUCAGGUAUGUAGUCGACAGGCAUUAGAGACAAACUUACAGACCUCCUCCGAUAACAUAAUGAACAUUAAUUUUAACAAAGGUGUGACUAGCUUUACCGGGAUAAUUUGAGUGAACUCUACACCCUCUGUUCCUUAAUAUAAGAGGUUUUUGCGGUUCAGUUUAAAGUACCCAAACGUCUACUAGUAUUCAGAAAAACAGGUAGUAGUUUUCUUGAGCACAUAUCUGGGAAAGCUUGCCACCCUUUAUUUAUGUCCAUACGCUAAUGCAACACCAUUCGAAAUUUGAAUACUACAAAUAUACACUAAUCCAGUGGCUAGUGCAACAGUACAGUAGUUAUUUUAUUACAGGGUACAGUACAAUGGUUUUACUGAACAGAUUUCAAUAAACUCUGGCACUGGAAGAUUUCUAUAAGAAUUAACAAUACAAAAUGUAAAGGUAACACGUUUCAGCAUUGGUAUACUAGCUGUGCAUGAGCAUUAAACCAAAUACAAAAGUCUGAAGGUAACUAGCAUUAUUAACUAAUGACAGUAUAAAAAAAUUACAAACCAUGUACCUCCAAGGUAAAUAUCAUUUCGAACUCGGGGAGACCUUAAAAAUUGCUAUCCCAAUCUUGAUAAUCGAUCAAACAUAAAAACUUGAUCGAACGAAUCAAGAGAACAGCCGGAGGAGGAGGUGCCCACUCUUAACCUUUCCUCUUGUCUUCAUAAUUUUUUUUGCAGUUUAACCAAAAUAAAAUGAGAUCAGCGCCUUGCCAUUUUGGUGACACUAUACAAAAAAAUUAACUUAUCUCAUGAAAGUGAGGUAUGUAAUCUAUAAGCAUUAACAAUGCAAAAUUCUGAAGGUAGUAACAAGUUUCAUCGUUGGUAUACUGGCUGUGCAACAUCAUUAGAAUGCCUUAGUUGAAAAGUCUUUAAUACAUCCACAAUCAAGAGCUAACCCUGAAAUAAUCCAGUGACAUUAAAUGGCAUUGCUUAAAUUUAUCGGUGGCAUUAGACUGAGUGCGGCAUCAGUUAAAUGUGGCAUCACUUUAGCAGUAGCAUUGCUUGACUUGACUGCUGGCGUUAUACUAAUAGCAAAAAGUUAGACUAAGAGCAUGCGAGGCCCAUUUGGACAGUGGGCGCACUAGUACGAUGUACCUCCACGGACGCAUAGAGUGGUGAGGGAGGUAUGGUUGCCUAGAGCAACAAAUAUCCAGUCAGCACAUGUGGAUUACGUCCCAUUUUUGUUAUGUUUACCCACCUUUUUCCUAUGUGAGGACAACAAACCGAUCGACCUGGUCAUUCUCUAUUGCGUUGUCAUGCCUUUCUACCCUUCUUCAACCAAGAGACACGAGACUCGUUCCUUAGCUACUGAUUUUCCCCUUCUCAACCUAGAUGCGGGUUCGAUGCCUACUCUCUUGGACAGUACAGUCUCCCUUCCUUUCCUUAUUCAACCCAGACAUGGAUUAGUCUGCAUGAAGUAGGGUUUCCUUUAAUAGUGCAAAUUAAGGUUUUCGUCUGCGUGACCAGCAGAGCAGAGGAUAGCAAAUUGGGAAGAUGGUGGAGUGGAAAAAGAUCCACAUGCAGCGACAUGGCAGAUGGGGAAAUAGAACAAGGGUAUGGUUCGAAAAGAGGUAGCAUACCUAAGGGUCGGCGGGAAGUGGCUUCGCACGUGGUCAUCGUCCUCCACAGGCACUACGACAGCGAGCUUGGGUACGGAGGCCAUCCCGCGCGGGCGCUAGGUUUGAGAGGACGGCCUUGUCGUCAGUGCGUGACCUCGCUCGCCGACGACGAGUGCGUCAACACUGCACGUCCUUUUCCUCCCCGGCGGAUCUGUGACCACCGGUGAGGAGGGAGAGAGAGGCCGUCUUUUUUAGAUCUGGAGAGAGGGUGAUAGUGUAAGAAGCAAGUGGGCAGCCCUUAGCAAGAAAGCUCUGAAGCUCCAGGCUAUAUAUCUUUUUUAUACUACUAGUACUAGAGGUGGAGUAGUGGUAGAGUAUUUUAUAUUUUCUCUACAAACAGUACCAGUUAGUUGUGUUUCAAAACUGAACGGCACGCCAUUAAAAAAAUAAAGUCGAGAAAUAAUGCGGCACCUCGGGCCAACGCGACCAGAUCGCAUUUUGCACGAGAAAUUAUACACGAUGUUUCGUUGACAUGUGAUCUCGUUCCAACAUGUCAGUGAGACAACGGCGAGUCCUUUUGUACAAUUUCCGAAAGGACGUGUAGGCCGGGGCGCCUCUUUGUGUAUCGUGGCAAACUGGCAACCGUCCACCGACUCUUCACCUUUCCCUCUCGAUUUGGAACUGUUGUCGCACGCUCUUCCUCCCUCCUCCAUUUGCCUUCACCCUCCCUUCUGCCAUUGUUCGAUCGUCUUCUCCAUGGAGGGAACAAGCUAGAAACGACCCCGUUAUUCUUGCCCCGAUCUGAAAGAUGACGUGGUGGGGGAACUCAUUGAUCGGUGCGACGUCAUCACCUCGGCUAGCAUGGCAGGUUCGUUCAAGCCCAUUCUCGACUCAACUAAUAACAUCAUUACAAGGAACCCAAGGGUCCAGGAGCGGUUUGAUCUCCCUUAUCUUCUUCGCUAUAAGCCUGUUCGCAUGGGCGCGGACGACGGAGGCCUCGCCUUGUGCAAGUUGAUGCUGCUUGAUAAUGAUACGUGUGAUGUCAAGAUGCCAUCUCUUAAGGGUAAGUCAUGGGCUGGCACAAAUGGAGAUUGGGUUGUUUAUAUUGGGGACAAUUGUGAGUGGGAACUUGUGAAUGUGUACACUCGUCAGCGGAUUCCACUUCCAAAAAUCUCCGAGUGCCCUAUGGUUGAGCACAAAGAUGAUCUACGUACGUUCAAAUACGAUCAUGGUGACUGUCGUCUACUGAAGAUAGCAAUUUGUCGAGUUCCCAACCGCUCUUGGAUUUACAAGAACUAUCAAGUUGUUGCUAUCUUCGACAAGCUUGUUGCCAUCCUUCGUGGUUCGACUGGAUGGAUAUUGCUCAAAAAAUAGUUUCUAUACACGGAUGUGUACUGUGAUGCAAUUGAAUAUGAGGAUCUUGUGUUUGCUGCAACCACUCGUGGCACUAUUUUGCAUGGGAUCCUCAUAGUUUCGGUACGUUUGUCUUCCACCGUAAUUAUAAUUGUUUCAUCCACAUGCAUGCGGGUUAGCAAGUUUCCCUUUACUAAUUAACCUUCUUCUUGUGUUUCCAAGGUCCUGUGAACAUUCCACCACCUAUACUUGAAUUAUAAGCAAGGGGGAGAUGAUGAUGGUGAUGAUCACGAGCAUGAGGAGGAGCAGAACUUAUAUACUCAGUGGCGCCUGGCAACUAAUUCUGAUGGAUCACCUCUUCUUGUCUGUAUACAGUGCACUCAGACUGUUACUACCGAGGAAGCAGGUGUUGUCUCCAAUGGUCGCCCUCUCCUGACCUAUUCCAACACCCGUUGCAUGGUAUUCAGGACGGAUACUAGUGUGCUAGUGCAAACACCUUCUCCCUGGUUCAGUAUUGAUAGUCUUGGAACAAACUCGCUCUUCCAUGGACCAAACUAUCCAAUGAUGGUGAAAGGCGAUCCAGCUGCUGUUGACACAACGUUACUACCAUUUAUGAGAAGCAAAUGUAUCUAUACCUCGGACAUUUCGGUGGUUCCCUACCCUGGUCCUGAUAUAUGCCGCUUCAGGCUGGAUGAUCAGUCCUGCGUUGCUCUCGAUAUUGACAAUAGCUGGCCCUUCCCAGAGCACCUAUGGUUCAAAGCAAGCGUUUCCAACGCCGAGGAUUGGUUGAGUUGAAGUUCAUUUCAUUGCUUGUUCUUUUUUGUGUGAUGAAAACUUUAGUAUUUGCUAGAAUGUUUUGUUGGAAAUAAUCUAUAAUCCAACAUGUAUCCUCGUUGUCGUUGUGUGUUGAUGACUUGUUGUAUUUAAUGAAUGGUACAUUUCAGUUGCGAAUGCAUGUCAUAGACUCAAUUUAUGAAUGGUUUUCGAGUCACUUCUUGGAGUGUGAGUACAGUAGUAGUAUAGCCAGCAUCCGAUUAGUAUAUGAAGUUGCCACAUCACAUAGAGCCAACCUAAUAUUGGAGUAUGCUAGCCCUCCACCGGCGCCGCUUCAAAUGGCGGAGGAAGUGAGAGGUCGCGUCACCUUGUGUCCAGAUCUGAGAUGCCACGUGUACCAGAUGAAUGACUCCAAGUUCGACCACCGUGAUGUUAGGUGCAAGCCCAGGAACAAUGUUGGAGAGAACCCCCUCAUAAUUUUCCUACAUUGGUCGUUUGAUUCAUAGGAUAGAAUGCUAUAGGAUUUUUUUUCCUAUGUAAUCAUCUUUUAAUUGGCAAUCUAGCAUCCACUCCAAAUUUUGUUUCACUUUCUUUGUUCCUACGAAGAGAGUACUUGCUCUAAAUGAUGUGCCGCUGCAAGAGCCUCCUAUAUUUAUUAACCAUGCUCUAAAAAGGUGGACCAGCUUUGGCUAUAGUAGUACUGUACUAGGUUAGUAGGUGACCUUGCGCUUGGCUCUUCUCCUCUUCCGGAAGUCGAACAAUAAUGAUGGUACUACAGUAGUACUUCUGACAAUCUGACACCAAAUGAACUGCUGCAUGUCCACCGCUUGUAAGCAAAAGGUUCUCCUCGUGCUGCGAGCCACCGCGCACGCGUUGGCGAGGGAGAAGGCGUAGUAAGCAAGCUUCUCGUCAUUCUGCGAGUUGACGGGACACAUCAAAGUUAUUUAUUAGUACUCUCUUCAAAAAGGGCUGACCAUGUCCAUGGCUACCAUCCCGUGCUCUGUCAUUGAGUACGUGCACUAUUCACGUGCCAUCGAGGAGAAAAAAAUUGUGUAGUACUAGGUGCCAUCGAAGUGCACGACUCACUUACACACUGCAUAUCUCCAUUUUCUUGCAUGACACGCCACCUUGAUGCUACAUUUCCCGCGUGUCAUGGAGUCAUAUAGUAUGAUUUUGUAAAAUGGAGGCAUAUAGAUGUCCCGCGUGUCGGCAAAAGGAUGAACAAAGCUCAUGUCUUAAAUGAAAGAGUGGAAGAACAUAGAUUCCCGACGACCGAGAAGGAGCAAAAAAACCUCGGGGUGGAGCGUCUGCACUCAUAAUAUUUUAUAUUAUUCAGAGAUAUAAAAUCAACCAAAUCUCUCCACAUUCGUAUACCAUUCUAUAGUAUGAAAACUUUGAACGUAAGCCAUUGAUUGACUCUAUCCAAUGUUCAUAGUUGGAAAAUCCAAACAAAACCAAGCAUUGGAUCAACUCUUUUUUCGAGAUCAACUCUUUUAGCACUUACCGCCUGCCCACCUAGCCCACCUAUAUAUCUGCUCACGUGUGAUGACCACAGGAGCUAUCCACUCAGAUUGUAUGUUAAAAAAUAAAGGUCGAUAACUAAUGCGGCACCUCGGGCCAACGCGGCCAGAUCGCAUUUUGCACGAGAAAUUACACACCAUGUUUCGUUGAAAUGUGGUCCCGUUCCAACAUGUCAGUGAGACGACGACGAGUCCUUUUGUACAAUUUCCAAAAGGACGUGUAGGCCGGGGCGCCUCUUCGUGUACCGUGGCAAAGUGGCAACCAUCCACCGACUCUUCCCCUUUCCCUCUCGAUUUGGAACUGCUGUCGCACGCUCUUCCUCCCUCCUCCAUUUUCCUUCACCCUUCCUUCUUCCAUUGUUCGAUCGUCUUCUCCAUGGAGGGAACAAGCCGGAAACGACCCCGUUAUUCUUGCCCCGGUCUGAAAGAUGACGUGGUGGGGGAACUCACUGAUCGGUGCGACGUCAUCACCUCGGCUAGCAUGGCAGGUUCAUUCAAGCCCAUUCUCGACUCAACUAAUAACAUCAUUACAAGGAACCCAAGGGUCCAGGAGCGGUUUGAUCUCCCCUAUCUUCUUAGCGAUGACCCUGUUCGCUGGCGAGCGGAUGACGGAGACCUCGCCUUGUGCAAGUUGAUGCCGCUUGAUAAUGAUACGUGUGAUGUCAAGAUGCCAUCGCUUAAGGGUAAGUCCUGGGCUGGCGCAAAUGGAGAUUGGGUUGUUUAUAUUGGGUACAAUUGCGAGUGGGAACUUGUGAAUUUGUACACUCGUCAGCAGAUUCAACUUCCAAAAAUCUCUGAGUGCCUUGAGGUUGAGCACACAAAUGAUCUACGUACGUUCAAAUAUGAUCAUGCUGACUGUCAUCUACUCAAGAUAGCAAUUUGUCGAGUUCCCAACCGCUCUUGGAAUUACAAGAACUGUCAAGUUGUUGCUAUCUUCAACAAGCUUGUUGCCGUCCUUCGUGGUUUGACUGGAUGGAUAUUGCUCAAAAAUCAGUUUCUAUACACAGAUGUGUACUGUGAUGCAAUUGAAUACGAGGAUCUUGUGUUUGCUGCCACCACUCGUGGCAAUGUUUUUGCAUGGGAUCCUCGUAGUUUCGGUACGUUUGUCUUCCACCGUAAUUAUAAUUUUUUCAUCCACAUGCAUGUGAGUUAGCAAGUUUCCCUUCUCUACUAAUUAACCUUCUUCUUGUGUUUCCAAGGUCCUGUUGACAUUCCACCACCUAUACUUGAAAAAUUUUAUAACCAAGGAGGAGAUGACGAUGGUGAUGAUCACGAGCAUGAGGACGAGGAGGGCCCAUAUACUCAGUGGCGCCUGGCAACUUCCCAUGGAUCACCCCUUCUUGUCUGUAUAUAGCCCACUUCUGAUGUUACUACUAAGGAAGCAGGUGUUGUCUCCUAUGGUUGCACUCUUCGGACCUAUUCCAACACCCGUUGCAUGGUAUUCGGGAUGGAUACUACUGUGCUAGCGCCAACACCUUCUCCCUGGUACAGUAUUGAUAGUCUUGGAGUAAACUCGCUCUUCCUUGGACAAAACUAUCCAAUGAUGGUGAAAGCCGAUCCAGCUGCUGUUGACACAACGUUACUACCAUUUAUGAGAAGCAACUGUAUCUAUACGUCGGACAUUUCGGUGGUUACCUACCCUGGUCGUGAUAUAGUAGGCCGCUUCAGCCUAGAUGAUCAGUCCUGCGUUGGCCUCGAGAUUUACAAUAGCUGGCCCUUCCCAGAGAAUCACUUGUGGUUCAAAGCAAGCGUUUCCAACACCGAGGAUUGGUUGAGUUGAAGUUCAUUUCAUUGCUUGUUGAUUGUUGUGUGAUGGAAACUUUAGUAUUUAUAAUCUAUCCUCGUUGUUGUUGUGGGUUGAUGACCUGUUCUAUGUAAUAAAAUGAUAUGCCUGUGAUAAACUUACUAAAUUUAUGAAUGGCUAUCGAGUCGCUUCUCUGAGUGGGUGCUGCGACGAGGCAAAAAAAUAUUUUCCGAAUACAUAAUUGUACGUGCAUUGCAACAGGUUAUCAGAUGAGACCAAUCAACAAUAGUACACUAUUUGUACUAGCUUCACAUGCUGCACUAUCCCUACGUCUACGUACGUAAUACAACAAUUUUUAAACUUGAGACCAGCCACCCAUCCUCACAAAGAACACUUUUUAACCUAGCACAGACUCCAGGAAAUUUGGCCACAGUGUGAGGUGGGCCAUAUGUUAAUGUGUUCGCUGUACGUAACCAGCACCUCGAAUCCUCGAUACUACUACUAUAAGUAGUACUAGGAGUAGUAGGGUGGCAUGGGCCAGAACAAGCAUUCACGUCCAGGAGUACGGCACACACCACUAGCACGACUUCCAUCUGACACCAUAUUUCUUGGAGUCCGUGCUACAGCAAUCUCUUCAACCUAGUCGUUUCUCUAACUCAGCCAUCGCGCGGCGGGCGAGGUGGGGGUUUGCUGAUAGUCGGUUUCCUCAACUGCGGUCCCACUUGUAAGGCCAACUCCAACGCACGACCCCAAACGGACCUCUGUUUUGCCCGGAUUCUGUCUGUUUGGGUAGGGCAAUGGGGUCAUGUCCGGGCCAUCUCGGAUGCGGUGGUCGUGCGCCGAACGCGCGACCGCAUCCCGGUCGCCUUUCCCUCUCGAUUUGGAACUGUUGUCGCACGGUUGAUCGUAUUUGAGCGUACGUAGAUCAUCUGUGUGCUCAACCUCAGGGCACUCUACACCGUCGAGGCGUAGACGUGGAUGUGCAGGUCGAUGGUUUCUUGCAUGGCGAGGCGCUGCGCGGCGAGCGCGGCCUCGAGGUGCACAUUCUUCGUCGCGACCUCCGGCACCUGCAGGGCCACCAGGGCUUGAAAGAGUUCGUCACCAUGGAGGCCGAUGAGGGUGGCAGGCAAUGAGGAGCCUGGGUGCGCGGGCUGGAGCAGUACGGCAAGGUCGUCCGCGCGCUUCUUGAUAGCGGUGAACUUGCGGAUGGAGUUGACCAUCAUGUCGUCCAUGCGAGAGGCGAAGCCGGCGUCGGCGAGGGCUAUGAUGCCUGCGGUCGCCAGCACCGUCUGGAAACGCUGCGCGGUGCGGGGCCGCAGGCCGGCACCUUGGAUGAUUUGGCACAGCCGACUGCCGCUCGCGUCCAUCGCCUCCAUAGGUGCUUGUGGCUUCUGGUCACUUGGUCUUGGAUUGGAGUGAGCAGUGUUGCGCAGAGACUUGGGAGUAGAUGGAUUGGAGUGGUGGGGCGCCUUUAUUAUAUGAGAGUCCAAACUCUGUUGCAUUCACAUCGUGCUGGCUCUAUUCUGCUUCUCCAAUUAAUUCCCUCCACAUGUAAUUGAGGAUGCAUCAUUGACCGUUCAACGUCUCGGGAACCGCUACCCUCUCCCUGCUUGGCAUUCAAGCACCUAUGGACCCGUCGAUGACAAGGUGCCUAUGGUGACUUCGUAAAUGUCAAGAUGAUAGUGCCGUGCGUGUGUGUGUUCAUAGGGGUGAGUGUAUGCGCGUGUAUAUGAGCGCUUGUGUCUUUACUGUGUAAAAAAACAUAAAUGUGUGUCAAAAAGAGACUAGUCAGUAUACUCAAUAUUGUGCACCUCGGAGAGGAAAACGAUAGAACUAGUACGUAUUUAUUUAUGGUGCAGAUUCACUCAUUUUGCUCCAUAUGUACUCCGUCUCGGUGUAGUCUAGUCACUUGUUGAAAUCUCUAGAAGGGCAAAUACUCCUUUCUGGUUUACAGGGCUAUACUAGCAAGUAGUUGUAUGUACAAACUACAAUGUUCGCAACUGCAACGUUCGGUUUGCGCUUGGCUCUUCGCCUCUUCAAGAAGACGAACAAUGAUGUUACUACUACUGCUUCUACAGUGUCGAAUCCACUGCUGCAUGUCUGUCCACUAUGAGCGGGACGGAUAGCUUGUUGUAGAAGUACUACUAAGCAAAAGCAUGUCCUCGUUUGCGAGCAACCGCGCGCAUGGGUGAGGGAGAAGGCGUGUAGUAAAAUCAAGCUUGCCCUCAUUGUACGAGUUGACACGACACAUCAUAGCACUGGCCCCACAUGCUUGCCUCUAAACUUGGCUGAAAGACCCGCACUGUACAAUAUAUUUGCUGCAACCUCUAACAUUUACCCACCACAAAUUAGAAUAUAUGUGGUCGUAUGCAUCGUUCUGAUGCAGAGGCCGGGGAGUCCCCCCUUUAAAAAAACAAAUUAAAAUAUAUAUUCAUGUCUUGACCAGAUGAGUGUGCAAACUACAAUCACCAGGGUGUCAGGUAGGGCCAGAAGACUAUUUUAUUUUUUUUUAAAAACUUCGAGACAGCCACAUAGCAUGGAGCCGACCCCAACGAUUUUAAGCUUACAGGCACGGUACACGCUAUCCUAGACUACUCUACACAUGAAACUGCCACACGAGCGUCCGGGCUGCACUUGGCUCUUCGCCUCUUCGGGAAGUCGAACAAUGCUGGAGUACUACUGCACUGGAGGAGUACUACAGUACGCUUCUGGCCAUCUGACACCGAUUGAACUGCUGCAUGUCCACCGCGUGCGGGAGGGAGAGCGUGUAGCGAAAGCUUCUCCUAGUCUUGCCAGCCACCACGCUCAUGGGCGAGGGAGGGUCUCCUGCCUUUGCGUGUAUGACAGGUGGGCCCGACAGGUGUGUGGCCAACCUGUCAUACAGCCAAAGGCAGGUGCAGUUAAGUCCGCGAGGGAGAGGAUAAUCAAACUUCUCGUUGAUGUACGAGUUGACGCGACACAUCAAAGCACUGCACUCGAUAUAUUUCAAUAAUUUGCGUUUACCGAUGCAUUAAUUACAAUGCAUGCAUGCAUGCCGUGACUCUCCUUUUGAUACUUGCAUGUGUUGAUUUAAUGCACCUUAAAGUAGUAUAAAAUAUGUGACGGUAAAGCUUUGUAAUACCCCGGCCCAAGUCGAGAGAUGGUUGUGCACGAGGAGGGCGAGAUCAUGCACACCGAACAGGACCCGACGAUGGAGCUCUCUAAGGUCUCGAUGGACAUCAUCGUGCUCCACUGCCCCCUGUGCCUCCGCCCCUUGACGCCUCUAGUGUAUGAGGUUCGAAUACACCUCGUCCGUUCGGCUGAUUGAGCAAGGUGCAGGUUUCUUGAUUGAUGUGUUGUUCGAUUGAUUUCUGCAGUGCAAGGGAGGGCACCUGGCCUGCGCGGACUGCCGCGUCCUUAUAUAUUCAUCAGUCUUGCUAUAAGUCACAGUAGAUGCUAUAUAGGUCCGUCGGAUCUUACAUCAAGAUCCAUGCUUUCAGAUUUUCUUUUUUCUCUCUUAAAUCUCAGUCGAGUGAGACAUAGCCACGCCAUUAAACAGAGGCUCGGGCGCCAUUAAUGGAGACCUUGGGAGAGAGGUGGACAGCAGAUGGAGGUCAAAGGGCUCUCCUCCCGAUAAGCACGUGCAGGGGUCUGAUCGCACGCCUCUCGUACUCAAAUAGCUACCCUGCACGGCGCCUCCUAGCUAAUAAAAAAUGGGGACGCGUGGCGGCACGUAAAUGGUACUAGUAAGUAGAACGCCCACGGUUUCAAUAAUACUUGUGUUUCCGAUUGUAACGUGACAGCACUUGUUCCAAAGUGACUUUGUUGAUUGUUAAUGUGUGCGCCUUCGCAAAUCGGACUGCAAAUUUAGCACAGCAUGUUGGUGCCAUGUCAUGGCACCAAGCCAAGUUUCAUUAUUUUCAUGCGUGUUUUGGAUUUACAGGAAUUAAAAAACUAAGUUUCUCAAUGUUUCUAACCCAGCCACGACGCCAAGAAUUUUGAAUUUCAUUCCCAUUUCUCGCAUGGAACCUAGAAAUUUACCCGAGGACACACAUGUGAUUUUUCAACCAACUUUGGUGCACUGGAACAUGUGCUUGUAUUUCAAAUUUGAAUUAUGCACACAAACGUGACACGUUCCCUCCCAGAACCACGAGCCUUCUUGAGAGAAGCUCCGAUUUGCAAGAAGCUUAUACGAAAAUUUGUUCCUAUUCGGCCAAUUUUUUUACGACGGCAUGGUACUACCAUGACAUGACACCAUGCCAAGUUUCAUGAUUUUAAAACCAAGUUUCUCAAUGUUCUCGACCGAGCCACGAUGCCCAGAUGUUUGAAUUUUAUUCUCAUUUUUUGCAUGGGACCUACUCCCUCCUUCCAUCUAUAUAGGGCCUAAUGUGUUUUUCAAGACAACCUUUGACUAUUGACAAGAUUAAUAGCACAUGAGAUGUAUACUAUGAAAAUUAUAUUAUUGGAAGCUCCUUUGACAUACAAAUUUGAAGGUAUGCUUUGUGUAAGUUGCAUGCCAUAUAUUAUUGCUCUAACGUUUGGUCAAAGUUAGCCUCGAAAAACGCAUUAGGACCUAUAUAGAUGGAAGGAGGGAGUAGAAAUUCACCCGAGGACACAAAUGUGAUUUUUCAACCAACUUUGGUGCACGGGAGCAUGUGCUUGUAGUUCCAAUUUGAAUUAUGCACAUUAAAUGACCAGAAACUCAAUUAACGUGUAAAUAAGGCCAAACGAAGCCGGAAUAAUUCCAAAAUUUAACAGGGCACUCAUGUAGUUCUAUGUUGCCUUUGUAAAUAAACUCAAGGGGGACAACGUAUAUCAUUUCGCACUCAAAGGUGGCACGUUCCCUCUCAGAACCACGAGCCUUCUUGAGAGAAGCUUCGGUUUGCAAGAAGCCUAUACCAAAAUCUGUUCCUAUUCGGCCAAUUUUUUACCACAACAUGGUAGUACCAUGACAUGACAUCCAUGCUAAGUUUCAUGAUUUUCAGACGUGUUUUGGAUUUACAAGAAUUUUAAAACCAAGUUUCUCAAUGUUCUCGACCGAGCCACGAUGCCCAGAUGUUUUAAUUUUAUUCUCAUUUCUUGCAUGGGACCUAGAAAUUCACCCGAGGACACAAAUGUGAUUUUCAACCAACUUUGGUGCACGAGAGCAUGUGCUUGUAGUUCAAAUUUGACUUAUGCACAUUAAAUGACCAGAAACUCAAUUAAUGUAUAAAAAACAACAAACGAACCCGGAAUAAUUGCAAAAUUUAACAGGGCACUAAUGUAGUUCUAUGUUGCCUUUGUUAAGAAACUCAAGGGGGGGGGCAGCGUAUAUCGUUUCACACUCAAAGGUGGCACGUUCCCUCUUAGAACCACGAGCUUCCAAAUCGGCCCAAUUUUUUACCACAACAUGUUAGUGCCAUGACAUGACACCAUUCCAAGUUUCAUGAUUUCCAGGCGAGUUUUGGAUUCACAAGAAUUUAAAAUCAAAGUUUCUCGAUGUUCUCGGCCGAGUCAUGACGCCCAGAUGUUUGAAUUUCAUUCUCAUUUCUUCCAUGGGACCUAGAAAUUCAACCAAGGACAUACAUGUGAUUUUUCAACCCACUUUGGUGCACCGGAGCAUGUGCAUGCAAUUCAUAUUUAGAUUAUGCACAUUAAAAAUCCAGAAACUCAAUUAAUGUAUAAAAAGGCCAAAUGAACCCGAAAUAAUUCCAAAAUUUAACAGGGCACUCAUAUAGUUCUAUGUUGCCUCUGUAAAUAAAAUCAGGGGAGGCAGCGUAUAUCGUUUCGCACACAAUGGUGACACGUUCCCUCUCGGAACCACGAGGCUUGUUGAGAGAAUCUCCGGUUUUGCAAGAGGCUUAUACCAAAACUUGUCCCAAUUCAGCCAAAAAUUAUACGUAUGAAAACAGGGUUUAGAUUAUCCCAAACAUCUCGCUACCUAGACCAAUAAUGUACUAUGAUUUGAAUUCAACAUAAAAUGGAUACAAAUAUUUGAAUUGGAGAGCGUAUGGUACAUGUAGUUUAUAGUGAAAUAUGAUUACUGCUAUAUGUAUGUUUUUUGUUAUCAAGAUAAUAUUUAAAUUAUUGUAUAACUUGACAACAAUCGUAUUCAAAUAAGGAAAAUUGAUUCAAAUUUAGUCCAUAUGGUAGACGACAAUAUAUAUGUUCACAUGGUGGAGUAAAAUGUUCAUAUAUGAUGGAAGAUCAAAAUGUAUGACUACAUCAAUUAUAAACCGCAAGGUCACCUAACGAUAUAUUCGAAUUCAACAUAACGUGGAUUCAAAAAUUGAAAUUCAAGAUCAUGGCAUCUGUAAUCAUAUAAAAAGGGACAUUACUCUUUCUUUGGUGGGAAUUGAUUUGUUUUUUGUUGUUGUUGAGGGAAGUGCGAAUCGAUUUGGUACUAUGCAGGGUAAUCUUGUUCUCCCGAUUUUUUUUACAUUUUUCUUGUAGUUUUUUCAAUGGCAUCUAUAGAAAUAUAGUAAAAGGGUACAUGACUCUCUUGUGUCUUGUAUGAAUUGUUUUUUUACACGUUAAGUUUGUUCUGCCGAACAAGGAAUCCGCACCUUGUUAUCCCGAAAUUUUCAAGCUCGAGUAUCUUUUGUCUCACCUGCUUUGAAACUCCCGCUUCUUCAACCCGUGCCGUGCCUUAUUAUCCUGAAAUUUGGAUGCGCGCGAGAACUCCCUCCUCAUCCGAAAUCGCUCCCGCAGCCAAGACACGCGAAAUCCCCCUCAGCCAGAAAUGAAGCUCCACGUCGCGGUGUCAAAACCGGUGGGGUACGCUGGUAACUUACCCUACGUUUCGGACAAGCGCGUCCCUAAGCUGGGCUCCCCCUCCCCCUUCGCCCCCCAUUCGUACACCGAGGCCGCCAAAACCCGCGAAACCCCACGCUCCUCCGUCGGCCUCCCGACCGCCGCCCAGCCGGAGACUCUUCCCCGACUACGUCGUCCACCGCAACAGCUCGCCGUCCCGCAUCCACUGCAUCGAAUGAGGAUCCGUUUUUGAUCUCGUCGUCCCGCCGGAUCAGCCGCCCCGUCCUCCACCUCCAAGGAGCUGCCCCGACGUUCGCCUCAUCUAUCGCGCCACAAUCCCCACAUCGCCGUCUUGACCUGCCCCACCGGAACCGCAGCACCCUCACCAAUUCCUCCGAUGAAGCCGAGGCCAACUCGGCGCCACCAAGGAGGUUCUGCACUCUCCGCUGCAUUUUAUCUUUUAUUCGAUCUCACGGGGCUGCCGGUGCUCGAUACCGAGCAGACAUGACGUGUCUCCAUCGACGGCACCGUCGCCGGCCACAUCAUCCACGGCGUCUCUCCCCCAUGUCGUUGCUUCCUCGGCGGCGACUUCCACAACGGCACUAGCUGCAGCUGCUCCGGCUCUCGCUCGCGCUGCGGCUCUGUUCUUGCUAUCGGUCGCGCUGCUGCACUGCUCCUGCAUUCGUUCAUGCUGCUGCUCUGCUCUUGCUCUCGCUUGCGCUGCUGCUGCUGCUGCACGACCUCCGGCAGCUACAGGAGUUGCUGCUUUAGCACUCGCUCGUGGUGCUACUGCACGACUUGCUCUCUCUAGUGCGUUCCCUGCUCGAGCGUCUGCUGAUUUAGAUCACUGCUUCUCUGCUACUAGUGCUCGAACGCCCUAAACAUCUAUUGCAAUGCUCUGUUACUAGUUCAAUCAGUUUCUCGACUAUGAAGUUCAUUUUCUUCAGUUAAGUUCAAAGUGAACAGUACUUACAGCAUCUGUCGGAGCGGCCGUGGCGCGGCUGAUGCGUUUUACAUCUAGCACUUUUUGGUGAUGUAUUUUACAUCAUCUAUUGCAGAUGAUAUUAGGGUCCCACUUCAGAUUAACGUUGUCUGUCUUGUCAUGCUUCAGCCUCGUCGCCGUACACCUUAGCGGAGCUGCUCCAACGACGGAACCGUCCAUCACAGCGGAGCAGUACCCUCGGCGCCGUUUCCAGAGGCCUCGGAUCUUCUUCCCCGCCUCCGACAGUCACACCAGCAUCAUCACCAUCCUCCACGUCCAACCCAAUGAUGCUGAGGUCCACAAGGCUAUGCCAAAGAGGUUGUACACUCGUCGCAUCACUUUGUUUCUCCAUUCCUCUGUUCUUCCAAUUCAUGUGAGCCAAACACCCAGGUUGACUGAAAUCCUAUGUUUCCAAAUGCUCUGUUUUGCACGUGCAUUCCUAUCCUAUUCCUGUGUUUUUCCUGUCCCUGCGUUUAUAGAAUCCUCCAAUUCUAAGGAGCCCUUACAGAUUUACUUCAUUUUCAGAUAGGCGUCAAAGAAAACUUUGUGUGUUAUGUCCUGCUCCUGCCGUGCCGUCAUCCACCCCACCUGAGGUGCACCAUCGACAGAAGCAUUCACUGCAGCAGAGAUCCCCCCUGCAGACUUCCUUUCGCCGCCUCAGAUCAUCUUCCCCGUUGCCGGCAGCCACGCCAACUGCAUUACCAUCAUUGACUGAGCAGAUGAACCUGAGGACUACACAGUUCCGGAAGAGAGGUCGCAGUCUUUCGUGUUUGCUUACGUUAUACAUCGGUUAUUAUUACCUGCUACUUUAUCGUUCAAUCUUGAGUUUUGAAUUUCCCAUGGGUCUCAUAUCGAGCCAGCAACGAAUAGUAUCUGUCUACUAUCUGGUUCAUCUGGGGUCUUCUAUGUGGUUCAUGUUGGGUGGGCAACAAACAAUAGAUGAUCCAUUGUCUAUCUUUUUAAACUGAAGCUAUAAUCUACCUGCUAUCAUUAGUUUUGGAUCCAUCCACUCGUUUGCUACCAUCAGUCUUGAUUUUUGCAUGCACCCCUUAGGCCUUACAAAAUCUAACUAUUUUUGUUUAUUAUGCAUGUCAGAUAUUGUACACAAUCGUACUGAACAUGUACAGAAAAAGAGAAGACCGUUGCGUGCGAAUAUAAUGUCAUGCAGACGCCGCUCCAUGGUGGGCGAAGUGCCCCCCCCCUCCCGCAUUUCCAGAUUGUAUUCCAGAGGAAGAUAACUGUUCAGAUGGAGAUUCAGAAGGAGCCGACCACGCCUGUUUACCACCUGAGGUGUUUGCUCUAACCUGGCAUGCUGAUGUUGGUCAUAUCAUGCAUAUGGCGCCUUGCAUUGCUUACAUUAUACAUCUUAUAUGUCAUCAUCUUAGUUUAGAUUUGCUUUGUGUGAAUGCCACCUGUUUGGUUUCUAUAUCAUACUCCCACUAUUCCUAAAUAUUUGUCUUUUUAGAGAUUUCAACAAGUGACUACAUACGGAACAAAAUGAGUGAAUCUACACUCUAAAAUAUGUCUAUAUACAUCCGUAUGUGGUAGUCCAUUUGAAAUCUCUAAAAAGACAAAUAUUUAGGAACGGAGGGAGUAUAUGGGAAUUAUGCAAUGCCAUCUUCUUUAACCAGGCAUCAUAUACGUGAAUCAUGCAAUGCCAUCCUGUUUAGCCAGUCAUCGUAUAUGUGAAUUGUAUUGUGCCAUAUUUUUUUCCAUAAUGUAUUCCAUUUGUCAACAAUGUUUAUACAUUCAUCUACUCUUCCUAUGCAUCAGCCAUUUCUGGAGUGAAAACAAGGUCUUCUGAGCAGUCAGUGCUACCCGUCGAUGCAGAUUUCUUGCUGGUUACAGAUAGCUCCUCAGAGGAGGAUUCAGAGAGAGAUGACCAGUCGUAUUCCCCCCCAGGUGCAUGCUCUAACUUGGCUGGGUUAUAUUGCUCAUCUCAUGCAUAUGGUGUCUUGCAUUGCCAUGCCAUCUGCUUAGAUUAGAUAUGCUUUGUGUGAAUGCCUCCUGUUUGCUUUCUAUAUCAGAUAUGUGAAUUAUGCAAUGCCUUGUUUUUCAGCCAGUUAUCAUAUAUGUGAAUUAUGCACCGCCAUGGAGCCAGGCAUCAUAUAUGUGAAUUAUCUCAUGCCAUCUUUUUUUCAUUACGUAUUCCAUUUGUCGACAAUCUGUGUAUAUUGAACUACCCUUCAUGUGUAUCAGCCAUUUGAGCCGGUUAUGGAAAAAUCUAGAGUGAAAACAAGGUCUUCAGAGCAGGCAAUGGUACCUGUUGAAGCAUAUAUCUCGAUGGUUACAGGGAGCUCCUCAGAGGAGGAUUUAGAGAUAGAUGACCAGUCCUAUAUCCCACCUGGGGUGUAUGCUCUAAGUUGCAAUGUUUAUAUUUCUCAUAUGAUGCAUAUGGUGUCUUGCAUUGCUUAGUUUAGACAUCAUAUGCACAAUAUUGAAUUCUAUCUGCUUAGUUUAGAGAUCACACAUGCGAGUGCCAGCUGCUUAGUAUAUGAAUCAAUUAUGUCAAUUAUAUCAUGCCAUCCUGUAUACUUAGACAACAUGUAUGUGAAUUAUUUCAUCCCAACCUAUUUUAGGAAGACAUCAUAUAGUUUUGUCAUGUCAUCCUGUUUAGGUACUCAUCAUAUGUUGAAUUAUGCCAUUAUAUCCUGUUAAGUUAUCCAUCAUAUAUCUGAAAUUGUGUCAUGCUAUCAUGUUUAGUUAGGCAUCAUAUAUGUGAAAUUAUGUCAUGCUGUCCUGUUUGGUUAGACAACAUAUAUGUGAAUUACCACAUAUGUCUAUCAUACAAUGUCUGUACGUUCAAUUUAUUUUCUUGUUUAUCAGCCAUUUGAAUUGGAGGGGGUGAUGGCAGCAUCUAAGGGAGCAAAAACCCGUUCUUCACAAAAGACAGUGCUACCCAUCGAUGCAGAUAGAACCAUGGUUGUACUGGCCCACAAACUAGCCCCGCCACACAUAAUUGAGACUCUUCCAGAUUGCACACUUUCACCGUUGGGCAGAGAACCAGCUACAACCCAUCUAACCGCAACCCCAGCGGAUAGUAACCCACUUAUAGUUGACAAAGCACCAUGUCCACCACAGAGUACCCCCACACGAGCAGUUUGUAAAGCUACUGCAGUGCCCAAAGCACGAAGAGCACCACAGCUAACCCAAACUCCACGUUUAAAGCAGAAGAGCAAUUGUUCUCAGGUCAGAUUCUGUAGCUAUUGUCCAUACUCCUUUGCUGUUGCAUCACUAUAUUUACUCAUACCAACUACUUUCGAAUUUGAAGGAUCCAAUUGAAACUCCAAUGGCGCAACAGGUAUGUUUUAAACCUAUUUCUUUAAUUGGAUUGUUGUUCUAACUUCUUUCUCUAUGUUGAUUUCAGUUUAAGUUGUAUAAACAGUUACGUUCUCAUGUGAUGCACAUUACAAGUGUUGCCAAUGCUGUGUAGUUUCUCACACUUAUAUUCUGUCUAUGCUGCUGUGUCUUAAAAAUAUAUGAGUUGAACUGUGUCUCUAUAUUGAUUAGGGAACAUAAACUAGAAUGAUAUGGACAAUACAGUGACCAUAGUACAUAGAUAUAUGUUUGUUUCAUGUUGUUAUCCUGUCCACCUUACUACUGAACCGGUUUACCAAAAUGAGUUUCGUAUACUACAAGCUAAACCUGUGAUGUGUCUGCUUGUUUCUCUUGUAGUAUGCAAACAGAAUAUUGGAGAAGAGCACCCCACUAUGCAAUGGUAGAGAAAGUAAUGCAGAUAAGGUUCAAGAUAGUGAGACAACCCUGUUGGUCUCCAAGAAAGGUGAUAAAAAUGAUCUUGUAGACAGUGAGAAAACCCCACAGUCCUGCGUUGAUGUAGUGUUCAAAUUACUGGCCAGUACCGCUGGCACAAGCUCUUCGAACUCGUUGCCUGAAUCACUUCGGCUUCUUCAGUCUCAGCUACAAGCUGAAAGGCAUCAGCCAGCUGUGCUGCGGCAAGAAGACGAAGGACUGAGGAAGUCCCUGCAGAAUUCAGAUGCGUACUUUCUUGUGCAACAGCAAGCGCUGGAGGAUUUAAGCGCCAAACAAGAGAAAGUUAAUAAGCUUGCUAAGCAUCUUGCCAGCAUUAUGGGUACCCAGGAUAUUGUUUCUUGAACUCUUCUGAAGUGGUUUCAGUUCUGGACUUGUUUUGCUGCGGCAUUUAUAUGCUGCUUUGUUCCCUAUAUUUGCACUGGUGGCGAACUUUGAUGCCCAGUGGAUGUAAUAUGUGUAAUAGCCGUGAUAGCCUAGCAUAAGUUGCUUGCUUAUUUAUUUCCUUGUUGUCUUGUUUAUUUGUUUGCUUGUAGUCAGUGCAGUUCUUUUUCCGCGGUUUGCUAGUGGCUGCAAUAACCUAUUUUUUAAAACUAGGCCACAAUAACCAUGGGCUAAUAUUUACUGUAGUGACACUGGGCCUCCUACGGGCCGUAGAAACAAUGGGCCUUCUACGGGCCGUAGAAACAGUAGACCUUCUACGGGCCGUAGAAACAAUGGGCCUUCUACGGGCCGUAGAAACAAUGGGCCUUCUACGGGUCGUAUCAUCAAUGGGCCUUAUACGGGCCGUAUGAUCGAUUGGCCAGACAUGGGCCAAUAACAGGCCGCAUUAUGGCCGUAAACGGGCUAGAGUUGGAAUCGUCCGUUCAUGGGCCGACCAUAACGGGCCAUCGUUAAUAGGCCGUAUUUGAUGACGCUAUGAAAAUGGCCCAACGUAUUAACGGACCACAAACGGGCUGACUGUAACCACGGGCUGAAUUUGGCCCACAAGCAAAAAAUGACAGUAACGGGCCGUAAGUAAACGAAUGCUGGAAAUGAGCCCAAGAAUAAAUGGGCUCUGAGAAGGCCGAAAGAUAACAUGGGCUGGAAACGGCCCAACGGAAUAAUGGGCCGUUAAUGGGUAUAAAGUGAUACACUGUUCAUUACGGGCCAGUUUCACCACGAGCCGUUAAUGGGUGUAAAGUGAUACACUGUUCAUUAUGGGCCAGUUUCACCACGGGCCGUUAAUAGGCCAAGAGUUACAUAGGGCCUCAUAUGGGCCGAAAGACGUCAUGGGCCAUACAUGGGCCAGAAGUGAAAAUGGGCUGGAAUCAUAUUGGAUGGCCCAGUUCACGCUACUGGGCCUAAUUCGGAUAUGGCGUAACGGGCCUUGGGUUAGCAGGCUGUAAAAGGGCUAUAUGUGAACAGGCCGUUAACAGGCUUUCCAUGGGCCGGCCCGCCACCUUUUGACCAAGUCAAACGGGCCGGCCUUUUCACAGGAAUGGGCCUCUGUUGGGCCGUGCCACGUGUCGACGUAUCAUAGGCGCCUUAUGUCCAAUGAGUGGAUGACAUCUGUCCUAACGAUGAGCCGACACGUGUUUCCUCCAGCCAAUGAUGAUUUUACACGUGGAAAAUCCCCAUUGGUCGGGGCUGUUAACGGGUUAUCGGAUCCAAAACCCGACCCGAUAGCUUAACGGCGUUCCGUUACGGUGGAUGCCACGUGUCGGUCACCCUUGACGAAAGCACUUCUGUGACGCGCGAUUUAUCGUCUUGGAAGUGCACACUUCCGUGAUGAUAAUUUUGGUAAUGUCAUGGAACACUUCUACGACAGCACAGGUAUGACUAUCUUGAUUCUGUCAUAAAAUCGUCAUGGAUGUACAUGCAUGACAAAAAACGCGACCUACUGUGACAAACACGUAUCAUCACGGAAGUGUAUUUUUUUUGUAGUGAAGGAGUGGUUGCCGAGGCUGUAAACCCGCCUCCAGUUGAAUACGCCUGGCCCAACGGAGCUGGGAUCUUUCUCGAACACGAAGCAGCCAUAGCCAUCAAUGUCACGAAUGCCCCAUGCAUUGUACUGCAUGUGGUUUGAUGUAAUGGUUUGGUCAAUUUGGUACGUGCGAAUGAGCAUCAAAUGACCGCCGUCAGCUGAACGAGCGAUAAACCACCACCCAUCGGCUGGUAUGAUUCCAGGUCCUGGAAUCAUGAAGGCCAACACAUUUGCGUCUGCUGCAACAAUUCAAAUUGGAGACCAAAAGGAAAAAAAUAAACAAUCAUGUUCAGAGUAUGUGUGGAAUUAAGAUUAUUAUAACAGUGACACAUAUCAUCGACAGAGAAUUGCAAUGCCGUGGUCAUAAUCAUACCCCAAGUUAAAAAAAUAAGCCAAUGGCUUUCAUAUUCUAGCAAUAUGUCAUGGUUCAAACAUCAUGUAACAAUGAGAGCAAAACAUCUAUGACAGCGCCUACUCAUAUUCUACCAUAGCACUUACUACUACUGUUCUCAUAUCAACUCUAAGCAAUAACAUGCGCAGAUUACAACUUUCUGCAAACAGAGGUCGAGCCAAAAGCUUGACGCGUCUCGUGCGUAGUAGGCAGGAGUGUCCGGCGGGCCGCGAGGCUCGAUGGCGGCGGUAUCCAACGAUGGAAGGGUGAUCUCUCGCUGGGUGUAGAUAUCCACGAGAUGCCACGGACUACCGGUGUGGUGGAUGAGGACGAUCCAGUUGGCCUUCAUGCCCGCCCAGUAGUGGCCGCGCAUGAAGGACAGGUGGACGGGUAGUGGUAGCAUGUCGAGGGGCACCAUGGCAACCUCCGUAGGAUCGUCAAGUCGGUGUCUGGGCCACCUGCGAGGAUCGGGCAUCAGCAAGCAGGGUGUCUUGAAAAGAUCCGGCCGGUUGCAGACGAGUAGACGGUACAAAGACACCGAGCAUGCGGCCAGACGGACGGUGCUGAGUAGGUCCAUACGACUACAGAUCUGCUCCAAGAGAACAUCAGGGAGGGAAUUCCAACCGCGGCUCUGCGUGUCAGUCGGUUCUGCCAUUGGGGUUUUUGGUGCCUGCGAGCCAGCGGGGAAGUGGAUUCGGGCGGCCGAGCGAAGAAGCUUCUCCUCGUGUGGCCGAUCAGUGAGCAGGGGGAUAUGGUACGCGCGAGCUACCAAGGAAGAUGGCGCGGGCGGGCGAGCAGUGAGCGGGGGUAAAUGGUGUGCGGCCGACGAUGGGGAACAGAGGAGGAAGAAGAAGAGAGGAGGAAGAAGAGUGGAAGACGGGGAAGAAAGUGCAUUCAAUCUCAAUUCUACUAGUACUACUACCAGGAUAUACCAUCCUUCGGAGUGUAAAUAGUUACACCGAUGACAUGUGGGUCUACCACAACCGGGCCCAUAUGUCAGUUAAUGGAGGACAAAGGUGCGUAGGCGUAUUUGCGGAAGCGUGCUCUACUGGCAAACAUGAAGGCAGUACUGGGUAAGGCUGAUUUAGUAACACCAACACGCUGGUGCAGCUUAUUAAUUACGUGUCCCAUCUGCUGCAGCGUGUAUUGUCACUUCACUGCGAAGACUAGUUGAAUAGUUCUCUCUGACCGAGAUGGGGAAUAAUGGAUCGCGAGGACUUCCUUUCUACAGUAUCCCUAUGCCUCUACGCUCACUUCACUCAUUUUUCUCCGUACGUAGUCACUUGUAUAAAUCUGUAGAAAGACAAAUACUCCGUAUUUGGGAACAGAGGGAGGCUUUUACUCCGUACUAUUUGGGAACAGAGGGAGUAUCACCAUAUGGAGGGAACAGAGGAAGCUUGAAAUAUGAACAUGUCAAUGGGAGGGAGUAAGCCCCAUGCAUGCAUGCAUGCAUGCAACAUGCAACACUCACACGUACACAUGGACGCAUGCAACACUCACGCACCCAUGCGGCACACAGCACACGACGCAACACACACGCUCACGCUCAAGUGCUCAACCUACUCCCUACGUCCGUGAAAGACUGUACAUUUAGAGAUUUACACAUUGACCAGGGCAUAAUUAACGCCCAAAAGUAGCAGACUUAUGUGUGCAUGCGACCAUUGAGAUAAGAAGAUUAAAUGAAGGCCGUUGCAUGCUGUAAUUAAGGAUAGACAUGUAGCCUAUACCUACAGCACAAGUUGGUGCAUUAGUCAAUCAAUAUCGAUUUAGAUUAAAGGCUAAAUGCAUUGGAAGUGUAGAUGUACAUGAUGUACUACACUCUUUGUUUUAUAGCCGAUGUACCCUCUUUUUUGGAAGACCGGGGGAGGACACGUGCAUGCACUCACAUACACAGCCAGGGCGGUUCGCGUGCAAGGGUUGGACUCGUGUCGCGCCUGCGUAAAGUUUUGUUUAACUGAUUUCUUUGCUCUGCCAACUGACAGGUGGGACCCAGAAACCAGGUGACAAUUUAAUCAGGCAACAAAGUGCCAUGUCGACUAUGUGGCCGGUCAGUAGGGUGCAAUACGGUGCUCUACGAUGAGCUAGUGAUCGUAUAAUCGCCGCAAAACUAUAUAUAGUGACCGUAAAGAGCGUAUUGUUACAUACGUUGACCGCCAGUGUAUUUUUCUCGUUUCAAAUUAAGCCAUAUUAAUCGAAAAGGACGCAGUAUGGACUACUACUACUAGUACUAGUACCGCUUUGAUGUGUCCCGUCAACUCGCCGAACAAGGAGAAGCUUGCUUACUACGCCUCUCCCUCGCCCACGCGCGCGGUGGUUCGCAGGACGAGGAGAGGGUUUUGACUACAGCGCCCUCUCCCUCUCCCUCGCCCUCGCCCUCGCGGUGGACGUGCAGCAGUUCAAUCGGUGUCAGAUUGCCAGAAGCAUAUUGUACUGUAGUAUCAUCAUUGUUGGACCUUCCAAAGAGGCGAACAACCAAGUGCAAGGUUCACACGAGUACGAACUGUUGAACCUCCCGAAGAGGCAAAGAGCCAAGCGCAAGGUUUUAUAGGAGUUGUCGUCCUAGUAGGAGUGUACUACAACUAUAGCGAACGAUGCUACUGUAUGAUGCCGCCACGUCACGUAUAUCCAAAGCGGUGCCACCUUUUUUUUCUCAAAGAGCAUGUUGGAGCCCGUGCAACAACCACACAAGUUGCACGUACACAUAACACAUUUACUAGUAAUAAAUUCUAAAGGACAAAUGCCAGUAUGCCACACAAGUUCAUCUCCAUUCAUGUGAUAAAUUUGUGCACGACUGUCUACAUAUAUUCAUAGCGCUACCGUCCACAAUUACCGUACUCCACUUACACGUUAUAGAUGGGCUACAUGUCCUCCUCCAGGUUCCAGUCCUAGGUGUUCUUCAUGGAUGGCAUGAUCCAUAGCGGUGGGCAACGGGAAUCAUUGUCGCAGCUUUCUAGUCCGGUUCCACACGAAGGAGACUCAUCCAAGCUGAAGCGGCAUAAAUCAGGGAUAGCGUGUCCCAGCAUGUCGUUCAUCCGGCUGUGCGCACUGAAGACACAACCAUGCUUCAUGAACGGCAGGCCUUCCGUGUCGUGCACGGAAGGUGGCAUCCGCUUCACAAUGGGGUAGCUGUCCUCGAUGAAAAGCGAGUACUCUCCAAGAGUGUUCCUCGGCACCCACGUAGCAUCACAGGGGUCGAACUCGGCACCGUUCAUCUGGUACACGCGGCAUCCCAGAUCUGGACACAUGGUGACGUACAUAGUCAAGGUCCAUGCAUAAUAAUGUUGUGCUGAAAUAUGGCGGUCAGUAAUACUGUGCAGCAAAUAGUACUACUCCGGUAUAGAGGAAGUAAAAUAACCGGCUUAUUAUAUAUAGCCACUCUUGGCUACAUGGAUGACAUAGUAAGACAUGGAAAAACAAAAAUGGUGGCAGCUAGUGGGUUCAAGUCUUCAAGGGCCUAGCUAGCUAUACGCGUCCUCCAAGGUAAAAAGUACUCCUACUAGACUACAAAGUAUACUACUAGUACAACAAUGAAAGAGAAGGCGAGAGGGUUAAAAAAUGGAACACCUGGGUAGAUGGUGACGGUCCGAUCGUGGUAGAUUGUGUGACCAUGUUGCACAUCAGUGGUACCAUGGGUAACGACUGCUAAGAUAGUUGAUCCCAAUAUGCCAAAGUCAUCUACAAGGUUCCAGGUUAGACCGAAUCGCGGAUGCAAAUGCACAUCCAGGAUCGGCGAUCUUAUUUUGAUCGGGGGAUGACUGGUCCCUGCAAAAUAAUGGAGUACCGUUAGGGAUGCAAAUGAUGGUUUGUGCAUUCCAUUUGUAAUCUCCCAUACCGUAGGAUGGCAGCCAGAUGAAACAAGUCCCCUGGCUUGUCACCGCGAAGAUGCGGCCUAGAUGGCGCACGGCGUCUUCGAACGUGUAGGGGUACAAAUCUGCCGCUGCCAACAUGCGCCAGCCUCUGCCGUUACUGCCUCUUGCAUUGAUGGCAAUCCUUAUGUCGAACACCGCGAUGAGAUAGUAAUCGUCGUAGCCGCGUCGCUUUGUCGGCGGGUCCGCAAUUGCUAUCUUCUUCAAUCUCAUGUAGGCAUCAUCAUACGUAUUCAAGCCCAGCCAGUCCGGAAGGCCGAUCCCAAUGGUGGAGAAGGGGUCUACCGGAACGGCCGCACUGCUGUGGAUGUUGUGCAAAAUGAUGGUGGUAUCCGGCCGGAGGUAUGCAAGCCAAUCUUCGUUGGCACCGACCCAGACCUAUAUAUAAGACGGUGGGCAGCAGAGAAAUUACGGGAUGAAAUGGAAUAACUAAGUACUACAUGAUCAAACUCCAUUACUGACCUGCUCAUCGGACAAAAUCCGACUACCUCUCAACGUCCGCAACUCUAGUGGAGUCAACGUGCAACCAUGGCCAGGGAGCGGUGGACUAUUCGAAGGAUUGUCCCAUAGAAGAACCUUCUCCUCGAGGACGCAUGGAAGACCAACAAGCAUGGCCUUUUCCCAAGCCUGUUUAUGCAGUGUCUUGAAAAAGUUGGUGCAGGAAGCACCGAGUCUUGCGGCGGUGAGGACGUCGGAGCGGCGUGCGAUUUCUCCCAGAGGAUCAUCGUCCAAGGUCUCCCAGCCCCGAUGAGGAGGAGAACCGCCUGGCGAAUCCAUGGGAGCAGCGACGAACUGCCUUUUCUUCGGGGGGAGGGGAACUGGCGAGGAGGAGAUAAGAGCGUAGUAACCGCAGGGCCUCGUCCCUUCCAACUGUAGAUCGUUCCUCAGCGAAGGGGUGAGGCUAUUAUUUACUACUAGUACUAGCAUUAUGGAAUGUUGUGGGAUUGCAUUAUACUGUAAAUAAUAGCACUAGUAAGAAAUUUUUGGCACUAGGUAGUAGUUUUUGGCGUGGAUUAAGAAAUUUUGGGUAUGUUUUUGCCAUUUUUUGUACACGCCAACUAGUGUCAAAAAAUGUCUUACAUUAUGUGACGGAGGAGUACGUACUCGUACUGUAACAGUACUAGUGCUACUUUUCUCAACUAGUAGUGCGAUGUACUGUACUUCUAGUCUAGUCUAGUAUAGUGCACCAGUUUUAAACUCUUGAAUCUCAGGGCCAAGGAGCUACAGUUGGAAGUGGAGGGUACUGCUGUUCUCUAGAACCAUCGCUGUACUAUCAAUGCAGGGGAAGUACACCUGCAUAGUGGCCUAGUGGGUACUCUCGGUGCUCUAUUCAGCCGCUCCUCUCACGUAGCUGGCCUACUCAGCCGCUCCUCUCACGCACACACUAGCAGCCUGUUUAUCAGCGAUAGUUACUGCGGGGGCAGAACAUUUGAGUUAUUUGAUACAGUGAGACUAGGCUUUUCGCUUCCAUUUGUGGAGGUGUAAUGGAUCUCGUCGAACUUUGUUAGUAGUUCCUUCUUUAUUAAUGAAAUGAAGCAAAGCUUUUGCCUCCGUUUCAAAAAAACACGUCAAGAGGAAUUUCUUUUAUAGUAGAGCCGAUAAUGGAGUGAAGUCCAUGCGUGCAACGCCACAAGCUACAGAGUAGUAGUAGAGCACUUUACGUACAGAGCCAUUGCACAGUUCCCAAUGCCCCGCCAGGCUUUUCCGGCUCCUCGGGCUUAAUUGGGAGGCGCUAGUUUAAAUAUGCUACUAGCUGGAAGCUGCAAGCGAGGUGCGGCUAGGGCGAGCACGCGAGCCACGGGAUGCUGGGAAGGAAAACCCGUUCACGUGGCUAGGCUGUCCAGUGCACCCAGAUUGUGGGGCCGCAUGUCCGUUUGACUUCAAAACUCAAACUACCCGUGUAAAAUAUUGGCUCGCAGCGAAGUGUAGUAGUACUAUUUUUUUUAAAAGGCCGCCGUGCGUUUGGCCGGGAUCGAACCCACAAAACGAGGUAUACACUCCCGCGACCACUAGUAGUACUCGUUGGAGUACAACGCAACCUAAAAUCGCCUUUUAUCGCUAGUAGUAUGUACAUUGUUCCUUACAAGAAACCCCUAAGAGCAUGGUUAAUAGUAUAGCUAGCUGCUGGCUAUAAGCCAGUGCCAUGUCAUCUACAGCCCAUCUUAUAGCCAACAUGUACAAUAAUAGAUCAAAAGAGUGUACUAAUUUUUUAUUAUGUGGCCCACUUCUCAUUCUCACAAAGUGCCUAGGAGCACGUGCUAGAGCUGGCUCUUCACGAAGAGCCCGCUUACCUUCUCUCUCCUCUUCUCUUUCCUCCAACUAAGCAGAAAUAUACUAGUUUAUUUCUUAUAGCCCGCUGAGUCAGCUCUAUUGUACUUGCUCUAAUAAUGCAAGAAACCACUAAAAUGCCAAGAAACUACUACCACUUGCAUACGUGGCAGACUUAAGAUAAGACUACCUUAUCAACCAUUGUACAUGCUCUUACCAACAAAAAUCCUCGAGUGACCUCCUACCUCCGGCCCGUCCACCUAGUCAUCCUCGGCCAUGGGACGCAGCUACCGCUGCCAGCAGAAGGCGAGGUCAAAACCGCCGGCGGUGCGGAGCCCAUGUUGCAGCAGCCCGCAUGCUAGCUCCGUCCGGCGCUCGCGGCCGCUAGCUAGCCAAGAUAGCUCCGUCCAGCUGCUUGUCUGCAAGGUUUGCUAGCUAGAUUGGCACGACAGUGCAGCGGCUUGCUCGCGCGCGCCGCGCUAAGGCCAACCAUCUGGCUCGAGCGAAGGCCAGCGCGGCGGCUUGCUCGCUCGUGAGUCACGCUUGGGCCAGCCUGCCAACCCGUGCGGAGGCCAGCGCGGCGUCCGGCCCGUCCGGCGGAGCGGCGGCCAACUCGCUCAUCACCGGCGCCACCGACGAACACGCAUCAGUACUGUUUGAAGUAAUGUUCAGGAAAAAUAAUGAUUUGAGAGGGAAUAACAGGAUAGAAGGUCAGAUGUGGGUCCCUCGUGUCAACGGUCAAACAAAAUGUGUUGGUUUAAGCUGCCUCGUCAGCACGGACGUGUGGGCCAACCCUGUCAUAAAUGGGUUUAAACUAACCUAAUCGGUAGGAGUACUAGGUAGUUUUUGGCGUGGAUUAAGAAAUUUUGGGUAUGUUUUUGCUAUUUUUUGUACAUAAGAUUCUUCCUAGGGCUGGUUGAAAGUGGUAGUUUUUUGUUAAAUACUCUACAUAUUGUAAGUAGGAGUGAAAGUUAAGCUUUGGAAGCCAAUAAGCAAGGCUAGUUACAUAGUGCAUAUGUGUACAUGAUUGAAAGUAAAUAUCAACCAUGAGUGACUAAUAUCUUGAUGGAAAACUCGAAACUAUGGAAUACUAGGAAAAAAUGCAUGGUUGGAAAUACUAGCAAUGUUCAUGUGCGUUGCAACGAAUCAUAAUUAGAAUAAUACUUAUUCACAAACUUGGUACAAAACACUCUAAUUUUGAUAUACAUAUGUCACUAGAGAUAUAUUAUGUUUCAAUUAGAAUAUAUUCCUUGGGCUGUUUUGGGAGGUCAGGGAGGGAUGUGGUUGGUUUUAAGAUACUAAUUAUGGGUUUUUCUACAAAUUGGUAGACAAGUGGGAUGUUGGUGAGAAAAGGCAACAACUUACCUCACAAUAGUUAGAUGUAGAUCUAAUGGUCAGAAACGACGGAUGGCAGACACACCAGCAUCACCAACUUAGUCUUGUGUAGGAGUACUAGCAAGAUCCGUGCAUUGCAUGGAACAUCAAGAUGCAUUUUUUUAUAAAACACAUGUUGUUAUUGACCCUUGCGGGAGUAAUCCCAUGUGUAAAAACUAAUGAUAUCUCGAGAAAUAUGAGAUAAGGUGAAGAGGAGUGGGGUGUGGUGGUGGUUGGUGGUCGGACUGAGCGGAGGCAUGGGGAUUGACGACGCCGGCAGCGGCCACCAGGCCAGUUUGUUCCAGAGGCUUCCUUUCUUAAUUGCUCAACAAUGAGGUUUGUUGGAGGUAAGGAUGAACGAGGGAAGGCCUUGUCUGCAAAUGUGGAGAGGGGUGCGGGUAUCUUUUAGUUUAAUUUCCAUUCGUCAGAUAUAGAUCGGACGAGCUAUAUUGCAAGAUGGCACAUGUACCAUCAUCACCAACUCGGUUUUUUAUAAGAGAAGAAAUAUAAGUAUGGAGAUACAAACGUAUUAUCGAUACUUGCUUCCGUAAACUAGCAUCUACAUUCUAUUCAACGCCUCGGCAUGUGGGGCCUUAGCACAAUGACUUCUCGACUGUGUAAAACAAAGAUUUUCCCGUCGCCGACAAGGAGGGGGUGACGGCGGCGCGCUUUUUGGCUUGCUCUAAUCCUAGUAAUCAUACUAGGUGGUCUAAGCACGUGUAGAUUUAUUCUUUUUCACGUCUCGUGUUCGCUGUACUGCCACGACUGUUGAUGAAUCGACGGUAAGUUAUUCACGGGGAAACCCUUGUUGAGUGUGUUUGCGAGAGAGAGAGAGACAGUGUGCGUGUGUGAUAUGUUAGAGACUGAGGCAAUGAUAACAGAUUCUUUGUGUCUAUGUGUGUGGAGGAUAGAGAGAGACAUGUACAUGGGGCUUUGUGUUGUGUAACGUGGAGACACAUAUACAUAAUUAGAGAGUGAGUGUGUGAGAUACACAUGCGGACAUGAGGAGAGAUGAGGAUCCAGAUAAAUGGGUGUUUGUGUGUGUUUGUGUGUGUUUGUGCACGAGUUUGUGUGUGAGAGGGAGAGAGUGUAUGUGGAGUAGAGAGACCACUGAUGAUGUAAACCUAGUAUAAGGGAAGGGGGAAUGGUGUGACAUGUGUAGUAGCGAUAUAGCACGGGUGCGGGCGGGGGGAGCAAACUAUUUGGAAGAGACAUCGAGUGUGUGUGUGGGAGAUGGGUGUGAGAGCGAGAGAAAGAGAAAGAGAGAGCUAGCGACGGAGAGAGAGAGAGAGAGGAAGAGAGGGGGUGAGAGGGGUCGUUUGUGUCCAUAAAUGGCGUAUAGAUAGGGAGACAAUGUUGAUGUUGUCCAAAAUUGGCCUAUGAACGGAGACGCAAGGGAAGCGAGUCAUCGUGUGUGUGAUAGGGACUUCAUGAGAGAUCUAGAAUAGAUGGUGUAGAGAACAAUGUGCAAAAUCGAGAACGAUUAUACAUUAGGGAGCUAUGCAAAGAGUCACGACAUAUAUGUAUACAGGGAAGGAGCUGGGGCGGGUCCGCAUGUGGGAGAGAUAGAAAGAGGAGAGUGGUGCACAAGGAGACAAAGUGUGCUUGUUUGCAGUGGGGGUGGUGUGUGAGGUGAGUGCGCGAGAACCACAUAACUAGGGA
rnacentral:lncRNA from 1 species